UGGCGUCAUGAGCGAGCAGCAUGGCAGAGCUUCACACAACCUGCAGCGGAGAUUGGGCACGGACCGAGGCAACUUUUUGCCGUGCGCAGUAGAGCUUGGAGCGGGAGGAGGAUGGCUUGGAGAAUGCUCAGCAGCAGAGCUCCUCCGCCCAUGGCCCUCUGAAACAGCGGCUGCUAGACUCACCAGCUUGAAUAGAUUUGCGGAUACGGAAUAAUACAUGAGGGUAGUGGGAUUUUCACGGGAAGGAGGUGGCGAUUGCAAGGCACGUUGCUGCUAUAAGAACUGGGUUGCGGCGCGAGGUGCAGGGGCGCUAGCGUAACGACAGGAAGUUCAGAGUAGCGGGGCUGCAAGGUCACCUCCUCUGUUCGCUUGCGCUCGGAAACUUGAAUCAGCGACGAGAAGAAAACCGGAGCAGAGGGCAGGCCAAGCCAGAGUUUAAGGAAGGUCGCGGUGUUGUAAAGGGAAGGUCAUGCCAGAGUAGAUGAAAGGUGGCGCCACAGGGAAGGCUAGGGGCGGGGCAGAGGUAGUCAGGGCGGGUGCGGCGCGGCGGCCGGAACCAGGUGCGGCGCGGUGGCCGGAACCAGGCGCGACUCGGCGGCCGGAAUCAGGCGCGGGAGCGGCGACGGGGUCAGACCCAGGCGAGGGGGCUGUGCAGGGCCGGAUCCUGGCGGGGCAGCUCCAGCGCGGCUGGAAGGCCACCGGCGGCCGCCAUAGUGGAGGACGGAGUGGGAGGUGGUUGGUCGCUGCAGGGGAUGGGGCGCCGCCGUCCCCGGUGGAUCCCUGGUAGGGGAACUGGCCGCCGCGUGGGUGCGGCUGAUCGGGGGGAUUCGCCGGGGAGUUGUGGUGGGAGUCCGUGAUCCGGAUAGUUAUUCUAAUCCCGGGAUUAGAAUAGUGUUGUCCUAUAUAUAUAUAUAUAUAUAUAUAUAUAUAUAUAGUAUUUUCUACAAUAGCUUGCCACAAAACUAGUUAAGGUUUUCGACGGUGUAAAAGUUCUCAAAAAUCCUGAAAAAAAUACUGAACCAAUACACCUAUAAUAUAACAUGAUCCAAAGGAGGGAUUGAAAAAAUAUGACUGCAUGUGUCCUGGACAAAAAGAACAAAUGUUUCAAUAUAUAUUGACCCUGCAAUGAGCUGAAAUGCUUGUUUUUUUGCUAAGGACACAUAAAUGCAUAUUUUCACAAUCACACCAUUGGAUCAUCUUAUUAUAUUAGAGUGAGGCUCCCCUAUUUAUGUCAUAUUUUUUACUUACUUUUAAACUGUUAAAUCUUUAGCAAGCCUUAGCUAGUUCUGUGACAAGCUAUGAUAGACACAGUUUUACCUAUAUAAAUACACACACACACACACACACACACACUUAUAAGGACAUGGUUGCAUAACCAAAUUAAACAUCCACUUACAUAGGUGACUACAACCAUGGCAUCUACACACAACAAAGUAAACAAUUACAUGCAUAAUUACAUAGGUGGCUACUACACACAUGACAUUUCCAUACACCAAAGUAAACUAUAUAUUACAUGCAUGAUUAACUAGGAUAAACGAUAAUCUGAUCAUCAUCUACUUCUUGUGACGCUUGCUCUGGUCAUGGCUCGAUCCGGCCUCGUCAAUCUCCGUAACAAGGCACUUCCUCAUGUCAACGAUCCGCCUGUGCAUCUCGUAGCAUGUGUACACGCUCUUGGCCGCGAACUUGAGGUGAGGUUCAUCCAGUUGCCGCAUCCAGGCCCCGUGCCAGGAUGCGGGACAUGUUCUGUUGGCAUCCUGCUUCAUCUUUUCGUAGUAUGGGUCGAUGAUGGCCAAGGAGAGUUCAACCAGGGAGUCCUUCUUCAUGCUGCCCCAGACGUUGUAGUGCUCAUGGAUUUCGACAAGGUUCUGGUAGGCCAACCCCGUAACCCUGAGCGCUUUUACAUCGUCGGUGGUUUCCACCAUGGCAAACUUGUAGUCGGUGCUGUUGAGAAACCUGGUGAACCGAUCGCAAGGCUCUGUGGCCAUGCAGUAGUGGUAGAUGAGGACAUGAUGGUGCACGCACAACUGGGCGACGACAACCUUCUAAUCUAUGUUGGGACGACCGGCAGUGUACUGGAGGUCGAUGCCGACCACCUUGUACUUGUCUCGAGCAAGCAACUGCUCAACGGUGUUGAUGUAGUCGUCCACCACGGCUGGGUCGAUGGUGUAUACCACUGAGAGAUCUAUCUCCCUCACAUGGGUCUCCACUUUAUGCUAGCCGAACUCCAUUGGACGCCGCUAGACAUCCCCUCUCUAUGUGUCGUCGUGGGUGUGCUUGUUCUGUUGUGGGGCGCGAUAGAAAGGUUGAAAAGACUAAUGUUAUAAUGGCCGCGGGAACUAAAGGGGAAGCUGGACGGCCUAGAAUAUCGGCAGGCCCUGAUGGAAGUUCUAAUUUUCAGCGUGUAACUCCAUCAUGCCGCACAUAAUUGCAUCGCGUGGCAACAUGUGCAGCGCAACCGCAUGCAUAUGGGGCCCCAGACAUGAUUGUGCGCAUGCCCAACUGCUGGCAGAGCAUACGCGGAGGGACGCGAGCAGAGCGCUCUGCGGUCGCCUCAAUGGCGAGCAACUAUAUAUAUAUACGCAUAUUGCAGUUGAACACGCAAGGAAAAGAUGUAUACAAGCCAAGCGCGCCGACGGACGCGAGCAGAGCGCGCCGCGGCGCCUAACGGCGAGUGCAGAGCUUGCCUAGGGACGCGAGCAGAGGCCGGCACAUUGAUACGUGGCAAAUAAGAUGAGCUGUGUGAACGAUGUCGGAGACAUGAAGCAUGAAUCGGAUUUGAGUAGUUGAUCCAUCUGAGCUUUUUGUGAUGGAAUAAGCAAUGUGUGUUGCUGGCAAACGCUUGCUGGUAUAUAACCUUAAAUUUAACCAACAAAAUGUUAAUGCAUGUUACAAAAAUUGUAUAAUUGGAAACUAUGUUCAAAUACGAAUCCAAAGAUAUAAUCUUUGGCGACAUGCAUUCGUAUUUUAUUAGUUAAAUCCUACUUAUAAACCAGGACGGGGUAUAGUAGGUAAUUAAAUCACAAACAUUUUUUUGUAUUAACCGUAUGUGUACAUGUCCUUUCGUCCUCCUCUCGCAUGUCUUGUCGCCCCGCAGCCGCAGACGGCUUACAGCGCAAGCUUGUGCAGCACGCAGGGGCGUACUUUUGGCCAAACGGUGGCUCAAAGUGGUGCCAAUGAAUCGCCGGUGAGCCUCCCGCGCAACCUCGCAGGUUCCCGCGCAAGCUUCCCACUCAAGUCGGUGAAAUCCCCCAAAAUCCCAAUGCUUACCGGCCUGCUAUAUAAAACCACACGGACGGCGAGUCCUGCUUCACAUCUUCCCCUCCCUCCCUGUAGAUUAUCUCGUGUGCUUCUCCCACAAUCGCCAAUGGCACUGGCCUGUCGUCGUCACUCAGCCACUCUGUUAUCAUUAGAGGACAGCUCCAGCUAGGAGGCUACACUGUGGCGGCGGCAAACUCUUGUAUGAAGGAAAAUGCUCCCGAGGACACAUGGGAAUUAUCGUCAAGCUAGUUUUCAUCACGCUCCUAUGAUUCGCGUUCGUUAUUGAUAAUUUGAUAUGUGGGUGGACCAGUGCUUGGGCACUGCCCUUCCUUGGACAAGCAUCCCACUUAUGAUUAACCUCUAUUGCAAGCAUCCGCAACUACAAAAGAAGUAUUAAGGCAAACCUAACCAUAGCAUGAAACAUGUGGAUCCAAAUCAGCCCCUUACAAAGCAACGCAUAAACUAGGGUUUAAGCUUCUGUCACUCUAGCAACCCAUCAUCUAUUUAUUACUUUCGAAUGCCUUCCUCUAGGCCCAAAUAAUGGUGAAGUGUCAUGUAGUCGAUGUUCACAUAACACCACUAGAGGAGAGACAACAUACAUCUCAUCAAAAUAUCGAACGAAUACCAAAUUCACAUGACUACUUAUAGCAAGACUUCUCCCAUGUCCUCAGGAACAAACGUAACUACUCACAAAUCAUAUUCAUGUUCAUAAUCAGAGGGGUAUUAAUAUGCAUAAAGGAUCUGAACAUAUGAUCUUCCACCAAAAGCCAACUAGCAUCAAAUUACAAGGAGUAAUCAACACUACUAGCAACCCACAGGUACCAAUCUGAGGUUUUGAGACAAAGAUUGGAUACAAGAGAUGAACUAGGGUUUGAGAGGAGAUGGUGCUGGUGAAGAUGUUGAUGGAGAUUGACCCCCUCCCGAUGAGAGGAUCGAUGGUGAUGACUUCCCCCUCCUGGAGGGAUGUUUCCCCGACAGAACAGCUCCGCCGGAGCCCUAGAUUGGUUUCGCCAGGUUCCACCUCGUGGUGGCGGUGUUUCAUCCCGAAUCUUCGUCCUUAUUUUUUCUAGGACGAAAGACUUCAUAUAGCAGAAGAUGGGCACCGGAGGCCUGCCAGGGGGCCCACGAGAUAGGUGGGGCGUGAUGAGGAUACAGACCUAGGGUAGGGUCAUAGGCCUAACCUAUACGUCCUACCCAAGGCCACUGCCCUGCAAGAUAAGAAGUCCAAGAGACAACAAGGGACGCCCAACCAAAGAUGUCGAGUGUAAUUCACUCGACAGUCAUAUCACUCGGGCGACCCCUACCUAUUGCCACUCGACCACUCAAGGAGUCACUCGACCUACCGAAGAUCAGGAGUCACACAACAUUGCAAUGGUCAGGCGUUCACUCCGUAGUCUUUAAGGUCAUAAAUAACACUUAAGGCUGGUGCUACCAGUAACGCUCCUACUUUAUGUACAUUAAGCCCCUUGUAAUGGAGGACGGCUGGGGUCCUGGCGCACUCUAUAUAAGCCAACCCCUCCUCUGGGACAAGGGUUCGCACCCCCUGUAACAUCACACACAUAUAAUCCAGUCGAUGGCCUCCGGGCACCGAGACGUAGGGCUAUUACUUCCACCGAGAAGGGCCUGAAGUCAUAAAUCUCGUGUGUACACCUUCACCAUAGCUGAGAUCUUGUCUCUCCAUACCUACCCCUUUCUACUGUCAGUCUUAGAACCACGACAGUUGGCGCCCACCGUGGGGCAGGUGUCUUAGCGACUUGUUGGUGAAGUUGCAAAUUUUUCCGAUCGUCAUCCUCAUGGUUUCCGGCGGCGGGUUGGCUGAGGGCCGCGAGAUCCGUCUCAGCGCGCUCGUUUUCAUCGCCGACGACUCCGCUUGGCUUCAGGAAGCUCCCCUUGACGUUGAGGCACUCCCCAUCUGAGGGGCGACACACUUUCGCGCGUGCGUUCGCGACGUCCUUCACUGACAACCGUCGACUCAGUAUCGGUCAGCUCCAAUGGUGUCUUCCUUCCCUGCUGUUCACCACUGCAAGCGAUCCGGUCGGUCGCGGCUUCAGUGGUGGGUGAAACACAUGGUGGCUCGGCAUUCAGCCACCCAUCAAGUCGCGACAAUCGAGCCCGACGAAACUCUCCACGGCCUAUUCGAUCUGUCGACUGGCUCCGCGGAGACCGCAUCCAAAUGCGAUAGCAGCGACCCUGUGGCUGAAGUCUUGAUGGUCAAUGGACCACAUAGUCCGCCUGGUUUCCGCCGAGCUAAUGGUGAGGAUGGUGGCGGCAAUCCGUUGCGCGUCCACGAGGAGUACAAUCCCAAACCCCUCUCUUCGCAGCAGAGGGAGGAACUUCGUCGCUGCAACAUGGAUGCACUCCACACACCCAUCGUUGGAGAAACACCCGAGGCUCGGGCCUUAGAAGAGGUGCGCUUGGCUAAUCUGGCUGAGCACACUCGACUGGAGAACCUUCAGCGCGCUCUCGACGAGUGUGCUCGGGAGCGGAUUCCUGAGUCUAGUCGACGACAGCUUUUCCCACCUCCACCUAAGGUAUACCGUACUCCGAUUCAGAAUCUCACAGCUGCGGCCCAAAUAGCAGAGUCGAUUCAACCUUCCCAGUCGGAGGGUAGAAGAGGUUUGAUGCAGAUCCAGGCCUUGCUCCGGGAAGCAGGAGAACAGAACACAGCAGUGCCUCAGUCGCGUAACAGGAUUCACAGCAGAUACGUAGUUGCAGAUACAGUUCAGUCGACCCACAGCCCAUGAUGGCCCCCGCAGCGUGAAGGCCGUGGGCAGUAUGAUCAUCGAGUCGACCGCAACAAUCACCAUCGAGUGCCUACACCUCCUCCGAGGAGUGCAUCAUAUGUGCCUCGGCAGUAUGAUGAUAGACGCCGUCACAAUGGCGAGCGCAGAGCACUAGUUGACCAAAGAGAGCCAGGCUUUGAUGCAAGAUCUAUCCUCGUUCAAGGUCUAGUCGACCAGAGCAGAGCGCAUAGAGAAGACCCUGGCAGAGAUCGUCCGACCAGCAGCAGAGUGCAUGUUUCGGGUCCAGAAUGUUUCAGCAGAGCCAUCAGGGCUGCAGUGAUUCCACCCAACUUCAGGUUGGCGACUGGAGGCAGUAAGUUCACUGGAGAGUCCAAGCCUGAAACUUGGCUUGAGGAUUACCGAGUGGCUGUGCAGAUCGGUGGCGGGAAUGAUGAAGUGGCAAUGAAACAUCUUCCUCUGAUGUUAGAACGGCCGGCCCAAGCGUGGUUGACUCAGUUAGCCCCAAAUAGUAUAUACAGCUGGGAAGAGCUGGCUCGAGUGUUCGUCAGAACUUUUGAGGGCACUUGCAAGCAGCCAGCAGGAUUGACCGAGUUGCAGCAUUGUGUGUAGAAAUCGAGUGAGACUCUGAGGGAUUUCAUUCAAAGGUGGACCACUUUGCAUCACACCAUUGAAAAUGUAUUAGAGCAUCAGGCGGUAUGUGCCUUCAAGGAAGGCGUCAAAUACCGAGAGUUGGUCCUGAAGUUCGGUCGAACUGGAGAUAUGACUCUGACUCGGAUGAUGGAAAUAGCCACCCGGUAUGCUAACGGAGAAUAAGAGGAUCGACUCCAUAGCGGAAAGGGCAAACCAGUCGGCCACGAGGCCGAUGGGGGUAAUUCCAAUCGGAAACAGAAAUGUAAGGCCGAGCCUGCAGCACCCGGUGAGAUUGCAGCAGUAACUCAAGGAAAGUUUAAGGGAAAACCUAAAGGGCCCUGGCCCCCUAAGAAAGUAAAGGAUCAAGCAGGAAAUAAUGUGUUGGAUUUACCGUGUCACAUCCACACGAAGAAGGACGAAGAGGGUAAUCUGAUUUACCCUAAGCAUACCACUCGACAAUGUCGACUCCUUAUCCAGCAGUUCCAAGAGAAACAACCCAUUGGGAAGGAAAAGGAGUCGGACAAAGAUGAGGACGAAGAGGAAGAUGACGGUUAUCCCAAAGUCAAUUCCACCCUCAUGAUUUUUGCUGAUGUUGAGAGCAAGAGUCGGUUGAAAGUUGUCAACAGAGAAGUGAAUAUGGUCGCUCCGGCGACGACGACCACAUACCUGAAAUGGUCUCAGACAACCAUCACAUUUGACCAGUCUGAGCACCCCACUCGCAUAGCCACCCCUGGGAGGCAAGCGUUGGUGGUCGACCCAGUGGUCGAAGGCACUAGACUGACUAAAGUGCUACUGGACGAUGGAAGCGGUCUGAACAACCUUUAUGCUAAAACUUUGAAGGGGAUGGGCAUUCUGAUGUCCAAACUUAGCGAGAGCAAUAUGAGUUUUCAUGGCAUUAUCCCUAGAAAGAAAGCCGAAUCACUCGGUCAGAUCGCCCUUGACGUGGUUUUCAGUGAUUACAAGAAUUACCGUAAGGAAAAAUUGACAUUUGAAUUUGUGGAUUUCCAGAGUGCUUACCAUGCCAUUCUGGGUAGGCCUGCCUACGCACAUUUUAUGGCUCGACCAUGUUACGUGUACCUCAAGUUGAAGAUGCUUGGCCCCAGAGGUGUGAUGAUAGUUACUGGCAAUCGGCAGAAGGCGGAGGAAUGCUUCCAGAAGGGUUCCAAAAUUGUCGAUGCGCAAAUGGCAACAGUUGAGUUUCAAGAAUAUCAGAAGAAUGCAGAUCCGAGUGAUUUGCUCCGAGCUAAGAAGCCUGCCACAGAUUCUGCAUUUCAGUCGUCUGGUGAAACGAAGCCGAUUCAUAUUCACCCGACCGAUCCCAAUGCCGCACCGACUCAUAUAUCAACGACACUCAACAGCAAAUAGGAAGAAGAGCUGAUCCAGUUCCUCUGCGAGGACUGGGACAUCUUUGCAUGGAAACCUUCUGACAUGCCGGGUGUACCCAGAGAACUGGCUGAGCACCGUUUGCGUGUCGACCCCAAGUUAAAACCUGUCAAAGAACAUCUUCGACGGUCCACCGUACAGAAGAGAAAAGCAAUUGGUGAGGAAGUGGCUCGGCUCCUAGCAGCAGAGUUCAUCCGUGAGAUCUACCACUCCGAGUGGCUUGCCAAUGUAGUCAUGGUCCCCAAGAAAGACGAUUCACUUCGUAUGUGCAUUGAUUUCAAGCAUAUCAAUCAGGCCCGCCCAAAAGAUCAUUUCCCUCUCCCCCGCAUCGAUCAGAUUCUUGACUCGACGGUGGGGUGUGAGCGCUUGUCUUUUUUAGAUGCAUAUUCCGGGUAUCACCAGAUCUGACUGUAUGGUCCCGAUGAAAUAAAAAUAGCCUUCAUCACCCCAUUUGGGUGCUUUUGCUAUGUCACCAUGCUAUUUGGUCUUAAAAAUGCCGGAGCCACAUUCAUGAGAAUGAUUCAGAAGUGCCUGCUCACUCAAAUCAGUCGGAAUGUGGAAGCAUACAUGGACAACAUUGUGGUCAAGUCUCGCAAAGGUUCCGACCUACUGACUGACCUCACAGAAACCUUUGCCAACCUAAGAAGAUAUGAUAUCAAGAUUAAUCCGUCAAAGUGCACAUUCGGAGUUCCAGGUGGAAAGUUACUCGGUUUUCUCGUUUCUGAACGAGGGAUUGACGCCAAUCCAGUAAAAGUUGAUACCAUCCUCCGAAUGAAAUGUCCUGUGCGUGUGCAUGACGUUCAGAAGCUUACAGGUUGUUUGGCCGCCUUGAGUCGAUUCAUUUCUCGUCUCGGUGAAAAGGCCUUACCUCUUUACUGAUUGAUGAAGAAAUCUGAUAAGUUCGAGUGGACUGAAGAAGCUGAUGCAGCGUUUGCGGAGCUCAAAACCCUGCUUUUCACGCAGCUGGUGCUUGCUGUGCCAAUCAUCAAAGAACCUUUACCGCUUUAUAUUGGAGCCAUUGGACAAGUCGUCAAUACAGUACUCACGGUCGAGCGAGAAGAAGAAGGAAAGGCUUACAAGGUUCAGCACACAGUGUGUCAUCUCUCUGAAGUUUUGACUCUAGCCAAACAACGAUAUCCACAUUAUCAGAAGCUUGUCUAUGGAAUCUACAUGACCAUGAAGAAGGUUGCACAUUAUUUCUCAGAUCACUCCAUUACAGUCGUCAGCGCACCAUUAUCUGAAAUUCUGAACAAUAGAGAUGCAACUAGUCGAGUGGAAAAAUGGGCGAUUGAACUCCUUCCAUUGGAUAUGAAGUUUGAGGCAAAGAAAGCUACAAGUCCCAAGCAAUCGCAGAUUUUCUUGCCGAGUGGAUUGAGCAGCAACUGCUGACUCAAGUUCACUCGGAGCAUUGGACUAUGUUCUUCGAUGGCUCCAAGAUGCUGAAUGGUUCAGGCGCUGGGGUAGUGUUGGUAUCCCCCCGUGUCGACAAGCUUAGCUAUGUUCAACAGAUUCAUUUUGAUUCUUCCAAUAAUGAAGCUGAAUAGGAAGCACUUUUAUACGGGUUGCAUAUGGCCAUUUCACUCGGCGUCCGUCGCCUUAUGGUCUACGGCGACUCGGAUUUGGUUAAUCAAGUGAUGAAAGAGUGGGAUGUCAGGAGCCCAGCCAUGACUGGUUAUUGCAAUGCGGUAAGAAAGCUGGAAAAGAAGUUUGAAGGGUUGGAGCUGCACCAUAUACCCCAGCUAAAAAAUCAAGCUGCAGAUGAAUUGGCAAAGAUAGGUUCUAAGAGAGAGGCCAUUCCCAGCAAUGUGUUUUUGGAGCACAUUCAUUCACCUUCAGUUCAGGAAGAUCCUUUCACUGAAGAGUCCCCACAACCUAAGAGCGCCAUAGAUCCGACUGAAGUCGAAAUCCCAGCCGUCGUCGACUUAGUCAUGGAGGUUUUGGUCGUCACUCCCGACUGGACAGUGUUGUACGUCGCAUACAUUCUUAGGAAAGAACUUCCAGAGGAUGAAGAAGAGGCUCGAUAGAUCGUCCGACGAUCUAAAGCCUUUACUAUGAUAAAAGGACAGUUGUUCAGAGAAAGUGUAACUGGAGUCUGCCAGAAAUGCAUCACGCCAGAAGAAGGCCGAAUGAUCCUCAAUGAUAUUCACUCGGGGACCUGUGGUCACCAUGCGUCCUCUCGGACCAUCGUGGCCAAAGCAUGCCGAGCCGGGUUUUACUGGCCACGUGCCAAUGACAUGGCGAAAGAAAUAGUGGACAAAUGUGAGGGUUGUCAGUUUUACUCCAACAUGUCCCAUAAGCCCGCGUCAGCCCUGAAGACUAUUCCACUCAUCUGGCCUUUCGCUGUUUGGGGAUUGGACUUGGUUGGACCUCUGAGGACUGGUAGGAGUGGAUUCACCCAUGUGCUGGUGGCAGUCGACAAGUUUACCAAGUGGACCGAAGCCAAACCCAUUAAAAACCUUGAAUCAAGUACACCUGUAAGUUUCAUCAGAGAAUUGAUAUUCAGAUAUGGUGUUCCGCACAGUAUCAUCACGGAUAACAGGUCGAACUUCGACUCUGACGAGUUCAGAGCCUUUCGUGCUUCCCAAGGCACGAGGGUCGAUUACGCUUCGGUCACCCAUCCUCAGUCGAACGGGCAGGCUAAAAGAGCAAAUGGAUUGAUUCUCAAAGGACUGAAACCCCAGUUGAUGUGUGACCUCAAGCAUGCAGCAGGGGCCUGGGUCAAUGAACUUCCAUCAGUACUUUGGGGAUUGAGGACAACUCCCAAUCGGUCGACUGGUCAAACUCCAUUCUUCUUAGUCUACGGAGCCGAAGCCGUACUCCCGAGUGAUCUGCUCCACAAUGCGCCCCGAGUUGAGCUCUUCUCAGAAGAGGAAGCAGAACAGGCUCGGCAAGAUGCCGUCGAUCUCCUGGAAGUAGAAAGAGAGAUGGGCUUGAUCCGGUCAACCAUUUAUCAAAAAGACCUGCGUCGAUUCCAUGCCAGAAACGUAAGGGGUCGGGCAUUUCAGGAGGGAGACUUGGUUCUUCGAGUGGACCAGCAGAAACCACACAAGCUCGCUCCUGUUUGGGAAGUCCCUUUCGUCGUCACCAAAAAGUGCUCCACAAUGGAGCGUAUCGUAUUUUCAACGUCGAGCACACUAAAAAUGAGCCACGCGCUUGGAAUGCGGAACUGCUCCGCCCCUUUUACUCUUAAAGUAUUCAGAUUAUUGAGAUGUAAUAAGAAGUACCUUUUAGUUUGAUUAUCAAAAGACAUGAUUUUACAGUCUUCCGAAUGAUUGUUGUUCAUUUUUUACAUGUUCUAAAAUCCCCUAGUGGGUGCCUUAGCAGCGAAUCCGCUUCGCCUAAGUGGAAGAGAAAAUCCUACCGAGUGGUGAGCCAGCCUCUCACUCGGAGGCUUAGCUGCGAAUUGAUACGUCUCCAACGUAUCUAUAAUUUUUUAUUGCUCCAUGCUACUUUAUCUACUGUUUUGGACUAUAUUGGGCUUUAUUUUCCACUUUUAUAUUAUUUUUGGGACUAACCUAUUAACCAGAGGCCCAGCCCAGAAUUGCUGUUUUUUGCCUAUUUCGGUAUUUCGAAGAAACGGAAUAUCAAACGGAGUCCAAACGGAAUGAAACCUUCGGGAACGUGAUUUUCUCACCGAACGUGAUCCAGGAGACUUGGACCCUACUCCAAGAAGCUUCCGAGGAGGUCACGAGGGUGGAGGGCGCGCGCCCCCUGGGCGCGCCCCCCUACUUCGUGGGCCCCUCGGAGCUCCACUGACGUACUCCUUCCUCCUAUAUAUACCUACGUAUCCCCGUAUGAUCAGAACAGGAGCCAAAAACCUAAUUCCACCGCCGCAACCUUCUAUAUCCACGAGAUCCCAUCUUGGGGCCUGUUUCGGAGCUCCGCCGGAGGGGGCAUCCACCACGGAGGGCUUCUACAUCAUCACCAUAGCCCCUCCGAUGAAGUGUGAGUAGUUUACUUCAGACCUUCGGGUCCAUAGCUAGUAGCUAGAUGGCUUCUUCUGUCUUUUUGGAUCUCAAUACAAUGUUCUCCCCCUCUCUCAUGGAGAUCUAUUCGAUGUAAUCUUCUUUUUGUGGUGUGUUUGUUGAGAUCGAUGAAUUGUGGGUUUAUGAUCCAGUAUUAUCGAUGGAAAAUAUUUGAUUCUUCUCUUAAUUCUUUUAUGUAUUAUUGAGUUAUCUUUGCAAUUCUCUUCGAAUUAUCCGUUUGGUUUGGCCAACUAGAUUGGUAGUUCUUGCAAUGGGAGAAGUGCAUGGCUUUGGGUUCAAUCUUGCGGUGUCCUUACUCAGUGACAGAAAGAGUUGCAAGGUACGUAUUGUAUUGUUGCCAUCGAGGAUAACAAGAUGGGGUUUUUAUCAUAUUGCAUGAAUUUAUCCCUCUACAUCAUGUCAUCUUGCUUAAAGCGUUACUCUGUUUUUAACUUAAUACUCUAGAUGCAUGCUGGAUAGCGGUCGAUGAGUGGAGUAAUAGUAGUAGAUGCAGAAUUGUUUCGAUCUACUUGUCACAGACAUGAUGCCUAUAUACAUGAUCAUUGCCUAGAUAUGCUCAUAACUAUGCUCAAUUAUAUCAAUUGCUCAACAGUAAUUUGUUCACCCACCGUAGAAUACUUAUGCUCUUGAGAGAAGCCACUAGUGAAACCUAUGGCCCCCGGGUCUAUUCUCAUCAUAUCAAUCUAUAUCACUUUAUUUACUUGCUUUGCUUUUACUUUGCCUUUACUUUUUACUUUGCAUCUAUCUAUCAAAAAUACCAAAAAUAUUAUCUCUAUCAGAUCUCACUCUCGUAAGUAACCGUGAAGGGAUUGACAACCCCUAAGCGUUGGUUGCGAGUUGCUAUCGUGUUGUGUAGGUACGAGGGACUUGCGCGUGACCUCCUACUGGAUUGAUACCUUGGUUCUCAAAAACUGAGGGAAAUACUUAUGCUACUGUGCUGCAUCAUCCUCUCCUCUUCGUGGAAAACCAACGCAAGCUCGAGAUGUAGCAAGAAGAAUUUCUGACGCUGUUGCCAGGGAGGCUUACGCAAAAGUCAACAUACCAAGUACCCAUCACAAUCCCUAUCUCUCGCAUUAUAUUAUUUGCCAUUUGCCUCUCGUUUUCCUUCCCCCACUUCACCCUUGCCAUUUUAUUCGCCCUCUCUUUCCCAAUCUCCUCCUCUCUUUCCCGUUGCGUUUUCUCGUUGCCUUUAUGUUUGCUUGUGCCUUCUUUUUUGCUUGCAUCUUUGAUUGCUAAAAGUCUAUGGAUCCUGAUCUGCUUGCCAAUCUUUUUAAGAGAUCCAAUUAUGAUGAACCUAUUCCUAGUGAUUUGGAUGCACUAGAUUAUCUUUAUAAGCUUUUGCCUAAAACCCGUAGAUCUGAAAAUUGUGAUGAAGUGCUUCAUGAUAGAUCUUUAAAUAAAAAGCAUGAUUGGAAUGAUUUUAUGAUAAAAUAUUUUAAUGUAAAUUAUGCUAAUAAGAUGCAAAACCCUAAGCUUGGGGAUGCUAGUUUUGUUAUGUCCUCUACUUGUUGCAAUGAUCAUGAUUGGGGUGAUUCUUCUUAUGAUCUUGAAAAUUUAUUUAAUCCCCAUGAUGAAUAUGAGAUUGAUAAUAGUGUUUGCAAUAAUAUUGAAGGUGGGUUUGGAAGAGUGUCAACUUUAGAUCCCACAUAUUUGGAUAAUGUUCAAUCUUAUGAACUUUUUGAUAAAAGUGGGUUUGGAGAGGUCAUGACUUUAGUUAAUGUUAAUCCCACUAUUUUGGAAGAGUGUCAACUUUACAUGCAUGUGGAUCGUGUUGAGAAUAUGUUAUGUGAUAGCUAUAUUGUUGAAUUUUCUUAUGAUCCUACAUGUAACUAUUAUGAGAGAGGAAAAUAUGGUCAUAAAAUUUUUCAUGAUAAUAAAUUACCUCUCGUUAUGUUGAGAUUGCUAUUGUUUCUUUCCGCUUCCUUGCAUAUGCUAGUUUUUGCUUGCUAUGAUAAUUUGUUUGCCUAUAAGAUGCCUAUGCAUAGGAAAUAUGUUAGACUUAGAUGUGUUUGUCAUGUUUUUCAUGAUUCUCUCUUUGUUCUUUAAUUCUUGUCUUUGAUGUGAGCAUCGUUAAAAUUAUCAAUGCCUAGCUAGGGGCGUUAAACGAUAGCGCUUGUUGGGAGGCAACCCAAUUUUAUUUUGUGUUUUUUGUUUUUGGUUCUGUUUAGGAAUAAAUAAUCCAUAUACCUUCUGUUUGGAUGUGGUUUUAUGUUUUAAUUAGUGUUUGUGCCAAGUAGGGCCUAUUGGAUAACCUACGAUGAUAGUUGAUUUGAUUCUGCUGAAAAACAGAAACUUUAGCGCUCACGAGAUUAGCUGCCAUUUUUUACUGGAGAGUGAUUUUGUGUUGAUUCUUUUUGAUUCUGAUCAAUAAACAAAUUUUCCAGGACUUCCUAUUUUGUUAGAAUUUUUAUAGUUCCAGAAGUUUGCGUUAGUUACAGAUUACUUCAGACUGUUCUGUUUUUGACAGAUUUUGUUUUUCGUGUGUUGUUUGCUUAUUUUGAUGAAUCUAUGGCUAGUAAAUUAGUUUAUAAACCAUAGAGAAGUUGGAAUACAGUAGGUUUAACACCAAUAUAAAUAAAUAAUGAGUUCAUUACAGUAACUUGAAGUAGUCUUUUGUUUUCUUUCUCUAACGGAGCUCACGAGAUUUCUGUUGAGUUUUGUGUUGUGAAGUUUUCAAGUUUUGGGUGAAUUCUUUUGAUGGAUUAUGGAACAAGGAGUGGCAAGAGCCUAAGCUUGGGGAUGCCCAUGGAACCCCCAAGAUAAUCCAAGGACACCAAAAAUUCAAAACUUGGGGAUGCCCCAGAAGGCAUCCCCUCUUUCGUCCACUUCCAUCGGUAAUUUACUUGGAGCUAUAUUUUUAUUCACCAACAUGAUAUGUGUUUUGCUUGUAGCGUCUUGUAUUAUUUGUGUCUUUGCUUGUUAGUCUACCACAAUCAUCCUUGCUGUACACACCUUUUGAGAGAGCCAUACAUGAUUUGGAAUUUGUUAGAAUAAUCUAUGUGCUUCACUUAUAUCUUUUGAGCUUGUUAGUUUUGCUCAUAGUGCUUCACUUAUAUCUUUUGAGCUUGAUAGUUUUGCUCAUAGUGCUUCACUUAUAUCUUUUUGAGCAUGCUCUAGUGCUUCACUUAGAUCUUUUAGAGCAUGGUGGUGGAUUUGUUUUAAAGAAACUUGAUCUCUCAUGCUUCACUUAGAUUAUUUUGAGAGUCAUUAAUAGCAUGGUAAUUUGCUUAAUGUUAAUAUACUUAGUGUUCAAGAUAUGUGAAACUUUCUUUUGAGUGAAUUGAAUACUAAGAUAAAUUUAAUGCUUAGUAAUUGUUUUGAGAUAUGGAGGUAAUAAUAUCAAAGUCGUGCUAGUUGAGUAGUUGUGAAAUUGAGAAAUACUUGUGUUGAAGUUUGUAAGUCCCGUAGCAUGCACAUAUGGGUAAAGUUGUGUAACAAAUUUGAAGCUUGAAGUGUACCUGGCUUGUGCAUCCUUAUGAGUGGCGGUCGGCGACGAACGAUGGUCUUUUCCUACCAAUCUAUCCCCCUAGGAGCAUUGUGCGUAGUACUUGAUUUUUGAUGGCUUCUAAAUUUUUGCAAUAAGUAUAUGAGUUCUUUUGACUAAUGUUGAGUCCAUGGAUUAUACACACUCUCACCUUUCUGCCUUUGCUAGCCUCUUCGGUACCGUGCAUUGCCCUUUCUCACCUUGAGAGUUGGUGUGAACUUCGCCGGUGCAUCCAAACCCCGUGAUAUGAUACGCUCUUUCACACAUAAACCUCCUUACAUCUUCCUCAAAACAGCCACCAUACCUACCUAUUAUGGCAUUUCCAUAGCCAUUCCGAGAUAUAUUGCCAUGCAACUUUCCACCGUUCCGUUCAUCAUGACAUACUUUACUUUUGUCAUAUUGCCAUUGCAUGAUCUUGUAGUUGACAUCGUAUUUGUGGCAAAGGCACCAUGCAUUAUUUUUAAUACAUGUCACUCUUGAUUCAUUGCACCAUCCCGGUACACCGCAAGAGGCAUUCAUAUAGAGUCAUAUCUUGUUCUAGCUUCGAGUUGUAAUUGUUGAGUUGUAAGAAAAAUACAAGUGUGAUGAUCAUCAUUAUUAGAGCAUUGUCCCAAGUGAGGAAAGGAUGAUGGAGACUAUGAUUCCCCCACAAGUCGGGAUGAGACUCCGGACGAAAGAAAAAAAGAGGCCAAGGAAGCCCAAAUAAAAAAAAGAAAGGCCAAAUAAAAAAAGGCCCAAAAAAUGAGAAAAAAAGAGAGAAGGGAAAAUGUUACUAUCCUUUUACCACACUUGUGCUUCAAAAUAGCACCUUGUUCUUCAUGUAGUGAGUCUCAUAUAUUGUGCUUCCAAGUAGCACCUUGUUCUUCAUGUAGUGAGUCUCAUAUAUUGUGCUUCAAAGUAGCACCUUGUUCUUCAUGUAGUGAGUCUCAUAAGUUGUUUUUUAUACUAGUGGGAGUUUUUCAUUAUAGAACUUGGCUUGUAUAUUCCUACGAUGGGCUUCCUCAAAUGCCCUAGGUCUUCAUGAGCAAGCAAGUUGGAUGCACACCCACUAGUUUUAUUUUGUUGAACAUUAAUAGCUCUAGUGCAUCCGUUGCAUGGCAAUCCCUACUCCUCAUGUUGACAUCAAUUGAUGGGCAUCUCCAUAGCCUCGUCAAUGUGAGACUUUCUCCUUUUUUGUCUUCUCCACACAAUCCCCAUCAUCAUAUUCUAUUCCACACAAUCCAUGUCUCGAGCUUGCGUUGGUUUUCCCCGAAGAGGAGAGGAUGAUGCAGCACAGUAGCGUAAGUAUUUCCCUCAGUUUUUGAGAACCAAGGUAUCAAUCCAGUAGGAGGUCACGCGCAAGUCCCUCAUACCUGCACAACACGAUAGCAACUCGCAACCAAUGCUUAUGGGUUGUCAAUCCCUUCGCGGUUACUUACGAGAGUGAGAUCUGAUAGAGAUAAUAUUUUUGGUAUUUUUGAUAGAUAGAUGCAAAGUAAAAAGUAAAGGCAAAGUAAAAGCAAAGAAAGUAAAUAAAGUGAUAUCGAUUGAUAUGAUGAGAAUAGACCCGGGGGCCAUAGGUUUCACUAGUGGCUUCUCUCAAGAGCAUAAGUAUUCUACGGUGGGUGAACAAAUUACUGUUGAGCAAUUGACAGAAUUGAGCAUAGUUAUGAGCAUAUCUAGGCAAUGAUCAUGUAUAUAGGCAUCACGUCUGUGACAAGUAGAUCGAAACGAUUCUGCAUCUACUACUAUUACUCCACUCAUCGACCGCUAUCCAACAUGCAUCUAGAGUAUUAAGUUAAAAACAGAGUAACGCUUUAAGCAAGAUGACAUGAUGUAGAGGGAUAAAUUCAUGCAAUAUGAUAAAAAAACCAUCUUGUUAUCCUCGAUGGCAACAAUACAAUACGUGCCUUGCAACUCUUUCUGUCACUGAGUAAGGACACCGCAAGAUUGAACCCAAAGCCAUGCACUUCUCCCAUUGCAAGAACUACCAAUCUAGUUGGCCAAACCAAAUGGAUAAUUCGAAGAGACUUGCAAAGAUAACUCAAUCAUACAUAAAAGAAUUCAGAGAAGAAUCAAAUAUUUUCCAAAGAUAAUACUGGAUCAUAAACCCACAAUUCAUUGGUCUCAACAAACACGCCGAAAAAGAAGAUUACAUCGAAUAGAUCUCCACGAGAGAGGGGGAGAACAUUGUAUUGAGAUCCAAAAAGAGAGAAGAAGUCAUCUAGCUACUAGCUAUGGACCCGAAGGUCUGAAGUAAACUACUCACACUUCAUCGGAGGGGCUAUGGUGAUGAUGUAGAAGCCCUCCAUGGUGGAUGCCCCCUCCGGCGGAGCUCCGGAAUAGGCCCCAAGAUGGGAUCUCGUGGAUACAGAAGGUUGCGGCGGUGGAAUUAGGUUUUUGGCUCCUGUUCUGAUCAUACGGGGAUAUGUAGGUAUAUAUAGGAGGAAGGAGUACGUCGGUGGAGCUCCGAGGGGCCCACGAGGUAGGGGGGCGCGCCCACGAAUCCGUUUCGCCUGAGUGUUAAAAAAAUCCUACCGAGUGGUGAGCCAGCCUCUCACUCAGAGGCUUAGCUGCGAAUCCAUUUCACCUAAGUGUUAAAGAAAACCUUCCGAGUGGUGAGCCAGCCUCCCACUUGGAGGCUUAGCUGCAGUCCAGUACUCGCCUAAGUGUUAAAAAAGUCCUGCCGAGUGGUGAGGCAGCCUUUCACUCGGAGGCUUAGCUGCAGUCCAAUACUCGCCUAAGUGUUAGAAAAUCCUACCGAGUGGUGAGCCAGCCUCUCACUCGGAGGCUUCGCUGCAGUCCAGUACUCGCCUAAGUUUAAAAGGUCCUACCAAACGGUACGGGUCGACCAUGACCUCCCCCCGGGGCUGCACCGUCAAGAAGNNNNNNNNNNNNNNNNNNNNNNNNNNNNNNNNNNNNNNNNNNNNNNNNNNNNNNNNNNNNNNNNNNNNNNNNNNNNNNNNNNNNNNNNNNNNNNNNNNNNNNNNNNNNNNNNNNNNNNNNNNNNNNNNNNNNNNNNNNNNNNNNNNNNNNNNNNNNNNNNNNNNNNNNNNNNNNNNNNNNNNNNNNNNNNNNNNNNNNNNNNNNNNNNNNNNNNNNNNNNNNNNNNNNNNNNNNNNNNNNNNNNNNNNNNNNNNNNNNNNNNNNNNNNNNNNNNNNNNNNNNNNNNNNNNNNNNNNNNNNNNNNNNNNNNNNNNNNNNNNNNCCUACUCGGGGGCUUAGCUGCAAUCCAAUACUCGCCUAAGUUUGAAAAAUCCUACCGAGUGGUGAGCAAUCCUCCCACUCGGGGGCUUAGCUGCAGUCCAGUACUCACCUAAGUUUGAAAAAUCCUACCGAGUGGUGAGCAAUCCUCCCACUCGGGGGCUUAGCUGCAGUCCAGUACUCGCCUAAGUUUGAAAAAUCCUACUGAGUGGUGAGAAAUCCUCCCACUCGGAGGCUUAGCUGCAGUCCAGUACUCGCCUAAGUUUGAAAAAUCAUUCCGAAUGAAAACUGAUCUUCUCGCUCGGGGACUUAGCCAUACGCUCCAUCCUGAUCCACAAGGACAGCAAGGUGCGGGUCGACCACGACCCCCUCCUCAGAGUUGUACCAUCAAGAAGAAGGACUAGAUUGAGCAUGUUGCCAAGGCGAGCCACUUUCAGGAACGUCAAGGCCAUUGCUGAAUGCCUCACUGAUGAGCCGAUCAAUGCUGCCAAAGGCUCAUCCAACAGCUAGAGCCAAGAUGAGCUGCUUUCAUGAGCUAACCAGUCCCGCUGAGUGGUGCGGGUCGACCACGACCCCCCCUCUGGGGCUGCACUGUCAAGAAGAAGGACGAGAUUGUGCGCACUGUCAAAGGCCCAUCCAACGGCUGGUGCCAAGGUAAACUGCUGAUAGGAACAUCAACACCAUUGCUAAGUGCCUUGCUGAUGAGCUGAUCAAUGAUGCUCAAGGCUCGUCCAACAUGUCGACUGUGGAUUCUUCCUCAGAAGCUGCAUCGAAUGUACAAAUACCAAUCCAAGAGAAGAACGAGUUUCACUCGAAGAUAAACACAACAUAUUCAAAGAUAAGCCCAAAGGUUUCUAACCGCAGAUUAAAGUACUCGGGCGUCAGGCCCGAAGGAGUUUUAACGAUUACAAAAUCACUCGACAUUCCGAGGCAAAUGAGGGUGAAGCAUAAUGUUUUUUCAGUCACUCGGCGGGAGAAGGGCUGGCUGGAUCGCAGAAGCUGUCAAGGUCGAUGCUGUCAGCAAUACGAGUGGCUGCCUCAAGGAAGGUGUCCAUGAAGGACUGGAAGGAGUGCUUCUUAGUAUUCACUACCUUGAGGGCCGCCAGCUUGUCUUCUUUAGCCUCCUUGCAGUGCACUCGAACCAAUGACAAGGCGACAUCAGCACCAUAGCGAGCAGAUGACUUCUUCCACUCUUGCACUCGGCCAGGAAUCUGAUUGAGUCGAGUCAUCAGCGACUCAAGGUCUUGAGAAAGUUCCGCCGGAGGCCAAAGUUCGGCGUCCACUCGGGUCAUCGCAGCUUUCAGUCGAGCCAGAUAGGCAAAAGCACCGUCCAAGCGUGAUUCCAAUCGUAGCAAGUUCAUCGCAACAUCAUCAUUCAUGGGACAAUUGAUGGGGUCGAGACCUGUCUCGACCCGCCCGGUUUCAGUUUCAAAGUCCUGGCAAAGUUCUGUUCUAUCGUGAAAAACAAUGAGUCGACAAUAUUACAACAUACUUCGAUCGACGACAAUUAACCAGUCGAGUGACCAUACCUUCAAGCUUCAGAACUAGUUUCACGGCAAGUUGUCCCAGAUGGGGCUCUAACUUGCCUAUCUUGGCUCUAAGGCCUCCGACUUCAGUGGUCAGGUUCUCCUUGUCCUUCUUCACUUGCUCUACUUCUCGAUUGGCUUCUGAGAUGGCGGUCUUCAACUUCGUGUUCUCCUCUUCCAACUUGCCGACUAAAGCCAGCUUUUGUUCCGCAAGCAUUGUCUUCUCACGUGCUUCCUUCUGAGCAGCAGGAAGGUCCUGGUCCUUCUUCUCCAAAGCUUCCUUCAUUCUCUCUAAAGAAACAACACUCUUCAGACGAGCCUGAAGUUGACGGUUUUCACUAUGCACAUCUGCUUGUGUGAAGUCACUCGGUUCAAAGAGACUGAAAGAAAAAGCAGUGAAAGAUGCGACCUACUAAGUAGGCAAGACAGUCGAAUGGUUAACUCCCAUGAUGGCCGUCUCUUGUUGAGCAGUCUUGAGGUUCUUCUUUGCGAGUUCAAGAUCAAGUUCAACGCUGAUAUGCUUCUUCUUUAACUCGGAAAGUCGAGCUCCAAGAUCACAAGACCUCUGCAGUCAGCGAGAGAGAUAUGUCAGUCGACAGAAAUAAGAGACAAUGAUAGUGAAAAGUUACUCUAAGACUACUGCCGAAUCAAAUAUUCAACAGUAGUCUCAGGGACUACACCUAGUGGGUGCACUUAGCAUGCCCCCACUGGUUUAGAUCAACACUCAGCAGGGUCUGCCCAGCGUGAGUCAAAAAAAGAUGAGGUUCUAAGACCUCAGCCGACUGCCAGUAGUCGACCGUGGUCUCGAGGACUACACCUAGUGGGUGCACUCGGCGUGCCCCCACUAAUCCAGACAGUUUACUAAGACUCAGCUCGAGUCAAGUGGAGUGGAAGAUUUCCUAAACUCUAAACAAAGGCACACCCCAGUGGGUGAUCGGAUAUAAAACAACAUUCAAAAGUUCAGUCGAAGUUCGCUGACCUGAACAUUGGUCUGCAGGGCAGUGCUGGCGUUGUAAGCCACCUGACUAGCCUCGUGCAUCACCUUCACCUGCUCCAUGACAAGGUUCACCUGGCGAAGAGCCUCCUUGGUGGCACUCGGCGAGUCAUCUGGGGUCUGAUAUGCGGAGAAGAGUGAUGGUCCAAGGCGGUCGAAGCAGUUACUGAGUCAGAUGCAUGGAGUUGCACUGGAGCGGCAGGAGUCCGAGCAGUCGAUCCCGACGAACGAUCAGUCAUCAGUGGGUUGGCGAAUGUGACAUUGGUCCGAACCGGUUCUCCGGAACGUUCGACCACCGCCUCAAGCGCCGGUGUUGACUGAGGGACUUGAACUUCAAGCCUCCUCCUACUUGAGCCCCCAAUCCUCUUCCUCCUCUCCUGUAGAGGCGCUUCUUCUUAUUCAUCAUCAGGGAGCACGACGACCUCUUGCAGAACUACAGAAAGGGAGAAAUAUCAGAAAUUCAACCGAUUGACGAUCCACUCGACUAAAUGAAGCCUGGUCGAACGGACUUACCAGCUCGAGAGGUGGCCUCCUCGUCUCCUGGUGCCUUAUCGAUGUCCAUGUUAGUGGCAGCAGAGGUGGGGCUAGAAAGAUACAUGAUCCGGUUAGUCAGAACAAAAACUUCAAUCGGCCUAUGCAAACACAAGCGAGAUACUCACCCCGAAGCAACAGGGAUGUCCAUCUUGAUCCGUGGCAAAGUCUUCCGAGCCUUGGGAGGAGCAACCUUGGGCUGCUUGGCGACCUUCUCCCUCGGCUCCAGAGUCGACAUCCGAAUGCGCUUCUGAGUGUGAGUACUUGGAGCUACGUUCUUCCCGCGCCCGCCCGCCGGGUCAUGGUGCUGCUUAGAUCGGUGUUCGGAGCGCGGCGGCAAGUCGACUUCUUCCUUGUCGUCCGACUCCUCGCUCUCCUCCUCCUCCUCUUCAUCCGAAGACGCCCAGUCACCACUCUCCUCUGCGCUGGCCUCUCCCUCCUGGCCCUGCUCCAGAGCUUGUUUGCCGUUGGUCAUCGAAUACAUCUCAGUGAAAACCUACAAGACAAAAGGUCGAGUAAAAUUUAGUCGACAUCAAGUACAAUCAGAACAUAUAUGCAAGGCAGUCGGAAUAAAGAGCAUACCUUGUCGGGCUGAUUGUCGUCUCUGAAGGGGAUGACCCGCCUGGAUCCUCUGGGGUUGUCCUAAUUGCCUGUGAUACUCUUCAACAACAUAGCCACGGUCUUCGGUGGCACUUCCUCUAGAUGGACCCGAGCGGUGUCUUCAGAUCCGGAGUACAACCACAUAGGAUGGUCACGAUCCUGAAGAGGUUGGAUGCGUCGACUGAGGAACACUUCCAGCAGGUCCAGGCCGGUGACACCCUCAUUAAUAAGUUGGACCACGUUCUCCACCAACAUCUUCGUCCCCAUGUUCUCAGCAGCAGUCACUUUCAGUGGAGGAGUCUGAACACGGUCGAAUGUGAAGUGGGGAAGGCCAGUCGACUGACCUGGAGUUGCGACGUCCUGGCAGUAGAACCAGGUCGACUGCCAGCCUCUAACCGAUUCAGGGAGAGUCAUAGCAGGGAAGGAACUCCUAUGCCUCUUCUGAAUACCCAAACCCCCACACAUCAGGAUGACAUGGGUCUUUGAAUCACUCGUUUUUGCUUUCUUGACCGACUGGGAUUGGAUGGUGAAGAUAUGUUUGAAAAGACCCCAGUGCGGUCGACACCCCAAAAAGUUUUCACACAUCGACACGAACGCGGCCAGAUACGUGAUGGUGUUGGGAGAAAAAUGGUGGAGUUGAGCACCGAAGAAAUUCAGAAAUCCCCGGAAGAAUGGGUGCGGAGGGAGCGAAAAACCCUGGUCGACGUGGGUGGCAAGCAGUACACACUCACUCGGUCGAGGCUGCGGCUCCAUCUCCCCCUCUGGCAGCCUUGCCGCUCCCUUGGCGAUCAGUCUGGACUCCGCCAUCUCGUCCAGAUCUUCUUGCCGGAGCAAAGACCAGAUCCAAUCGCCCUGGAUCCAUCCUGGCGGUAGCCCCGCGCGCGAUGACGACCUCCAGUUCUGCUUCUUGCCUUUCGCCGCCCCUGUCUCCUUCUUUGCACGCUCCAGCGCCACCAUCUUGUCCUUCACCAUGGCGGCAGAGCGGCAGCGUCGAGAGCAGAAGAGCCAGGUGUGGUGGAGAAGCGGAGGAAGAAGAAAGAGAAACAGACGUGCACAGUGCAGACGCCUCGGCCCCGUCGCCUUAUAAAGGGUUGCUUCCGAGUGGCUGACGCGUGGGACCAAGCGAUCCUGUCAAAUCCCGCAACAGUCGCGUGCAACGUACGUGGCGAAAAAGGCGGCAUGGAAAUCGAGGCAUCAUUGUUUAUCCGCUUUGCCUACUUCAGCGCUCCCCGUCCUGCGUGCUUCCCCGAAAUUUCGUAUCCCGUGAAAUCUGGGAUACACUGCAAUCAAUCGUGCCAAAGAUCUUGCACUCUAAUACAACACUCGGCAGACGAUGCUAUAAGUUCAGUCGACCACUCUUUGAAUGGAUCAAGGCGAUUGAAUCGAUGCUGAAGUACCAACAUGAGUUUUCCAUCUUGCAGAAAAACGCUCGCGAGGUGCAAAGCUCAGAACAAGUUCAAAUUCAACCUACUUUCAACUGGAACCUUAAUCCAUUUGGGGGCUACUGAUGAGGAUACAGACCUGGGGUAGGGUCAUAGGCCUGACCUAUACGUCCUACCCAAGGCCACUACCCUGGAAGAUAAGAAGUCCAAGAGACAACAAGGGACGCCCAGCCAAAGAUGUCGAGUGCAAUUCACUCGACAAUCAUAUCACUCGGGCGACCCCUACCUAUUGCCACUCGACCACUCAAGGAGUCACUCGACCUACCGAAGAUCAGGAGUCACACAGCAUUGCAACGGUCAGGCGUUCACUCCGUAGUCUUUAAGGUCAUAAAUAACACUUAAGGCUGGCGUUACCAGUAACUCCCCUACUUUAUGUACAUUAAGCCCCUUGUAAUGGAGGACGAUUGGGGUCCUAGCGCAGUCUAUAUAAGCCACCCCCUCCUAUGGGACAAGGGUUCGCACCCCCUGUAACAUCACACACAUAUAAUCCAGUCGACGGCCUCCGGGCACCGAGACGUAGGGCUAUUACUUCCAUCGAGAAGGGCCUGAACUCGUAAAUCUCAUGUGUACACCUUCACCAUAGCUGAGAUCUUGCCUCUCCGUACCUACCCCCCUUUCUACUGCCAGUCUUAGAACCAUGACAGGGCGCGCCCAGGGGGUAGGGCGCCCCCCCACCCUCGUGGCUAGGGUGUGGGCCCCGUCUGGUUGAUUCUUUCUCCAAUAUUUUUUAUAUAUUCCAAAAUGUGCCUCUGUGAAGUUUCAAGACUUUUGGAGUUGUGCAGAAUAGGUCUCUAAUAUUUGCUCCUUUUCCAGCCCAGAAUUCCAGCUACCGGCAUUCUCCCUCUUCAUGUAAACCUUGUAAAAUAAGAGAGAAUAGGCAUAAGUAUUGUGACAUAAUGAGUAAUAACAACCCAUAAUGCAAUAAAUAUCGAUAUAAAAGCAUGACGCAAAAUGGACAUAUCACAUCACACAUCUCAAGGCAAGAUGAGUCUAUAGCCUAAUAAAUGAAGUGUUGCAUGUUACUACACAUAUGUUACCCCCACUAUAGAGGUAGUAACAUAGACUAGUAACAUUCUAUGUUACUACCCAUUGUCGUUAGUCUUAUGUCACUCUAUUGUGUACUUACUUGCUCUAAUGCAUAGUAUCAUAGAGUAGCUUGUAUCAUAUGUAGUACUUUAUUUAUAUUGUCAUGCAUGACACAUAGUAGCAUAACAUUUAUUAUGAUACAAUUUCAUGAUAUGAAACUUAACCCUCUCUUUCGUCGUUUAAUUAAUUCUAUGACAACUCAUCAAAAUUGCCUAGUUGGCAUGCAUGAUACUAGCUAUGAUACCCCCUUACUAUCAGCCUAGCCAAAUUGUACAGAUCAUUUGUGCGUCGUUUUGUGAGUUUUCAUCCGUUUGUUCAAGAAGCGGGGAGAAGUUUCAAACAUUUCGGCCGCGAGGUGCGGCCACUGGCGUAGGCCUAGUUGGUAUUUUAAUUACAAAAAAAUUCAGAUGGAGUUCGAACAUCAUCAAAAUCGAUGUGUGCCUGUGGCGUGCUCUCACAACCCCGUGGAAAAAAAUAGUAAAGUUUGGCACAAGUUUUGAUGACCGCUCCUUCCAAACUGGAGCAUCUCACAUGAAGGAUCAUGAUUUUCCAAAAGGAGACGUGUCAAUUCGAACUCCUGUGGUCGGUGACUUCAUCGUUUGGCCUCAUAAAACUUCCCAUGGUACACAAUCACCAUUAUACUACGGGUUUGAUUUUCUAGCGCAUUUCAGGUAUCGUUAGCUAUAGUUAAGACAUUUUUUCAGAUUAACGUGCAUUUUGUGCAUAAAAAUAAAAUUACAACCGGAACUGCAUGUGCUGUCGAAAGGGAUGAGGAUCGUCGUUCGAUUUGGGAUCAUCCAAUGGUGGAGACGUACGAUAUGUGGGGUUUGGGUUCUGGCCAAUCAGAAAGCACGACUCAGAUCGUGGGCGGGGUGGCGGGGUUUGGUAGACACAUCGCUUUCAUCAACGAACCUUGUGCUAUUCGCAAACCAGAUUGCAUAUUUUUGUUCACACAUACUGUAGUGAGAUCGGUUGAGUGUGCUACCUCUAUGAUAUAAUAAUAAUAAUAAUAAUAAUAAUAAUAACAAAAAACAGUUCAUAUUCAUUGCCUGAGCUGACAGCAUAUCAAGGUCAACAUAUUAACGGUUCUUACAUCAACAGAAAACCAGGCAUAACUCACAAAUUCAGUACACGCAAUAGUUCUAAAUUGAACGAAUUAAGUUGCAGGGUAGGCAUAAAGACUAGUCUUACGACUUAAUUCCCAUGUACAUGGAGGAACUGGGAUCAUUAAGUUGACCCCGAAUGAACUUGGGGUUUUUGAUGAUUUUACGCUUCUCUAUUGCACUGGUGCGCGAUCCCUUGGCUGGCAACUCAUCAAAUUCAUCGUACUCGUCCGGAUAGGCAACAUAGUUGACACCCAGUACCCUUCUCUUCCCAUGCAUUGCUAAAUGGCAGUUAUUAUGCAUGGGGUCUUCCACAAAGAAAAUCUGGGUAGCAUCGUUAGCAAGAAUGAAUGGGUCCGCGUGAUAUGCCAUCGUUGUCCUGUUAACACAGGUCUUCUUGUACUCAUCAAUACUUACCUGAUCAAGAGGGAUCCAUCCGCACCUGAAUAAUGCCACCUUAACUUUCACAUAAUCAACCUCCCAAAUCUCUUUGAUGGUUCCAUAGUAUACCCUUUUAUCAGCUUCAUUUACAGUCAUGCAUUCUAUUCGAACAGAGCUGUUCUGAUACAAGGUCUUCUUAUCACGUUCCUCGGUGUAGAAUGUGUAUCCAUUUAUGUCAUAUGCCUGGUACGUCAACACUGUAGGUGAUGGCUUUUGUGCCAACCACGUAGCAAUGUCAUCGAUGGGUUCUUGUGCCAAAUGAUUCUUCAGCCAUCCGGCGUACUUCUUAGUGUGCUCCUUCAUCUCCACUUCUGAUGAAGGCACCAUUGGUAAGAAGCUUUGGCGUAUCUCCACCAAGUGUUCUUCGGCAUAAGCAAUGAGAACUGGGCUAUUAAGCAGUACCAUCAAAUGGGCUUUCUCUGCCAAUUCUCCGGGUGCAGCCAUUUGUGUGCCAGUAAGGACCGACUUACCUUUCAGCCUUCCCUCGUGGCGUGAGAGGGGCAAACCUAUAGGUCUUUGUUUCAUGUAUUCGGUGCAAAACUCAACCACCUCCUCCGCGGUAUAUAUAACCUUGUAGGCUGCUUGCCUGUGGAUGGUUUCGGUUCCGACAAAAGCGCUUCAGUAUUCCCAUGAACCGCUCGAAGGGAUACAUGUUGGGAAGAAACACAGGACCACAAUACUUUAUCUCGUCGACAAGGUGCACAGUGAGAUGGACCAUGACAUCAAAGAAUGACGGUGGGAAAAACAUCUCUAUGUUGGACAAUAUUCUUGCAAUAUCAUCUUGCAUAUUAUCCAACUCUUCAGGAUCUACAACUUUCUGCCAUAGUUUGUUGAAGAAAUCACAGAGGUCAAUGAGUGUGUCCCUUAUAUAUUUGUCCAUCAGAUUCCUGAUGGCCACCUGGAGGAUUUGUGUCAACAUUACGUGACAAUCAUGUGACUUCAUGUGUCCCAACUUCAUUUUAUCUGAGCUCACAUCCAUGAGACUUCUGAUGUUUGCGCAGUAGGAAGAGGGUGUCUUAACUGACAACAAAUAGGUGAAGAACUGUGUUGCUUCUUUUUUACUGAAAUUGUAACUCUGGCAAGCUUUGAUGAAUUUGUCAUCACCUUCUGCUUAACUCUUGCGUUGUGAUUAAUCAACAAGCAUAUCGAGCUGUGAACGGUCACCAUGCUUUCUUUUACGUUUAAUCUUGAGCAGAGUACCAGGGAUGCUUUCACACGCGUUCUUCUCUACGUGCAUGACAUCGAUGCAGUGACGUACACGUAGAAUCUCCCAGUAAGGUAAUUUCCAGAACACCGAUUUCUUCUUAAACACUUGAUCCUUCGGUGUUAGUUUCACCGUCAAAGGGUGGUUCUUGCCAAGCACAACAUUUUUAGCCAUGUUGUGGACCACCUCCCCGUCAUAGGGUAUUGGGGCCACAACUACCUCUCCCGUACCAUCAAAUUCAUCUUUCAUCUUUCGUUAUGGGUGUUUCAUCCGCAAGAACGUAUGAUGACACAAAUACACUAUUUUGCGUGAGUUGGGAAGUCUUCUGCUAGCUGUCCUAUCCAUGCAUGUGACAGACCCUACAUUUCCCCUCGUUUUCUGCCCCGAUGUGUUGCCUAAUGAUGGCAUAUCUUGAAUGGUGUGCACCAACAUCGCCUGUAGAUCAAAAAUCUCCUUUCUAUAAGCAUCAUAACAUUUUACAACAGGCGCACCUAUCCACAUUGUCAGCAGUUCUUCUACCAGUAGCUGAAAGUAAAUGUCGAUGUCAUUUCCAGGUUGCUUCGGGCCUUGGAUAAUCAUUGACAUCAUAACGUAUUUUUUCUUCAUACACAACCAGGGAGCUAGGUUAUAUAUGCACAGAAGCACCGGCCAUUCGUUGUGAUUGGUGUUCAUAUCGCCAAAAGGAUUCAUCCCGUCAGUACACUCCCCGAGCCUUAUACUUCUAGGAUCCGUGGCAAAUUUUUCAAACUUGUUGUCAAUUAAUUCCCACUGAGCCCUAUCUUUUGGGUGCCUCAUAAACCUAUCCGCAAUUCGCUCAUCACGAUGCCACCGCAACCUCUUUGCCUCUCUAGGGUUUGCAUACAAACGCCUAAACCUUGGAAUUAAAGGCAAGUACCAAACAACCUUGAACGAGAUUCCUGUCUUGAUCUCGUCGUCCAAUUUGUACUUCUCCUUUGCUCUCUUGCACUAGUAUCAUCCAUGCCUGCAUGUGGGACAUCCACGAAAAUCUUUGUACUCACCAGGGUACAAUAUACAAUCAUUCACACAAGCAUGUAUCUUCUGUACUUCAAGUUCCAAUGGGAAACAAUUUUCUUCGCUUCAUUCGUGCUUCUGGGGAGCACAUUAUCUUCCAGAAGAAUAUCUUUGAAAAUACCUAUGAUCUCUGUGAAACCCUUGUUUAUAGACCGUUUGCUGCUUUAAAUCAGAGAAGCGCCAGGGUGGCACUCAACCUGGAAUAUUUCGUUUUGCAACCUGGAUACAAUUCUUUCUUGAAGUUCACAUCAAUGGUUGGCAGAUCCUUGUACCCAAUCAUAUCCUUUUCUGGGCCCUUGAAAUCUGCUAUUAUAGCAGCAAAAUCUGGCAUAUCAAGAUCAUAUUCAUCUGCGUGGAAGUCUUGGUUUUCCAGUGGGCGUUUCGGCUUUCCGGUGUUUGAUACGUCUCCAACGUAUCUAUAAUUUUUGAUUGUUCCAUGCUAUUAUAUUACCCGUUUUGGAUGUUUAUGGGCUUUACUUUACACUUUAUAUCAUUUUUGGGACUAACCUACUAACCGGAGGCCCAACCCGUAUUGCUGUUUUUUUUGCCUAUUUCAGUGUUUCGAAGAAAAGGAAUAUCAAACGGACUCCAAACGGAAUGAAACCUUCGGGAGCAUGAUUUUUGGAACGAACGUGAUCCAGAGGACUUGGAGUGGAAGUCAAGAAAUAAACAAGGCGGCCACGAGGGUGGAGGGUGCGCCCCCCUACUGGGCGCGCCCCCUAUCUUGUGGGCCCCUCGGGCGUCCAUCGACCUACUUCUUCCUCCUAUAUAUACCCAUGUACCCCGAAAACAUCAUAAGCGACCACAAAAAACUAUUUCCACCGCCGUAACCUUCUGUAUCCGCGAGAUCCCAUCUUGGAGUCUUCGCCGACGCUCCACCGGAGGGGGAAUCGACCACGGAGGUCUUCUACAUCAACACCAUAGCCUCUCCGAUGAGUUGUGAGUAGUUUACCAUAGACCUUCGGGUCCAUAGUUAUUAGCUAGAUGGCUUAUUCUCUCUCUUUGAAUCUCAAUACCAUGUUCUCCUCGAUCUUCUUGGAGAUCUAUUUGAUGUAACUCUUUUUGCGGUGUGUUUGUUGAGAUCCGAUGAAUUGUGGGUUUAUGAUGAAGUUUAUCUAUGAUAAAUAUCUGAAUCUCCUCUGAAUUCUUUUAUGUGUGAUUAAGUUAUCUUUGCAAGUCUCUUCGAAUUAUCAGUUUGCUUUGGCCUACUAGAUUGAUCUUUCUUGCAAUGGGAGAAGUGCUUAGCUUUGGGUUCAAUCUUGCGAUGUCCUUUCCCAUUGACAGCAGGGGCAGAAGGCAUGUAUUGUAUUGUUGCCAUCGAGGAUAAAAAGAUGGGGUUUAUAUCAUAUUGCAUGAGUUUAUCCCUCUACAUCAUGUCAUCUUUCUUAAUGUGUUACUCUGUUCUUUAUGAACUUAGUACUUUAGAUGCAUGCUGGAUAGCGGUCGGUGUGUGCAAUAAUGGUAGUAGAUACAGGCAGGAGUCGGUCUAAUUGUCACGGACGUGAUACCUAUAUACAUGAUCAUGCCUAGAUAAUCUCAUAAGUAUUCGCUUUUCUAUCAAUUGCUCGACAGUAAUUUGUUCACCCACCGUAAUACUUAUGCUCUCUUGAGAGAAGCCACUAGUGAAACCUAUGGCCCCCUGGACUAUCUCUUAUCAUAUAAGCUUUCAAUCUACUUUUAUUUGCAUCUUAACUUUUCCAAUCUAUAUUAUAAAAUACCAAAAAUAUAUUUAUCUUGUCAUAUUAUCUCUAUCAGAUCUCACUUUCGCAAGUGGCCGUGAAGGUAUUGACAACCCCAUUAUUGCGUUGGUUGUGAGUUCUUGUUUGUUUGUGUAGGUGCGUGGGACUUUUGAGGAGCCUCCUACUGGAUUGAUACCUUGGUUCUCAAAAACUGAGGGAAAUACUUACGCUACUAUUGCUGCAUCACCCUUUCCUCUUCAAGGAAAACCAACACAAGCUCAAGACGUAGCAAGAAGGAUUUCUGGCGCCGUUGCCGGGGAGGUCUUCACUCUAGUCAAGACAUACCAAGUACCCAUCACAAACUCAUCUGCCUCGCACUUUCAUUAUUUGCCAUUUGCCUCUCGUUUUCCUCUCCCCCACUUCACCCUUGCCGUUUUAUUUGCCUUCUCUUUCCCAACCUCCUCUCUCUUUCGCUUGCCUUUUUGUUUGCUUGUGUGUUGGAUUACUUGUUGCGAUGGCGCAAGAUAAUACCAAAUUGUGUGAUUUUUCCAAUACCAAUAAUAAUGAUUUCCUUAGUACUCCGAUUUCUCCUCUUAAUGAUGUUGAGUCUUGUGAAAUCAAUGCUGCUUUGCUGAAUCUUGUUAUGAAAGAUCAAUUCUCCGGCCUUCCUAGUGAAGAUGCCACUACCCAUCUAAACAACUUUGUUGAUUUGUGUGACAUGCAAAAGAAGAAACAUACGGAUAAUGAUAUUGUCAAAUUGAAGUUUUUUCCGUUUUCACUUAGAGAUCGUGCUAAAGUUUGGUUUUCGUCUUUGCCUAAGAAUAGUAUUGAUUCAUGGAAUAAGUGCAAAGAUGCUUUUAUCUCUAAGUAUUUUCCUCCAGCUAAGAUCAUCUCUCUUAGGAACGAUAUUAUGAAUUUUAAACAACUUGAUCAUGAGCAUGUUGCCCAAUAUUGGGAAAGAAUGAAAUUGAUGAUUCGCAAUUGCCCUACUCAUGGUUUGAAUUUAUGGAUGAUCAUACAAAAUUUCUAUGCCGGGUUGAAUUUUGCUUCUAGAAAUCUUUUAGAUUCGGCCGCGGGAGGCACGUUUAUGGAAAUCACCUUAGGAGAAGCUACAAAACUCCUUUAUAAUAUUAUGGCUAAUUAUUCUUAAUGGCACACCAAAAGAUCUACUAGUAAGAAAGUGCAUGCUAUAGAAGAAAUUAAUGUUUUGAGUGGAAAGAUGGAUGAACUUAUGAAAUUUUUUGCUACUAAGAGUGCUUCUGUUGAUCCCAAUGAUAUGCCUUUGUCUACUUUGAUUGAGAAUAGUAAUGUAUCUAUGGAUGUGAAUUUUGUUGGUAGGAAUAAUUUUGGUAAGAAUGCCUAUAGAGGAAACUUUAAUCAUAGACCGUUCCCUAGUAAUUCCUCUAAUAAUUAUGUAAAUUCUUACAAAAAUUCUUAUGGUAAUUAUAAUAAGAUGCCCUCUAAUUUUGAGAAUAGUGUGAAAGAAUUUAUGAUCUCUCAAAAGAAUUUUAAUGCCAUGCUUGAAGAAAAAUUGCUUAAAGUUGAUGAUUUGGCUAGGAACAUUGAUACACUUUCGCUUGAUUUGAUUCUUUGAAACUUAGAGCUACUCCUCCUAAGCAUGAUAUCAUUGAGUCUCUCAAAGAUAUGAUAAUUCCAUUGAUGAGUGCAAAGAAAGAACCGCUAGAUUGAGUGCUAAGAAAGAUUGCUUUGUAAAGGCGUGUUCUUCUAGUUUCCAUGAAAAUAAUGAUGAAGAUCUUAAAGUUAUUGAUGUGUACCCUAUUAGAUCUUUGUUUUGCAAUAUGAAUCUUAAUAAUGAUGGGACUGGAGAUGAGUCAACUUUAGAUAAAAGGCGUCCCAAUGAUUCGGAGUUCUUAGAUUUUGAUGCUAAAUUUGGUAAAAGUGGGAUUGGAGAGGUCAAGACUUUAAAUAGCAUUGAACCCACUAUCUUGGAUUUCAAGGAAUUUAAUUAUAAUAAUUGUUCUUUAGAAGAUUGUAUUUCCUUGUUGCAAUCCGUUGUGAAUUCUCCACAUGCUUAUAGUCAAAAUAAAGCUUUUACGAAACAUAUUGUGAUGCCUUGAUGCAAUCUUUUGAGGAAAAACUUAAUUUGGAAGUUUCUAUACCUAGAAAACUUAACGAUGAGUGGGAAACUACUAUAAAGAUUAAAAUUAAAGAUCAUGAGUGUUAUGCUUUGUGUGACUUGGGUGCUAGUGUUUCCAUGAUUCUGAAAACUUUCUGUGAUAUUCUAGGUUUCCAUGACCUUGAUGAUUGCUCUUUAAAUUUGCACCUUGCGGAUUCCACCAUUAAAACGCCAAUGGGAAGGAUCAAUGAUGUUCUCAUUGUUGCAAAUAGGAAUUUGGUGCCCGUAGAUUUUAUCAUUCUUGAUAUAGAUUGCAAUCUUUCUUGUUCUAUUAUUCUUGGUAGACCUUUCCUUAGAACGAUUGGUGUGAUUAUUGAUAUGAAGGAAGGGAAUAUUAGAUUCCAAUUUCCAUUAAGGAAAGGCAUGGAGCACUUUCCAAGAAAUAAAGUCAAAUUACCUUAUGAAUCUAUCACGCGAGCUACUUAUGAAUUGAGUGCCAAAGAUGGCACUACUUAGAUCUUUCCUCGCUUUUAUGCCUAGCUAGGGGCAUUAAACGAUAGCGCUAGUUGGGAGGCAACCCAAUUUUAUUUGUGUUUUUUUUCUUCUGUUUAGUAAUAAAUUUUGCAUAUACCUUCUAUUUAGAUGUGUUUUUAUGUUUUAAUUAGUGUUUGUGCCAAGUAGAACCUAUAGGAUAACCUAUGGUGAUAGUUAAUUUGAUUCUGCUGAAAAACAGAAACUUUGCACGCACAAAAAUAAUUUUAGUAAUUCACAGAAACGUCCUUUUGCAUUGAUUCUUUUUGCUGUAGAUCAACAGACAAAUUGCCCAGGACUUCCUAUUUUGUUAGGAGUUUUAGAGUUAUAUAAGUAUUCUAGAGUUACAGAUUUCUACAGACUGAUCUGUUUUUUGAUAGAUUCUGUUUUUCGUGUGUUGUUUGCUUAUUUUGAUGCAUCUGUGGCUAGUAUGUAAGGGUAUGAACAAUAGAAAAGUUGAAAUACAUUAGGUUUAACACCAAUAUAAAUAAUGAAUGAGUUCAUUACAGUACCUUAUAUGGUGGUUUUGCUUUCUUGCACUAACGGAGCUUAUGAGAUUUCCUGUUGAAUUUUGUGUUGUGAAGUUUUCAAGCUUUGGGUAAAGAUUUGAUGGACUAUGGAAUACGGAGUGGAAAGAGCCUAAGCUUGUGGAUGCCCAAGGCACCCCAAGAUAUUAAAGAAUAGCCAAAAGCCUAAGCUUGGGGAUGCCCCGAAAGGCAUCCCCUCUUUCCUCUUCGUCUAUCGGUAACUUUACUUGGAGCUAUAUUUUUAUUCGCCACAUGAUAUGUGUUUUGCUUGGAGCGUCUUCUAUGAUAUUAGUCUUUGCUUUUUAGUUUACCACAAUCAUAAUUGCUGUACACACCUUUUUGGAGAAACCCACUUGAUUGGAAUUUAUUAGAAUACUCUAUGUGCUUCACUUAUAUCUUUUGAGCUAGAUAGUUUUUGCUCUAGUGCUUCACUUAUAUCUUUUAGAGCACGGCGGUGGCUUAAUUUUGUAAAAAUUGUUAAUCUCUCAUGAUUCACUUAUAUUAUUUUGAGAGUCUCUUAGAACAGCAUGAUAUUUUCUAUGGUUAUAAAAUUGGUCCUAGAAGGAUGAGCAUCCAAGUUGGGUAUAAUAAAAACUAUCAUAGGAAGUGAAUUGGAUGCUAUGAUCAAUUUGAUACUUGAUAAUUGUUUUGAGAUAUGGAGGUAGUGAUAUUAGAGUCAUGCUAGUUGGGUGAUUAUGAAUUUAAAUAAUGCUUGUGUUGAAGUUAGCAAGUCCCGUAGCAUGCACGUAUGGUGAAAGUUGUGUAACAAAUUUGAAACAUGAGGUGUUCUUGAUUGUGCAUCCUUAUGAGUGGCGGUCGGGGACAAGCGAUGGUCUUUUCCUACCAAUCUAUCCCCCUAGGAGCAUGCGCGUAGUGCUUGGUUUUUCAUGACUUGUAGGUUUUUGCAAUAAGUAUAUGAGUUUUUUAUGACUAAUGUUGAGUCAAUGGAUUAUACGCACUCUCACCCUUCCAUCAUUUCUAGCCUCUUCGCUACCGUGCAUUGCCCUUUCUCACCUUGAGAGUUGGUGCAAACUUCGCCGGUGCAUCCAAACCCCGUGAUAUGAUACGCUCUAUCACACAUAAACCUCCUUAUAUCUUUCUCAAAACAGCCACCAUACCUACCUAUUAUGGCAUUUCCAUAGCCAUUCUAAGAUAUAUUGCCAUGCAACUUUCCACCGUUCCGUUCAUCAUCAUGACACGCAUCAUCAUUGUCAUAUUGCCUUGCAUGAUCAUGUAGUUGACAUCGUAUUUGUGGCAAAGCCACCAUGCAUAUUUUUCAUACAUGUCACUCUUGAUUCAUUGCCCAUCCCGGUACAUCGCCGGAGGCAUUCAUAUAGAGUCAUAUAUUGUUAUAGUUUUGGGUUGUAAUUCAUGAAUUGUAAAUAAAUAGAAAUGUGAUGAUCAUCAUUAUUAGAGCAUUGUCCCCAAAUAAAAAAAUGAAAGGCCAAAAAAAAGAAAGGCAAAAAAAGGCCAAAUAAAAAAAGGAAGGCCCCAAAAAAAUAAAAAAGGGGGCAAUGUUACUAUCUUUUUUGCCACACUUGUGCUUCAAAGUAGCACCAUGUUCUUCAUAUAGAGAGUCUCAUAUGUUAUCACUUUCAUAUACUAGUGGGAAUUUUUCAAUAUAGAACUUGGCUUGUAUAUUCCUACGAUGGGCUUCCUCAAAAUGCCCUAGGUCUUCGUGAGCAAGCAAGUUGGAUGCACACCCAUUAGUUUCUUUUGUUGAGCUUUCAUACAUUUAUAGCUCUAGUGCAUCCGUUGCAUGGCAAUCCCUACUCCUCAUGUUGACAUCAAUUGACGGGCAUCUCCAUAGCCCGUUGAUUAUCCUUGUCAAUGUGAGACUCUCUCCUUUUUUGUCUUCUCCACACAAUCCCGAUCAUCAUAUUGUAUUCCAACCAUAGUGCUAUAUCCAUGGCUCACCCUCAUGUAUUGCGUGAAAGUUGAAAAAGUUUGAGAUUAUUUAAGUACGAAACAAUUGAUUGUCUUGUCAUCAGGGGUUUACAAGAUGGGAGCAUUUUUGUGUGACGAAAAUGAAGCAUGGCCUAACUAUAUGAUUUUGCAGGGAUGAACUUUCUUUAACUAUGUUAUUUUGAGAAGACAUGAUUGCUUUGAUUAGUAUGCUUGAAGUAUUACUAGUUUUUAUGUCAAUAUGAACUUUUAUUUUGAAUCAUUUGGAUAUGAACAUUCAUGCCACAAUAAAUAAAAUUACAUUGAGAAUUAUAAUAGGUAGCAUUCCACAUCAAAAAUUCUGUUUUUAUCAUUUACCUACUCGAGGAAGAGCGGGAAUUAAGCUUGGGGAUGCUUGAUACGUCUCCAACGUAUCUAUAAUUUUUUAUUGUUCCAUGCUAUUAUAUUACUCGUUUUGGAUGUUUAUGGGCUUUACUUUACACUUUUAUAUCAUUUUUUGGACUAACCUACUAACCAGAGGCCCAACCCGUAUUGCUGUUUUUUUGCCUAUUUCAGUGUUUCGAAGAAAAGGAAUAUCAAACGGAGUCCGAACGGAAUGAAACCUUUGGGAGCGUGAUUUUUGGAACGAACGUGAUCCAGAGGACUUGGAAUGGAAUUCAAGAAAUAAAUGAGGCGGCCACGAGGGUGGAGGGCGCCCCCCUACUGGGUGCGCCCUCCUGUCUCGUGGGCCCCUUGGGCGUCCACCGACCUAUUUCUUCCUCCUAUAUAUACCCAUGUACCACGAAAACAUCAGAAGCGACCACGAAAAACUCUUUCCACUGUCGUAACCUUCUGUAUCCGCGAGAUCCCAUCUUGGAGCCUUCGCCGGUGCUUCGCCGGAGGGGGAAUCGACCAUAGAGGGCUUCUGCAUCAACACCAUAGCCUCUCCGAUGAGUUGUGAGUAGUUUACCAUAGACCUUCAGGUCGAUAUUUAUUAGCUAGAUGGCUUCUUCUCUCUCUUUGAAUCUCAAUACCAUGUUCUCCUCGAUCUUCUUGGAGAUUUAUUCGAUGUAACUCUUUUUGCGGUGUGUUUAUCGAGAUCCUAUGAAUUGUGGGUUUAUGAUCAAGUUUAUCUAUGAGAAAUAUUUGAAUCUCCUCUGAAUUCUUUUAUGUGUGAUUAAGUUAUCUUUGCAAGUCUCUUCGAAUUAUCAGUUUGGUUUGGCCUACUAGAUUGAUCUUUCUUGCAAUGGGAGAAGUGCUUAGCUUUGGGUUCAAUCUUGCGGUGUCCUUUCCCAGUGACAACAGGAGCAGCAAGGCACGUAUUGUAUUGUUUCCAUCAAGGAUAAAAAUAUGGGGUUUAUAUCAUAUUGCAUGAGUUUAUCCCUCUACAUCAUGUCAUCUUUCUUAAUUCGUUACUCUGUUCUUUAUGAACUUAAUACUCUAGAUGCAUGCUGGAUAGCAGUCAAUGUGUGGAGUAGUAGUAGUAGAUGCAGGCAGGAGUCGGUCUACUUGUCACGGACGUGAUGCCUAUAUACAUGAUCAUGCCUAGAUAAUCUCAUAAUUAUUUGCUUUUCUAUCAAUUGCUCGAUAGUAAUUUGUUCACCCGCCGUAAUACUUAUGCUAUCUUGAGAGAAGCCACUAGUGAAACCUAUGGCCCCCGGGUCUAUCUCUUAUCAUAUAAGCUUUCUAUCUACUUUUAUUUGCAUCUUUGCUUUUCCAAUCUAUAUUAUAAAAUACCAAAAAUAUGUUUAUCUUAUCAUAUUAUCUCUAUCAGAUCUCACUUUUGCAAGUGGCCAUGAAGGGAUUAACAACCCCUUUAUUGUGUUGGUUGCGAGUUCUUGUUUGUUUGUGUAGGUGCACGGGACUUUUGAGGAGCCUCCUACUGGAUUGAUACCUUGGUUCUCAAAAACUGAGGGAAAUACUUACGCUACUAUUGCUGCAUCACCCUUUCCUCUUCAAGGAAAACCAAUGCAAGCUCAAGACGUAGCAGUGUUCCAUUGGUAGCUUGAAGCCUCUGCCCUGAUGCUAGAUUCAACAUCCAUGUAACACUGAUCGGGGUUUGGCAUCUCGCUGCCCUGGGUAUCUUCAUCCAUGACCUCCUCUUCACCAUGUCUAGUCCAACGUGUAUAUCCAUCCUGAAUCCCCUAGAGAAUAAGUGCAUCUGGACAUCUGCAACUUCAUGUGACUCUGUAUUGGCACAAUCAGUACAUGGACACAGGAUGUAAUCCGCAUCACCAAUUCUCCUCUUUGUACUUUCAGCCAAAUUCAUGAACUCUGUCACACCACUGAUAAAAUCUGCAGUUUUCCGAUUCUUCAUCCAUCGAGAUCGUUCCAUCUAAAGCAGAGGAAUGGUAAUUAAAAACAAAACAACAACAUUAAUACACGGAUUAACUGCUGCCCAAAGAUGCGUGCAUAAAUCACAAGGUUUUAUUUUAAUAAUUACUGAGGGCGCUCCAUGUUGUUAUCCAAACAUGCAAUGACAAAAAUUAAUGGCCAGUCAAUAUACACGCAGAGUACUAGUACAACAAUACAAUUAGGAAUUGAAUACCUUAAUUAAACCACUCAUGAAAAGAAUACCUUAAUUAAUUAGCCGCGCUGCGACCUCCACCCAGCAGACAGACAAGCGCGAUGCGGCGGCAUGCGGAGACAGCAGGGUCGAGGAGCAAAGCUUAGUGAGGCUACCGCCUGAAGUUCGACCUCCACUAUCCCGCCAUCGACCACAAUGGAUGUGCUCUAAUCAUGCCACCGCCGACCUCGAUGGUUGAGCUCCUCCUAUCUCCCACCGCAGACCGAGGAUUGACCUCCUAUGACGCCGCCACCGCCCACCGACCGAGGAUUGACCUCUUCUCCAGUAGCCCCUGCCUAGGCUGCCACCGCCAUCUCUAUAUGCAGAGCGGCUAUUUUUUUUAUGGAUAUCCGCAGAGCGGCUGUUUACAUGGUAUCUCACCGCAACUCUAUUAUAUGGAUAGGGUAGUACAUCACAUACGGCUAUGUAACGACAACCGGUGUCUAACCUACGUUGUCUUCUCACACGGUUUGGUGCAGAAAUCGUGUGUGAUGUUGUAAUACCCAACACAAACGACAUGUACAAACAGUGUGCCGUAUACAACAUAUAUAUAGUGUCAUUAGUAGUUCUGGCCAUUAGCUUAUCUCCACAGUUUCCCCAUUUCCCCCAAAUCCCUACAUAGCCUCCAAAUUCCCUCGCUUCGCGCGGACAUUGGGGGUAUGCAGACGAGUGCUGCUGAUGGUUUCGGUGUGGCUACUCCUGCUCAUAUCGCCGUCGAGAACUUGCCUAAGGUCAUCAGAAGGCAGGUGUACUAUGGAUCCGAAUCGUCCUAUCAGGUUCCAAUCGAUCCCAAUCUUUUUUAGCAUGUACAAAGUAUAGAUCCUUGCUGAAUCCGUCCUGAAUGACCCCCCCCCCCCCAGGAAAGCGAUCUGCCGCCGGAUCCGGAGCUUUAUUCCAGACUCCCACAACACGAGUUCGACUCUGAGUUUUGCGCCACUGAGAAGUACCAAAAGCUAAGUUGUGUGCACGGGCACACUCCCGCUCGAGGUGUAUGCACAGAGGGAUUCGACAUUGGCAGGCGGUUUCUCAGUUGCCCCUUAGAGGUUAGUGCUAAUUAUGUUCAUCAUUUACUUCAGUUAAUGCCACCACUCAUCCAGAAUACUAUUUAAGAUUGGCAGGGAUAUGAGGCGUGUGCCUUUGUUAACUAGCUGAAUGAAAAAUGGCAUGGCAGGGCUCGGAGUGUUGUCACCAAGCUCGCAUAAGAUAACGUGAAGCUGAAGAAGAAACUGGCUAAUCUGGAAUGUACAAUCAGUACGAUGAAGCAAGAAAGAAUCAAUCACAAGCAAUAGAUGAAAGCAAGAGACAAGAAGGAACUAGCAUGUGUAGUUGUGGUUGUCGCAUUAGCCAUGUUCUAUGUGCUGUUUGCAAUGAUAAUUAGGUUUUUUUGACAGUAUUGCUAAAGCACAUCUAGAUGUGCUCUAAGUAAUGCACAUCUAGGUCCUAUGCACAUGAUGUUACGCGAAGAUUCGUGCAGAUACUUUUCUUUGUCUUUUUUCUUUUCCUUUCUAGUUUUAUCCUUAAUGGCUUUAUCAAUAAGAAGAGCUCAAUGUAUUUCUGGCCAACUGUCCUACUCUGUUUGUACCAGUACCAGUUGCUACGUCUCGAGCUUGCGUUGGUUUUCCUCGAAGAGGAAAGGGUGAUGCAGCAAAGUAGCGUAAGUAUUUCCCUUAAUUUUUGAGAACCAAGGUAUCAAUCCAAUAGGAGGCUCCUCAAAAGUCCCACACACCUACACAAACAAACAAGAACCUCGCAACCAACGCAAUAAAGGGGUUGUCAAUCCCUUCACGACCACUUGCGAAAGUGAGAUUUGAUAGAGAUAAUAUGAUAAGAUAAAUAUUUUGGGUAUUUUUAUGAUAUAGAUUCGAAAAGUAAAGAUGCAAAUAAAAGUAGAUUGAAAGCUUAUAUGAUAAAAGAUAGACCCGGGGGCCAUAGGAUUCACUACUGGCUUCUCUCAAGAUAGCAUAAGUAUUACGGUGGGUGAACAAAUUGCUGCCGAGCAAUUGAUAGAAAAGUGAAUAAUUAUGAGAUUAUCUAGGCAUGAUCAUGUAUAUAGGCAUCACGUCCGUGACAAGUAGACCGACUCCUGCCUGCAUCUACUACUAUUACUCCACACAUCGACCGCUAUCCAGCAUGCAUCUAGAGUAUUAAGUUCAUAAAGAACAGAGUAACGCAUUAAUAAAGAUGACAUGAUGUAGAGGGAUAAACUCAUGCAAUAUGAUAUAAACCCCAUCUUUUUAUCCUCGAUGACAACAAUACAAUACGAGCCUUGCUGCCCCUGCUGUCACUGGGAAAGGACACCGCAAGAUUGAACCCAAAGCUAAGCACUUCUCCCAUUGCAAGAAAGAUCAAUCUAGUGGGCCAAACCAAACUGAUAAUUCGAAGAGACUUGCAAAGAUAACUUAAUCACACACAAAAGAAUUCAGAGGAGAUUCAAAUAUUUCUCAUAGAUAAACUUGAUCAUAAACCCACAAUUAAUCGGAUCUCGACAAACACACCGCGAAAAGAGUUACAUCGAAUAGAUCUCCAAGAAGAUUGAGGAGCACUUUGUAUUGAGAUUCAAAGAGAGAAGAAUCCAUCUAGCUAAUAACUAUGGACCCUGUCGGAUAUCGGGUUCUGGCAAAACCCUUAAGGUUCGAACUCUGGGUUGCGCGCAAAGAUCAUCUCCCUACCGAUUCACGCCCCAAAACCUCGCCGCGAAUCUAAUCUAGCACGAUGAACAAGGCAAGGGACAUGAGAUUUAUAUAGGUUCGAGCCACCGUUGUGGUGCAAUACCCUACUCCUGUGUGUGGUGUAGUGGAUUGCCUCUGGGCUGAUGAUGAACAGUACAAAGGAAGAACAGCCUCGCGAGGAGUGUUCUUGUGGUGUUGUGAAAUUCUACUUGUCCAGGAUUCGAUCCCCUCCUACUGUGGUGGCUAUCUCUAUUUAUAGAGGCCCUGGUCCUCUUCCCAAGUAUUGAGCGGGAAGGGAGCCAACAACGGCCAUUUUGAAAGGGGACAGCUAGUACAGGCUAUCCUGACUAAAGGUGGUCUUUGACUGCCAAAGGCACUGGCGAUGACGCCGUCUUGGGCUCCAUGGUGACCUCUGUCCUGCCGCUCUGCUGGUCUUGGUCUCAUUGCACCAAUAUGGAAACAUUUGCCUGAUGCCUCGGUACUCCGCGCCUGCGCUUGCCCCCCUUUGCACCAAAGAGGAAACGAGGACACUGCGUAGGCUGGCGCCAGCCUGGUCUUGAUCGUCAUGGCUUGCGUCAUGAGCACCUCGCAAGGUACCCCUUGCCUUGAUCUCUCCGCCUCCUCGUGAGCCUGCCUGGUGAGGCCGUCCCUGGGGAAGCCUUGUGCCAUCUGCCCCAUGAGGCUUGGCCCCUCACGAUGGUCUUGAACUUGGGUUGAUGAAGAUGGACUGUACUGGGCCACCGCUGAGCCACGCCGCAGGCCGCAAGCAGGCAAGUCUGGGGACCCCUAUUCCCAGAACGCCGACAAUAGCCCCCGGGCCCAAUGCGUGCUCGUACUUGGCUUAGCAGUGAAGCCAAAGGGCAAGUGCGGAGCGCCGCAGGCCCCAAUAGCCUGUGGCCUUGGUCGCCGCGUGGCGGUUGAUUGGACGUGGGCGUCUCCAUUUCCCCGCGCUCCCUCGGCAACUACCUGACUUGACGAGUCCCUGUUGCAUGCAAAAGGAGUCAUCAUUACCUGCGAUCAUGGAGGCCGACGGUUGGCCUCCAAUAGACUAUAAGUACGGGGGGGGGUGAAAACCCCCAUAGCACAUCUCCCCUCGCCCUACCUGCUUCUUCUCCUUCCUCGCUCUGAUUGCUUGCAGCAUCCCCUGGCGCCCGUGAAAAGGUUCUCGGCCGCGAAAAAAGGGAAGGCUCGCGAGGAAGGGCCUGGCUCCCCUCCGCCCAAGCGUGGUCGUGGUCGUCCCCGCAAGCAUCCCGCGACUCCCUGAGCGUCUCCACCGUGGUCGCGGUGGUGGCUCUUCGCGCGGUGGUGGCCGCCCAUAUUGGGGCAACCAAGUUGGUGAAGGAAGGCGCGCCAUGGCUGCGCGGCCUCCCCGGCCGCGCUUCCAUUCGGCAGAGGUGCUACCGAAGUUUUUUGUGUGGUCGAACAACCCGGCCGGCAAGUGGCUCCAGCUCCCUCGCUUCUUCGCCGGUGAACUGCCGGCUGCUGGCCCUGGCGGGCUCUGGCUGCAGGCGGAUGGCUGCUGCAGCAGGGCCUCCUGGGUCGCGGUGGAGAUCUCCAUCGCCGGGAACGUGGCCCUGGCCCGCGGCUGGCAGACGUUUGCCCGCACGCGUGGCCUGGGUCGGCGGUGCACCCUCCACUUCAAGUUCAAUGGCGACGCGACCCUCUACGUGAGGGUGUUCGGAGAAGAUGGCCGCCAUGUUGGGUGCUGCCCUGAAGACGAUGACGGCGACAAGGUACUUGGCCUUGGCGACGGUCGCGACGAGGGCAAAGGCGAACCCGCUCCCGGCAGCGUUCGCGGCUCGCCGAGCUUUUGCGGCUCCUCCUCCGGUGACAGCUCCUCCAGCAGUGGCCGUGAUCAGCCACCACGUCGGUCGCGCCCGCUUCGAGGGUGGUAGCGGGUUGUCCCGCCGCCACGCCCCGGUGAAGCGCGAGGCGGAGUCUGAUUGAGCUCGGGAGGUGAUGUGGAUCCCUCCUCGCGAGCUGUCGCAAGGCGCGUGCCAUUUUAUUUUGUUUUUUCUCCUUUUCCUGCAUUGAGAGAGAGAAGUAUGGAGCCCCGUGGGGGCGUGCAACAUACUAUGAUCCCUAAUUAUCGUGCUAUAUUUAUCGUCCCUCUGUUGUGUUAUGGUGUUGCGGUUUUGUGCAUGCGCGUAGGAACAACUUAGCUCGGGAUGUUUGCAGUGGUUUUUGCCUCGCGUGGUACCCGCUUGAGGCCUCGCCGGGCGCCUUAAGAUCUGCAAAGAUCAGUUGGGAGAAUAGUUUCUGAACCUCGGUCGCGAGGAUUGUAGCUUAGACCCAGCGGUUUGUGUCGCUAUGCCCGUGGGGCACGGACCGAGAGGGGUGCUCCCACUGUGAACUUGAACGAGGGAGCCUCGCGAAAACCAGGCGAGAAAGGGCUCACGAGGGCGCUCGCGUAGCCCCCUCGCGAGGCUUGCGAGAGAGAAAGAGAGAGAGAGCUAGGCAAAAGCCAAUAACAGAGAACAGGGGCAGAGGACAGCAAACAACACUAGAAGAAACUUCAAUAAGGGUUCAAACAAGGGAGAACAAGCCAACUGCGGAAAGCAAAUGAAAAGUCGCGUCUGGCACCUAGUCUAGUCUUCGACAUCUUCUCACCAACACGGAGCUAAUUGCUGCCACUGGGCAUGGGCGGGAGCCCCCGAGGCCCAAGGGCGGCACUCCGGAGACUCCGGGGCGUGUACAACCCCAACUCAUUAUUACGUGAGAGUGUCACGGGCGGCGAGCUUCAUAGGCACUGUGCCUUCUUCACAGGCACCGGGCCUUUCUUGGGGCGGCGAGCUUCACAGGCACCGGGCCUUCUUUACGGGCACUAGGCCUUUCUUGGCAGGCAUUGGGCCUUUAUUCAAGGGUAGAACUUCCGGAGGUGCUGAAUGUUCCACGUUCGGGAUGGGCACCCCCUCCCGAGUCUCCGGGCGCGCGGCACCAGGCCUGGAAACAUGAACAACCUUGAACGGGCCCUCCCACAUGGACAAGAGCUUGUGCAGCCCUUCCCUGGAGAGCACCGUCUGAGCACGAGGUCACCUACCUCAAGAGUCAUGGGGCGGAUGUUGUUGCAAUGAUACCGCCGCAGCGCCUGCUGGUAUCUUGCUGCUCGUAGUGCGGCUUCUCGAUGGUGCUCCUCCCCCAGCACGAGGUCCAUCCCCGGCAUGGCCUCCUGUUGUGCUUCGUCAAACGCUAGGACCCAUGUAGAGCGACGCUUGACCUCGUGAGGGAGGAGCACCUCUUCUCCGUAGACGAGGAAGAACGGGGUCUCGCCAGUCGAAUUGGUGAAGGUAGUGCGGAUGGACUACAGCACAGACUGGAGCUCAUCGUACCAGCCCCUGCCGCAGGCCUCCAGCUUCUUCUUGAAGGUCCUGGUCUUGAGGCCUUUCAGGACCUCUGCGUUGGCGCGUUUGGCCUGGCCGUUACGCCAGGGGUGUGUGCUACCUCUUGAGCACUGCGUUGGAUUUCCCCGAAGAGGAGAGGAUGAUGCAGUAAAGUAGCGUAAGUAUUUCCCUUAGUUUUUGAGAACCAAGGUAUCAAUCAAGUAGGAGACCAUGCACAAGUCCCUCGUACCUACACAAAACGAUAGCAACUCGCAACCAACGCUUAGGGUUUGUCAAUCCCUUCACGGUCACUUACGAGAGUGAUAUCUGAUAGACAUAAUAUUUUUGGUAUUUUUGAUAGAUAGAUGCAAAGUAAAAAGUAAAAGCAAAGUAAAAAACAAAGCAAGUAAAUAAAGUGAUAUAGAUUGAUAUGAUGAGAAUAGACCCGGGGGCCAUAGGUUUCACUAGUGGCUUCUCUCAAGAGCAUAAGUAUUCUACGGUGGGUGAACAAAUUACUGUUGAGCAAUUGACAGAAUUGAGCAUAGUUAUGAGUAUAUCUAGGCAAUGAUCAUGUAUAUAGGCAUCACGUCCAAAACAAGUAGAUCGAAACGAUUCUGCAUCUACUACUAUUACUCCACUCAUCGACCGCUAUCCAGCAUGCAUCUAGAGUAUUAAGUAAAAAUAGAGUAACGCCGUAAGCCAGAUGACAUGAUGUAGAGGGAUAAAUUCAUGCAAUAUGAUAAAAAAACCAUCUUGUUAUCCUCGAUGGCAACAAUACAAUACGUGCCUUGCAACUCUUUCUGUCACUGAGUAAUGACACCGCAAGAUUGAACCAAAGAUAAGCACUUCUCCCAUUGCAAGAACUACCAAUCUAGUUGGCCAAACCAAAAAGAUAAUUCGAAGAGACUUGCAAAGAUAACUCAAUCAUACAUAAAAGAAUUCAGAGAAGAAUCAAAUAUUUUCCAUAGAUAAUACUGGAUCAUAAACCCACAAUUCAUCGGUCUCAACAAACACGCCACAAAAAGAAGAUUACAUCAAAUAGAUCUCCACGAGAGAGGGGGAGAACUUUGUAUUGAGAUCCAAAAAGAGAGAAGAAGCCAUCUAGCUACUAGCUAUGGACCCGAAGGUCUGAAGUAAACUACUCACACUUCAUCGGAGGGGCUAUGGGGCUGAUGUAGAAGCCCUCCAUGGUGGAUGCCCCCUCCGGCGGAGCUCCGGAACAGGCCCCAAGAUGGGAUCUCGUGGAUACAGAAGGUUGCGGCGGUGGAAUUAGGUUUUUGGCUCCUGUUCUGAUCGUUCGGGGAUACGUAGGUAUAUAUAGGAGGAAGGAGUAUGUUGAUGGAGCUCUGAGGGGCCCACGAGGUAGGGGGGCGCACCGAGGGGGGCGCCCUCCACCCUCGUGACCUACUCGGAGGCUUCUUGGAGUAGGGUCCAAGUCUGUAGGAUCACGUUCGGUUGGGAAAUCAUGAUCCCGAAGGUUUCAUUCCGUUUGGACUCCGUUUGAUAUUCUAUUUCUUCGAAAUACUGAAAAAGGCAAAAAAACAGCAAUUUUGGGCUGGGCCUCCGGUUAAUAGGUUAGUCCCAAAAGUAAUAUAAAAGUGGAAAAUAAAGCCCAAUAUAGUCCAAAACAGUAGAUAAAGUAGCAUGGAGCAAUCAAAAAUUAUAGAUACAUUGGAGACGUAUCAGGCAUCCCCAAGCUUAAUUCCUGCUCGUCCUCGAGUAGGUAAAUGAUAAAAAAAGAAUUUUUGAUGCGAAGUGAUACUUUGGCAUAAUUUCAAUGUAAAUCUUCUUAACUGUGAUAUGAAUAUUCAGAUCCAAUAGAUUCAAGACAAAAGUUCAUAUUGACACAAAAAUAAUAAUACUUCAAGCAUACUAGUCAAAGCAAUCAUGUCUUCUCAAAAUAACAUGGCAAAAGAAAGUUAUCCCUACAAAUUCAUAUAGUCUGGCUAUGCUCCAUCUUCCCCACACAAAAUAUUUAAAUCAUGCACAACCCCGAUGACAAGCCAAGCAAUUGUUUCAUACUUAUGACAUUCUCAAAACUUUUUCAAUCUUCACGCAAUACAUGAGCGUGAGCCAUGGAUAUAGCACUAUAGGUGGAAUAGAAGGGUGGUUGUGGAGAAGACAAAAAGAGGGAAGAUAGUCUCACAUCAACUAGGCGUAUCAACGGGCUAUGGAGAUGCCCAUCAAUAGAUAUCAAUGUGAGUGAGUAGGGAUUGCCAUGCAACAGAUGCACUAGAGCUAUAAGUAUAUGAAAGCUCUAUAAAAGAAACUAAGUGGGUGUGCAUCAACUUGCUUGCUCACGAAGACCUAGGGCAUUUUGAGGAAGCCCAUCAUUGUAAUAUACAAGCCAAGUUCUAUAAUGAAAAAUUCCCACUAGUAUAUGAAAGUGACAAAAUGAGAGACUCUCUAUCAUGAAGAUCUUGGUGCUACUUUGAAGCACAAGUGUGGUAAAAGGAUAGUAGCAUUGUCCCUUCUCUCUUUUUCUCUCAUUUAAUUAUUAUUAUUAUUUUAUUUGGGCCUUUCUCUUCUCUUUUUUUUAUGGCCUCUUUUUUUUUAUAAAAGUUCGGAGUCUCAUCCCGACUUAUGGGGGAAUCAUAGUCUCCAUCAUCCUUUCUUCACUUGGGACAAUGCUCUCAUAAUGAUGAUCGUCACACUUUUAUUUUUCUUACAACCCAACAAUUACAACUCGAUACUUAGAACAAGGUAUGACUCUAUAUGAAUGCCUCCGGCAGUGUACCGGGAUAUGCAAUGAAUCAUCAGUGACAUGUACGAAAGAAUUAUGAACGGUGGCUUUGCCACAAAUACAAUGUCAACUACAUGAUCAUGCUAGCAAUAUGACAAUGAUGGAGCGUGUCUAAUAAACGGAACAGUGGAAAGUUGCAUGGCAAUAUAUCUCAGAAUGGCUAUGGAAAUGCCAUGAUAGGUAGGUAUGGUGGCUGUUUCUAGAAAGGUAUAUGAUGGGUGUAUGAUACCGACGAAAAGUGCGCGGUAUUAGAGAGGCUAGCAAAGGUGGAAGGAUGGGAAAAAGUGUGUAUAAUCCAUGGACUCAACAUUAGUCAUAAAGAACUCAUAUACUUAUUGCAAAAAUCUAGAAGUUAUCAAAGCAAAGUAUUACGCGCAUGCUCCUAGGGGGAAAGAUUGGUAGGAAAAGACCAUCGCUCGUCCCCGACCGCCACUCAUAAGGAAGACAAUCAAUAAAUAUAUCAUGCUCCGAGAUCAUCACAUAACGGUUCACCAUACGUGCAUGCUACGGGAAUCACAAACUUCAACACAAGUAUUUUUUGAAUUCAAAACUACUUUAACUAGCAUGACUCUAAUAUCACCAUCUUCUUAUCUCAAAACAAUUAUCAAGCAUCAAACUUAUAUUAGUAUUCAACGCACUCAAAAGAAAGUUUCACAUAUCUUGAACACCAAGUAUAUUAACAUUAAGCGAAUUACCAUGCUAUUAAAGACUCUCAAAAUAAUCUAAGUGAAGAAUGAGAGAUCAAAUAGUUUCUUUAAAACAAAUCCACCACCGUGCUCAAAAAGAUCUAAGUGAAGUACUAGAGCAAAAAUUAUUAUGCUCAAAAGAUAUAAGUGAAGCACUAUGAGCAAAACUAUCAAGCUCAAAAGAUAUAAGUGAAGUACAUAGAGUAUUCUAACAAAUUCCAAUUCAUGUAUGGCUCUAUCAAAAGAUGUGUACAGCAAGGAUGAUUGUGGUAGACUAACAAGCAAAGACACAAAUAAUACAAGACGCUCCAAGCAAAACACAUAUCAUGUUGGUGAAUAAAAAUAUAGCUCCAAGUAAAUGACCGAUGGAAGUGGACGAAAGAGGGGAUGCCUUCCGGGGCAUCACCAAGCUUUGACUUUUUGGUGUCCUUGGAUUAUAUUGGGGGUGCCAUGGGCAUCCCCAAGCUUAGGCUCUUGCCACUCCUUGUUCCAUUAUCCAUCAAAAGAAUUCAUCCAAAACUUGAAAACUUCACAACACAAAACUCAACAGAAAUCUCGUGAGCUCCGUUAGAGAAAGAAAACAAAAGACUACUUCAAGGUACUGUAAUGAACUCAUUCUUUAUUUAUAUUAGUUUUAAACCUACUGUAUUCCAACUUCGUUAUGGUUCAUAGACUGAAUUACUAGCCAUAGAUGCAUUGAAAUAAGCAAACAACACACGAAAAACAGAAUCUGUCAAAAACAGAACAGUCUGUAGCAAUCUGUAACUAACGCAAACUUCUGGAACUCUAAAACUUCUACCAAAAUAGGAAGUCCUGGAAAAUUUGUUUAUUGAUCAACAGCAAAACGAAUCCACGCAAAAGCACGUUCCUGAGAUUUAUCAUAACUAAAUUCGUGCGUGCAAAGUUUCUGUUUUUCAGCAGAAUCAAAUCAACUAUCAUCGUAGGUUAUCCUAUAGGUCCUACUUGGCACAAACACUAAUUAAAACAUAAAACCACAUCCAAACAGAAGGUAGAUGGAUUAUUUAUUCCUAAACAUAAGCAAAAACAAAAAACACAAAAUAAAAUUGGGUUGCCUCCCAACAAGCGCUAUCGUUUAACACCCUUAGCUAGGCAUAAAUGCAAGGAUAGAUCUAGGUAUUGCCAUCUUUGGUAGGCAAUCCAUAAGUGGCCCUCACGAUAGAUUCAUAUGGUAAUUUUAUUUUCUUUCUAGGGAAGUGUUCCAUACACUUCUUUAAGGGAAAUUGGAAUCUAAUAUUCCCUUCCUUCAUAUCAAUAAUUGCACCAAUCAUUCUAAGGAAAGGUCUACCAAGAAUAAUAGCACAUGAAGGAUUGCAAUCUAUAUUAAGAACGAUAAAAUCUACGGGCACAUAAUUCCUAUUUGCAACAAUAAGAACAUCAUUAAUUCUUACCAUAGGUUUUUUAAUAGUGGAAUCUGCAAGAUGCAAGUUUAGAGAGCAAUCAUCAAAAUCACGGAAAUCUAGCAAAUCACAUAAAGUUUUGGGGAUAGUAGAGACACUAGCACCCAAAUCACACAAAGCAUGAAACUCAAAAUAUUUAAUUUUAAUUUUAAUAGUAGGUUCCCACUCAUCAUAGAGUUUUCUAGGGGUAGAAACUUUCAACUCAAGUUUUUCUUCAUAAGAUUGCAUCAAGGCAUCAACAAUAUGUUCGGUAAAGGCCUUAUUUUGACUAUAAGCAUGAGGAGAAUCUAGCACAGAUUGCAACAAGGAAAUACAACAAAUCAAAGAGCAAUUUUCAUAAUUAAAUUCCUUGAGAUCCAAAAUAGUGGUUCAGCAACAUCACGGUUUUUAUUUAUUUCAAUCCCACUUUCAUCAAUUUCAUCAUCAAGAUCUAGAAACUCCGAAUUCUUAGAAUGCCUUCUAGGUAAAGGAAGAUAAUCUUCAGAUUCAUCAAGAUUCAUAUUGCAAAAUAAAGAUUUAAUGGGGGACACAUCAAUAACUUUUAGAUCUUCAUCUUGAUUUUCAUAGGGAUUGGAAGAACACGCUUUAAUAAAAGCAUCUUUGGAAGCACGCAUCCUAGCGGUUCUUUCCUUGCACUCAUCAAUGGAAAUUAUCAUGGCUUUGAGAGACUCAUUGAUAUCAUGCUUAAGAGGAAUAGAUCUAAGCUUUAAAGAAUCAAUUUCAAGAGAAAUUCUAUCAACGUUCCUAGCCAAAUCAUCAACUUUAAGCAAUUUCUCUUCAAGCAAAGCAUUAAAUUUUUUUUGUGAAUUCAUAAACUCUUUAACACUACUCUCAAAUUCAGAGGGCAUCUUAUUAAAAUUUCCAUAAGAGUUAUUGUAGGAAUUUACAUAAUUAUUAGAAGGAUUACUAGGAUAAGCCCUAGGAUUAAAAUUCUCUCUAUAGGCGUUGUUUCCAAAACUAUUCCUACCAACAAAAUUCACAUCAAUAGAUUCAUUAUUAUUCUCAAGCAAAGUAGAUAAAGGCAUAUCAUUGGGAUCAAGAGGAGUAUUUUUAGGAGCAAACAUCUUCAUAAGUUCAUCCAUCUUUUCACUCAAAACAUUGAUUUCUUCUAUAGCAUGCACUUUUUUACUAGAAGAUCUUUCGGUGUGCCAUUGAGAAUAAUUAGCCAUAAUAUUAUCAAGCAAUUUGGUUGCAUCCCCUAACGUAAUUUCCCUAAAAGUGCCUCCCGCGGCCGAAUCUAAAAGAUUUCUAGAAGCAAAAUUCAAUCCAGCAUAAAAAAUUUGUAUGAUCAUCCAUAAAUUCAAACCAUGAGUAGGGCAAUUGCGAAGCAUUAAUUUCAUUCUUUCCCAAGAUUGGGCAACAUGCUCAUGAUCAAGUUGUUUAAAAAUUCAUGAUAUCGUUCCUAAGAGUGAUAAUCUUAGCGGGAGGAAAAUACCUAGAGAUAAAAGCAUCUUUGCACUUGUUCCAAGAAUCAAUACUAUUUCUAGGCAAAGAUGAAAACCAAACUUUAGCACGAUCUCUAAGUGAAAACGGAAAUAACUUCAAUUUGACAAUAUUGUUAGCCGUAUCUUUCUUCUUUUGCAUAUCACACAAAUCAACAAAAUUGUUUAAAUGAGUAGCGGCAUCUUCACUAGGAAGGCCGGCGAAUUGAUCUUUCAUAACAAGAUUCAACAAAGCGGUAUUGAUUUCACAAGACUCAUAAUUAUUAAGAGGAGCAAUCGGAGUACUAAGGAAAUCAUUAUUAUUGGUAUUCGAGAAAUCACACAAUUUGGUAUUAUCUUGCGCCAUGGCAACAAGUAAUCCAACACACAAGCAAACAGAAAGGCAAAAGGGAAAAACGCAAACAGGAAAGAGAGGAGGAGAUUGGGAAAGAGAGGGCAAAUAAAACGGCACGGGUGAAGUGGGGGAGAGGAAAAUGAGAGGCAAAUGGCAAAUAAUGUAAUACGAGAGAUAGGGAUUGCGAUGGGUACUUGGUAUGGUUGACUUGCUUGCUUGAGCCUCCCCGGCAACGGCGCUAGAAAUUCUUCUUGCUACCUCUUGAGCACUGCGUUGGAUUUCCCCGAAGAGGAGAGGAUGAUGCAGUAAAGUAGCGUAAGUAUUUCCCUCAGUUUUUGAGAACCAAGGUAUCAAUCCAGUAGGAGACCACGCACAAGUCCCUCGUACCUACACAAAACAAUAGCAACUCACAACCAACGCUUAGGGGUUGUCAAUCCCUUCAGGUCACUUACGAGAGUGAGAUUUGAUAGAGAUAAUAUUUUUGGUAUUUUUGAUAGAUAGAUGCAAAGUAAAAAGUAAAAGCAAAGUAAAAACAAAGCAAGUAAAUAAAGUAAUAUAGAUUGAUAUGAUGCGAAUAGACCCGGGGGCCAUAGGUUUCACUAGUGGCUUCUCUCAAGAGCAUAAGUAUUCUACGGUGGGUGAACAAAUUACUGUUGAGCAAUUGAUAGAAUUGAGCAUAGUUAUGAGUAUAUCUAGGCAAUGAUCAUGUAUAUAGGCAUCACGUCCAAAACAAGUAGAUCGAAACGAUUCUGCAUCUAUUACUAUUACUCCACUCAUGGACCGCUAUCCAGCAUGCAUCUAGAGUAUUAAGUAAAAACAGAGUAACGCCGUAAGCAAGAUGACAUGAUGUAGAGGGAUAAAUUCAUGCAAUAUGAUAAAAACCCCAUCUUGCUGUUCUCGAUGGCAACAAUACAAUACAUGCCUUGCAACUCUUUCUGUCACUGAGUAAGGACACCGCAAGAUUGAACCCAAAGCUAAGCACUUCUCCCAUUGCAAGAACUACCAAUCUAGUUGGCCAAACCAAAAAGAUAAUUCAAAGAGACUUGCAAAGAUAACUCAAUCAUACAUAAAAGAAUUCAGAGAAGAAUCAAAUAUUUUCCAUAGAUAAUACUGGAUCAUAAACCCACAAUUCAUCGGUCUCAACAAACACACCGCAAAAAGAAGAUUACAUCGAAUAGAUCUCAACGAGAGAGGGGGAGAACAUUGUAUUGAGAUCCAAAAAGAGAGAAGAAGCCAUCUAGCUACUAGCUAUGGACCCGAAGGUCUGAAGUAAACUACUCACACUUCAUCAAAGGGGCUAUGGUGAUGAUGUAGAAGCCCUCCAUGGUGGAUGCCCCCUCCGGCGGAGCUCCAAAACAGGCCCCAAGAUGGGAUCUCGUGGAUACAGAAGGUUGCGGCGGUGGAAUUAGGUUUUUGGCUCCUGUUCUGAUUGUUCGGGGAUACGUAGGUAUAUAUAGGAGGAAGGAGUACGUCGGUGGAGCUCCGAGGGGCCCACGAGGUAAUGGGGCGCGCCCAGGGGGCGCGCCCUCCACCCUCGUGACCUCCUCGGAGGCUUCUUGGAGUAGGGUCCAAGUCUCCUGGAUCACGUUCGGUUGGAAAAUCACGAUCCCGGAAGGUUUCAUUCCGUUUGGACUCUGUUUGAUAUUCUGUUUCUUUGAAAUACUGAAAAAGGCAAAAAACAACAAUUCUGGGCUAGGCCUCCGGUUAAUAGGUUAGUCCCAAAAGUAAUAUAAAAGUGGAAAAUAAAGCCCAAUAUAGUCCAAAACAGUAGAUAAAGUAGCAUGGAGCAAUCAAAAAUUAUAGAUACGUUGGAGACGUAUCAGUGUGCCACCGAAGCGUAGCAUAUCUGCGUUCCAAGGUUAGCACAAUAUGUUUUGAAGAGAUUGCUGGUGAAUUGCGAACCGUUAUCGGUAAUGAUGCGAUUAGGGACCCAGAAUCGGCUCACGAGGCCCUUGAUGAACUUGACUGCAGAGCCAGCUGGGAUGGUGCGGACGGCUUCCACCUCCGCCCACUUGGUGAACUUGUCCAUGGCGACGUAGAGGUAGCGGUAGCCCCCAAGCGCUCGAGGAAACUGGCCCAAGAUAUCCAACCCCCAGACCACGAACGGCCACGAGAGUGGGAUGGUCUGCACGCCCUGAGCUGGCUGAUGGAUCUGCUUGGCAUGGAAUUGGCAGGCUUCGCAAGCCUUCACCAGCUCGAUGGAGUCGUUGAGUGCCGUGGGCCAAUGAACCCGCUGCGAAUCGCCUCGCCGACAAGGGUCCGUGAUGACGAGUGGUGUCCGCAAUCUCCAUCGUGUAUGUCAGCCAACAACUCCUUCCCCUGUUCCCUGGAGAUGCAACGCAAGGAAACAUCAUUUGGCCGCUUCCGAUAGAGCUCUCCGUCUUGGAUACAGUAGGCUGUGGCCUGUCGGGCCACACGUUCCGCGUCAUCCUCCUUCUCUGGUAGAGUCCCUUGCAUCAGGUAGUCCUUUAAUUCCGUAGUCCAGCAUCCCUCCUGAGGCUCCAGCGCCAGGAGCAAGCAUGCUCCCGAGGUUGGGCCACAGACCGGGGCUCCUGUGGCAGGUGGUUGAGGGUGUUCCUCCCGAGGUUGCGCUGUGCUUGAUAGUGACGGUGUUGCCGAGGGCUUGAAGAGCCGUUCCUCGAAAACACUAGGCUCCUGAGGCAGCCGCCUGGAUGCCCUCCUGGCAAUGUCAUCAGCAUCUUGGUUGGUGCCGCGGGGCACAUGCUGCAACUCCAGCCCCCAAAAUUGCUUUUCCAUCCUGCGCACCUCCACAAGAUAUGCCUCCAUGUGCUCGUCCUUUGGCUCGUACACUUUGCUGGAGAAGUUGACGAGGAGCUAUGAGUCACCCUUGAUGAUGAGGAGCUUCACCCCCAGUGCUGCUGCAGCUUUUAAGCCCGCUAUGAGGCCCUCGUAUUCUGCUAUGUUGUUGGAGACCUUCUCGCCAUGCUAGAAACAGAGCUGCACGACGUAAUAGAGCUUGUCCUGAGUGGGGGAUAUAAGCACCGCCAGCCCCCGCGCCAUGUCAAGAGAAUGCUCCAUCGAAGUACAUGACCCAGCCGUCUGGUGCCUUGCUUCUUGGGGAAAGUGACCAAUCUUCACCUAUUUCGAGACCUGGCGCCUCUGUCCAUUCUGCCACAAAAUCUGCAAGUGCGGCUCCCUUGACGACCCUGGUUGUGCUGAACUCCAACUGAAAUGCUUGCAGCUCAAUGUUCCAUUCGGCGACCCUUCCAGCAAUAUUGGGGCUCCUGAGUACCCUUUCCAAUGGGUAGGCCGAGACGACCUUGAUGGGGUGACCUUGAAAGUAAUGCCGCAGCUUGUGCGAGGCCACCAGCAGUGCAAGCAAGAGAUUCAGAGGCAUGGGUGUUGGAAAUAUGCCCUAGAGGCAAUAAUAAAAGCCUUAUUAUUAUAUUUCCUUGAUCAUGAUAAUUGUCUUUUAUUCAUGCUAUAAUUGUAUUAUCCGGAAAUCGUAAUACACGUGUGAAUACAUAGACCACAAUAUGUCCCUAGUAAGCCUCUAGUUGACUAGCUCUUUGGUCAACAGAUAGUCAUGGUUUCCUGACUAUGGACAUUAGAUGUUGUUGACAACGGGAUCACAUCAUUAGGAGAAUGAUGUGAUGGACAAGACCCAAUCCUAAGCAUAGCACAAGAUCGUGUAGUUCGUUUUGCUAGAGCUUCUCCAAUGUCAAGUAUCUCUUCCUUAGACCAUGAGAUCGUGUAAAUCCCGGAUACCGUAGGAGUGCUUUGGGUGUACCGAACGUCACAACGUAACUGGGUGACUAUAAAGGUGCACUACAGGUAUCUCUGAAUGUGUCUGUAGGGUUGACACGGAUCGAGACUGGGAUUUGUCACUCCGUAUGACGGAGAGGUAUCUCUGGGCCCACUCGGUAAUGCAUCAUCAUAAUGAGCUCAAAGUGACCAAGUGUUUGGUCACGGGAUCAUGCAUUACGGUACGAGUAAAGUGACUUGCCGGUAACGAGACUGAACGAGGUAUUGGGAUACCGACGAUCGAGUCUCGGGCUUGUAACGUACCGAUUGACAAAGGGAAUAGUAUACGGGGUUGCCUGAAUCCUCGACAUCGUGGUUCAUCCGAUGACAUCAUCGAGGAGCAUGUGGGAGCCAACAUGGGUAUCCAGAUCCCGCUGUUGGUUAUUGACCUGAGAGCCGUCUCGGUCAUGUCUGCGUGUCUCCCGAACCCGUAGGGUUUACACACUUAAGGUUCGGUGACGCUAGGGUUAUUAGGAAGACAUGUAUGUGAUUACCGAAUGUUGUUCGGAGUCCUGGAUGAGAUCCCGGACGUCACACGAGGAGUUCCAGAAGGGUCCGGAGGUAAAGAUUUAUAUAUGGGAAGUUGUCAUGCGGACACCGGAAAGUUUCGGGGGCAUAUCGGUAUUGUACCGGGGCCACCGGAGGGGUUUCGGGGGUCCACCGGGAGGGGCCACCCCUCUUAGUGGGCCACAUGGGCCGCGUGGGGCAGGGCACCACCCCUGGAGGGCUGGGCGCGCUCCCCCCUUGGGCCCAUGCGCCUAGGGUUGGGGGGGAUCCUAAGGGGGGCGCACCCCCCUUGCUUGGGGGGCAAGCCCCCUCCUUGGCCGCCCCCCCCCCCUCUAGAUCUCAUCUAGAGGGGGUCGGCCCCCUUCCCCCUUCCCCUAUAAAUAGAGGGGCGAGGGGAGGACUGAACACCUGAUCCAAGGCGCAGCCCCUCCCCUCCCCAACACCUCUCCUCCUCCGUUGUGCGCUUGGCGAAGCCCUGUCGGAGUACUGCCUCUCCACCAUCAUCACGCCGUCGUGCUGCUGCUGGAGCCUUCUUCCUCAACCUCUCCUUUCCCCUUGCUAGAUCAAGAAGGAGGAGACGUUGUCCGUACUGUACAUGUGUUGAAUGCGGAGGUGUUGUCCGUUCAGCACUUGGUCAUCGGUGAUCUGAAUCACGGCGAGUACGACUCCAUCAUCACCGUUCCCUCGAACGCUUCCGUACGCGAUCUACAAGUGGUAUGUAGAUGCAAUCUCUCUCCCAUGACUCGUUGCUUAGAUGAACUCAUAGAUGGAUCUUGGUGAAACCGUAGGAAAGAGUUUUAAUUUUCUGCAAUGUUCCCCAACAAUGGGGUAUCGUGCCCUUGCAUCCCGCAGCACCAUGCUGACGAAGUACACCAGAUGCUCGACAAGGGUGGGUCUGCUGACGAGGUUCGUGCCCUCCGGAGGGUUAGGCGCCUCCUGAGACGACGGAGCCCCAGCACCAGGCUGUCUGGUGAGGCCCCUUCAGCCCUGGGGGCGUCUUCCUGUUGAGGCUGGUCUCCAUCUGCCGAGGCCGUGGUCUUCGCGAGGCCUUCUUGGUCUUGUGCUGCCGCAGCCGGGGCCGUGGCCGGUUGUGAUGCAGCCUUAAUCUGGCGCUCUUCCCGAACUGCCACCAGAGCUGCACUAGCGGAGUAGGGUGUGGUGGCGAGGUAGAGCACCAGGGGCUCGAGAGGGCGCGGUGCCACCAUCACAGGAGGGUUGGUCAGGUACUUCUUGAGGUCUUGAAACGCUUGGUCGGCCUCCUGUGUCCAUUCGAACGGGCCCUUCUUCUUCAUCAGCUUGAAGAAAGGCAAGGCGCGCUCCCCCAACUUGGAGAUGAAGCUUCCUGACGCAUUUAUGCUCCCAACGAGCUUCUGCAUUUCUCUGAGGGUUUGCGGCGGACUCAUGUCUUCGAUUGCCUUGACCUUCUCUGGCCGGCCUCGAUUCCUCUGUGGGACACGAGGAAGCCCAGAAGCUUGCCAGAAGGAACGCCAAACAUGCACUUCUCCGGGUUGAGUCGCGGGUCCACUUCACGGAGGCUCGCGAAGGUCACUUCCAGGUCCUGGAUCAAGGUCUUCGCCUCCUAAGACUUCACCACAAUGUCGUUGACGUAAGCCUCGACGUUUUUCUCGAGCUGCCGGCCCAAGGCGAUGUGCAUCAGUCGCUGGAAGGUUGCGCCCGUGUUGCGCAACCCGAACGGCAUGCAGGUGUAGAAGUACACCCCACAUGGGGUCAGGAAGGCCGUCUUCUCCACGUAUUCUACCGCCAUCUUGAUUUGAUGAUAGCCCGAAAAUGCAUCCAGGAAACACAACAGGUCGCACUCGGCGGUGGGGUCGACAAUUUGGUGGAUGGGAGGGAGUGGGAACGGGUCUUGAGGGCAAGCCUUGUUGAGGUUGGUGAAGUCGACACACAUGUGCUCCUUUCCUCCCUUUUUUGGCACACCAACAGGGUUUGCCAGCCAUUCGGGGUAGCGAACCUCGCGAAUAACACCUGCCGCCUCCAGCUUGUGGGUUUCUUAGACGAUGAAGGCCUGCUUCUUGGUGGACUAUCACCUUGCUUUCUGCUUCACGGGGCGUACAUUGGGGCACACAUUCAGGUGAUGCUCAAUCACCUGCCUUGGGACCCCCGCUAGCUGCUUGGGUUCCCACGUGAACACCUCCUUGUUCGAGCGCAGGAAUUUCACCAGUGCCUCCUCCUGGUCAGGGUCGAGAUUGGCACCUAUGGUGAAGGUGGCGCCGGAGGAUCCAUCCUCGUCAACUGGUACCUGCUUGGUCUCCGCCUUGUCCUGGGUGAACAAUUGCUUCUUCUUGGUUGGCGCAGCCCCCUUGGCCUUGGAGGUGUCGGUGCCGGUAGGCUGCGCUGCUGCGGCUGUCUUGAGGGUGAGCUUGAGCGCCAGCAGAGCAUCUUUGGUAUCUCUAGCUACAGUGAGGACGCCGCUGCUCCCGGGCAUCUUCACGAGGUUGUAGGCCGGAUGGGUCACUACCAUGAAAUGGGCCAAGGCGGGGUAGCCGAGGAUGGCAUUGUACGGGAGGCCGAUGUGGGUGAUGUCGAAGUUGACCAGCUCCGUGCGGAAGUUGUCGUGGGUGCCGAAGGUCACAGGGAGGCGGAUCUGCCCCAGGGAGCCGGAGGAACCGCCUCUGACGCUCGACAAGGGCUUGCUGGAUUGGAGUCGUUCCAGCGGUACAUGGAGGAGGCUGAAGGCCUUCACCGAGAGCGCGUUGAGGCCGGCACCACCAUCGAUGAGGGUCCUGGUGACAGCCACCUGGCAGAUGGUGGGCGUGCAAAGCAUUGGGAGUGCACCCGAGCAGGCGGUGUUGACGGGGUGAUUGUCCGAGUUGAAGGUCAGGUCGGCCUUGGGUGUCGCCCAACCCGGAGGAGCUCCCUGCCGUGUGAGGGCGGCGCCGAUCUGGCGGACGAACGGCUUGACGUGGCGGACCGAGGGUGGUGCCUGCGAGCCACCCAGUUGAGCUGCGACGACCGGGGGCGCGGGUGCAGCGUAGUGGGUGAGGAAGAGGUUGCGCAACUCCUCCCAGGAGGCCAUAGAAGAUGUUGGCAGGUGGAGUAGCCAAAUGUGCAGGACGCCGGUGAGGGCCAUGGGAAACCAGUUGGCCAUGACCUUGUCGUCGCCCCCGGCCUUGAGGACGGCCUCUUCGUAUGCUAGAAGGAAAGCCAGCGGGUCCGCCGCGCCGUUGUAGCACGGCGGCAUCUCUGGCUUGAACUUGUGUGGCCACUACACCUGCCGCAAGGCGGGGGCCCAAGGCUCGUAGCCCCCUGGCCCCAGCACUGGCAUCGGCCGCCGGAGCCGGUGGCACGUUGUCCUCCAUGAGGGAGACACACGGUGUUGGUGGAGAGCAAGCCGACGGGAGGGAGAGCUCUGGCGCACCCCUACCUGGCGGCCAAAUGUCGGAUAUCGGGUUCCAGCAAAACCCUUAAGGUUCGAACUCUGGGGUGCGCGCGAAGAUCUUCUCCCGACCGAUUCACGCCCCAAAACCUUGCCACGAGUCUAAGCUAGCAUGAUGAACAACGCAAGGGACACGAGAUUUAUACAGGUUUGGGCCACCGUUGUGGUGUAAUACCCUACUCAUGUGUGUGGUGUGGUGGAUUGCCUCUGGGGCUGAUUGUAACGCCCUCGAUGCGGCUAUAGCUCCCACGUGUCGAGGCACGACUUAGAGGCAUAACCGCAUUGAAAGCAAUGUCGCAAGUCGGGCAAUCAUUACAACAUCCCAUGUAAUAUAUAAUAAAAGGGGGAGAUAACAUAGUUGGCUUACACUCGCCACGUCACAUCAGAGUACAUAAAUAACAUCCAUCAAACAAACACUCAUGGCCCGACUACGGCGCCAAAAUAGAAAAAAAAAACCAACAUGCGACAAGGUCCUGAAUCGAUAACCCCAACUAGGCACCACUACUGAUCAUCCGGAAAAGACACGUAGUAUCGCUGAGAGUCCUCGUCGAACUCCCACUGGAGCUCGUAAUCGUCAACUGGAGCAGAAACACCUGGACCUGCAUCUGGAGUUGUAGUAUCUGUGAGCCACAGGGACUCAGCAAUCUCACACCCACGCGAUCAAGACUAUUUAAGCUCAUAGGAAUGGAUAAGGCAAAUAUAUGUGGAACUGCAGCAAGCGACUAGCAUAUGUGGUGGCUAACUUAUACGCAAAAGAGAGCGAGAAGAGAAGGCGAAGCACGAGCGAGAAGCUAAAGGAACAUCCUGCGCAAGAAUAACUCCAACACCGUGUCCACUUCCCGGACUCCGCCGAGAAGGGGCCAUCACGGUAACACACACGGUUGUUUCAUUUUAAUUAAGUUUAAUUAAAGUUAUCUACAACCGGACAUUAACAAAUUCCCAUCUGCCCAUAACCGCGGGCACGGCUUUCGAAAGAUCAAUCCCUGCAGGGGGUCCCAACUUAGCCCAUAACAAGCUCUCACGGUCAAUGAAGGAAUAGACCUCCACCCAAGACACACCGAUCAGACUCGGUAUCUCGGUACAACAAGAUGAUUCGACAGGUUAAAACAAGACCAGCAACACCGCCCGAAUGUGCCGACAAAUCCCGAUAGGAGCUGCACAUAUCUCUUUCUCAGGGCACACUCAGAUGAGCGCUCCAUACAACUAAAACCAAACCUCGAGUUUCCCCGAGGGGGCGCUGCACAGGACUCUAGUUUGGACCAACGCUCAGAGGAGCACUGGCCCGGGGGGGGGGUUAAAAUAAGAUGACCUUCGGGCUCCGGAAACCCAAGGGAAAAAGAGGCUAGGUGGCAAAUGGUAAAACCAAUGUUGGGCAUUGCUGGAAAAGCUUUAAUCAAGGUGAACUAUCAAGGGGUUCCCAUUAUAACCCAACCGCGUAAGGGACGCAACAAUCCGGGAACAUAACAUCGAUAUGACGGAAACUAGGGCGGCAAGAGUGGAACAAAACACUAGGCAAGAGGCCGAGCCUUCCACCCUUUACCAAGUAUAUAGAUGCAUUAAUAUAACAUAGCAUUAUAAUGAUAUCCCAACAAGUAAAUAAAUGUUCCAACAAGGAACGGCUCCAAUCUUCACCUGCAACUAACAACGCUAUAAGAAGGGCUGAGCAAAGCGGUAACAUAGCCAAUCAACGGUUUGCUAGGACAAUGGUGGGUUAGAGGAUCAACAUGGCAAUUGGGAGGCUGACAAGCAAAAGGUAGGCAUCGUAGCAGUGGCAAAGCAAAAGAGCGAGCAAACUAGCAUAGCAAAGAUAGUAGUGAUUUCGAGGGUAUGAUCAUCUUGCCUGCACAGUUGUCAGAGUUGACUGGAUCCUCACAAGCAAACUCAACGAGCUCCUCGGUAGCGAACUCGUCUCCCGGCUCUACCCAACAAGACAAACAAGCAACAAGGAUACAAUCAACCACGGGCAAGACCAAGCAAUAUGAUGAAAUGACGAUAUGCUAUGCGGAAUGCGAUGCAGGAUGCAAAAUGCAAGAUAUGACAGAAAAUGCAUGAGCCUGGCAUCAACUUGGGAAACCAAGUGUGCCACUGGAUAGAGGGGAUGAAAUCGCUUGAAAACGAUAUAAAGAUCAUAGGAAUCGGAGCUACGGUUUGGAAAUGGCAAGCGUUUUAAGAUACGACACCGGUCUGCGAUUUACAGCAAGUAGGCAUCUAAAUGCAACGAAAUGAACAUGCUACAGCCACCAAACAUGAAAACAAAAUACAUGGCAGUGAUGUACACAAGAUGGUUGACAAAACACUAGCACUGAGCCAUAGGCAAAUUCAUCCAUUAAGAGGUUCAAACAAGCAUGGCUAAAACGCAAAUGCAAAACAGAUCUCAGACUUAGUGAAAUUAACACUAGUCUGAAAUUUCAGAUCACGAUGCUCUCUUCGGAGCAGCAAAACAACAUGAUAGAAAACCUGAACAUGACAAGUAAGAACAUGGCAUGGAGCUACUCAACAAGCUUAAUAAAACACCCAAAGUGACCUGGGGCCAAAAGGGUUCACAAAAUACUCUACCGAGCUCACGAACAUAGCUCGAACACAAUCAGUUUUCAGACUUAGUGAAAACUGAGACACGCUGAAAUAUAACUCACGAAGGCAUGUAAACGAGCUCGAUGCACUCACUACGGUGUAAGUCAUGGCAAGGAAAGCAUAUAACCAGCAAGAAGGCACAAAGUGCUAGCUACACAUGGCAAGAACGAAGGCAUAGCAUGCAUGGAACACUAACGGUAGCAUCGGCAAAAUCGCAAACAAGUUGACGAUCUGCCCAGAUUAACAACGAAGCAAAAGUUGAGCUCGAUUGAGUCAACCUAGAGCACGCCACAUAUGCAAACAAAGACAUGGAAGGAUAGAGCAUAACAUAAAUAUCAAAACUCCCUUACUGAUCAUCCUCAAAAGAGGCACGGAUCACUAGGAAACAAGCUGGACAUAUAGCAUCAUGAACUAAAAUAUCCCAGACUAAGUCCCUGAAAUCUGCAUUCUCAGGUACCUCUCUUCGCAAGCUUGCACAGAACAACUCACACAUCCUAAAAAUGCAUGGGUGACACCUCUGGAAAGAAGACAAAAUGCUUAACAAUUCAUCCCAAAGGGGCACAGGCAUAUCAUGCACGAAUUAAAUAUAGCAAAAAUGACAAAAGUGCAUGAUGAACUAACGGAUCUGCAAUCUAACUCACGAAGCCUCCUUCUAACAGCAUUUUGGGUAUCAAGAUGAACUCAAAUGCAAAUGAUGCAAUGGAAUGAAAUGACAUGUCGAGGCGAAGAUUUUGAUAUAUCAUAUGCCCAAAACGGAGCUACGGAUGAGGAGAUACGGGUCCUCGAACAGGAGCAUAUGGAGUAAAAAUCUGGGGACUUAGAAAAAUCGGAGGGGGUUAGGGUUUACUGUUCACGCGACCGGAUCCAGAUCGGGAUCGCGGCGCGGAAGCCGAGGCGGCGCCGGCGGCGGAGCUCGAGCUCGCCGGAGCUGCGGGGUGCGCCGGCGGGGAGGCAGCGGAGGGGCGCGGAAGCCGAGGGCGGGGAGCGGCCGGGCGGCGGGCGGCGAGGUGCCGGGCGGCGGGCGGCGAGGUGCCCGCGGCGGCGGCGACCUCCGGCUGGGGCGGCGGCGGCGGAUCGGGCCGCGGGGGCCCCGCACGGGCCUCGCGGGCCCGCGGGCGGCGGCGAACUGGGGACCNNNNNNNNNNNNNNNNNNNNNNNNNNNNNNNNNNNNNNNNNNNNNNNNNNNNNNNNNNNNNNNNNNNNNNNNNNNNNNNNNNNNNNNNNNNNNNNNNNNNNNNNNNNNNNNNNNNNNNNNNNNNNNNNNNNNNNNNNNNNNNNNNNNNNNNNNNNNNNNNNNNNNNNNNNNNNNNNNNNNNNNNNNNNNNNNNNNNNNNNNNNNNNNNNNNNNNNNNNNNNNNNNNNNNNNNNNNNNNNNNNNNNNNNNNNNNNNNNNNNNNNNNNNNNNNNNNNNNNNNNNNNNNNNNNNNNNNNNNNNNNNNNNNNNNNNNNNNNNNNNNNNNNNNNNNNNNNNNNNNNNNNNNNNNNNNNNNNNNNNNNNNNNNNNNNNNNNNNNNNNGGACAAGGCGCGGCGGCGGAUCGGGCCGCGGGGGCCCCGCACGGGCCUCGCGGGCCCGCGGGCGGCGGUUAACUGGGGACCGGCGGCGGCCACUAGGAGGCCGACACGUGGCGGCGGACGGGGAGGCCGGACAUGUCCGUCGGCGGCGGUUGUGUCCGACGGCGGCGGGAGGAGUUGGAUCUAGGGUUAGGGGGGAGAAGAACCGUGGAUUUCGGAGGGGGGUGUAUAUAUAGGCAUAAGUGGAGCUAGGAGAGUCCAAAUGAGGUGCGGUUUUCGCCCACACGAUCGUGAUCGAACGCUCUAGGACAUGGAGCAGAGUUUGGUGGGUUUUGGGCCAAAUUUGGGGGGUGUUGGGCUGCGACACGCACGAGGCCUUUUCGGUCCCUCGGUUAACCGUUGGAGUAUCAAACGAAGUCCAAAUGACCCGAAACUUGACAGGCGGUCUACCGGUAGUAAACCAAGGCCGCUUGGCAAGUCUCGGUCCAAUCCGGAAAUGUUUAAACCCCACACACGAAAGAAGACUAGAAAUGACCACUGGAGGAGAACGAAGCGCCGGAAUGCAAAACGGUCAACGGGGAAAAUGCUCGAAUGCAUGAGAUGAACAUGUAUGCAAAUGCAAUGCACGUGAUGACAUGAUAAGAGAUGCACGAAAAAGAAAAACAACACACGGAGACAAAGACCCAACCCGAGAAAUAAAUAUAACUUAGCGCCGGAGACGGCAAGAGUUGGAUACAAAUAUGGAAAGUAUAUCUGGGGCGUUACAACACUCCACCACUACGAAAAGAUCUCGUCCCGAGAUCUAGGACUAAAAGAACUCCGGGUACUCAGAACGGAGGUGAUCCUCGCGUUCCCAGGUGGCUUCACGGUCGGAAUGGUGAGACCACUUAACUUUGAGAAAUUUGAUUGACUUGUUGCGAGUCUUGUGUUCAGUCUCUUCAAGAAUAGCAACUGGGUGCUCACGAUAAGAGAGAUCUUCUUGGAGCUCAAUGUCCUCGAAGUUGACGGUGCGGUCAGGAGUCUUGAAGCACUUUCGAAGCUGAGAGACAUGGAACACAUCAUGAACAUUUGCAAAGUUUGAAGGAAGCUCGAGUUGAUAGGCGAGGUCGCCUCUCUUGCUGACAAUCUUGAAAGGUCCCACGUAUCUAGGGGAAAGCUUCCCUUUGAUACCGAAGCGACGAGUACCUUUCAUGGGAGAGACGCGGAGGUAAACAUGAUCUCCGAUCUCGAAAGCCAGAUCACGGUGCUUACUAUCAUAGUAGCUCUUCUGGCGGGACUGGGCUGUUUUGAGGUUAUCACGAAUGACUUUGCACAUUUCUUCUGCUUCUGUGAUUAAGUCAUUACCCAGCAGCUGACGUUCACCGGUUUCAGACCAGUUGAGAGGGGUACGGCACUUCCUGCCAUAUAGAAUUUCAAAGGGGGCCUUGCCCGAACUUGCUUGAAAGCUGUUGUUGUAAGAGAAAUCAGCAUAAGGAAGACAGUCCUCCCACUUCAUGCCGAAGGAGAUCACACAAGCCCUGAGCAUAUCUUCAAGAAUUUGGUUGACACGCUCGACUUGACCGCUUAUUUGAGGAUGGAAAGCUGUGCUGAAGCGGAUGUUGGUGCCCAUGGCCUUCUGAAAAGAAUCCCAAAACUUGGAGGUAAAGAUGCUGCCACGGUCUGAAGAUAUCACUUGAGGAAUACCGUGCAGAGAGACAAUGCGAGAGGAAUAGAGUUCCGCCAAUUGAGCUGCAGUGAUCGACUCUUUGAUAGGCAGAAAAUGAGCCACUUUGGUGAGCUUGUCGAUGACAACAAAGAUAGCAUCAUUGCCACGCUUGGACAUUGGAAACCCAGUCACGAAGUCCAUUUCAAUGUGGUCAAACUUCCAUUCUGGAACGGCAAGAGGUUGGAGGAGACCAGCUGGCCUUUGGUGUUCUGCCUUCACUCUUCUGCAGACAUCACACUCAUUCACGAAUUGAGCGAUCUCGCGCUUCAUUCGAGUCCACCAAUAAGCUUGCUUGAGGUCCUGAUACAUCUUUGUACUACCAGGGUGGAUGCAGAGGAGAGAGUUGUGAGCCUCGUUCAUGAUCACCUUACGGAGUUCACCUUUGGGCACAACAAUUCGAUCCUCGAAGAAGAGAGUGUCCUUGUCAUCAAGUCGGAAGCACUUGUACUUGGACUGACUCUUUGCAAUACCAAUCUUCACCUUUUUCACCAUAGCAUCAAGAAGUUGGGCUUGGCGAAUCUGGUCUUCUAAGGUAGGAGAGACUUGAAGGUUGGCGAGGAAACCUUGAGGAACAACUUGCAGAUUAAGUUUGCGGAAAGCUUCACAAAGCUCGGGUUGAUAAGGCUUGAGAAUCAGACUGUUGCAAUAUGCUUUUCUGCUCAACGCGUCAGCAAUCACAUUAGCCUUGCCUGGAGUAUACUCGAUACUCGGAUUGUACUCUUGAAUCAUUUCGACCCAUCGAGUCUGCCUGAGGUUGAGAUUAGGCUGAGUGAAGAUGUACUUGAGACUCUUGUGAUCAGUGAAAAUAUCCACUUUCCUUCCCAAUAGAAGAUGUCUCCAAGUCAACAAAGUGUGCACAACUGCCGCCAACUCGAGAUCAUGAGUGGGGUAGUUCUUCUCAUUAGGUUUCAACUGGCGAGAGGUAUAAGCAACAACUUUCUUCUCUUGCAUCAGUACAGCACCGAGACCUUGGAGAGAGGCAUCACAAAAGACCUCGUACGGCUUGGUUUCAUCAGGCGGAGUCAGAACUGGAGCAGUGAUCAAUUUCUCUUUCAAAGUGUUGAAAGCAAUAUCACACUCCGGAGACCAAACGUACUUGACGUGCUUCUGAAGAAGAUUUGAGAGAGGCUUGGCGAUCUUAGAAAAGUUUUGAACGAAUCUUCUGCAAUAGCUUGCGAGACCGAGGAAACUGCGGAGUUGCUUUACGUUCUGAGGAGGUUCCCAAUUCACAAUUGCAGACACCUUCUCAGGAUUCACGGAAAUGCCCUUGGCAGAGAUGAUAUGACCAAGAUAAAGAACCUCAUCGAGCCAAAAUUCACACUUGGAGAACUUGGCGUAGAACUGAUGUUCUCUGAGCUUGUCAAGUACCAAACGCAAGUGCUUGGCAUGAUCUUCCUUGUUCUUCGAGAAAACCAGAAUGUCGUCGAGAUAGACCAAAACGAAUUCAUUGGUGUAGGGGCUGAAGAUGAAGUUCAUCAUGCGAGAGAACGUCGGAGGAGCGUUUGCGAGGCCAAAAGACAUGACGGUGUAUUCAUAUGAACCAAAGCUUGUUCUGAACGCCGUCUUGGGAAUAUCUUGCUCACGAAUACGAAUCUGAUGAUACCCCAUACGGAGAUCGAGCUUGGAGAAUACUUGAGCACCUUUGAGUUGUUCGAACAGCUCAUUGAUGUUGGGAAGUGGGUAUUUGUUCUUGAUGGUCUUCUUGUUAACUGGACGGUAAUCAACACAAAGUCGACUCGAUCCAUCCUUCUUCUUCACAAAAAGAACACCACAACCCCACGGAGAAGUACUAGGCCGAAUGAGACCCAAUCUUUCUUGCUCAUCGAGUUGUUUCUUCAGCUCCUUCAACUCUUCGGGGCCGAGCUUGUAGGGACGUUUGCACACAGGUUCCGUACCAGGCUCAAGUUCAAUAACGAAUUCAACCGGCCGGUUUGGAGGCAUUCCUGGGAGCUCUUCUGGAAAGACGUCUUGAUAUUCGCAAACGACAGGAAUUUGAGAGAUGGCAUCCAAUUCACCCUUCUUAUUGAGAGAAAACAACCGGAUGGUAUUAUCCCGAGCGGCAAAGACAAUGACAUCCUCAGACGAAUGAGUCAAUUGAAUCUGCCUGGCAGCACAGUCAAGAUGUGCCUUGUGCUUAGAAAGCCAAUCCAUUCCGAGAAUAAGAUCAAUAUCCGAGUUACCGAGAACAAUUGGGGAAGAAAGGAACUUGUAGUCACCCAAUGUGAUAGUAACCUCAGGGACGCAGGUGUUAGCUGUCAUCUGCUUGCCCGGUGACACAAUUUGCAAGGAACUUUGCAGAUACUGAUAAUCACACUCAUACUUUGAUGCAAAAGGUUUGGAAAUGAAGCAAUGCGAUGCACCUGUGUCAAAAAGAACUUUUGCAGGAACAUCGUUAACAGGAAGGUUACCCAUGAUGACAUCUGAAGAAUCCUCAGCCUGAGCUGCAUUCACCAUAUUGACCUUGGCGUGCUUGGGAUUGUGCUUGACCACAGCUGUACUUGCCGAUCUGACAGGAGGAGGAGGAGGAAGACGCCUCUGGUUGGUACACUUGUUGGCAUAGUGACCCUUCUGUUGGCACUUGUUGCACGUGACCUCUGAAAGCGGACGGUGAUACGGAGCACUCGAUCUUGGCGCUUGAGACGAAGACUUGUUCUGAAAGCCUGGGUUGGGUGGGUGGGAGAAACCACUGCCACCUUUGCUCUUCUGCUGAUACGGCUGACGGAACGGAGGAGGAGGAAGCCAAUACUUCUGUUGCUUGAUCACUUGAGUAGAGGAAGACGGAGUAACCUCUCUGGCACGUUUCCUGGAAGCAUCACACCUCAUCUGAGCAGCCUCUUGCUUCAGUGCCAUGUUGUAGAACUCAUCGUAUCUCAACGGCUCAAAGAGGACAAGAGCGAGCUGAAUUUCCUCACGAAGACCACCCCUGAACUGAUAGAUCAUGCUCUUCUCAUCAGGAACAUCCUGCUUGGCAAAACGGGCGAGCUUCUGGAACAACUUGUUGUAGUCAUAGACAGACAAAGAGCCUUGCUUCAGAUUGCGGAAUUCCUGACGCUUACUCUCAACCACACUUUGAGGGAUGUGAUGAGCGCGGAAAUCUUGACGGAAAUCGCCCCAAGUGAUCAGACGUCCACCUCUGGAAUCCUUGUACUGCUGGAACCACUCUGCAGCCUGAUCUUUGAGCUGGAAAGAAGCGAACUUGACGAAAUCUUCAGGCCUGACGUUGCUGCAUUCAAAAUGCUUGCCCAGAUCCACUAGCCAAUCGUCAGCAUCGGUAGCCUCAACACAACCACUGAACGUCUUUGGGCCAUUGCGAGGAACUGGUUCAGAGUAGCAAAGUGGUGCUGAUUAUGGCCUUGAUUCCCUUGACUGCCUUGAUUGCGCUCUUGGAGAAUUUGCAUGAUCAACCGUGUGUUUGCAUUAGUAGCGGCCAUCACAGCUUGCCAUGCUUCCGGAGGAGGCGGAGGUGGAGGCGGAUCAGGAUUCGGAGUCGUGCGCGUUGGAGGAGCCAUCCUGAAGAGGUUGACCACCAUUAGCACAUUGAUAGACAACAAUAUAGAAGCUGAAUCCAACGGAAUGAAAAUUGCAACAUAUAGUCUUCACAUCCGAACAAAAUGAACGAAUGCAUUCCUCUUCAAAUGGUCACAUAUCCAUAAAUUGAGAAGCCACGAAGAAUUAAGGAAGAGAAAUAAAUCAACAAGGUACGGAUCAAGAACGAAUAAUCGGUAAGAAAUCCCAAUCUCAAACCAAUAUCCGUGGAAGAAGAACUAGAGCUACUAGAAUUCCCACCUAUGAAACUCCCGAACCUUUCCAGUUAUGCAAUCAGGUGUUGGGGAUACAGGGGAAGCACAAUAUCUCACCCAAACUAGCAAAUCCUACAUCCAGCUGUAUCCAUCAUUCAACACAUAACCAAGAAAACUUCAGAAACCAUCUACCUCAACCUUCGAAAAGCAUCCGUUAUACAAGUUAUGGCGAUACUCCCGAACUCCCGCCCCAGUACUGGGUGGCGUCGAGGUUAUCUCACCAACGAACUACAUAAAAGAGAUUUUCGAUGUCGGCGAACAUAUCUCAAGUAUACCAGAAUUGCAACGAUAAAAUUGUGACGACAACACCUCGGAUCUCAACUCCCCGGGACACUGCCACAACCCCUAAAGACAGGAGGCACCAAGAACAAUGUUCUCGUCACAAAACCAUCUGAACAAAACCAAGAUACUCGCGUGAUCCUAAAAAAAAAUUUAGUGAAAUUUGAGAAGAGAAGAGUCAAAACUCUACGUCAGGAUGCCUUACCAGAGCGAUGAGGAGGCUGGGAAGUAAAAAGAAUUCCUAAGCUCUCCGAUAUAUAAUUCCUAAGGACUCAAAACAUUUUUCUAGACACAACUCGGCUGCUAAAAACGAUCAAGCAAUGGGGCUCCUAAGGUCGGGGAAGGCUCUGAUUACCAACUUGUAACGCCCUCGAUGCGGCUAUAGCUCCCACGUGUCGAGGCACGACUUAGAGGCAUAACCGCAUUGAAAGCAAUGUCGCAAGUCGGGCAAUCAUUACAACAUCCCAUGUAAUAUAUAAUAAAAGGGGGAGAUAACAUAGUUGGCUUACACUCGCCACGUCACAUCAGAGUACAUAAAUAACAUCCAUCAAACAAACACUCAUGGCCCGACUACGGCGCCAAAAUAGAAAAAAAAACCAACAUGCGACAAGGUCCUGAAUCGAUAACCCCAACUAGGCACCACUACUGAUCAUCCGGAAAAGACACGUAGUAUCGCUGAGAGUCCUCGUCGAACUCCCACUGGAGCUCGUAAUCGUCAACUGGAGCAGAAACACCUGGACCUGCAUCUGGAGUUGUAGUAUCUGUGAGCCACAGGGACUCAGCAAUCUCACACCCACGCGAUCAAGACUAUUUAAGCUCAUACGAAUGGAUAAGGCAAAUAUAUGUGGAACUGCAGCAAGCGACUAGCAUAUGUGGUGGCUAACUUAUACGCAAAAGAGAGCGAGAAGAGAAGGCGAAGCACGAGCGAGAAGCUAAAGGAACAUCCUGCGCAAGCAUAACUCCAACACCGUGUCCACUUCCCGGACUCCGCCGAGAAGGGGCCAUCACGGUAACACACACGGUUGUUUCAUUUUAAUUAAGUUUAAUUAAAGUUAUCUACAACCGGACAUUAACAAAUUCCCAUCUGCCCAUAACCGCGGGCACGGCUUUCGAAAGAUCAAUCCCUGCAGGGGGUCCCAACUUAGCCCAUAACAAGCUCUCACGGUCAAUGAAGGAAUAGACCUCCACCCAAGACACACCGAUCAGACUCGGUAUCUCGGUACAACAAGAUGAUUCGACAGGUUAAAACAAGACCAGCAACACCGCCCGAAUGUGCCGACAAAUCCCGAUAGGAGCUGCACAUAUCUCUUUCUCAGGGCACACUCAGAUGAGCGCUCCAUACAACUAAAACCAAACCUCGAGUUUCCCCGAGGGGGCGCUGCACAGGACUCUAGUUUGGACCAACGCUCAGAGGAGCACUGGCCCGGGGGGGGGGUUAAAAUAAGAUGACCUUCGGGCUCCGGAAACCCAAGGGAAAAAGAGGCUAGGUGGCAAAUGGUAAAACCAAUGUUGGGCAUUGCUGGAAAAGCUUUAAUCAAGGNNNNNNNNNNNNNNNNNNNNNNNNNNNNNNNNNNNNNNNNNNNNNNNNNNNNNNNNNNNNNNNNNNNNNNNNNNNNNNNNNNNNNNNNNNNNNNNNNNNNNNNNNNNNNNNNNNNNNNNNNNNNNNNNNNNNNNNNNNNNNNNNNNGGGGGGGGGGGUUAAAAUAAGAUGACCUUCGGGCUCCGGAAACCCAAGGGAAAAAGAGGCUAGGUGGAAAAUGGUAAAACCAAUGUUGGGCAUUGCUGGAAAAGCUUUAAUCAAGGCGAACUAUCAAGGGGUUCCCAUUAUAACCCAACCGCGUAAGGGACGCAACAAUCCGGGAACAUAACACCGAUAUGACGGAAACUAGGGCGGCAAGAGUGGAACAAAACACUAGGCGAGAGGCCGAGCCUUCCACCCUUUACCAAGUAUAUAGAUGCAUUAAGAUAACAUAGCAUUAUAAUGAUAUCCCAACAAGUAAAUAAAUGUUCCAACAAGGAACGGCUCCAAUCUUCACCUGCAACUAACAACGCUAUAAGAAGGGCUGAGCAAAGUGGUAACAUAGCCAAUCAACGGUUUGCUAGGACAAUGGUGGGUUAGAGGAUCAACAUGGCAAUUGGGAGGCUGACAAGCAAAAGGUAGGCAUCGUAGCAGUGGCAAAGCAAAAGAGCGAGCAAACUAGCAUAGCAAAGAUAGUAGUGAUUUCGAGGGUAUGAUCAUCUUGCCUGCACAGUUGUCAGAGUUGACUGGAUCCUCACAAGCAAACUCAACGAGCUCCUCAGUAGCGAACUCAUCUCCCGGCUCUACCCAACAAGACAAACAAGCAACAAGGAUACAAUCAACCACGGGCAAGACCAAGCAAUAUGAUGAAAUGACGAUAUGCUAUGCGGAAUGCGAUGCAGGAUGCAAAAUGCAAGAUAUGACAGGAAAUGCAUGAGCCUGGCAUCAACUUGGGAAACCAAGUGUGCCACUGGAUAGAGGGGAUGAAAUCGCUUGAAAACGAUAUAAAGAUCAUAGGAAUCGGAGCUACGGUUUGGAAAUGGCAAGCGUUUUAAGAUACGACACCGGUCUGCGAUUUACAGCAAGUAGGCAUCUAAAUGCAACGAAAUGAACAUGCUACAGCCACCAAACAUAAAAACAAAAUACAUGGCAGUGAUGUACACAAGAUGGUUGACAAAACACUAGCACUGAGCCAUAGGCAAAUUCAUCCAUUAAGAGGUUCAAACAAGCAUGGCUAAAACGCAAAUGCAAAACAGAUCUCAGACUUAGUGAAAUUAACACUAGUCUGAAAUUUCAGAUCACGAUGCUCUCUUCGGAGCAGCAAAACAACAUGACAGAAAACCUGAACAUGACAAGUAAGAACACGGCAUGGAGCUACUCAACAAGCUUAAUAAAACACCCAAAGUGACCUGGGGCCAAAAGGGUUCACAAAAUACUCUACCGAGCUCACGAACAUAGCUCGAACACAAUCAGUUUUCAGACUUAGUGAAAACUGAGACACGCUGAAAUAUAACUCACGAAGGCAUGUAAACGAGCUCGAUGCACUCACUACGGUGUAAGUCAUGGCAAGGAAAGCAUAUAACCAGCAAGAAGGCACAAAGUGCUAGCUACACAUGGCAAGAACGAAGGCAUAGCAUGCAUGGAACACUAACGGUAGCAUCGGCAAAAUCGCAAACAAGUUGACGAUCUGCCCAGAUUAACAACGAAGCAAAAGUUGAGCUCGAUUGAGUCAACCUAGAGCACUCCACAUAUGCAAACAAAGACAUGGAUGGAUAGAGCAUAACAUAAGUAUCAAAACUCCCUUACUGAUCAUCCUCAAAAGAGGCACGGAUCACUAGGAAACAAGCUGGACAUAUAGCAUCAUGAACUAAAAUAUCCCAGACUUUGUGAAAAUCACUAAGUCCCUGAAAUCUGCAUUCUCAGGUACCUCUCUUCGCAAGCUUGCACAGAACAACUCACACAUCCUAAAAAUGCAUGGGUGACACCUCUGGAAAGAAGACAAAAUGCUUAACAAUUCAUCCCAAAGGGGCACAGGCAUAUCAUGCACGAAUUAAAUAUAGCAAAAAUGACAAAAGUGCAUGAUGAACUAACGGAUCUGCAAUCUAACUCAUGAAGCCUCCUUCUAACAGCAUUUUGGGUAUCAAGAUGAACUCAAAUGCAAAUGAUGCAAUGGAAUGGAAUGAUGUACAUGUCGAGGCGAAUGUUUUGAUAUAUCAUAUGCCCAAAAUGGAGCUACGGAUGAGGAGAUACGGGUCCUCGAACAGGAGCAUAUGGAGUAAAAAUCUGGGGACUUAGAAAAAUCGGAGGGGGUUAGGGUUUACUGUUCACGCGACCGGAUCCAGAUCGGGAUCGCGGCGCGGAAGCCGAGGCGGCGCCGGCGGCGGAGCUCGAGCUCGCCGGAGCUGCGGGGUGCGCCGGCGGGGAGGCAGCGGAGGGGCGCGGAAGCCGAGGGCGGGGAGCGGCCGGGCGGCGGGCGGCGAGGUGCCGGGCGGCGGGCGGCGAGGUGCCCGCGGCGGCGGCGACCUCCGGCUGGGGCGGCGGCGGCGGAUCGGGCCGCGGGGGCCCCGCACGGGCCUCGCGGGCCCGCGGGCGGCGGCGAACUGGGGACCGGGCGGCGGCCACUAGGAGGCCGACACGUGGCGGCGGACGGGGAGGCCGGACAUGUCCGUCGACGGCGGUUGUGUCCGACGGCGGCGGGAGGAGUUGGAACUAGGGUUAGGGGGGAGAAGAACCGUGGAUUUCGGAGGGGGGUGUAUAUAUAGGCAUAAGUGGAGCUAGGAGAGUCCAAAUGAGGUGCGGUUUUCGCCCACACGAUCGUGAUCGAACGCUCUAGGACAUGGAGCAGAGUUUGGUGGGUUUUGGGCCAAAUUUGGGGGGUGUUGGGCUGCGACACGCACGAGGCCUUUUCGGUCCCUCGGUUAACCGUUGGAGUAUCAAACGAAGUCCAAAUGACCCGAAACUUGACAAGCGGUCUACCGGUAGUAAACCAAGGCCGCUUGGCAAGUCUCGGUCCAAUCCGGAAAUGUUUAAACCCCACACACGAAAGAAGACUAGAAAUGACCACCGGAGGAGAACGAAGCGCCGGAAUGCAAAACGGUCAACGGGGAAAAUGCUCGAAUGCAUGAGAUGAACAUGUAUGCAAAUGCAAUGCACGUGAUGACAUGAUAAGAGAUGCACGAAAAAGAAAAACAACACACGGAGACAAAGACCCAACCCAAGAAAUAAAUAUAACUUAGCGCCGGAGACGGCAAGAGUUGGAUACAAAUAUGGAAAGUAUAUCUGGGGCGUUACACUGAUGAUGAACAGUACAAAGGAAUAACAGCCUUGCGAGGGGUGUUCUUGUGGUGGUGUGGAGUUCUACUUGUCCAGGAUUCGAUCCCCUCCUACUAUGGUGGCUAUCUAUAUUUAUAGAGGCCCUGGUCCUCUUCCCAAAUAUUGAGCGGGAAGGUAGCCAACAACGGCCAUUUUGGAAGGGGACAGCUAGUACAGGCUAUCCUGACUAAAGGUGGUCUUCGACUGCCAAAGGCACUGGCGAUGACGCCGUCUUGGGCUCCAUGGUGACCUCCAUCUUGCCGCUCUGCUGGUCUUGGUCUCGUUGCACCAAUAUGGAAACAUUUGCCUGAUGCCUCGGUACUCCAUGCGUGCACUUGCCCCUCUUUGCACCAAAGAGGAAACGAGGACACUGCGCAGGCUGGCGCCCGCCUAGCGCCCGCCUGGUCUUGAUCGUCAUGGCUUGCGUCAUGAGCACCUCGCAAGGUACCCCUUGCCUUGAUCUCCUCGCCUCCUCGCGAGCCUGCCUGGUGAGGUCAUCCCUGAGGAAGCCUUGUGUCGUCCGCCCCGCGAGGCUUGGCCCCUCACGAGGGUCUUGAACUUGGGUUGAUGAAGACGGGCCGUACUGGGCCACCGCUGAGCCACGCCGCAGGCCGCAGGCAGGCAAAUGUGGGGACCCCCGUUCCCAGAACGCCGACAGACCCGAAGAUCUGUGGUAAACUACUCACAACUCAUCGGAAGGGCCUUGGAGAUGAUGUAGAGGCCCUAUGUGGUCGAUUCCUCCUCCAACGGAGCGCCGGCAAAGGCUCCAAGAUGGGAUCUCGCGGAUACAGAAGGUUACAGUGGUAGAAUUAGGUUUUCGUGGUGCUCCUCGAUGGUUUCAGGGUACGUGGGUAUAUAUAGGAGGAAGAAGUAGGUCGGUGGACGCUCGGGGGGCCCACGAGGGUGGCGGGCGCGUCCACCUGUAGGGGGCGCGCCGGGUACCCUCCUAGCCGCCUCCUUCGUUGCUUGACGUCCACUCCAAGUCUCCUGUAUCACGUUUGUUCCAAAAAGAUCGCUCCCGAAGGUUUCAUUCCGUUUGGACUCCGUUUGAUAUUCCUUUUCUUCAAAACACUAAAAUAGGCAAAAAAACAGCAAUUCGGGCUGGGCCUCCAGUUAGUAGGUUAGUCCCAAAAAUGAUAUAAAAGUGUAAAGUAAAGCCCAUAAACAUCCAAAAUGGGUAAUAUAAUAGCAUGGAACAAUCAAAAAUUAAAGAUACGUUGGAGAUGUUUCAAGCAUCCCCAAGCUUAAUUCUUGCUCAUCCUCGAGUAGGUAAAUGAUAAAAACAGAAUUUUUGAUGUGGAAUGCUACCUAGCAUUAUUCUCAAUGUAAUUUUCUUUAUUGUGGCAUGAAUGUUCAGAUCCAAAUGAUUCAAAAUAAAAGUUCAUAUUGACAUAAGAAAUAGUAAUACUUCAAGCAUACUAAUAAAGCAAUCAUGUCUUCUCAAAAUAACAUGGCUCAAGAAAGUUAUCCCUACAAAAUCGUAUAGUCUGGAUGUUGCUCUAUCUUCAUCACACAAAGUAUUUAAUCAUGCACAACCCGAUGACAAGCCAAGCAAUUGUUUCAUACUUUUGUAAUCUCAAACUUUUUCAACUUUCACGCAAUACAUGAGCGUGAGCCAUGGACAUAGCACUAUAUGUGGAAUAGAAUGGUGGUUGUGGAGAAGACAAAAAAAAGGAGAAGAUAGUCUCACAUCAACUAGGCGUAUCAACGGGCUAUGGAGAUGCCCAUUAAUAGAUAUCAAUGUGAGUGAGUAGGGAUUGCCAUGCAACGGAUGCACUAGAGCUAUAAAUGUAUGAAAGCUCAACAAAAGAAACUAAGUUGGUGUGCAUCCAACUCACUUGCUCACGAAGACCUAGGGCAUAUUGAGGCAGCCCAUCAUUGGAGUAUACAAGCCAGGUUCUAUAAUGAAAAAUUCCCACUAGUAUAUGAAAGUGACAACAUAGGAGACUCUCUAUCAUGAAGAUCAUGGUGCUAUUUUGAAGCACAAGUGUGGUAAAAAGGAUAGUAGCAUUGUCCCUUCUCUAUUUUUCUCUCUUGUUUUAUUUGGCCUUUUUUUAUUUGGCCUUUCUCUUUUUUUAUUUGGUGGGCUCUUUGGCCUCUUUUUUUUAUAAAGUCUGAAGUCUCAUCCCGACUUGUGGGGGAAUCAUAGUCUCCAUCAUUCUUUCCUCACUUGCGACAAUGCUCUAAUAAUGAAGAUCAUCACACUUUUAUUUACUUACAACUCAAGAUUACAACUCAAUACUUAGAACAAGAUAUGACUCUAUAUGGAUGCCUUCGGCGGUGUACCGAGAUAUCCAAUGAAUCAAGAGUGACAUGUAUGAAAAUUAUGAAGGUGGCCUUGCCACAAAUACGAUGUCAACUAAAUGAUCAUGCAAAUAGCAAUAUGACAAUGAUGAUGUGUAUCAUAUAAACAGAACGGUAAAAAGUUGCAUGGUAAUAUAUCUCGGAAUGGCUAUGGAAAUGCCAUAAUAGGUAGGUAUGGUGGCUGUUUUGAGGAAGGUAUAUGGUGGGUGUAUGGUACCGGCGAAAGUUGCACGGCACAAAAGAGGCUAGCAAUGGUGGAAGGGUGAGAGUGCGUAAAAUCCAUGGACUCAACAUUAGUCAUAAAGAACUCAUAUACUUAUUGCAAAAAUCUAGAAGCCAUUGAAAACAAAGUACUACAUGCAUUCUCCUAGGGGUAGAUUGGUAGGAAAAGACCAUCGCUCGUCCCCGACCGCCACUCAUAAGGAAGACAAUCAAUAAAUAAAAUUGUGCUCCAACUUCAUCACAAAGCGGUUCACCAUACGUGCAUGAUACGGGAAUCACAAACUUCAACACAAGUAUUCUUUAAAUUCAUAAUCACCUAACUAGCAUGACUCUAAUAUCACCAUCUCUAUAUCUCAAAACAACUAUCAAGCAUCAAAUUGAUCAUAGAAUCCAAUUCACUUUCUAUGAUAGUUUUUAUUAUACCCAACUUGGAUGCCCAUCAUUAUAGGACCAAUUUUAUAACCAUAGCAAAUACCAUGCUGUUCUAAGAGACUCUCAAAAUAGUAUAAGUGAAGCAUGAGAGAUCAACAAUUUCUACAAAAUCAAGCCACCGCCAUGCUCUAAAACAUAUAAGUGAAGCACUAGAGCAAAACUAUCUAGCUCAAAAGAUAUAAUUGAAGCACAUAGCAUAUUCUAAUAAAUUCUAAUCAAGUGGGCUUCUCCCAAAAGGUGUGUACAGCAAGGAUGAUUGUGGUUAUCUAAAAAGCAAAGACUAAUAUCAUACAAGACGCUCCAAGCAAAACACAUAUCAUGUGGCGAAUAAAAAUAUAGCUCCAAGUAAAGUUACCGAUAGACAAAGACGAAAGAGGGGAUGCCUUCCGGGGCAUCCCCAAGCUUAGGCUUUUGGUUAUCCUUGAAUAUCUUGGGGUGCCACGGGCAUCCCCAAGCUUAGGCUCUUGCCACUCCUUAUUCCAUAGUCCAUCAAAUCUUUACCCAAAACUUGAAAACUUCACAACACAAAACUCAACAGGAAAUCUCAUAAGCUCCGUUAGUGCAAGAAAGCAAAACCACCACAUAAGGUACUCUAAUGAACUCGUUAUUUAUUUAUAUUGGUGUUACACCUACUGUAUUCCAACUUCUCUAUGGUUCAUACCCCUACAUACUAGCCAUAGAUGCAUCAAAAUAUGCAAACAACACACGAAAAUCAGAAUCUGUCCAAAACAGAACAAUCUGUAGCAAUCUGUAACUCUGGAAUACUUCUAGAACUCUAAAAAUCGUAAAAAAAUAGGAAGUCCUGGGCAAUUUGUCUAUUGAUCUAAAUCAAAAAGAAUCAAUGCAAAAUCACGUUUCUGUGAAUUACUAAAAUUAUUUUCGUGCGCGUAAAGUUUCUGUUUUUCAUAAGAAUCAAAUUAACUAUCACCAUAGGUUAUCCUAUAGGUUCUACUUGGCACAAACACUAAUUAAAACAUGAAAACACAUCUAAACAGAAGCUAGAUGAAAUAUUUAUUACUAAACAGACGCAAAAACUAAAAAAACUAAAAUAAAAAUGGGUUGCCUCCCAACUAGCGCUAUUGUUUAACGCCCCAAGCUAGGCAUAAAAGCGAGGAUAGAUCUAAGUAGUGCCAUCUUUGGCACUCAAUUCAUAAGUAGCUCACAUGAUAGAUUCAUAAGGUAAUUUGACUUUCUUUCUUGGAAAGUGCUCCAUGCCUUUCCUUAAUGGGAAUUGUAAUCUAAUAUUCUCUUCCUUCAUAUCAAUAAUCGCACCAAUCGUUCUAAGGAAAGGUCUACCAAGAAUAAUAGGACAAAAAAGAUUGCAAUCUAUAUCAAGAACGAUAAAAUCUACGGGCACAUAGUUCCUAUUUGCAACAAUAAGAACGUCAUUGAUUCUUCCCAUAGGCUUCUUAAUGGUGGAAUCCACAAGGUGCAAAUUUAAAGAGCAAUCAUCAAAAUCAUGGAAACCUAGAAUAUCACAUAAAGUUUUCGGAAUCGUGGAAACACUAGCACCCAAAUCACAUAAAGCAUAGCACUCAUGAUCUUUAAUUUUAAUCUUUAUAGUAGGUUCCCACUCAGCAGAGCAUCUCCAACAGCCGCACUAAGCGCCGCGUGCAAAAAACCUGUUUGCCGCGCGCGCUUCGGCUGGUUUAGCGCGGCCGCCAGCGCUGGCUCCAGCAGCCACACUAUAAUGCAGCGCGCGCGCCGCUCCAGCAACGCGCAAAAAUACAGCGCACGCGCGCCGCACAAACCACAUAUACAUUUCAAAAAAGAGGAGAAAAAAUGAUCAAACAAACAAAAUAAAUCAACAAUAAAUAGUUCAAUUUCGUUAUCAUUACAACUCAAACAAAUAGUUUAUCGUUCAGUACAACAAAUAAUGCAAUAAACACAACAAAUAGUUCAUGAACAAUACAAUGUCGAAUGCGGAAAUCAUGCUCUUCGUCGUCCAUGCCAUGCCCACCACUCUUCAAUCAGAUCAUUCUGAAGUUCAUUGUGCAUUGCGGGACGCCGAAUGGCAUGAUAGGAGGCAAUAAAACAGGCUACCCUUUCAGCCCUCCGUCGCACUCGCACGGGAUGUCCCAAGAGCUCAUACUAUGAGUAGUCUAAAUCUUGGCCACGCUCAUUCUUGAUGAUCAUGUUGUGCAUGAUCACACAAGCAUGCAUGAUGUACCAAAGCAUUUUUUGAUCCCAAAAUCUAGCCGGUCCUCUCACAAUGGCAAAUUGGGCUUGCAAAAUCCCAAAUGCUCUCUCCACAUCUUUUCUAUCCGCCGCCUGAGCAUUGUGGAAAUCAAGAUUUUUCUUACCUUCCGGCUUUUUCAAUGGCCUCACGAAGGUUUGCCACUUUGGAUAGAUGCCAUCCGCUAGAUAAUAGCCAUAGUUGUAUGUACGUCCAUUUGCUACAAACUGCACCGGUGGCAACUCACCCUUUGCAAUCUUAUUCAUCAGUGGUGACCGGUUGACAACAUUGAUGUCAUUCGAAGAUCUAGGCAUUCCAAAGAAUGCAUGCCAAAUCCAAGUCUCCUGAUCGGCUACCGCUUCAAGGAUUAUAGUGGAACCCUUUUUUUGGCCGUGGAAUUGCCCAUGCCAUGCCUUUGGACAAUUCUUCCAACUAAAAUGCAUGCAAUCUAUUGAGCCAAGCAUGCCAGGAAAGCCGUGCGCUUUGUUCAUCACCAAUAGCCUAGCGGCGUCUUCAGCAGUGGGAGAUCUCAAAUACUCCUCGCCAAACACUUGCACAAUUCCCACUGCAAAGCGCUUGACACACAUGAUGGCUUGGCUCUCACCCAUAGCCAAGUGAUCAUCAACUAGAUCAGCCAGGAUACCGUAUGCCAACAUACGCAAAGCAGUUGUCACCUUCAGAAAGGUGCUAUCCCCGAGCUCUCCGGCGACAUUCCUCCUUUGCUGGAAAAACCGGUCAUGGCUCGCUAGUUUCUCUGCAAUGCGCCUGAACAAGUCGGUGCUCAUCCUAAACCGGCAACGAAAAUAUGACUCCGGGUAUGUGGGAUUCUCCACGAAAUAGUUCUUCAUCAAUCUGUUAUGGGCAUCAAUCCUAUCUCUCCAAAUUUUCUCCCGACCCAUAACCGAACCACCGUGCUUCCAUUUUUUAUUGAUAUGCAUAGCUAUGAUCAUUGCAAGAUCCUCCUCCUCUUCCAUAUCAAAUUCUUCUUCGGAAGAAUCAUACGACGAACUCAUCUACAAUGUUCAAUACUAUACUAUAAAAACUACAAUUCAAAACAUGCACCAAAUUCAUGAAGUUUGAGCAAUACAUACCUUGUAGGCGUUUUGUCGAACACCUUGCGGGCCCGGCGCGGCAGCGAGCGCUCGGGCGCUGUUCCUCGGACGACGGAGGCGCGCGAGGGUCGGCGGGACUAGGAGGGGAUGGGGCGGAAGCGCGGCGGUGCGGGGAUAGGCCGGGGAAGCGCCUGAACGGUCGCUGGGGGGCGCGGGCGGUGGCGGCGGUGCGGCCGGAUGGGGGUGGAAGUGGGAGAGCGAGCGCUCAAGUGUGCCGCGCACUGUAGCGGGCGCGCAAAAUACACCGCGCGGGAUAGUGUUUCCGACAGCGCGCGCGCCGUUUUUGGGCGACCCGCCGCGUUGCGCACGCGCUAAAACGGACUAAUUUGCGGUGCGGCGCUAGUUUAGCACGGCUGUUGGAGAUGCUCUCAUAAAGUUUUCUUGGUAUAGAAAGUUCCAAAUUAUGAUUUUGAUCAUAAGAUUCCAUCAAGGCAUCAAGAAUAUAUUUGGUAAAAGCCUUAUUUUGACUAUAAGCAUGAGGAGAAUUCAACACGGAUUGCAACAAGGAAAUACAAUCUAUUAAAGAAAAAUUAUCAUAAUUAAGUUCCUUGAAAUCCAAGAUAGUGGGUUCAAUGCUAUUUAAAGUCUUGACCUCUCCAAUCCCACUUUUACCAAAUUUAGCAUCAAGAUCUACGAACUCCGAAUUAUUGGGACGCCUUUUAACUAAAGUUGACUCAUCUCUAGUCCCAUCAUUAUUAAGAUUCAUAUUGCAAAACAAAGAUUUAAUAGGGGACACAUCAAUAACUUUUAGAUCUUCAUCAUUAUUUUCAUGAAAACUAGAAGAACACGCCUUUACAAAGCAAUCUUUCUUAGCAUGCAAUCUAGCGGUUCUUUCUUUGCACUCAUCAAUGGAAAUUCUCAUUGCUUUGAGAGACUCAUUGAUAUCAUGCUUAGGAGGAGUAGAUCUAAGUUUCAAAGAAUCAACAUCAAGCGAAAGUCUAUCAACGUUCCUAGCCAAGUCAUCAACUUUAAGCAAUUUUUCUUCAAGCAAAGCAUUAAAAUUCUUUUGAGAGAUCAUAAAUUCUUUAACACUAUUCUCAAAAUCAGAGGGCGUCUUAUUAUAAUUACCAUAAGAAUUAUUGUAGGAAUUUCCAUAAUUAUUAGAGGAAUUACUAGGGAACCGUCUAGGAUUAAAGUUUCCUCUAUAAGCAUUGUUACCAAAAUUAUUCCUACCAACAAAAUUCACAUCCAAAGAUUCAUUAUUAUUCUCAAUCAAAGUAAAGGCAUAUCAUUGGGAUCAAUAGGAUCACUCUUAGUAGAAAACAAUUUCAUAAGUUCAUCCAUCUUUCCACUCAAAACAUUAAUUUCUUCUAUAGCAUGCACUUUUUUACUAGUAGAUCUUUCAGUGUGCCAUUGAGAAUAAUUAGCCAUAAUAUUAUCAAGGAGUUUAGUAGCUUCUCCUAAGGUGAUUUCCAUAAAAGUGUCUCCCGCAGCCGAAUCUAAAAGAUUUCUAGAAGGAAAAUUCAAUCCGACAUGGAAAUUUUGUAUGAUCAUCCAUAAAUUCAAACCAUGAGUAGGGCAAUUUUGAAUCAUCAAUUUCAUUCUUUCCCAAGAUUGGGCAACAUGCUCAUGAUCAAGUUGUUUAAAAUUCAUAAUAUCGUUCCUAAGAGAGAUGAUCUUAGUAGGAGGAAAAUACUUAGAGAUAAAAGCAUCUUUGCACUUAUUCCAUGAAUCAAUACUAUUCUUAGGCAAAGCCGAAAACCAAACUUUAGCAUGAUCUCUAAGUGAAAACAGAAAUAACUUCAAUUUAACAAUAUCAUUAUUCGUAUCUUUCUUCUUUUGCAUCUAACAAAAAUCAACAAAGUUGUUUAGAUGGGUAGCAGCAUCUUCACUAGGAAGGCCGGAGAAUUAAUCUUUCAUAACAAGAUUCAGCAAAGCAGCAUUGAUUUCACAAGACUCAACAUCAAUAAGAGGAGCAAUCGGAGUACCAAGGAAAUCAUUAUUAUUGGUAUUGGAAAAGUCACACAACUUGGUAUUAUCUUGCGCCAUCGCGACAAGUAAUCCAACACACAAGCAAACAAAAAUGCAAGCGAAAGACAGAGAAGGUUGGGAAAGAGAGGGCGAAUAAAACGGCAAGGGUGAAGUGGGGGAGAGGAAAACGAGAGGCAAAUAGCAAAUAAUGUAAUGCGAGGGAGAUGAGUUUGUGAUGUGUACUUGGUAUGUCUUGACUUGAGCGAAGACCUCCCCGGCAACGGUGCCAGAAAUCCUUCUUGCUAUGUCUUGAGCUCGCGUUGGUUUUCCUUGAAGAGGAAAGGGUGAUGUAGCAAAGUAGCAUAAGUAUUUCCCUCAGUUUUUGAGAACCAAGGUAUCAAUCCAGUAGGAGGCUCCUCAAAAGUCCCACGCACCUACACAAACAAACAAGAACCUCACAACCAACGCAAUAAAGGGGUUGUCACUCCCUUCACGGUCACUUGCGAAAGUGAGAUCUGAUAGAGAUAAUAUGAUAAGAUAAAUAUUUAUGGUAUUUUUAUGAGAUAGAUUGGAAAAAUAAAGAUGCAAAUAAAAGUAGAUUGAAAGCUUAUAUGAUAAAAGAUAGACCCGGGGGCCAUAGGUUUCACUAGUGGCUUCUCUCAAGAUAGCAUAAGUAUUACGGUGGGUGAACAAAUUACUGCCGAGCAAUUGAUAGAAAAGCGAAUAAUUAUGAGAUUAUCUAGGCAUGAUCAUGUAUAUAGGCAUCACGUCCGUGACAAGUAGACCGACUCCUGCCUGCAUCUACUACUAUUACUCCACACAUCGACCGCUAUCCAGCAUGCAUCUAGAGUAUUAAGUUCAUAAAGAACAGAGUAACACAUUAAGAAAGAUGACAUGAUGUAGAGGGAUAAACUCAUGCAAUAUGAUAUAAACCCCAUCUUUUUAUCCUCGAUGGCAACAAUACAAUGCGUGCCUUGCUGCCCCUGCUGUCACUGGGAAAGGACACCGCAAGAUUGAACCCAAAGCUAAGCACUUCUCCCAUUGCAAGAACGAUCAAUCUAGUAGGCCAAACCAAACUGAUAAUUCAAAGAGACUUGCAAAGAUAACUUAAUCACACAUAAAAGAAUUCAGAGGAGAUUCAAAUAUUUCUCAUAGAUAAACUUGAUCAUAAACCCACAAUUCAUCGGAUCUCGACAAACACACCGCAAAAAGAGUUACAUCGAAUAGAUCUCCAAGAAGAUCGAGGAGAACUUUGUAUUGAGAUUCGAAGAGAGAGAAUAAGCCAUCUAGCUAAUAACUAUGGACCGAAGGUUUGUGGUAAACUACUCACAACUCAUCGAAAGGGCCUCGAAGAUGAUGUAGAGGCCCUCCAUGGUCGAUUCCCCCUCCGGCGGAGCACCGGUGAAGGCUGCAAGAUGGGAUCUCGUGGAUACAGAAGGUUACGGCGGUGGAAUUAGGUUUUCGUGGUGCUCCUCGAUGGUUUCAGGGUACGUGGGUAUAUAUAGGAGGAAGAAGUAGGUCGGUGGACGCUCGAGGAGCCCACGAGGGUGGGGGGCGCGCCCACUUGUAGGGGGCACGCCAGGCACCCUCGUGGCCGCCUCCUCUGUUGCUUUACGUCCACUCGAAGUCCCCUAGAUCACGUUUGUUCCAAAAAGAUCGCUCCCGAAGGUUUCAUUCCGCUUGGACUCCAUUUGAUAUUCCUUUCUUCAAAACACUGGAAUAGGCAAAAAAACAGCAAUUCGGGCUGGGCCUCCGGUUAGUAGGUUAGUCCCAAAAAUGAUAUAAAAGUGUAAAUUAAAGCCCAUAAACAUCCAAAACGGGCAAUAUAAUAGCAUGGAACAAUCAAAAGUUAUAGAUACGUUGGAGACGUAUCACCGGUGCAUAACCCCAAAACUCGUUCCUUGUUUUUGUCCCGAAAAAGGAAACUAGCCAAAUAGCCAAUAGGAGUCCUGCGCAACCCCAGGAAUUUGGAGCGACUGGGUACAAAUAAUUGCGGUUGAUUAUAUCAGCAGUUAGAUAAUACGUCAACCCCCGCUUCAAUCCCCUCUUCAAUUGGAAGUUCCUCUUCUCUGCAUACCCCGCUUAAGUGUCCACCAUCUUCAUCGUCUCUGGCAGGCCAUGCUACACACUGGCACACACUCUGCAGCCAUGUCUAGCGACAGUGAGGCGACAGUUCGGCCAGCAGUCUGGCGCCUGAUGAUAGGUCAACAUCGGAAUCAUCCCGCUCGUCUUCCAUGGGUCAAGCGUCGAGCCCAGACCUCGAUUAUAUCCGGUUGAUGGAAGGGACGCUGCCUCUGGAGUCGUCAGACGACAACCAGACGGACGAGGAGCCGUCGAAGGACGAAGAGGAGGAUGACGAUGAUGAGGAGGAAUGGUCAAAUGAGGAGGAGGACGACGAUGAUAGCAAUGACGAUGACGACGGUGGUGGCGAUGAAAAGCCAACGAUCAGCGGCAAGAAGCGUCCUCGCCAAGACGAUGUCGCAGGGCCAUCCAACAAGAAUAACAAGAACAAGAAGGACUAAAUUAAGCGGACUGUGUAUGUCUCUGUUUGUCCUAUCAAUCUCAUCGCAGACAGUUAGUAAUAUGUAUUCGACAGAGAUCUUCUACAUUAUCGCCAACAGGUUGGUUUGUUGAACUGUGUGCCCUGACGAGCACACAAUUCACAAAAAAAGACCGUAUGGGCUGUCUAUAAUGAUCCCACACAAUUUUGAUUACUGGCAUGUUUGCUGGGUAUCACACACAUCUUGUUACACCGAAUCGUUUGUGUUCACCUCACUCAUCGCAAACGGUUCAAAGGAGUGAACUAUAUGCCGUAUAUCACACACACCUUGAUCUGGCUGCCCAUUUCUGUUGUUCUAUCUCAUCGCAAAUAGUUCAUACAUAUCAACCGUAUGCCCCUCAUCGCACACGCAACUAUAAUAUGCACCCCUUUUGAUGUAUCAUUCAUCGCAAACAUUUUGCACCAUUUCUGACGGUUUUCAUACAGCACCGUUUGCGAUUACUGCAUCACAGUUUCUCAAAGGGUCUCUGAUCGUAGUGUCGCGUUAGCAGCAUCCUGCGGUAGAAAGCUCCAGCGAUCCAUCUAUGGACUGGUGCAAGCAUCUCAGAGUUGGAAUAUACGCUUUGAUGAGUUGAUCAAAGCAUAUAGUUUUAUACAGACUUGCGGUGAAGCCUAUAUUUAUAAGAAAGUGAGUGGGAGCACUACAGCCUUUCUGAUAAGUAUAUGUGAAUGACAUAUUGUUGAUCGGAAAUGAUGUAGAAUUUUCUAGAAAGCAUAAAGGAGUGUUUGAAAGGAGUUUUUCAAAGAAAGACCUCGGUGAAGCCGCUUACAUAUUGAGCAUCAAGAUCUAUAGAGAUAGAUCAAGAUGCUUGAUAAGUGUUUUCAAUGAGUACAUACCUUGACAAGUUUUUGAUGUAUUUCAAAAUGGAACAGUCAAAGAAGGAGUUCUUGCCUGUGUUGCAAGGUGUGAAGUUGAGUAAGACUCAAAGCCCGACCAUGGCAGAAGAUAGAGAGAUAAUGAAAGUCAUUCCCUAUGCCUCAGCCAUAGGUUCUAUAAAGUAUGCCAUGCUGUGUACCAGACCUAUUAUAUACCCUACCCUGAGUUUGGCAAGGGAGUACAAUAGUGAUCUAGGAGUAGAUCACUGGACAUUGGUCAAAAAAUAUCCUUAGAGGACUAAGAAAAUAUUUGUCGGUUAUGGAGGUGAUAAAAGAGUUCGUCGUAAAGAGUUACGUCGAUGCAAGCUUUGACACCGAUCAAGAUGACUCUGAGUCUCGAUCUAGAUACAUAUUGGAAGUGGGAGCAUUUAGCUAGAGUAGCUGCGUGCAGAGCAUUGUAGACAUAGAAAUUUGUAAAAUACAUACGGAUCUGAAUGUGGCAGACCCAUUGACUAAACCUCUCUCACAAGCAAAACAUGAUCACAUGUUAGUACUCUUUGGGUGUUAAUCACAUGGCGAUGUGAACUAGAUUAUUGACUCUAGUAAACCCUUUGGGUAUUGGUCACAUGGUGAUGUGAACUAUAGAGUGUUCAAUCACAUGAUGAUGUGAACAGUUGGUGUUAAAUCACAUGGCAAUGUGAACUAGACUAUUGACUCUAGUGCAAGUGGGAGACCGAAGGAAAUAUGCCCUAGAGGCAAUAAUAAAGAUGUUAUUUAUAUUUCCUUAUACCAUGAUAAAUGUUUAUUAUUCAUGCUAGAAUUGUAUAGCCGGAAAACUUGAUACAUGUGUGAAUACAUAGACAAAACAAAGUGUCCCUAGUAUGCCUCUACUUGACUAGCUCAUUAAUCAAAGAUGGUUAAGUUUCCUGACCAUAGACAUGUGUUUUCAUUUGAUGAAUGGGAUCACAUCAUUAGGAGAAUGAUGUGAUGGACAAGACCCAUCCGUUAGCUUAGCAUGUUGAUCGUUCAGUUUUUAUUGCUAUUGCUUUCUUCAUGACUUAUACAUUUCUCUGACUAUGAGAUUAUGCAACUCCCGAAUACCGGAGGAACACCUUGUGUGCUAUCAAACGUCACAAUGUAAAUGGGUGACUAUAAAGAUGCUCUACAGGUGUCUCCGAAGGUGUUUGUUGAGUUGGCAUAGAUCGAGAAUAGGAUUUGUCACUCCGUGUAUCGGAGAGGUAUCUCUGGGUCCUCUCGGUAACACACAUCACUAUAAGCCUUGCAAGCAUUGUGACUAAUGAGUUAGUUGCGGGAUGAUGCAUUACGGAACGAGUAAAGAGACUUGUCGGUAAUGAUAUUGAACUAGGUAUGAUGAUACCAACGAUCGAAUCUUGGGCAAGUAACAUACCGAUGACAAAGGGAACAACGUAUGUUGUUAUGCGAUUUGGCCGAUAAAGAUCUUCGUAGAAUAUGUAGGAGAAAAUAUGAGCAUCCAGGUACCGCUAUUGGUUAUUAACCGGAGAUGUGUCUCGGUCAUGUCUACAUAGUUCUCGAACCCGUAGGGUCCGCACGCUUAACGUUCGAUGACGAUUUGUAUUAUGAGUUAUGUGAUUUGAUGACCGAAGUUUGUUCGGUGUGCCGGAUGAGAUCACGGACAUGACGAGGAGUCUCAAAAUAGUCUAGAGGUAAAGAUUCAUAUAUUGGAAGGCUAUAUUCAGACAUCGGAAAGGUUCCGAGUGAUUCCGGUAUUUUUUGGAGUACCCGGGAGUUACAGGAAUUCACUGGGAGAAGUAAUGGGCCUUAUUAGUCCAUACGAGAAAAAGAGGAGGCAGGCCAAGGGGAGGUGGUGCGGCCCCAUGGGUCCGAAUUGGACUAGGGGAAGGGGGCGGCGCGCGCCUUUCCCUUUCCUUCUCCCUCUCUCUUUCCCUCUUUCCUUCUCUCCUACUCCGAAAAGGAAACGGGUUCCUACUAGGACUUGGAAGUCCUAGUAGGACUCCAUACUGUUGGCGCGCCCCAAGGGGGCUGGCCUCUCUCCCUCCCUCCUUUAUAUACGUGGGCAGGGGGCACCCCAAAGGCACUCCAAGGUUUGUAUUAGCCAUAUGCGGUGCCCCCCUCCAUAGUUACACACCUCGGUCAUAUCGUCAUAGUGCUUAGGCGAAGCCCUGCACCGGUAACUUCAUCAUCACCGUCACCAGACCGUCGUGCUGACAAAAUUCUCCCUCGUCCUCAACUGGAUCAAGAGCUCUAGGGACAUCAUCGUGCUGAACUUGUGCUGAACACGGAGGUGUUGUACGUUCGGUACUUGGAUCGGUUAGAUCAUGAAGACGUUCGACUACAUCAACCGUGUUACUAAAUGCUUCCGCUUUCGGUCUACGAGGGUACAUGUGCACACUCUCCCACUCGUUGCUAUGCUUCUCCUAGAUAGAUCUUGCGUGAUCGUAGGAAUUUUUUUUAAAUACUAUGUUCCCCAACAAUUUUUUCCGUCAUAGACGGCCUAAAGAAUGUCAUGCAGGUGCAUCCCCGGCCCACCCAGGACAAAUAGCCCAUUUUCUGUCAUGAAUUUUUUUCAUAGAAGUAGGAUCCCACCACAUCAAUAAUGAUACAUGGUUUUGUCACAAUUAUCGUCAUAGAAGUGUCAUAAGGAUGACAUAAUUUUUUUGUUCGGCCCAAAAUGUCACGGAUGUGUCUUUUUUUUGUAGUGCCUCCACCUGCCUUCCUACCACACUGAAACAUGGAAGGGGGGCGGCUAGGGGCAGGAGCCCAAGUGGGAUUUGACCCCACUUGGGGCAGCUCAUAGCUGCCCCCCCUCUCCCCCACCUAUAUAUAUGUGUGAGGGGGCGCCACACAUAACCACGAUAAUCUCUUAGCCGUGUGCGGCGCCCCUAUCCACAGUUUCGUCUCUCAGUCAUAUUUUCGUAGUACUUAGGCGAAGCCCUGCGGAGAUAGCAUCACCACCACUGUCACCACGUUGUCAUGCUGUCGUACGUUCGGUACACGAUCGGUUGGAUCGCGAAGAAGCUCGACUACAUCAACCGCGUUGCUACGGUCUACGAGGGUACGUAGACACACUCUCCCCUCUCGUUGCUAUGCAUCUCCAUGGAUAGAUCCUGCAUGAGCGUAGAAUUUUUUUUGUUUUCCAUGCAACGUUUCCCAACAGUGGCAUCAGAGCCAGGUCUAUGAGGAGAUGAUAUGCAUGAGUAGAACUCAAAGAGUUGUGGGCGGUGAUAGUCAUACUGCUUACCAGCAAUGUAUUAUUUUGGUUCAGCGCUAUUGUGGGAUGAAGUGGCCCGGACCAACCUUACAUGUCCAUGCACAUGAGACCGGUUUCACCGACUGACAUGCAACUUGUUUUGCAUGAAGGUGGCUGGCGGGUGUUUGUUUCUCCUACUUUAGUUGAAUCGAAUUUGACUAUGGCCGGUCCUUGAAGAAUGUCAAAAUAGCAAACUUGAAAAAUCACUGUUGUGGUUUUUUCAUAGUUAUUAAGAGUGGUUGUUGCAGGAAGCCCGUAGCUGCCACGUAAAACUUGCAACAACAAAGUAGAGGACAUCUAACUUGUUUUUGUAGGGCAUGUUGUUGUGUGAUGGCUUCCUCAAAUAUGGAAGGCGGCACAGCUAGGGGCUGAUAUGUCCAUUUUGCAUCAUGCUUUUAUAUCAAUAUUUAUUGCAUUAUGGGUUGUUAUUACACAUUAUAUCUCAAUACUUAUGGCUAUUCUCUCUUAUUUUACAAGGUUUACCAUGAAGAGGGGGAAUGCCGGCAGCUGGAAUCCUGGCUGGAAAAGGAGCAAACAUUGGAAACCUAUUCUGCACAACUCCAAAAGUCCUGAAACUCCACGAAACAACUUUUUGGAUUUAAUAAGAAUUUAUGAGCGAAAGAAAUAGGCCAGAGGGCCCACACCCAGUCCAGGAGACAGCCCCCCCCCAUGUAGGGCGCGACCCCCUAUCUCCUGGGCCCCCUGGUGGGCCUCUGGCGUCCAUCUUAUGCUAUAUCAUCACUUCUACCCUGGAAAAAAUCGUGGGCAAGCUUACGGGACGAAACUCCGCCGCCACGAGGCGGAACCUUGGCGGAAUCAAUCUAGGGCUCUGGCGAAGCUGUUCUGCCGGGGACACUUCCCUCCGGGAGGGGGAAUUCAUCACCAACGUCAUCACCAACGAUCCUCUCAUCAGGAGGGGGUCAAUCUCCAUCAACAUCUUCACCAGCACCAUCUCCUCUCAAAACCCUAGUUCAUCUCUUGUAUCCAAUCUUGUAUCAAAACCACAAAUUGGUACAUGUGGGUUGCUAGUUCAUCUCUUGUAUCCAAUCUUGUAGUUGAUGCUAAUUGGUUUACUUGGUGGAAGAUCAUAUGUUCAGAUACUUUAUGCAUAUUAUUACUCCUCUGAUUAUGAACAUGAAUAUGCUUUGUGAGUAGUUACAUUUGUUCCUGAGGACAUGGGUGAAGUCUUGCUAUUAGUAGUCAUGUGAAUUUGGUAUUCGUUCGAUAUUUUGAUGAGAUGUAUGUUGUCUUUCCUCUAGUGGUGUUAUGUAAACGUUGACUACAUGACACUUCACCAUUAUUUGGGCCUAGAGGAAGUCAUAUGGAAGUAAUAAGUAGAUGAUGGGUUGCUAGAGUGAUAGAAGCUUAAACCCUAGUUUAUGUGUUGCUUCAUUAGGGGUUGAUAUGGACCCAUAUGUUUAAUGUUGUAGUUAGGUUUACCUUAAUACUCCUUUUUGUAGUUGCGGAUGCUUGCAAUAGGGGUUAAUCAUAAGUGGGAUGCUUGUCCAAGUUAGGACAGUACCAAAGUGCUGGUCUACCCACAUAUCAAAUUAUCAAAGUACCGAAUGCAAAUCUUACGAACGUGAUGAAAACUAGCUUGACGAUAAUUCCCAAUGUGUCCUGGGGAGCUCCUUCUUCAUUAUUAGAAUUUGUCCAGGCUUAUCCUUUGCUACAUAAAGGAUUGGGCCACCUUGCUGCACUUUAUUUACUUUAUUUACUUUUUGCUCGUUACCAUUUAUCGUAUCACAAAACUAUCUAUCACUUACUAUUUCAGUGCUUGCAGAGAAACCCUUACUGAAAACCGCUUAUCAUUUCCUUCUGCUCCUCGUUGGGUUCGACACUCUUACUUAUCGAAAGGACUACGAUAGAUCCCCUAUACUUGUGGGUCAUCAAGACUCUUUUCUGGCGCCGUUGCCGGGGAGUGUAGUGCUUUUGGUGAGUGGAACUUGGUAAGGAAACAUUUAUAUAGUGUGCUGAAAUUUUCUGUUACUUGUCACUAUGGAAACUAAUCCUUUGAUGGGCUUGUUUGGGUAUCUUCACCCCAAACAGAAGAGCAAAGAGAUGCUCCUCAACCUACUAAACUUAUGAAAAUAUUCACUUUGAGAUUCCUUCGGGUAUGAUAGAAAAACUGCUAGCUAAUCCUUUUGCAGGAGACGGAACAUUGCAUCCUGAUUUACACCUUAUCUUUGUGGAUGAAGUUUGUGGAUUAUUUAAGCUUGCAGGUAUUCCCGAUGAUGUUGUCAAAAGGAAGGUCUUCCCUUUAUCCUUGAAGGGAGAUGCAAUGACAUGGUAUAGUCUAUGUGAUGAUACGAGAUCUUGGAAUUAUAAGCGAUUGAAGUUGGAAUUUCACCAGAAGUUCUAUCCUAUGCAUCUUGUUCAUCAUGAUCGUAAUUACAUAUAUAAUUUCUGGCCUCGCGAAGGAGAAAGCAUCGCUCAAGCUUGGGGGAGGCUUAAGUCAAUGUUGUAUUCAUGCCCCAAUCAUGAGCUCUCUCGGGAAAUGAUUAUUCAGAAUUUUUAUGUUCGGCUUUCUCUUGAUAAUCACAACCUGCUCGAUACUUCCUGUGCUGGUUCCUAUAUGCUGAAGACUAUUUAUUUCAAAUGGAACUUAUUGGAAAGAAUUAAAUGCAACUCUGAAGAUUGGGGUUCCGACGACGGUAAGGAGUCAGGUAUGACGCCUAAGUUCGAUUGUGUUAAAUCUUUUAUGGAUACCGAUGCUUUCCGUGGAUUUAGCUCUAAGUAUGGACUUGACUCUGAGAUAGUAGCUACUUUUUGUGAAACUUUUGCUACUCAUGUUGAUCUCCCUAAAGAGAAGUGGUUUAAAUAUAAUCCUCCUGUUGAAGUGAAAAUAGUUGCACCCAUUACAGUCGAAGAAAAGACUAUUACAUAUAGUGAUCCUAUUAUUCCUACUACUUAUGUCGAAAAACCUCCUUUUCCUGUUAGGAUAAAAGAUCAUGCUAAAGCUUUGACUGUUGUUCGUAAGAGUAAUACUAGGACCUAUACACCUCCUGAACAAAUUAAUGUUGAACCUGGUAUUGCUAUGAUUAAAGAUCUCUUGGAUGAGGACUUAGAUGGGCAUGUUAUCUCUUUCUUGGGUGAAACUUCUAAUAUUGCUAGACCCGAUACUAAGACACGUAGACCUAUUGUAGGCAUGCCUGUUAUUUCUGUUAAAAUAGGAGAUCAUUGUUAUCAUGGCUUAUGUGAUAUGGGUGCUAGUGCUAGUGCUAUACCUUAUGAUCUUUAUAAAGAAAUUAUGCACGACAUUGCACCUGUUGAAUUAGAAGACAUUGAUGUUACUAUUAAGCUUGCUAAUAGGGAUACCAUUAAACCUAUUGGGAUUGUUAGAGAUGUUGAAGUUUUGUGCGGGAAGGUUAAAUACCCUGCUGAUUUUCUUGUUCUUGCUUCCCCACAAUAUGAUUUUUGUCCCAUUAUUUUUGGUAGACCCUUCUUGAAUACUGCUAGUGCUAAGAUUAAUUGUAAAAGGAAGGUCGUCACUGUUGGCAUAGAUUGUAUGUCUCAUGAGUUCAAUUUUGCUAAGUUUAGUAGACAACCUCAUGAAAGGGAACCACCUAGUAAGGAUGAGAUUAUUGGCCUUGCUUCCAUUGCUGUUCCUCCAACUGAUCCAUUGGAACAUUAUUUGGUAGACCAUGAAAACAAUAUGUUUAUGAAGGAAAGGGAAGAAAUAGAUGAAGUGUUCCUUAAAGAGGAACGGAUGGGGUUAUGUACCUCGGGUAGGGUCAUGGACCUGAUCCAAGUAACUUACCCCAGGACAUCCUUAGAAGAGGUCGCCUUCCAGUCGACCAACGAGGAUUCACGCGACUAGCCUGAAGGACUCGACCACGAAGACUCACUCGACCACCAGGAGGUCAAGAGGCACUCUGCACUGCAACGGCCUGUAAUCAAGUAGACUUUAUGAUAGUAAAGGCACUUUAUGUGGGGCGUUACCAGUAACGCCCCUGACUUAACUCACCUUAAACCCUCUCCUUCGUGGGCUGGCUGGGGUCCUGGCGUACUCUAUAUAAGCCACCCCCCUCCACAGGCAGAAGGGUUCGGCACCUUGUAGUUCAUACACUCAUAAUCCACUCGACCGCCUCCGGGCUCCGAGACGUAGGGCUGUUACUUCUUCCGAGAAGGGCCUGAACUCGUACAUCCUUUGUGCUUACAACCUCUCCAUAGCUAGGACCUUGCCUCUCCAUACCUACCCCCCACUCUACUGUCAAGCUUAGAACCACGACAGUUGGCGCCCACCGUGGGGCAGGUGUUUUAGCGAUUUUGUGGAGAAGUUGCGAUUCUUCCGAGUACUUUCAUCAUGGUGUCUGCUGGAGUUUUGGUCGAGGGUCAAGAGAUCCGUCUCGGCACUUUCACCUUCAUCGCCGACGACUCCGCAUGGCUCCAAGAGGCUCCACUCGACGUAGAUACGCUCCCCAUCCGCGGUGCGACGCAUUUUCGCACAUGUGUCCACGGCGUUCUGCUGCGGCAGCCGUCGACCCAGUAUCGGACGGCUCCUUCAUCGUCCACCCUCCCGGUUUCCCGCCAGCGCAAGCGCUCGGGCCGGUCGAGGCUUCAGCGAUGGGUAAGGCAUGCGGUGGUUCGCCAAUCGGCCACCACCCAAGUUGCGGCAAUCGAGCUCGACGAACCUUUCUACGGCUUGUUCGACCUGUUGACUGGCUCCGUAGAGACUGCAUCCGAGUGCGGUAGCAGUGAUCCAGCGGCGGAAAUCUUGAUGGUCGAUGGACCCCACAGUCCCCCUGGCUUCGCCCGUGGCGGUGGAGCAGGUGACGGUGGCGACCCUACGCGAGGUUACGAAGAGUACCAACCCGAGCCACUCGACUCUCUGCAAAGAGAGGAACUUCGCCGCAGGAACGAGGAUCCCCUGGGUAUUCCCAUCGCAGGAGAAACUCCCGAGGCUCGUGCCUUGGAGGAAGCGCACCUGGCCAAUUUGGCCGAGCGCACUCGACUGGAGAACCUUCAGCGAGCACUCGACGAGCGCGCGCGGCAACGAGUUCCCGACACCAGUCGACGUCAACUCUUCCCGCCGACUCAGGUAUAUCGAACCCCAAUUCAGAAUUUAGCUGCUGCGACCCGUAUAGCAGAGUCCAUCCAACCUUCGCAGUCGGAAGCUGGCAGAGGUUUGCUGCAGAUCAGGGAUCUGCUCCGGGCAGCAGGAGAUCAGAAUUCAGCCGUGUCUCAGUCGCGCAACAGAAUUCACAGUCGAUCCGUCACUGUGAAUACGGUUCAGUCGGCUCACAGCCCCAGAUCACCUCCGCGGCGCGAAGGGCGCGAGAAUCGGCGAGAUCAAUACGGCGACAGACUCGACCGAGAUGAUAGGCGUCGAGUGCCCUAUUCCCCUCCGAGGGGUGGGUCUUACGCUCCUCGGCAGCCAGAUGAUAGGCGUCAGUACAGUACAGGGCGAAGAGUUCCAGUUGACCCCAGAGAGCUAGGCUUCGAUGCGCGGUCCAUUAUCGUGCAAGGGUUGGUCGACCGGAACAGAGCCCAUCGAGGUGCACUCGACAGAGAUGUACCCACAAGCAGUCGAGUGCAUGUUUCUGGUCCUGAAUGUUUCAGCAGAGCUAUCAGAGCCGCAGUUAUCCCCCCCAAUUUCAAGUUGGCAACAGGAGUCAGCAAGUUCACUGGUGAGUCUAAGCCUGAAACUUGGCUUGAAGACUACCGAGUGGAAGUUCAGAUUGGUGGUGGAAACGACGAGGUGGCCAUGAAGCACUUGCCUCUCAUGCUGGAAGGUUUUGCCAGGGCAUGGUUGACUCAAUUACCUCCUAGCAGCAUUUACACUUGGGAAGAUCUGUCCCGAGUGUUCGUCAGAACAUUUGAAGGGACUUGCAAGCGACCAGCUGGAUUGACAGAGUUGCAAGUCUGCGUGCAGAAAGCUAAUGAGACUCUCAGAGAGUAUAUUCAGAGGUGGAUCACUUUGCACCACACUGUGGAAAAUGUCUCUGAUCAUCAGGCGGUCUGCGCCUUCAAAGACGGCGUCAAGAACAGAGAACUGAGCUUGAAAUUUGGUCGAACCGGUGACAUGACCUUGAGUCGGAUGAUGGAGAUUGCUACUAAGUAUGCCAACGGCGAAGAAGAAGACCGACUCCGAAACGGCAAGCACAAGCCGAGUCAGUCGGAAAAGGGAAACACCAGUCGGAAACAGAAGCGGAAGGCUGAACCGGCAGCUCCUGGAGAGGCUCUGGCCGUGACUCAAGGAAAGUUUAAGGGGAAACCAAAAGGAUCCUGGAACCCCAAGAAGGUAAAGGAUAAAGAAGGGAACGAUGUGUUGGAUAUGCCAUGUCAUAUUCACACGAAGAAAGACGAAGAGGGGAAUAUCAUCUACCCGAAGCACACCACUCGCCAAUGUCGACUCCUGAUCCAGCAGUUUCAGGGAAAACAGUCUAAGGACAAGGAGAAGGAGUCAGACAAGGCCGAAGACAAGGAAGACAGUGAGGGAGGAUAUCCGCAUAUCAACUCCACUCUGAUGAUCUUUGCAGAUGUGGAAAGCAGAAGCCGACUGAAAGUGAUUAACCGAGAGGUGAACAUGGUUGCCCCAGCAAAGGCAAAUUAUCUGAAGUGGUCUCAAACACCCAUCACAUUCGACCAAUCUGAUCACCCGACUCAUAUUGCCACCCCUGGGAGGCAAGCUUUGGUGGUCGAUCCGGUUGUCGAAGGCACUCGACUGACAAAGGUGCUGAUGGACGGUGGAAGUGGGCUGAAUCUGUUAUACGCAGACACAUUGAAAGGUAUGGGCAUUCCGAUGUCCCGACUGAGCACUAGUAACAUGAGCUUUCAUGGAGUUAUACCAGGGAAGAAGGCCGAAUCACUCGGCCAGAUAGCUUUGGACGUGGUGUUUGGUGAUUCGAAGCAUUUUCGCAAAGAAAAGUUGACGUUUGAGGUCGUGGAUUUUCAGAGUGCAUAUCAUGCCAUUUUGGGGAGACCAGCCUAUGCACGGUUCAUGGCUCGACCAUGUUACGUGUAUCUCAAAUUGAAGAUGCCCGGCCCCAAAGGAGUGAUCACUGUCACCGGUGAUAGGAAAAAGGCAGAGGAGUGCUUUCAGAAGGGCUCCAAGAUUGCCGAUUCCCAAGUAACAGCGGUCGAGUUCGAAGAGUACAAGCAAAACGCAGAUCCGAGUGAUUUGCUGCGAUCGAAGAAACCUGCUACAGAGUCUGCGUUCCAGUCGUCUGGGGAGACGAAGCCUGUUCAUAUUCACCCGACCGACCCCGAUGCCGCUCCGACCCGCAUCUCCACAACACUCGACCCAAAAUAGGAAGAAGCGCUCAUCCAGUUCCUCCGUGAGAACUGGGACAUUUUUGCAUGGAAGCCCGCUGACAUGCCAGGUGUUCCCAGGGGACUGGCUGAGCAUCGCCUAAGAGUCGACUCGUCUGCAAAACCAGUCAAAGAGCAUCUUCGGCGGUCUGCCGUCCAGAAGAGAAAGGCCAUUGGUGAAGAAGUGGCUCGACUGUUGGCGGCAGGAUUUAUCCGAGAAAUAUACCACUCCGAGUGGCUCGCUAAUGUCGUCAUGGUUCCUAAGAAGGACAAGUCGCUUCGAAUGUGCAUUGAUUUCAAGCACAUCAACCGGGCCUGCCCGAAAGAUCACUUUCCUCUCCCUCGCAUAGAUCAAAUUGUUGACUCGACCGCGGGAUGUGAGAGGUUGUCUUUUUUAGAUGCUUACUCCGGGUACCACCAGAUCCGUCUGUACGGGCCCGACGAUAUAAAAACAGCUUUCAUCACUCCAUUCGGGUGCUUCUGCUAUAUCACCAUGCCAUUCGGCCUCAAGAAUGCCGGAGCCACAUUUAUGCGAAUGAUUCAGAAGUGUCUACUCACUCAAAUCAGUCGGAAUGUGGAAGCUUAUAUGGAUGAUAUUGUUGUCAAGUCACGAAAAGGUUCCGACCUGCUCGCUGACCUCGCCGAAACAUUUGCCAACCUCAGAAGGUAUGAUAUCAAGCUCAAUCCAUCAAAGUGCACAUUUGGAGUUCCUGGUGGCAAGUUACUCGGUUUUCUCGUUUCCGAACGGGGAAUCGAUGCUAACCCAGAGAAGAUUGGCACUAUUCUCCGAAUGAAACGCCCUGUGCGAGUGCACGAUGUCCAGAAGCUUACUGGAUUCUUGGCCGCAUUAAGUCGAUUCAUCUCACGACUCGGUGAAAAGGCACUGCCUCUUUACCGACUGAUGAAGAAGGCCGACAAGUUCGAGUGGACUCCAGAAGCUGAUGCAGCGUUUGCCGAGCUAAAAGCUCUGCUCUCCACCCAGCCGGUGCUUGCUGCUCCAAUCAGCAAAGAGCCUCUGUUGCUCUACAUCGCAGCCACAGGACAAGUCGUCAGUACUGUGCUAACGGUCGAGCAGGAAGAAGAAGGUAAAGCUCUCAAAGUUCAGCGCCCAGUGUAUUAUUUGUCUGAAGUCUUGACUCCAUCCAAGCAGAGAUAUCCUCAUUAUCAGAAGCUUGUGUAUGGGAUAUACAUGACCACAAAGAAGCUUGCUCAUUAUUUCUCUGACCAUUCCAUCACAGUCGUCAGCGACGCUCCACUAUCAGAGAUUUUGCACAACAGAGAUGCAACUGGUCGAGUGGCCAAAUGGGCGAUUGAACUUCUUCCCCUUGAUAUCAAGUUUGAGGCAAAGAAAGCCAUUAAGUCCCAGGCAAUAGCAGAUUUCCUCGCCGAGUGGAUUGAACAGCAGCAGCCGACUGAAGUUCACUCGGAGCAUUGGACCAUGUUUUUUGAUGGCUCUAAGAUGUUGAAUGGUUCCGGUGCUGGGGUUGUCCUAGUUUCCCCCAGAGGAGAUAAGCUCAGAUACGUGCUCCAGAUUCACUUUGAUUCCUCCAACAAUGAGGCAGAGUAUGAGGCCCUCCUAUAUGGGUUGCGCAUGGCCAUUUCACUCGGCGUCCGUCGCCUAAUGGUCUAUGGCGACUCGGAUUUAGUGGUCAAUCAGGUGAUGAAAGAGUGGGACGUGAGAAGCCCAGCCAUGACUGGAUACUGUAGUGCAGUGAGGAAGCUGGAAAAGAAGUUCGAGGGGUUGGAGCUCCAUCAUAUACCCCGACUGAAAAAUCAAGCAGCUGAUGAUCUAGCAAAGAUAGGUUCCAAGAGAGAAGCCAUUCCGAGUGGUGUGUUCUUGGAACAUAUACACACUCCGUCAGUCAAAGAAGAUCCUUUCACCGAAGAAACUCCGCAGCCCAAGAGUGCCACAGAUCCGACUGAAGUUGAAGUCCCAGCGGUGGUCGACUUGAUCAUGGAGGUUUUGGUGGUCAUUCCCGACUGGACGAUUCCGUAUGUCGCAUAUAUCUUGAGGAAAGAGCUUCCGGAGGAUGAGGAAGAGGCUCGACAGAUCGUCCGUCGAUCUAAGGCCUUUACCGUAAUCAAAGGACAAUUAUACAGAGAAAGCGCGACUGGAGUCGGUCAGAAGUGCAUAACACCAGAAGAAGGUCGACUCAUCCUCAAUGAUAUUCACUCGGGGACCUGUGGUCAUCAUGCGUCCUCUCGGACCAUCGUGGCCAAAGCAUACCGAGCCGGAUUUUACUGGCCCAAGGCGAAUGAAAUGGCAAAAGAGAUAGUGGAUAAGUGCGAGGGAUGUCAGUUCUACUCGAAUAUGUCGCACAAGCCUGCGUCAGCUUUGAAGACCAUCCCACUCAUCUGGCCUUUUGCAGUUUGGGGGCUGGACAUGGUCGGUCCUUUGAGAACAGGACGAAGCGGUUUCACGCAUGUGCUGGUGGCAGUCGACAAGUUCACCAAGUGGAUCGAAGCUAAACCAAUCAAGAGCCUUGACACCGGUACUGCUGUUAGCUUCAUCAGGGAACUAAUAUUCAGAUAUGGAGUCCCGCACAGCAUCAUCACGGAUAAUGGGUCGAACUUUGACUCAGAAGAAUUCAGAACUUUCUGCAACUCCCAGGGCACACGAGUCGACUACGCUUCAGUCGCCCAUCCGCAGUCGAAUGGACAAGCAGAGCGAGCUAAUGGACUGAUUCUUAAGCGAUUGAAACCUCGACUGAUGCGUGAUCUCAAACACGCGGCUGGAGCUUGGGUCGACGAACUUCCUUCUGUACUCUGGGGACUGCGGACCACACCUAAUCGGUCGACCGGAAGAACUCCAUUCUUCUUGGUCUACGGAGCUGAAGCGGUCUUGCCGAGUGAUCUUCUUCAUAAUGCUCCCCGAGUUGAAAUCUACAACGAAGCAGAAGCUGAACAAGCGCGGCAGGACGCAGUCGACCUUUUAGAGGAAGAAAGGGAGAUGGCUCUGAUCCGUUCGACCAUCUACCAACAAGAUUUGCGCCGUUUCCACGCCAGAAAUGUGAGAGGUCGAGCCUUCCAGGAAGGGGAUUUGGUUCUCCGAGUGGAUCAGCACAAACCACACAAGCUUGCUCCUUCUUGGGAAGGUCCCUUCAUCGUCACCAAGGUCCUCCACAACGGGGUGUAUCGUCUUUACAACGUCGAGCAUAAUAUCGACGAGCCCCGAGCUUGGAACGCGGAGCUACUCCGCCCAUUUUACACUUAAGUUUUAUCACUCGGAUAAGUUGCAAUAAAGUACUUCUGUAGCUCAUGGACAUCAAAAUAAUAGUGUCAUAGUUCCUCCAUAAUUUCUGUCACUUUUUAUUUUUGUCCACAUAAAACUCCCACCCAGUGGGUGGCUUAGCCGCGAAUCCGUUUCGCCUAAGUUUGUAAAAAUCCUACCGAGUGGUAAGCCAGCCUUCCACUCGGGGGCUUAGCUGCAGUCCAAGGACUCGCCUAAGUUUAUCAAAAUCCUACCGAGUGGUAAGCCAGCUUUCCACUCGGAGGCUUAGCUGCAGUGCAAGCACUCGCCUAAGUUAUAAAAAUCCUACCGAGUGAAGAGCAACCCUCUCACUCGGGGGCUUAGCUGCAGUCCAAGGACUCGCCUAAGUUUAUCAAAAUCCUACCGAGUGGUAAGCCAGCCUGCCACUCGGAGGCUUAGCUGCAGUGCAAGCGCUCGCCUAAGUUAUAAAAGUCCUACCGAGUGAGGAGCAACCCUCUCACUCGGAGGCUUAGCUGCAGUGCAAGCACUCGCCUAAGUUAUAAAAGUCCUACCGAGUGAGGAGCAACCCUCUCACUCGGAGGCUUAGCUGCAGUGCAAGCACUCGCCUAAGUUAUAAAAAUCCUACCGAGUGAAGAGCAACCCUCUCACUCGGGGGCUUAGCUGCAGCCCUGUGCUCGCCUAAGUUAUAAAAAUCCUACCGAGUGAGGAGCAACCCUCUCACUCGGAGGCUUAGCUGCAGUGCAAGCACUCGCCUAAGUUAUAAAAAUCCUACCGAGUGAAGAGCAACCCUCUCACUCGGGGGCUUAGCUGCAGCCCUGCACUCGCCUAAGUUAUAAAAAUCCUACCGAGUGAAGAGCAACCCUCUCACUCGGAGGCUUAGCUGCAGCCCUGUGCUCGCCUAAGUUAUAAAAUCCUACCGAGUGAAGAGCAACCCUCUCACUCGGGGGCUUAGCUGUAGUCCAAGCACUCGCCUAAGUUAUCGAAAUCCUACCGAGUGAAGAGUAAAACUUCUCACUCGGGGGCUUAGCCGCAGCCCUGUGCUCGCCUAAGUGGACUAAAGAAUAAGUCGAUUGCAGAAAGGCGCCUUGCUUUGAACCUGCAAAAGACGUUUUGAGCCGAAGGCAAUCAUAUUCAAGCGCCAAAUUCAAGUUUGAAUCGGUAUCUAAAGGAACCGAAAGUGCUCAUGCGUCAAGCCCGUUAAGGUUUGUCGGUUACAAUUCCACUCGGCAUACCGAGGCAAAUUUAAAACGUAGAGCCAGAAGAAGUUUUUUACCCCUCCUGUGGAGGGCUGGAAGGUGCAACAAAUUCAUCAAGGUCAAUUCCGUCAGCGAUCCGAGUGGCAGCUGCAAGGAAAGUCUCCAUAAAGGACCUGAAGUCGUGCUUCUUUGUAUUGGCCACCCGGAGGGCCGCCAGCUUCUCUUCUCGCGCAUCUUUGCAGUGGACUCGGGCCAGACACAGAGCGACAUCUGCACCACACCGAGCCGAGGACUUCUUCCACUCCUGCACUCGACCAGGGAUCGUGUUCAAGCGGGCCAUCAGCGACUCAAGGUCAUUCUGAAGUGUCUCCUCAGACCAGAGCGUCGAGUCGAUGCGAGAUGUGGCGGCCUUCAGCCUUGCGAGAUAGUCCACGACAGCUGCAACACGAGACUCCAGUCGGAAAACAUCCAUGGCAACUUCGUCGUUCACCGGAGAAUUGACGGGGUCGAGGUUUGGCUCCAGUCGGCUGGUUUCUUCUUCAAAGUUUUGACAAAAUUCUGCAAGGAUGAUCACUAAGUCAAGGGGAUAGUCGAAUGGAAAAAGCCACAAUUGGAAAUAUUUGCCAAACAUGGAGGUUUGCCUUCAAGCAUAAGAAACAGCUUCUUGGCAAGGCCACUCAGGAAGGCCUCCAGUGCAGUUUUCUUCUCAGUCAAUUUGCUGACUUGGUCGGUCAGGGCAGCUUUAUCAGUUUUCAGUCGACUGACUUCCUUGUUGGCAAUCCCAAGAGCAGCUUUCAGAUUGGUAUUGUCUUGUUCGAGCUUGGUGACUGAAGCUAACUUCUCGUCAGCAAGCUUGAUCUUCUCAGCUAGCUCAAGGUCUUUCUUCUGCUGGGCCUCCCUUACCUUACCUGCAAGUUACAGCAAGAUCAGAUUCUGAAACAAGCAAGGGGAAAAGCAGUCGUCAGGGUCUCACCAAACAUACCUUCGGUCUCCUCCUUUGCCUUUGUCAGUUUCUCCUAAACCAGCUUCAAGCUCAGCUCGACUUGAGUAUGUUUUUGUUCCAGCUCUGAGUAGCGAGCCACAAGAUCACAAGAGUUCUGUGAAGAAUCAAUCGACUAAAUGUCAAAAAUAAUUCACUUCCAAGUGAAAAGGGAAAAACACAAUGUUUCUAAGACUACAGCCGAAUACAAGCAUUCGACCGUAGUCUCGGGGACUACACCCAGUGGGUGCACUCAGCAUGCCCCCACUAAUCCUGUUGAAGACAAAGUCGACCAGUCGACCUCAAAAAAAAAGAAAUGCAUUCUCUAAGACUGUGAUCAACUGCAAGCAGUCGACCACAGUCUCGGGGACUACACCCAGCGGGUGCACUCAGCGUGCCCCCACCGGUUUGUGAAAUCCAGUCGACAUAGUCGACUGAAAGAAAAAUUGACAUCAUAAAGCCUAAGGCCGAAUGCAAGCAGUCGACCUUAGCCUUGGGGACUACACCCAGUGGGUGCACUCAGCGUGCCCCCACCGGUUUGUGAAAUCCAGUCGACCAGUCGACUGACGGAAAGAUUGACAUCAUAAAGCCUAAGGCCGACUGCAAGCAGUCGACCUUAGCCUUGGGGACUACACCCAGUGGGUGCACUCAGCGUGCCCCCGCUAACACGGAGUUUAUUUCGACACACCCAGUGGGGGACUGCUAUAAAUUCCGGAAAAGAAAAGUUUUUGGUAGCAUAUCCAACAGAACAAACAGCGGUCGACUGACCUGGACAUUGCUUUGGAGGGCAGAGCUGGCGUCAUAAGCUGCCUGGCUCGCGUCCCGGAUGGUCUUCAGCUGCUCCAUCAUGAGUCCCGCCUGGCGUAUUGCUUCCUUCGCUGCACCCGCUUGGUCCUCUGGGACAUGGUGAGUCGUGAAGAGGGAGGGCUGCUGAGCACUCGUCAGUGGAUUUGCGAAGGACACCGUGUGUCGAGUGGUGUUCUCUUCCUCCACAGUCAGAGUCUCAGGCACCAUCACAUCCUGAGGCACCUUACUGGCGGGCGUUUUCCGACUCUUCCUGCGUGCCAGUGGUUCUUCAUCCUCGUCGUCGUCAGGAAGAUUGAUAACAGUAUUGGGUGGAGCUGCGGAGAAGAAUCAGGAUCAGAGGUCGCGAGUCAGUCGACUAAAAACGGUGUUAAGAAUACAGUACCUGGGUUCAAAGUUGCCGCAUCCUCCAUCUCGUGGUCAUCGGCCCGGGCCGAGGUCUCAGAAGUAGCAGCACUGCAACUCCAAAGGAUCAGUCGACUAACUUAAGCGUCGACCAGAGAUAAAGUUCACACAGAAUAAGAAAAUAUGAGCAGCACACUUACCCUGAUAUGGUGGGGAUGGACACCUUCAUCUUCGGCAAGAGCUUGAUCGGCUUCGACGAGGCUGCCCUGGGCUGCUUCGGCGCCUUUUCAGUCGGCACCGGAGAGGUGGUCCGAGGGCGCUUGGUCGACUAAGUGGCGGUCGCAACCCCCUUACCACGUUCGGUCGAAGGAUCGUGGACAAGCUUUGACCGCCUUUCUGAGCGCGGUGGUACGACCUCCUCCUCCUCUUCUUCUUCCUCCUCGACGUCGUCUUCAUCACCGUCAUCAUCAUCAUCGUCGUCAUCAUCCUCUGCAACAUCCGAGUCCCAUUCCUCCUCUUCCUGGCUCUCGCCCCCGCUCGCCUCGCCCUCCUCAGUCGAAGCUUGUGCCCCAUUGGGCAUCGAGUACAGCUCGGUGAGGGCCUAGCAGAUGCCCAGACAAGGAUCAGUCGACCAGUCGACAUGGUUAACAGAAAUGAAUACGAUGAAGGCGCAGUGGAGAGCAGAGCAAGUGUACCUUGUUUGAGUCGCUGUUGUGGUCAAGUGGAGGAAUCCUUCUGGCUCCGCGUGGGUUGUCCUUGUUUCCGGUGACGGCUGCCAUCCAUCUUUCCAGAGUGACAUCAUCGACUGCUUCUGGAUGGACUCUAGUCUCGUCUUCGGUCCCACAGUACAACCACAUGCAGUGGCUCCGGAACUGGAGAGGCUGGAUGCGACGCCUGAGGAAAACCUCCAGGAGGUCCAUGCCCGUCACUCCCUCCCGAACCAACUGCACCACGCGCUCCAUCAACAUCUUCACGUCGGCUUUCUCCUCCGGAAUCAGCUUCAGAGGGGAAGGCUUGCUCACUCGGUCCAUGGUGAACGGAGGAAGUCCACUCGACUGCCCUGGCGUCGACUGGACCUGGCAGUAGAACCAAGUCGACUGCCAGCCUCUGACGGACUCGGGAAAGGUCAUGGGCGGGAAGGUGCUCUUAUUCCUCACCUGAAUCCCCAGGCCCCCGCACAUUUGGACGACUCGGGUUCUCUCAUCACCUGGGCUCGCCUUCUUCACGGUCUGAGAUCGACACGUGAAUAUAUGUUUGAACAAACCCCAGUGCGGUCGACAGCCCAAGAAACCCUCACACAUGGACACGAACGCAGCAAGAUAGGCAAUGGAGUUUGGGGUAAAGUGGUGGAGCUGCGCUCCGAAGAAGUUCAAGAAGCCACGAAAGAAAACACUCGGCGGCAAGGAAAACCCACGAUCAACAUGAGUGGCCAAAAGCACACACUCACCCUCUUCUGGCUGGGGCUUCCACUCCUUCCCCGGAAGCCUCGCAGCUCCAUGGGGGAUCAAGCCCUCGUUGGCCAUGUCGAGGAGGUCAUUCUCCGUGAUAGUCGACUGGAUCCAGUCUCCUUGGACCCAGCCCUUCGGCAGGCGGGAUCUGGACGAGGACCCUCCGCGGCUGGUGGAUCUCCCCUUCGCCUUCUCCGACGCCGACGCCUUCUUUGCCCGCUCCAGCGCCGCCGUCUUCUCCUUGGCCAUGGUCUCCGGCGAGAUGCGCGAAAGGAAGUGGUGCGGGGGCGAGAGCGAGCACGCUGAGCAGGGAGGAAGGAAGCAGAGAGAGGGAGAGAAUGCUAAAGCGCAACACAGAAAUCCUUGCCGGGCACAUUUAUAAGGUCCCUUCCGAGUGGAUGACAAGUGGGCCCGGUCGAUCUAAUCAUAUCUGGAGCAGUUAUGCGGACGGGAUACGUGGCGAAAAAGGCGGCGCGGAGAUCGAGGCGUCCAUGUCCCGUCCCAUCCGAACGCCGCGGUCCGCCCCGCUUCGCGCGCGUCCCCAAAUUUCGCAUCCCGCAGAAUCCGUGAACAGCAAAUCAGUCUGUCAGGCGCGGUGUUUCCGGCGAUCCAUCGCUCGGAGAUCGUCGAAGCCUGAAAGAUCACUCGACACAAAAACAGAAUGGAUCAAGUCGACUGAAGGCAAGUUGUUUCCUGUCGACGAAGAGAUUCUUUGGUACAGAACAGUGCACAACCGGAGCACAAAGGUUAAUCGGAAAUGACAUCAACUCCUUCUUCACUCGAAGCCUCAAUCCAUUCGGGGGCUAAUGAUGGGGUUAUGUACCUCGGGUAGGGUCAUGGACCUGAUCCAAGUAACUUACCCCAGGACAUCCUUAGAAGAGGUCGCCUUCCAGUCGACCAACGAGGAUUCACUCGACUGGCCUGAAGGACUCGACCACGAAGACUCACUCGUCCACCAGGAGGUCAAGAGGCACUCUGCACUGCAACGGCCUGUAAUCAAGUAGACUUUAUGAUAGUAAAGGCACUUUAUGUGGGGCGUUACCAGUAACGCCCCUGACUUAACUCACCUUAAACCCUCUCCUUCGUGGGCUGGCUGGGGUCCUGGCGUACUCUAUAUAAGCCACCCCCCUCCACAGGCAGAAGGGUUCGGCACCUUGUAGUUCAUACACUCAUAAUCCACUCGACCGCCUCCGGGCUCCGAGACGUAGGGCUGUUACUUCUUCCGAGAAGGGCCUGAACUCGUACAUCCUUUGUGCUUACAACCUCUCCAUAGCUAGGACCUUGCCUCUCCAUACCUACCCCCCACUCUACUGUCAGGCUUAGAACCACGACAGGAACCUAUGCUGAAACAUAACCUUCUCGUUGAAAUUCUUGGGGAUCCCCCUCCACCCAAGGGUGAUCCCGUGUUUGAACUCAAACCUUCACCUGCUAAUCUUAAGUAUGCUUAUAUUGAUGAAAAAGAAAUAUAUCCUGUUAUUAUUAGUGCUAACCUUUCAGAGAAAGAAGAAGAAAGAUUAUUGAAAACUCUGAAGAAGCACCGAGCUGCUAUUGGAUAUACUCUGGAUGAUCUUAAGGGCAUUAGUCCCACGUUAUGUCAACACAAAAUUUCAGUGGAGAAAGAUGCCAAACCAGUUAGAGAUCCUCAAAGACGAUUAAAUCCCAAAAUGAAGGAGGUGGUAAGAAAGGAGAUUCUAAAAUUCCUUGAGGCAGGUAUUAUUUAUCACGCUGCUGAUAGUGAAUGGGUAAGCCCUGUCCAUUGUGUCCCUAAAAAGGGAGGUAUUACCAUUGUUCCUAAUGAUAAAGAUGAAUUGAUCCCGCAAAGAAUUAUUACAGGCUAUAGGAUGGUAAUUGAUUUCCGUAAGUUAAAUAAAGCUACUAAGAAAUAUCAUUACCCUUUACCUUUUAUUGAUCAAAUGCUAGAAAGGCUAUCCAAACACACACAUUUUUGCUUUCUAGAUGGUUAUUCUGGCUUCUCUCAAAUACCUAUGUCCGCGAAGGAUCAAUCUAAAACUACUUUUACUUGCCCUUUUGGUACUUUUGCUUAUAGAUGUAUGCCUUUUGGUUUAUGUAAUGCACCUGCUACCUUUCAAAGAUGCAUGAUAGCUAUAUUUUCUGAUUUUUGUGAAAAGAUUUGUGAGGUAUUCAUGGAUGACUUCUCCGUCUAUGGAUCCUCUUUUGAUGAUUGUUUCAGCAACCUUGAUCGAGUUUUGCAGAGAUGCGAAGACACUAGUCUCGUCCUGAAUUGGGAAAAGUGUCACUUUAUGGUUAAUGAAGGCAUUGUCUUGGGGCACAAGAUCUCCGAGAGAGGUAUUGAAGUUGAUAAAGCCAAAGUGGAUGCUAUUGAAAAGAUGCCAUGUCCCAAGGACAUAAAAGGUAUAAGAAGUUUCCUUGGUCAUGCCGGCUUUUAUAGGAGGUUCAUUAAGGACUUUUCUAAAAUCUCUAGGCCUCUAACUAAUUUAUUGCAAAAAGAUAUUCCUUUUGUAUUUGAUGAUGAUUGUGUAGAAGAAUUUGAAACACUUAAGAAAGCUUUGAUCACUGCACCUAUUGUUCAGCCACCUGAUUGGAAUUUACCUUUUGAAAUUAUGUGCGAUGCUAGUGAUUAUGCUGUAGGUGCUAUUUUAGGGCAAAGAGUCGAUAAGAAAUUGAAUGUUAUCUAGUAUGCUAGUAAGACUCUUGAUACUGCCCAGAGAAAUUAUGCUACCACUGAAAAAGAGUUCUUAGCAGUUGUGUUUGCAUGUGAUAAGUUUAGACCUUAUAUUGUUGAUUGCAAAGUUACUAUUCACACUGAUCAUGCUGCUAUUAAAUAUCUUAUGGAAAAGAAAGAUGCUAAGCCUAGACUCAUUAGAUGGGUUCUCUUGCUCCAAGAAUUUGACUUGCAUAUUAUUGAUAGAAAGGGAGCUGAGAACCCCGUUGCAGACAACCUAUCUAGGUUAGAGAAUGUUCUUGAUGACCCAUUGCCUAUUAAUGAUAGUUUUCCUGAUGAACAAUUACCGGUUGUCAAUGCUUCUCGUACUCCUCCUUGGUAUGCUGACUAUGCUAAUUACAUUGUUGCUAAAUAUAUACCGCCUAGUUUCACAUACCAGCAAAAGAAAAAGUUCUUUUAUGAUUUAAGACAUUACUUCUGGGAUGAUCCACACCUUUAUAAAGAAAGAGUAGAUGGUAUUAUUAGACGUUGUGUGCCUGAGCAUGAACAGGAACAAAUCCUACGCAAGUGUCACUCUAAGUCCUAUGGAGGACACCACGCUGGAGAUAGAACUGCACACAAGGUACUACAAUCUGUUUUUUAUUGGCCUACUCUUUUCAAAGAUGCUCAUAAGUUUUUUUUAUCUUGUGAUGAAUGUCAAAGAAUAGGUAACAUUAGUAGACGUCAAGAAAUGCCUAUGAAUUAUUCUCUUGUUAUUGAACCGUUUGAUGUUUGGGGAUUUGAUUAUAUGGGACCUUUUUCUGCCUCCAAUGGUUAUACACAUAUUUUAGUUGUUGUUGAUUACGUUACUAAGUGGGUAGAAGCUAUUCCAACUAGUAGUGUUGAUCAUAACACUUCUAUUAAAAUGCUUAAAGAAGUUAUUUUUCCGAGGUUUGGAGUCCCUAGAUAUCUUAUGACCGAUGGUGGUUCACACUUUAUUCAUCGUGCUUUCCGUAAGAUGCUUGCUAAGUAUGAUGUCAAUCAUAGAAUGGCAUCUCCUUAUCACCUGCAGUGUAGUGGUCAAGUAGAGUUGAGCAAUAGAGAGCUCAAAUUAAUUCUGCAAAAGACUGUGAAUAGAUCUAGAAAGAAUUGGUCCAAAAAACUUGAUGAUGCAUUAUGGGCCUAUAGAACUGCAUACAAAAAUCCUAUGGGUAUGUCUCCAUAUAAGAUGGUUUAUGGAAAAGCAUGUCAUUUACCUCUUGAACUUGAACAUAAAGCAUAUUGGGCUAUUAAAGAGCUCAACUAUGACUUCAAACUUGCCGGUGAGAAAAGGUUAUUUGAUAUUAGCUUACUUGAUGAAUGGAGAACCCAAGCAUAUGAGAAUGCUAAGCUUUUUAAAGAAAAAGUCAAAUGCUGGCAUGAUAAGAGGAUACAAGAGCGUGAGUUUAACUUAGGAGAUUAUGUGUUAUUAUUCAACUCUCGUUUAAGAUUUUUUGCAGGAAAACAUCUCUCAAAAUGGGAAGGUCCCUACGUUAUCGAGGAGGUCGAUCGUUCUAGUGCUAUAAAAAUCAACAACUUCGAAGGCAUAAAUCCGAGGGUGGUAAAUGGUCAAAGAAUUAAACAUUAUAUUUCAGGUAAUCCUAUCAAUGUUGAAACUAAUAUUAUUGAAACCAUAACCCCUGAGAAAUACAUAAGGGACACUUUCCAGAAUGCUCCAGACUCCGAGAAGGCACAGGUACGUGGUACGGUAAGUAAACCGACUCCAAAACAACUCUAAUGGAAAUUUUUAUCAGUUUUGGAUUAUUUAAGAAUUUUAGGAAGAAAGAAGUAGUCUUAAAGGGACACGAGGCUCCCACGAGAGAGGAGGCCGCCCCCCUCCCCUGUAGGGCGCACCCCCCUGUCUCAUGGGCACCUCGUGUGCCUCCCGGACUCUGUUUUCUUGUAUGUUACGUAUUUUGGUUGGUAAAAAUUCAUUAUAUAUACUCUAGAAGGUUUUGACCACCGUAUCACGCAAAUAUCCUCUGUUUUCGUUUCGAGCUGUUUCCGUUGCAGAUUUAGAGCACCAUGACUUCUCCCUCCUCCAAAAAUGAAGACAAGGAUGCUUGGCUAUUGAAGAUAGAGUUGAAAAGAGAGGAACCAGAAGAGAUCAACAGGAUGAAGGGAUCAAGAAGGCCAUGGAGGUUCAAGCUCUGGUGGUGAAAGAAGAAGACAUCCCUCAACCUUUACCUAACCUUUUCAUUCCAACAGAGAUUGAAGCUUUCAAGAUGAUUGAAUUAGCCCGCAGACAAAACAAGUAUCUCACACAGGAGAAUAUUUUGCUAAAGAUCAUAUUGCUGGGCUCAAGGGCAUUAUCCACAAGUUGGAGGAGCUUUUACGCUCGAUGUGCGAUUAUCCACCGUCAUCAUCACUACCUCCAUCACCUCCGAAGAAAUAAUCACUUGGGUAUGGGCACUCCCCUUGGCAACUGCCAAGCUUGGGGGAGGUGCCCUGGUAUCGUAUCACCAUCACACUCCUAUUUUUACCGCUUUAUUUAGUUUGAUCCUUUUAGUAGUAUCUUGAUCUAGUAGUUUGAAGUUUUGAUAUCAAGUAGUUUUGAGUUUUGCUUUGUGAUCUCUUUAUGUAAUCGAGUCCGUGUGCUAUCUAUAAUAAAGAUUAGUGUUGAGUCAAGGGCUUUGCUAUGUUGCUAUGAUCUUGAGAAAGUAGAAAGAACGAAAGAGUUCAUAUUGAUCUUAUGGAUAGUAAUAGCUUCACACAUAGAAAGUAUGAGGCAUAAAAAUUGUUGAGAGUUGAUGAACGUAGCCUUGGUCAUUGUUGCAAUUAAUAGGAAGUGAUAAGGAAAGAGGGGUUCACAUAUAAAUAUAUUAUCUUGGACAUCUUUUAUGAUUGUGAAGCACUCAUUAAGUAUGACAUGCGAAAAGAGUUGACGUUGGACAAGGAAGACAACGUAAUGGUUUAUGUUUUCCGACAUCUCAGUUAAAGUAUAUUGUCAUUGACCUUCCGAACAUGUUGAGCUUGCCUUUCCCCCUCAUGCUAGCCAAAUUCCUUGCACCAAGUAGAGAUACUACUUGUGCUUCCAAAUAUCCUUAAACCCAGUUUUGCCAUGAGAGUCCACCGUACCUACCUAUGGAUUGAGUAAGAUCCUUCAAGUAAGUUGUCAUCGGUGCAAGCAAUAAAAAUUGCUCUCUAAAUAUGUAUGACUUAUUAGUGCAGAGAAAAUGAACUUUGUACCAACUUGUUGUGGAAGUAAUAAAAGCGACAGACUGCAUAAUAAAGGUCCACAUACAAGGGGCAAUAUAAAGUGACGUUCUUUUGCACUAAGAUUUUAUGCAUCAACCCUAAACAUGCAUGACAACCUCUGCUUCCCUCUGUGAAGGGCCUAUCUUUUAAUUUAUGUUUUUACUUUAUGCUUGAGUCAAGAUGAUCCUCACCUUUCCCUUUUUCAUUUUAUCCUUUGGCAAGCUCCUCGUGUUUGAAAGAUCAUGAUACAUAUAUCCAAUUGGAUGUAAGUUGGCAUAGGCUAUUAUUGUUGACAUCACCUAAAGGUGAAUAUGUUGGGAGGAAACACAAUAAGCCCCUAUCUUUCUCAGUGUCCGGCUGAAACUCUAUAACCACAAGUAUUGCGUGAUUGUUAACAAUUAUAAGAGACUACGAGAUAGUUGAGUAUGUGAGCUUGCUGAAAAGCUCUAUUAUUGACUCUUUCCGAUGUUACGAUAAAUUGCAAUUGCUUCAAUGACUGAGAUUAUAGUUUGUUAGUUCCCAAUGAAGUUUUUGAACCAUACUUGACAUUGUGAAUUGCUUAUUACUUGAGCAUAGGAAAUCAUAUGACAAAAUCUAUAUAUGUUGUUGUUAUUAGAAUGAUCAUGAUGCCCUCAUGUCCGUAUUUUAUUUUUAUCGACACCUCUAUCUCUAAACAUGUGGACAUAUUUUUCGAUUUCGGCUUCCGCUUGAGAACAAGCGAGGUCUAAGCUUGGGGGAAUUGAUACGUCUAUUUUGCAUCAUGCUUUUAUAUCAAUAUUUAUUGCAUUAUGGGCUGUUAUUACACAUUAUAUCUCAAUACUUAUGGUUAUUUUGUCUUAUUUUACAAGGUUUACCAUGAAGAGGGGGAAUGCCGGCAGCUGGAGUCCUGGCUAGAAAAGGAGCAAACAUUGGAAACCUAUUCUGCACAACUCCAAAAGUCCUGAAACUCCAUGAAACAACUUUUUGGAUUUAAUAAGAAUUUAUGAGCGAAAGAAAUAGGCCAGGGGCCCACACCCUGUCCAGGAGACAGGGGGCGCGCCCUCCCUGUAGGGUGCGGCCCCCUAUCUCCUAGGCCCCCUGGUGUGCCUCCGGCGUCCAUCUUCUGCUAUAUCAUCACUUCUACCCUGGAAAAAUCAUGGGCAAGCUUACGGGACGAAACUCCGCCGCCACGAGGCGGAACCUUGCCGGAAUCAAUCUAGGGCUCUGGCGGAGCUGUUCUACCGGGGACACUUCCCUCCGGGAGGGGAAAUUCAUCACCAACGUCAUCACCAACGAUCCUCUCAUCGGGAGGGGGUCAAUCUCCAUCAACAUCUUCACCAGCAUCAUAUCCUCUCAAAACCCUAGUUCAUCUCUUGUAUCCAACCUUGUAUCAAAACCACAAAUUGGUACCUAUGGGUUGCUAGUAGUGUUCAUUACUCCUUGUAGUUGAUGCUAAUUGGUUUACUUGGUGGAAGAUCAUAUGUUCAGAUCCUUCAUGCAUAUUAUUACUCCUCUGAUUAUGAACAUGAAUAUGCUUUGUGAGUAGUUACGUUUGUUCCUGAGGACAUGGGUGAAGUCUUGCUAUUAGUAGUCAUGUGAAUUUGGUAUUCGUUCGAUAUUUUGAUGAGAUGUAUGUUGUCUUUCCUCUAGUGGUGUUAUGUGAACAUCGACUACAUGACACUUCACCAUUAUUUGGGCCUAGAGGAAGGCAUAGGGAAGUAAUAAGAAGAUGAUGGGUUGCUAGAGUGAUAGAAGCUUAAACCCUAAUUUAUGCGUUGCUUCGUUAGGGGUUGAUAUGGACCCAUAUGUUUAAUGUUGUGGUUAGGUUUACCUUAAUACUCCUUUUUGUAGUUGCGGAUGCUUGCAAUAGGGGUUAAUCAUAAGUGGGAUGCUUGUCCAAGUUAGGACAGUACCCAAGUGCCGGUCUACCCACAUAUCAAAUAAUCAAAGUACCGAACGUGAAGCUUACGAACGUGAUGAAAACUAGAUUGACGAUAAUUCCCAAUGUGUCCUCAGGAGCUCCUUCUUCAUUAUUAGAAUUUGUCCAGGCUUAUCCUUUGCUACAUAAAGGAUUGGGCCACCUUGCUGCACUUUAUUUACUUUGUUUACUUUUUGCUCGUUACCAUUUAUCUUAUCACAAAACUAUCUAUCACCUACUAUUUCAGUGCUUGCAGAGAAAACCUUACUGAAAACCGCUUAUCAUUUUCUUCUGCUCCUCGUUGGGUUCGACACUCUUACUUAUCGAAAGGACUACUAUAGAUCCCCUAUACUUGUGGGUCAUCAGGGGCAAAAGCCCAAGUGGGAUUCAGCCCCACUUGGGGCACCUCCUGGCUGCCUCCCCUCUCCCCCACCUAUAUAUAUGUGGGAGGGGGCGCCACACAUAACCACGACAAUCUCUUAGCCGUGUGUGGCGCCCCUCUCCAUAGUUUCAUCCCUCAGUCAUAUUUUCAUAGUGCUUAGGCAGAGCCCUGCGAAGAUAGCAUCACCACUACCAUCAACACGCCGUCGUGCUACCGGAACUCGUCUACUACUUCGUCCGUCUUGCCGGAUCAAGAAGGCGAGGACGUCACCGAGCUGAACGUGUGCUGGACACGGAGGUGUCUGUAACGCCCCAGAUUCGAUGCUCCAGGUGUCUUCCAGUUAUUCGCCAUUGUUGCCAUGUCAUUUGCUUGUGUGUUGCAUUUUAUCAUGUCAUCAUGUGCAUUUCAUUUUGCAUACGAGUUCGUCUCAUGCAUCCGAGCUUUUUCCCCGUUGUCCAUUUUGCAAUCCGGCACUCCUAUGCCCUCCGGCGUUCCCCUUUUGUAUCCUGUUGUGAGCGGGUGUUAAACUUUCUCAGAAUGGCCCAAGGUUUCCCAAGCGGCCUUGGUAUACCACCGAUAGACCGCCUAUCAAGUUUCGUUCCAUUUGGAGGUCGUUUGAUACUCCAACGGUUAACCGGGUAACCGUAAAGGCCUCUUUUGUGUGCAGCCCAACACCCCUCCAAAGUGACCCAAUAACCCAUCCUAACCCCUUCCAUGCUCUCGGUCGUUCGAUCACGAUCGAGUGGCCGAAAACCGCACCCCAUUUGGAGUCUCCUAGCUCCCUCUACCUAUAUGUUAGCCCUCCUCGUCCAAAUUCGCAGCCCAAACACUAGCCUCCUCUUCCUCCGUGCCGCCAGACGUUUCUUCCCCGCCGCACCGGACAUGUCCGCCGCCACCUCAGCGAAUCGGGCGCCGCCACGUGUCCCCGUGCCACGCCCUCUCUCUCCUCCCUCCGCCGCCAGGCCCAUCGGGGCCCGAAUCUGGCCCGCCCGGCCCGUGACUGCGCCGUCGCAGCCCGCGAGGGCCCGAGCGCCCCCGCGCCUCCCGCUCCCGAUCUGGAUCGAGGGGAGGACCCCUCGACCCUGAGCCCUCGUCGUCGCCGCCAGCCUCCACCACCGCCGGCGCGCCUCCGCCACUCUCCGCCAUGUCGCCGCCCGCCGCCCCUCUCCUCUCUCUUUCUCUCUUCUCUCUUUCUCUCCCUAACUUUCCUGCACUCCUCCAUGGGCAGCGCCGCCGCCCGUAGCUCCUCCCGUCGCCGGUAGACCUCACCGUCGCCGGGAAUGGGUCCCCGGCAAGCCCCUCGUCCGGAUCCAGCCUUCUCCGCUCCGUCCAUCGCCCCCGCGCCGUCCCCGCCGCCUUGCCGGAGUAGCGCCGCCGCCCUUGAUCCUCCGAUCCAGGCGGGAUCGAGGAGGAGGACGAGCUCCUCCCUGUGGGCCCCGCCCCACGGCAGGCCCUGCCUAGCCGGCCCGGCCUCCCCAACCGCCGGCAUGUCUCCUCUCCGUCGUGGUCCGAAGCCCAUGGUGAGCCCCGCCUAAAACCCGCCCCGGUCGCAUUUUAGUUAUCUCGCGCUCGUCCAUUUUGUAAUCAAAAACUGCAGUCCUGAAAAUAUUUGCAUUUUCAUGCCCUGUUCAACGCAUCAUAACUCCAUGCAUACUGCUCUGUUUUGUGCAUGUAAUAUAUCAAAUUGCUCGAUGUGAGAUGCUCUUCAUUUCAUUUCAUUGUGCCAUGUUUGUUUGAGUUCAUAUUGAUGCUCUAAUCAUCGUUGCAAGAGUGCUAUAUGAUAUCAACUGUAUGUUAACAGAACUUGAUGAUUUGUCUUUUUCGUUGCAUUUUGUGUGUGCAUCCUAUGGGCAUGAGCUCUACAUGUGUUUUGAUCUAUGUCAUGCCAUAUUCACAGUGGUCCCAUCCAUUUUUUUUGUCUUGUGGUGAGUGCACCAAGCUCGUGAAGUAGGGUGCUUGCUGUUGCUGUUUUGCUAGGCUGAAUCUGCUAUAUCCUGAUGCUAGGUUAACCUGCUGCUAUAAAUCAUUCUAUGCAUAAUCUGGAGAUGUUCACUGAGGAUGUUUCGUUAUACAUGUCAUUCUCUAUCCAUCCAUUCCCCUGGUUGCAUUUAUAGCCUGCUGUAACUUGUUAUUAUCUUGCUCUCGAAGUUGCUAAAUAAUGUUGCUGUCAGUCUGUUAACAUUAAGUUCAGUUUUGCCAUGUGUUUUGCUAGUGAUCCAUGCACCCUAUGAACUUGCUAUUACCAUUCUUAGCUUCAUGAACAUGUAUUCUUACUGUUGGUUGCCUUGCCAUGCCAUGUAUUGCUCUGUGGUAAGUGGUUCAAGCUCACCAACAUGCCUACUUAUUGUUGUUCCUGCCAUGUAUGAAUCUGUCAUAUUACUUGCUAUGUUUAUAUGGGUGCCAUCAUAUUUUCUGUGCCUUUUUGGCUCAUGGUCAGUAAGGGACUUUUGUUCUAUGCAAUUGGUAGAUUCAUGCCAUGCAUUUGUUUGCCAUGUUAAGUUCCUGUAGCAUGUUGUUGGAUAGCUCUAAACAUUGCGAGCUGAUGUUAUUUCUGCUAAGCCUGAAACUGUUAUUAUUUGCAAUCUUGCCAUGUCCUUUUGAGCGUGUUCUAGUGAUUUCUGGAGUUAGCUCAGUGUUCAUGUUUUGUCAUGCUUUACCUGUACUUCAUGCUCAUGCUUUUUGUUCUUAUGUUGAUGUACUGUAGCUUGUUGUUUUGAUUCUUGCAAGAUGCCUAGUUGCUGUUUUGGACAGAUUGUUGUCACAUCUUGUUUGGAGUGUAUGUGUUGAACUGUUGCUCCGUUUUGAGUGUGCUCUAUAUGAAACUUGCUUGAUUUUGCAUGUAGUUUCAUAUUAUCAUGGUGCAUCCUUUUUUUGAGGUGUUUGCUUGAUGUUUGUAUGCAUUUUGCAUCAAUGCCAUGUUUAACUUGUUUUGCUCAUAUCUUCUAGGCCGUAGCUCCGAACCAAAUGAACUUUAUAUGUAACUUGACUAGAAUUUCGCGUAGAUCCUCUUGGUGCUCUUUAACUUGCUGUUUAAAAACUUCAACUUAAUGUCUAUUCAGAUCUGGAGCAAUUUCGAAAUUUGCAUAUGAGGACUUACCGGAAUUGUUAUAUGUUGUUUCCAACCUUAUUUAAACUUGCCUUGAUGUGUUGCUUUUGUUUGCAUCAUCUCUUGCCAUUAGUAGCCUCAUGUAGUCUUGUCUUGCAUCAUACUUGGUUGAGCAUCAUGUCAUGACCACGUGUGGUGUGUUUACCAUGUUGUGUGCUUCUUCUCAAUAGUUCCUAUUUCGUUGCGAUCGUGAGGAUUCGUUCGUCUACGCUUGGUUCGUCUUCGUGGCUUCAUCUUCUUCUUGGACUCGUUCUUCUUCCUAGCGGGAUUUCAGGCAAGAUGACCGCUAUCAUGGAUCUCACUACUAUCAUUGCUAUGCUAGUUGUUUCGUUCUAUCGCUAUGUUGCGCUACCUAUCACUUGCUCUUCAAGCCUCCCAAAUUGCCAUGAACCUCUAACCUUUAUCACCCUUCCUAGCAAACCAUUGCUUGGCUAUGUUACCGCUUUUGCUCAGCCCCUCUUAUAGCGUUGUUAGUUGCAUGUGAAGUUGAAAUUGCUCCAUGGUGGACAGGAUUUUGUUGGGAUAUCACAAUAUCUCUUAUUUAAUUAAUGCAUCUAUAUACUUGGUAAAGGGUGGAAGACUCGGCCUUAUGUCUGGUGUUUUGUUCCACUCUUGCCGCCCUAGUUUCCGUCAUACCGGUGUUAUGUUCCCGGAUUUUGCGUUCCUUACGCGGCUGGGUGAUUUAUGGGACCCCCUUGACAGUUUGCUUUGAAUAAAACCCCUCCAGCAAGGCCCAACCUUGAUUUUACCAUUUGCCUCACCUACCCCUUUUUUCCUUGGGUUUCCGGAGCCCGAGGGUCAUCUUUAUUUUAGCCCCCCCCCCGGGGCCAGUGCUUCUCUAAGUGCUGGUCUGAACCGAGCCGCCUGCGGGGCCCCCUCGGGGAAACUCGAGGUAUGGUUUUACUCGUAGCAUGUCUCAUCCGGUGUUUCCCUGAGAACGAGAUAUGUGCAGCUCCUAUCGAGAUUGUCGGCGCAUCGGGCGGCUUUGCUGGUCUUAUUUUACCAUUGUCGAAAUGUCUUGUAAACCGGGAUUCCGAGACUGAUCGGGUCUUCCUGGGAGAAGGAAUAUCCUUCGUUGAUCGCGAGAGCUUAUCAUGGGCUAAGUUGGGACACCCCUGCAGGGUAUAAGCUUUCGAGAGCCGUGCCUGCGGUUAUGUGGCAGAUGGGAAUUUGUUAAUGUCCGGUUGUAGAUAACUUGACACCAUAUCCGAAUUAAAACGCAUCAACCGUGUGUGUAGCCGAGAUGGUCUCUUUUCGGCAGAGUCCGGGAAGUGAACACGGUUUUGGGUUAUGUUUGGCGUAAGUAGGAGUUCAGGAUCACCUCUUGAUCAUUGCUAGCUUCACGACCGUUCUGCUUGUUCUCUUCUCGCUCUUAUUUGCGUAUGUUAGCCACCAUACUUGCUUAGUCGCUGCUGCAACCUCACCACUUUACCCCUUCCUUUCCCAUUAAGCUUUGCUAGUCUUGAUACCCAUGGUAAUGGGAUUGCUGUGUCCUCGUGGCUCACAUAUUACUACAACAAUAGUUGCAGGUACAUGUUUAUGCGAUGAUCAUGACGCGAGAGCGAUUUUUACUUGUUUUGGAGUUCUUCUUCUGCUUCUUCUUUGAUCAGGAGAUAGGUUCCAGGUCGGCAGCCUGGACUAGCAGGGUGGAUGUCGUUCGAGUUUCUGUUUGUGUUUCAUCCGUAGUCGAAUGGUGCUCUUAUGUAAAAUGAUGUUGUAUUCGUGUGGCAUUGUAUGCCUUUCGUAUGUAUCCCCGUCUAUUAUGUAAUGUUGAUGUAAUGAUAUCAAUCUUGCAGAAGCGUAUCAAUAUGCGGUUCUAUCCUUGGUGGGACCUUCGAGUCUCUUUAGGAUAGUAUCGCAUAUUGGGCGUGAGAAGUUGGUAUCAGAGCCUCGACCGACCAUAGGAGCCCCCUUGAUUUGAUCGUGUAGUUUGGCGUUGUUGAGUCUAGAAGAAAACUGAUUUCUGAGUCUAGUUAUAUCGGAGAGUAGGAAUUCUUUUUACUCCUCAGCCCCUUCAUUGCUCUGGUGAGGAAUCUUGACGUAGGUGUUUUGAGUUACUCCUCUUCCCCUUCAAAUUUUUCUUUAGGAUCACGCAGUUGGUUUUUUCCGGUCAUUGGUUCUCAACUCUUUUCAUCCGGUGCAUUUCUCGUCAAGUUUGACUCGAGCCUCUUCAUCUUUGCCAAGUUCAAUCCUCAGUUGUUUUCUUUUACCAUCCACCCACCCUUUUUGUUCUCGGAACAGGAGUCCGUAAUCGAGUACCCAUCCUACUCGUACGAAGCCUUUGCUUUCUUUCAACCUGUGUUUUCUCUUCAAGAUGUCCGUCGAUUUCCCCUUCCAAGUUGCCUUUGUUUUUCCCGCCCUCCCACCUUUUUCUUUCCGGAGUCUGAGUCUCUUUCGAGCAUCAAUUUUCAUUCGUAAGGAGCCUCUUCAGGCUUCCCUCAAUCAUUUUAACCGGUGAAUUCUCUUUUGUUUGACAUUCUUCAUCCCUUUCUUUUUUCCGGUGCACUCAAUUCAAGUUUUUUGGGUUGAUCAUAUUCUUUUCCGUAGAUCAAUUGUUUUUCCUUGCUCGUUCGCUUUCGCCAGUUAUCCUUCCGGAGUGUUCAAGACAUCUCAGAAGAUUCGUCUGUGUUUGAAUUAAUUCAAGGUUGUCACCUCAUUCAAAUAUUUCAAUUGUUCUGGUGCAUCAUCUAUCUGUUCAACACCCCUUUCCAACGGUGUUUUUCUUUUAGUGGGCCCUAACCCACAGGUCUUUUCCCAGGAUCUUACCCGACUCUUCUAAUUAUUUCGGAGCCAUACCUAAGUCUUUUUGAGUUUGACGUAAGAAUGAAUUUCAUCAGUCAGAUGCCAUCUCCAAGAUCGCUUUCAAAUUCUUUUCAUCUUUGGUUCAACCCUUCCUCUUUUACAUUCUAUUGGAGUACCUUAUUAAUUUUGGUGGUGUUUCUUGUCGUCAUUUGAAGAUCGAAGAAGAGUUUUUCUCUAAAUCUUGUCCGUUCUCUCAAAGUUUUGUGGUUCUAACUUCAUGUUAUCCUCGCGAAUUAUUCCAUUUGUCAGAUAUUCUUUUCUUAACCAUCCGGAGUAUGUCAGGAGUUGAUUUCUGUUUCUUUUUACCGGAGGCCAUCGUUCCAGAAGAAUUCUUCGUCCUCACAUUUCAGCUACGGUUAUCCAAUUAUCCCGGUGCUUCAUUCAAGUGUUCUUUAAUCAACUCAUGAUCUCUUUGCUCUCUUGCAUCUAAAUCCCUCAAGCAUAUUUGUUCUUCUAAUUCUUCUCGGUGAUUCAUUCUCUUUCAUCAGUCAUUUCCGAAUUCUAACGGUGGUUCGUUCAAGAUUCUUUUUCCUUGAUUAUCAUUUUAAUUCAUUUGUUCUUUCCAAUCCUACCAGUGGUUCAUGAAGACUUUCUCAAGUUUUGUGCUAUACCCCCCUUAAUCCUUUUCAAGAAGAAUAAGUAGUAUGCAAAAUCCAUUGCUUGUCAUCAAUUUAAUUUGAUAAAGGAUAAGCAUACAAUAAAUCUUAUUCUUAUUUCCUCAAAGUGAUUAAUCCGUUCCUUCGGAGUAUGUUUGUGAGGAUUAAAUUCUAGUUCCAAGUGUUUUCAUCUUUUCUUUUCUGGAGUUCAAAUUCCCUCGGGCAUUUCGUCGGAAUCUCCAUCUAAAUCAUCGCAAGGCUUUAAUCUUAUUCUUUCAUCCUUCAUUCUAUCUGAUCAUCUUUUUUUGUCACCGGAGUUCUUCAUGGUGGUUCUUCAUGAUUCAAUUCAUUCUUCAAGAGUUCAUCAAGAUUCUUGCUGGUGGAGUUCAAGUAUCUUUCUUCUCGAGUCUCGAAGUGUAAUUAAUUCUCCGUAUUCUUUCAAAGUGGAGUUUUGCAUUUCUUCGAUCUUCUCAGCUAUCCAAUCAUUUCUGUUUGUGGCUGGUUAUCACCUUAUGAUCUUGAGAUGUUAUCUAUAAGUCCACAACAAGCUUAUUCUUUUUGUUGUUCAUUUUCUCAACAACUCCGUUUAAACCUUCCUUCUAAAGAUGCUUUCAAUUUCAUUCGCGGCACAAGUUGUCAUUUUCUUCUCCGUUCUUUUCAUUCAACUCUUUAAAUUCUUUCCGGAGGUUUUGUGUCAUGUCUUCGUCAAGUAUCAUUCCAUCCUCUCAAGCUCGCGUUCCAUUCCUUCAUGUUUCAGCCAGAGUGCUGCCUAAAUCCUUUCAGACUUAUUCGUGUCUUAUCUCGUUCUAACCGGAGUGGUUCAUAGUCUAUCUGAUUCCGUGAGCUUUUGAUUCUCGUCAUUCUCGCCGUUCCUCUCUUCUUCUCAAGUGCUCUCGAUUCUUUGCUUCUUCUCUUGAGUUCUAGUUUCACCUCAUCCCUUUUUCCCUUUCGUCUUGGUCCUAAGAUCUCGGGACGAGAUCUCUAGUGGAGGAGUGUUGUAACGCCCCGAAUUCGAUGCGCCAGGUGUCUUCCAGUUAUUCUCCGUUGUUGCCAUGUCAUUUGCGUGCGUGUUGCAUUUUAUCAUGUCAUCAUGUGCAUUUCAUUUUGCAUACGUGUUCGUCUCAUGCAUCCGAGCUUUUUCCCCGUUGUCCGUUUUGCAAUCCAGCACUCCUAUGCCCUCCGGCGUUCCCCUUUUGUCUCCUGUUGUGAGCGGGUGUUAAACUUUCUCGGAAUGGCCCGAGGUUUGCCAAGCGGCCUUGGUAUACCACCGGUAGACCGCCUGUCAAGUUUCGUUCCAUUUGGAGGUCGUUUGAUACUCCAACGGUUAACCGGGUAACCGUAAAGACCUAUUUUGUGUGCAGCCCAACACCCCUCCAAAGUGGCCCAAUAACCCAUCCUAACCCCCUCCAUGCUCUCGGUCAUUCGAUCACGAUCGUGUGGCCGAAAACCGCACCCCAUUUGGAGUCUCCUAGCUCCCUCUACCUAUAUGUUAGCCCUCCUCGUCCAAAUUCGCAGCCCAAACCCUAGCCUCCUCUUCCUCCGCGUCGUCGGAUGUUUCUUCCCCGCCGCACCGGACAUGUACGCCGCCGCCUCGGCGAAUCGGGCGCCGUCACGUGUCCCCGUGCCCUGCCCUCUCUCUCCUACCUCCGCUGCUAGGCCCGUCGGGGCCCGGAUCUGGCCCGCCCGGCCCGUGACCGCGCCGCCGCAGCCCGCGAGGGCCCGAGCGCCCCCGCGCCUCCCGCUCCCGAUCUGGAUCGAGGGGAGGACCCCUCGACCCCGAGCCCUCGUCGCCGCCGCCAGCCUCCACCGCCGCUGGCGCGCCUCCGCCACUCCCCGCCAGGUCGCCGCCCGCCGCCCCUCUCCUCUCUCUUUCUCUCUUCUCUCUUUCUCUCCCUAACUUUCCUGAACUCCUCCAUGGGCAGCGCCGCCGCCCAUAGCUCUGCCCGUCGGCGGUAGACCUCACCGUCGCCGGGAAUGGGUCCCCGGCGAGCACCUCGUCCCGGAUCCAGCCUUCUCAGCUCCGUCCAUCGCCCCCGCGCCAUCCCUGCCGCCUUGCCGGAGUAGCGCCGCCGCCCUUGCUCCUCCGAUCCAGGAAGGAUCGAGGAGGAGGACGAGCUCCUCCCUGUGGGCCCCGCCCCACGGCAGGCCCCGCCUAGCCGGCCCGGCCUCCCCAACCGCCGGCCUUUCUCCUCACCGUCGUGGGCCGAAGCCCAUGGUGAGCCCUGCCUAAAACCCGCCCCGGUCGCAUUUUAGUUAUCCCGCGCUCGUCCGUUUUUUUAAUCGAAAACUGCAAAGUCCUGAAAAUAUUUGCAUUUUCAUGCCCUGUUCAACGCAUCAUAAUUCCAUGCAUACUGCUCUGUUUUGUGCGUGUAAUAUAUCAAAUUGUUCGUUGUGAGAUGCUCUUUAUUUCAUUACAUUGUGCCAUGUUUGUUUGAGUUCAUCUUGAUGCUCUAAUCAUCGUUGCAAGAGUGCUAUAUGAUAUCAACUGCUGUCUGUUAACAGAACUUGAUGAUUUGUCUUUUUCGUUGCAUUUUGUGUGUGCAUCCUAUGGGCAUGAGCUCUACAUGUGUUUUGAUCUAUGUCAUGCCAUCUUCACAGUGGUGCCAUCCAUGUAUUUUUGUUUGCCUUGUGGUGAGUGCACCAAGCUCGUGAAGUAGGGUACUUGCUGUUGCUGUUUUGCUAGGCUGAAUCUGCUAUAUCCUGAUGCUAGGUUAACCUGCUGCUACAAAUCAUUCUACGCAUAAUCUGGAGAUGUUCACUGAGGAUGUUUUGUUACACAUGUCAUGCUCUAUCCAUCCAUUCCCCUGGUUGCAUUUAUAGCCUGCUGUAACUUGUUAUUAUCUUGCUCUCGAAGUUGCUAAAUAAUGUUGUUGUCAGUCUGUUAACAUUAAGUUCAGUUUUGCCAUGUGUUUUGCUAGUGAUCCAUGCACCAUAUGAACUUGAUAUUACCAUUCUUAGCUUCAUAAACAUAUAUUCUUACUGUUGGUUGCCUUUCCAUGCCAUUUAUUACUCUGUGGUGAGUGGUUCAAACUCACCAACAUGCCUACUUAUUGUUGUUCCUGCCAUGUAUGAAUCUGUCAUAUCACUUGCUAUGUUUAUAUGGGUGCCAUCAUAUUUUCUGUGCCUUUUUGGCUCAUGGUCAAUAAGGGACUUUUGUUCUAUGCAAUUAGUAGAUUCAUGCCAUGCAUUUGUUUGCCAUGUUAAGUUCCUGUAGCAUAUUGUUGGAUAGCUCUAAACAUUGCAACCUGAUGUUAUUUCUGCUAAGCCUGAAACUGUUAUUAUUUGCAAUCUUGACAUGUCCUUUUGAGCGUGUUCUCAUGAUUUCUGGAGUUAGCUCAGUGUUCAUGUUUUGUCAUGCUUUACCUGUACUUCAUGCUCAUGCUUUUUGUUCUUAUGUUGGUGUACUGUAGCUUGUUGUUUUGAUGCUUGCAAGAUGCCUAGUUGCUGUUUUGGACAGAUUGUUGUCAUAUCUUGUUUGGAGUGUAUGUGUUGAACCGUUGCUCCGUUUUGAGUGUGCUCUAUAUGAAACUUGCUUGAUUUUGCAUGUAGUUUCAUAUUAUCAUGGUGCAUCCUUGUUUUGAGGUGUUUGCUUGAUGUUUGUAUGCAUUUUGCAUCAAUGCCAUGUUUAACUUGUUUUACUCAUAUCUUCUAGGCCGUAGCUCCGAACCAAAUGAACUUUAUAUGUAACUUGACUAGAAUUUCGCGUAGAUCCUCUUGGUGCUCUUUAACUUGCUGUUUAACAACUUCAACUUAAUGUUUAUUCAGAUCUGGACCAAUUUCGAAAUUUGCAUAUGAGGACUUACCGGAAUUGUUAUAUGUUGUUUCCGGCCUUAUUUAAACUUGCCUUGAUGUGUUGCUUUUGUUUGCAUCAUCUCUUGCCAUGAGUAGCUUCAUGUAGUCUUGUCUUGCAUCAUACUUGGUUGAGCAUCAUGUCAUGUCCACGUGUGGUGUGUUUACCAUGUUGUGUGCUUCUUCUCGAUAGUUCCUGUUUCAUUGCAAUCAUGAGGAUUCGUUCGUCUACGCUUGGUUCGUCUUCGUGGCUUCAUCUUCUUCAUGGACUCGUUCUUCUUCCUAGCGGGAUUUCAGGCAAGAUGACCGCUAUCCUGGAUCUCACUACUAUCAUUUCUAUGCUAGUUGUUUCGUUCUAUCGCUAUGCUGCGCUACCUAUCACUUGCUCUUCAAGCCUCCCAAAUUGCCAUGAACCUCUAACCUUUGUCACCCUUCCUAGCAAACCAUUGCUUGGCUAUGUUACCACUUUUGCUCAGCUCCUCUUAUAGCGUUGUUAGUUGCAGGUGAAGUUGAAAUUGCUCCAUGGUGGACAGGAUUUUGUUGGGAUAUCACAAUAUCUCUUAUUUAAUUAAUGCAUCUAUAUACUUGGUAAAGGGUGGAAGACUCGGCCUUAUGUCUGGUGUUUUGUUCCACUCUUGCCGCCCUAGUUUCCGUCAUACCGGUGUUAUGUUCCCGGAUUUUGCGUUCCUUACGCGGCUGGGUGAUUUAUGGGACCCCCUUGACAGUUUGCUUUGAAUAAAACCCCUCCAGCAAGGCCCAACCUUGGUUUUACCAUUUGCCUCACCUACCCCUUUUUUCCUUGGGUUUCCGGAGCCCGAGGGUCAUCUUUAUUUUAGCCCCCCCCCGGGGCCAGUGCUUCUCUAAGUGCUGGUCCGAACCAAGCCGCCUGUGGGGCCCCCUCGGGGAAACUCGAGGUCUGGUUAUACUCGUAGCCUGUCUAAUCCGGUGUUGCCCUGAGAACAAGAUAUGUGCAGCUCCUAUCAGGAUUGUCGGCGCAUCGGGCGGCUUUGUUGGUCUUGUUUUACCAUUGUCGAAAUGUCUUGUAAACCGGGAUUCCGAGACUGAUCGGGUCUUCCUGGGAGAAGGAAUAUCCUUCAUUGAUCGCGAGAGCUUAUCAUGGGAUAAGUUGGGACACCCUUGCAGGGUAUAAACUUUCGAGAGCCGUGCCCGCGGUUAUGUGGCAGAUGGAAAUUUGUUAAUUUCCAGUUGUAGAUAACUUGACACCAAAUCCGAAUUAAAAUGCAUCAACCAUGUGUGUCGCCGUGAUGGUCUCUUUCGGCGGAGUCCGGAAAGUGAACACGGUUUUUGGUUAUGUUUGACGUAAGUAGGAGUUCAGGAUCACCUCUUGAUCAUUGCUAGCUUCAGGACCAUUCCGCUUGUUCUCUUCUCGCUCUUAUUUGCGUAUGUUAGCCACCAUACUUGCUUAGUCACUGCUGCAACCUCACCACUUUACCCCUUCCUUUCCCAUUAAGCUUUGCUAGUCUUGAUACCCAUGGUAAUGGGAUUGCUGAGUCCUCGUGGCUCACAGAUUACUACAACAACAGUUGCAGGUACAGGUUUAUGCGAUAAUCAUGACGCGAGAGCGAUGUUUACUUGUUUUGGAGUUCUUCUUCUGCUUCUUCUUCGAUCAGGAGAUAGGUUCCAGGUCGGCAGCCUGGACUAGCAGGGUGGAUGUCGUUCGAAUUUUUGUUUGUGUUUCAUCCGUAGUCGGAUGGUGCUCUUAUGUAAGAUGAUGUUGUAUUCGUGUGGCAUUGUAUGCCUUUGGUAUGUAUCCCCAUUUAUUAUAUAAUAUUAAUGUAAUGAUAUCCACCUUGUAGAAGUGUAUCAAUAUGCGGUUCUAUCCUUGGUGGGACCUUCGAGUCUCUUUAGGAUAGUAUCGCAUAUUAGGCGUGACAGUGUCGUACAUUCGGUACUCGAUCGGUUGGAUCGCAAAGAAGUUCGAAUACAUCAACCGCGUUACUAAACACUUCCGCUUACGGUCUACGUGGGUACGUAGACACAGUCUCCCCUCUCGAUGCUAUGCAUCUCCAUGGAUAGAUUUUGCUUGUGCGUAGAUUUUUUUUCCAUGCAACGUUUCCCAGCAGUUUAGUCGAUACAUGCAAACCUUUUUGUAUUGUGCCUUUUUCUUUUUCUUUGCGUUGAUACAAUUUUUUUCCUUUCAAAGCUUCUUAGAGUUACUAGUGAUGUUUAGUUUUGAUGACUGCGUCCAUGUUGUGUUCAUUUUUGAAAUUUCUGACAUGGUAUCUUCUCCUUUCCUUACAAUAGAUUAGUGAUUUCUGCCUACAAGGAAGAGUGUAAUAGUGCACUAACUAGUUUUGUAUGGAUUUCGUGAUUCAUGUUAUGGUCAAUGCUCAUGUGGUGUUAGAUCUGAAGAAAUUUGUGGACAAAGAUAACGUGGGUCCAGCUGAGCCCCAACGCAAAUGACUCCAUAGCAUGGUCCUGGGAAAAGGACGGGCGUUUCUCGACAAGAUCGUCUGGGGCAGGAAGGUGGUACCAACAACGCAGUUCACUUGGGGAUCAAGAGCUCCACUUCGAUGUCAUUUCUUCGCUUCACUCGCCUUUCAGAACAGGUGCUUGACGUCCGACCGACUGGCCCAAUGCGGAUUGGACCAUUUGGAGCAAUGCCCAUUCUGCAACCAAGAGGAAGAAACCAUAAACCACUAGCUACCGGACUGUGUGUUUGCCAAAGAAGAUUGGACGACAGUUACUGUUGCCGCGGGCAAGCUGGAUUGGGCACCGAGGGGCGAAAACAUUGCACAAUGGUGUGUCGUGAAGGGUUGAUCAGGAAGAACAUGGAAGGAUACUAGGAUAGUCUCAACCCUCGUGCUCUAGGAGUUGUGGAAGCAUCGCAAUGCCAUUGUGUUUGACGACGCAUCCCAUUCCAUGAGGCACAUUAUACUCAACAUACUGGCCGAGGGCACACAGUGGAAGUAAGCGGGAAUGCACAAGAAUGACGUUAGCACUUUCUUUGAAAGUUAGCAGAGUAGGCUAGGACAAUUAUUUAGCCUAGUUGUUGUACGUGGGGUGGAGUUGGUGUUCAUGUUGUAAUACUUCCUCCAUCCGAAAAUACUUGUCAUAAAAAUGGAUUUAUUUUGACGCAUUUUAGUUCUAGAUACAUCCACUUUUAUUCAUUUCUGUGACAAGUAAUUCCGAACGGAGGGAGUAUGUAACAUUAUUUAGCCUAGUUGUUGUACGUGGGGUGGAGUUGGUGUUCAUGUUGUAAUACUUCCUCCAUCCGAAAAUACUUAUCAUAAAAAUGGAUGUAUUUUGACGCAUUUUAGUUCUAGAUACAUCCACUUUUAUUCAUUUCUGCGACAAGUAAUUCCGAACGGAGGGAGUAUGUAACAUCAAGGUGGAGGGACUCUUUAAUCCCGUUCCCUUGUUUAAUGUAUAGUACGUACACUCGUGAGUAUUUGAGAAAAAAAAUCUGAAGAAAUCAAGACAUCUUCUGGGAAUACCCUUUGGUUCCUGGGUGUAUAUACAAAUCAUAUGGGAAAAACAUUAAUAACUUAAAUAAGUCAAAAAAAGUUUGCAAGUUUGUAUUACAAUAAACUUGACUUUCUUUUGCAUUAGUAUAUCUCUAUCUCUACCUACUAAUAAAGCAGCGACUGCUUCUGGUCGUCCGUCGCGUUAUUUUGCAAAAACAUCCCUGCCUUUUUCGAUAAUUAUCCCGCAGUAUAGGCUAAACAGAACGAGCCGUUUUCAUGUAGUUUACAUAAAACACCCCGGAGUUUAUGCUAAUUAACCCGCAGUCUAGAAUUAUAAGUCGUCCGUCAUCGUGUAUUUUUUGCAAAAAGCCCCCUAUGGUUUCAAGUAAUUAAUCUGUAGUCCAGUAUAUAUGUGAAAAAAAUGUUUCGGACUUCAGAUUCGUGCCGCGUCCUCCACGCCUCCCGUAAUGGGCCUCAUGUGCUAUGAGCUUUCUCUUUGCCUUGCUCGGAUCAUGCCGAAAAAAAUUACGUAUAUGAUUUGGCUAAGUAAUAAUACCACAUCACUUAAUUACACCUAAUCACACCAGUUCAUAUAGGUACACAUUGAUUAUUCAACAAGCGACCACAAAAAUCAGAAAACAAAGGUGAGGCUAAUCAGAAGGGGAACCGAGAUGGUCGAGGGCAGUCGAAUCCGGACGGAUCCGGUCCGGUGGAGGCAGAUUCGGAGGCGGCACAUCAAAUCCCUCGACAGGAGGAACAGACGAGGCCGAGGACGGUCGAGGGCAGCCGGAUCCGAUGGCGGCGCGUCAAAUCCGGCCACGGGGAGGAGCAGACGAGGCCAGGGGACGGUCGAGGGCAGCCUGGUCCGGUCCGAUGGAGGCGGAUUGGGCGGCGGCACGUCAAAUCCCGCCACGGGGAGGAGCAGACGAGGUCGGGGACAGUCGAGGGCAGCCAAAUCCGCUUGCAGUGGCGAGGCUCCUUGCGCGUGCUUCCUGCAUGACCAAGGGAAAAAGGCUAAGAAGGUGAGGAGGAGACAUGAAGAAGGAGAAGGAGAGGCGCUGGAGCCGGUGUGGGUCGCGCCGUGCGCGAGGAAUUGGGCGGGCGCUGAGCUGAGCCCGUGGAGGAAAGAGGAGUCGGGAGGCUCGGUGAUGGCCUCGAUGCCAUCUGCAUCCAUAGCUGGGGGCGUUGUGGGAUGGAGAAGAACGAGUGGGGGAGAGACGAGAAUGAGCGGUGCUGGCCGAGAAGAGAUAAGGUUGGAUGAGCUACACACAAGCGGUGCGUGGUGCUGGCCGAGAAGAUAAGGUUGGAUGGAGCCAACACAGAGCGGUGCGUCGGGCCAGAUGACACCCGCGCGAGAGGCGUAGACGGGGCUGGUGAGCGUGCAUGCAUCACGGACUAAACAAUAAAUCUAUAUCUAUAUCUAUACUUCUAUACUUCUAUACUUACUAUUAAAGUAAGGUGAUAUUCCUAGUUUUGUCCUGCGAUUAGUCUUUUUCUACUGUUAGUUUUGGUCACGUACGAGGUGGCGAGGUGGUACUAACGUCAUGUACGAGGUGGCGAGGAGGUGGUUCGUAACUUCGUAUCGCUGUUUUAAGAUCGAUCGCUCCAUCGGUACGUACUGGGCCAGGAGCCAAGCAAGCAAGUGGGCCUUCUAAUAAUUUUUCUCUUGUGGGCUACGAGUAUAUGGGUGGUCUUUCAGAAUAUAUAAAAAAAAUACUACUGCUUGCAUGGUUGUUCGAUCUCACGGCCAUCUAACUAUGCCAAACGUUUCUGAAAAAAAACUAACUAUACCAAGCAAAAGAACAACGUAGCCAAAGCUAGCUGACGAUUAUGCUUGUCUAGAAAUAAGCUGAUGACUAUGCGAGAAAGAGGUUUGUUUGCUAAUAAAAUAGUCCCACCUCACUUUUCAACACAAAAUCUGACCAAUUUAUAUACUUGCGUGAGGUGCUUGUACAAACAACCAGCCGCUUGGAGAAGCAACAGACAAACAGUAAUCCGCAAGAAUUAACUUGGAUUGGGGGCUGCAUGAGAUAAAUAGAGGAGGGCACAAAAAGCCUAGGGUUUCCUCUGCCUCCUGCCGUGUCCGCCUCGUCUCCUAUGGAUCACGGUCCUUGCCGGCAGGAGGGCUUUGUUUUUAGGUAUUUUUUCGUUUUGGUAGGGUUCAUGUCCUAAUUAGAAAGACGGGGGGAGGGCGGCUCCCUGAAGAUCCCCGCCAUGAUGAUGCUUCUAGCAUCAUCGAAGGACGUGUGUAGGUUUUUCUUCGAUGGAUAUCGUGGGAUUUGGUCGAUGUUUGUCUUUCGUGGAUCAACUUGGGUCCGCUCUUUCUUUGUCUAUGUCGGUGUGUCUAUAAGUUAAAUUCUUUCAAUCUACGCUUUUCUUUAUCGGCGGCAGUUGUUGUUUCAGUGCUUGUAGUCGACGCUAGAUGGUCUACGGACCUGGAUAUAUAUUUAAAUGGGAUUGUGGGUUGUGUCUGAGAAACAAUAUUUCAUGGGAUUGUAAUAGAGAGUAAUAUUUAAAGAUGCCCUCGUGCCACUUUGGUGAACUUUUCCAUGGAAACAUAUUAAUUUACUUUACCAUUGCAACGCACGGGCAUUUGUGCUAGUAAAUAAUAAGAUAGUAUGUCGAUGGUGUGUGGUGGACUAUAAUUAUCGAAAGGUGGAAAUAAGUCAAACGCCGCAUGCACACCGCACGGGAGUCGUAGCCUGCACCGUGCCGGAGCUCGCCAGGAGCGUGGGAGGGCGAGCUGCGUCCUGCGUGUGGGUGUUGGCGAGCAUGCGGCGGCAUGCACUGCGGGCGAGCGUACGGGCGGGCAGACGAGCUGCGUGCAGGUUAUCAAAAACAAUAAGGUGUGCAUCAAGGGUGCCCGCUCGCGAGUGCCACGUCGACAACAGUUUCACUGUUCGCGAUGGCCAAUUGAAGCGACAAAUUGAUGUCUCGAACGAGAAAGCUUACAAGGGAAGUAAAGAAUCCUCUGUACGUCUUUACGCCCGCAGCCCAAACUCUCGACCCCCACACGCAAUCUCUCCUCUUCUCNNNNNNNNNNNNNNNNNNNNNNNNNNNNNNNNNNNNNNNNNNNNNNNNNNNNNNNNNNNNNNNNNNNNNNNNNNNNNNNNNNNNNNNNNNNNNNNNNNNNNNNNNNNNNNNNNNNNNNNNNNNNNNNNNNNNNNNNNNNNNNNNNNNNNNNNNNNNNNNNNNNNNNNNNNNNNNNNNNNNNNNNNNNNNNNNNNNNNNNNNNNNNNNNNNNNNNNNNNNNNNNNNNNNNNNNNNNNNNNNNNNNNNNNNNNNNNNNNNNNNNNNNNNNNNNNNNNNNNNNNNNNNNNNNNNNNNNNNNNNNNNNNNNNNNNNNNNNNNNNGUCGACGCCGGUGAGUAAUCCACCAGCAUCUCUAUCCUUCUUCCCCUCUACUUUUGAUCUGUCUUCAUGCUCAUCUAACAGAGGACCAGGGAGUGGCGGCAGUGGCCAGGCCUAGUGGUGACGGGACGAUGAAGUGGUCGGAGGCGCUGCAUCGGCGGCCAGUUGGUCUGCAAUGACGGCAAGAUGGCGGAGAUCGUGCACCAGCUGUGCCAAAGGUGCGCCGCCUUCCCCAUGUCCCCUUCCUCUCCCUCGCCUGCGUGCCAUCUCCUUCCUGUCCCAGCGGCCCAGCCUCGACCACGUCAUUCCGGCCUACGAGCUCGGCCUCUGCAGCAGCGGCUCCCUGUCCCCUGCCCCCCUGUUCUUUCCUAGAGAUGAAUGCUCUGAGAGUGUAUGUUGGCUGAAACUCAAUGCGAGAUUGUCCGACUAAGUGUCUUAAGGUUAUCCGAUUAAUUUUGUCCUUAGACCUGCUAAUAAAUUUAUAAAAUUCUUUUGUUUACAUCAUCUGAUUAGGUGAUUACUUUAAGUAUGUAACCAUGUUUUGAUGGGUUAAUUGUUGACUGAUUGUAACUGUUCAUUGUUAAUGAGGAUCCAGCAAUGCAACCUAGCUUGCCAAGAGUCUACUUUCAUUUUUCUAAAAGAAAUAUUUUUUCAGCAAUGGUUCCUUUUGGACUGUUAUAAUAUGGAGCAAGUUGUGUGGAGAUUUAAAUUGAAGCACAAAGCACAGCUUUGUUCCUUGAUCAACCAAUCAGUAUCUUCCUUUGGAAUCUUAAGUUUUGAUAUGAGAUGAGAAUAAUUUGUAAUAGCAAUUCAUGGCUUUUAUGUAAUCAGGUAAAACCUACUCUUGCAUGCUCCUGAUUGUGUGUGUAUUUUGUAUCUUCAGAGUUAUUUUAUUCUUCGCCUUAUGUAUUCAAUGUGGAACAAGUUAUAUAAAACUUUAAAUGUACAUGAUGGAGCUCCUUUGUGAGCUUCCAUAGUUGGAGAAUGUGAUAUACCAUUUUUUAAAUAUACUUUGUGGCUUGUUUUGCUUUCUGCUCUAACAUCUUUUCUUCUAGGAACGCUUGUAGGCUGAAAGUCCACUAGACAGCUUUCUGAAAUCACUUGGACUUGAGAAGUGUUCUAUUUCCUUCCAGUUAGAGUAGGUUUGACUAUUUACCUAAAUCUUUGCAUUGUUUUUUUUUCGUGUUUGGCUGACAAUUGUUGUGUUGCUGGUUGACAUGGCGGCCCUACGUCACAUGACUGAAAUUGAUCUCAAGCGUUAGGCAUCCUGAUGGUAAGUGCAUUACAUAUCAUGCUAGAUCAUGAAUUUUGCAAGAAUAGGCAUUUCUUGGCUUCUCACAUCCUUCAUCAGAAGAGUUAUGUCACUUUGCAUAAAUUUUAGACUCAACUGUCAAACAAGCACAAGAAGUAGUUAGAAUGCAUAAUUUUGCCGACGAACUAGACUGAACCUGCGUUACAGAAGUAUUGCGUGCGCUUAUAUUUUUUAUCUGACGUAAUGGCACAUAAGUUAAUGCCAAAUUCAGUGUAAAGUAAUUCUUUUGUAAGUCAGCAUUCUUAUUUGUGCACACGCAUAUUUUGAUCCGAGGCGUAAAGGUCAAGCUUACAGUGCAUUUAGGGUCCUAGGAAGUAGAGUGCCUUUUGCCUUGGAAUCCAGAGCGUAGGGCAAUGUCCAUGGGGUACAAUGUAGAAAAGCAGGGAGAUGUGGUAGGUUUUUUGCUCAUCUGAAGUUCAGCAUAUCUUGUAAGAGUACAGGUACAACGAUGUAGGGUCUCUUCCUCCUCACCCGCAGGCCCCGUGCCGCCGCCCUCCAUACCCCCGUCCGGCGACCUGGGCGUCUGACCGACGCCUCGCCGCUCAUUGCCGCAGCAUGCACUGGUAAGCUCGAUGCGCCUGACCCGCCUCCCUGCUGUAUUUGCUAAGACGUUGAAAGUUAGUGACAAGUUAUUUUGAAGAGCGGGGGGUAUUAGCAGGUUUACGGACUGUGGCUCGAUCGAUCUCGUGUUGUGUGUGUCUGGAUGCCUGCUUGAUUAAGUUCAUAGUUUGUUUCCAGCAAUGUGAAAUACGUGCUUGCAUUGGACUGACUAGACCUGUACUCAUUUUCUCACUCCUUCUUCUGUACAAAUGGAACAAACCCGCGUUACGAGCAGAGUACAAUUGGCUCCUCCAUUCCUUUGCAAGCAGAGGGACAAUGAGUUCCUCUGUUCCUGACAGAAUCGAUUAUCAAGGGCCCUAGUAGUCGGUCCUGUUUGCGUGAGUUUAUGCGGUAUCAUAUAUAUAUUAUGAAUGCAUUGCCGCAAGCAUGCAGUUUCAUGUAUUGGAGCAGGUAAGAUAAGAGACAUGCCGACACUGUGUUGCUUUGUAUUAAUUCCUAGGCGUUCUGGUGUUUGUACCAAGUGUGCAUCUAUUUGGUUCUUUGGUUCUUCAAACCAAUUUGUUGCUUGUUUAGCUGGAUUCGGGUCAACCAUUGGAUGGGAAGGAUAAUUGAACAGAAAGCCUGUACAAAAAAAUGUACACAUGUUUUUCUACUGCACAUGUUUGUGUUAAUGCCUAGAGUAGCUAGGAAUCAAAUUGAUAAGGAUCAAAACUUCAGAAUUAAGUUAUAAAUUUGCUGAAUUUUAUUUAGUUUUUUCAUAAACAUUUUGACUGGGAGUCAGCCACGAAGAAUUUGUGAAGCAACGCGUGCUGAAAAUGAAGUACAAUUAGUAGAAACCAAUGAUAGGAAACCCAUUCUCCGUAAGUACAGUACUCCCCUAACAACCUGAAGGUCAUGUGACUCAUGUCUGUUACUUAUUUAUUGUUAUGCUAUUUCAGAAAGGUUGUUUCACAUCAGAUCCGGAUGCUUUUAUUUUUGGGGCAAGGACAGUUUACAGAGAUGUUUUUUUAGGUACAGCUGUAUUGCCGCACCAUUAGAUUCUCAUUGCAUCAUUAGUUAACUUUUGUUGGCAGGUUUUAAACUUCUCCUUAUGGUAUUUCAGAUGGCCAAGUUUGUAAUUAGCAGGAUGGAUAAUACUCACACUCCACUCUAAUUAAUGAACAGGAUGGGAUGGUGUUCUACCCCUCCGUGUCCUCAAAAUGUGCCAAUGGAUGACAUUCUCCAGAUUAACAAGUUCAUUUGUGCUGCUGCUCUUACGAUGUCUCGGGGCAUUGGGGUGGGCAAGAUGAAGGUGCUCAGCGGUUGCUGCAAGCGCUGUGAGGCCGGGCGGUGGAGGCGUAUGCAUGGGCCACAGUUCAGGUAUGUGUGCGCCCUCCCUAGGAAUCUCAUACUUGCAUCUGGUUGUUAGAGUUGGCCAUACUGCUGAGGAGCUGUACUAUUUGUUGUGCCUGAAAACAGCUCCAGCAGUAUGCAGAUGGACGAUUAGCGAACUUAUGUCUACACUAUGCAGAAAACACUGAAUUAUUCACCUCAAAUUUGGUGGCAUGCGCAACAUUCCCUAUUAGGCGGAAGAGACUUGUGGUACAUGCCAUUGCAAAUUUCGGGAGAAAAGAGGAGGAGUAUGGCACUUUGUGUAUUAGGUAGAAGGAGACUGGGGCAAUGAGCACCAUGUUCACGCAUGUGUACACAAUUUCUAGCUUGUUGAAUGGUAUGGUUGUUUUGUGGGAUAUGUCUCAGAAUCCACCAUGCCAAGAACUAGUAGCCAAAGGUCUUCAUGGAACUGGGUGGCAUUUUCGUCACAUAUUUCAUGUUGAUUUUACAAUUUGAGCAUUCGGCUUGAAUACCCUUUAAACUUUCCGUCACUAUGUUCUUAUCAUUUUGGUGUAGCACUUCAUGUCACAAUUGAAUGUUUAAUUCUUACCACUGCAUAAACUUGCAGUUUAUACUGAUUCAUUACUAAAUGAGCAGUAUGAGCUCUCUCCCUCUCCUCUGGUUCUAUCUCAUGCCUUCCAAUGUUUUGUGUUUCACAUGGCCUAAUCUCUUUGUGUUUGUCUAUUAUUUAUUUGGCUCUUUUGAAAUUUGUAGUUUAACUUCUUACUCCAUGUCCAUGUAUUAGAAGAUAGUAAGAAAACAAGUGGAAUGGGCGUUUGCCAACCUGGCAACGCCCAACUUCCUCUCAAGAGGCGCCACAGGUGGCGCCCCAACCCCUAGUUUACCUUAUAAAGGACGCUAGGACAGCAGCCCCUCUCAGGCCAUCCACACGGCCAGCAAUUGGAAAUCGCGUUCGGUUUCACCGGAUCCGGCUUGCCUGCUCCCUUCCCAUGCUCCCAUCCGUGCUCCCACUUCAUCCUAUGGCUGUCCUUUUUCCUUUUUUUUCUUCUAAUCUAAUCAUCUUCCCCCUGAUUUUCAGGGGGUGGGGCCGGGUCUUAUUUUCUUCCAAUCAAAUCAAGCCACGUACGCGCGAGCACGGAUGGGAGCAUGGGAAGGGAGCAGGCAAGUCUCGUCCGGUUUCACCUCGUUCCCUGCCUAGCCUCUACUGAUGACGCCUGGGCCCGGUUUUGUGGCCCAUUGCGUCCUGCGCGUGCGCGCGCGAGCGAGAGAAAAAGCGAGCGAGCGAGCAGCACUGUAGAGAGGAAAGGGAGGACAAAAGGUAGCGAUGCCCGUGACCUAACCCGCGACCCCCGCCUCCUCUCCUGCCGCCGCCGCUUCCUCCUCUCCUUUCCUUGAUGUCGCUAGGGCCUCGCCCUCACCGGCCAAAUCCUCUCCUUCCUCGAGCCCCGCGUCCCCCUCCAGCUCCCAUCCGCAUCUCUCCUCCUCCCAUGCGCUCCCCUGUCCCAUCCAUGCCCAGCGGGACGGUCGCAACAAUGGCGAGUGGCGGCGAGAGUAGGGGCCGGGUCAAGGCAGGUGUUGACGGCAUGGAUGCAGAUGACAGUGGCCGUCGAAGGGGGCCUGGCGUGCAUAGCGGCGGAUGGAAGGGCAGCAGCGGCCUGUGGGGCGUCGACCGGAACGGCAGCGACCUCCGUGGAAGAGAAGGGCCCGCCAGGCUCGUGCACGCGGGAGAAGCUGGGGGCGCUCGUCGAUUGGGCAGAUGGCGGCCAUCAAAGUUUCUUCAAUCGAUCUAGACAGGGUCAUGAAAGCUACGCGAGGGGUGGAGGCGAGCGACCCUCUGGAGCCGCGCACAUCGAGAGGUAGCAGUCGUGCCCCUCCUCCUUCCCUUCUCUUCUCCCCUCCUCCUCUCCAAUCUAGCCUGCCGUCCUCGGCAUCUUCCUCUUCCAUUUUUUUACUCCAUGAUUUUCUGAUUCUCUGUUAAUCUAUGUGAUUUCUGAAUUUCUGGUUACUUGUGAAGAGUAGAAAAAGAAUUUUGAUGAAGAAGAACAGGGGGGUUCACUCUCUCUCUUGAGUUCAAUCAUGUUUGUUCCUGGAUUUUGAUGUUUGAUUUUUUUUCUGUGUAAUAGAGCACAUGGCAUGAUUUUGUACUCCUAUUUACUACUAACAAAAGCUACUCCCUCCGUUCCUAAAUAUUUGUCUUUCUAGAGAUUUCAAUAAGUGACUACAUAUGGAGAAAAAUGAAUGAAUCUACACUCUAAAAUAUGUCUAUAUACAUCCGUAUGUGGUAACCAUUUGAAAUCCUAAAAAGACAAAUAUUUAGGAACGGAGGGAGUAGAUUUGUGUACGAAGAUCUUGAAUACAAUCAUGUUUGUUCCUGCAUUUUGGUGUAUGUUAGUCUUCUGAACAAAAGAUGUUGGGCAUGCCUCUGUAUGAGCUAGCUGUAAUAUUUUUCCACGGAAUAUGAUGAUUCAGGUUCAUCUUCGAUAUGGUUGUUUUCACCAUACCAAAGUACAUGGAAAUCUAGGCUUGCAGAUUAAUAUAGCUUCAGAUGCUUUGUUUUGGGGAGGAGGUAGAAAUCAUGGUUGUGCUUAAGCUUUUGUUCUUUAUUUAUCUUUGAGGCAUAAAUUCAAAUGAUUAGUGUAUGCAUGGUAAUCUUUGUGCUUUUGACAACCACUAGAGGACCAACUAAUUUAUGCUUGAUUAUCUGCUCCUUUUUAUUCCUGACAUUUAGCUCUUGCCCUUAAUCAGUUCUUUUGAAAGGAGCUCUUCCUCCGCCUCUGCCUGGGCGCGAUCUGCACUGUCAGUACGUAUGUUGUGGCCAUGCCAACAAAAAGCGCUUAAUUAGAUUUCUAUUUUUAACUAAUCCCUCUUCCAUUUCAGUCAUAUUUAUGUUCAAGUCUGAAUACCUUUUCUCCUAUAUAUAUUAUACAUCACAUCAUGGCAUAAUUUAGUUAAUGGCAUUAUGGAAGGACUCAUGUAGUCAUUGGUUACAAUGGUGGCUCAUGAAGUUCAAAAAAUGUGUUCUUUACAGAUUUGAGAUGAUAAAAAUUCAGAAUAGGUAAGAGAAUAAGCCAUGUUUCUUCUUUGCUGCUCUGGUUGUCAUGUGCCGCAUAGUUUUUUUGCCCCACAUACUACUGGCUGCCUUUUUGUUGUUUACUAGAUCCAUCUCUAUGAACUUUGUUAUUUAUAGUGGAUCUGUUUAUUAUUUCCGGUCCAGCUUAGGGUAAGCAUUAUGAAUCACAUGUUGUUUCAUCCUUUUUUUUGUCAAGAACUGAACAUUUAGAGAACUUACCAGUCUUCUCUUAAAUUUUACAUGUAUGGCAGCUCCCUGAGUGCUCAUAGGUUUUUUCUCUCUUCUCAUUCUGUAGUCUGUACAACUGUCCGUUCCUCUUUAGGUGGCGUAUCUUGGAACCCUCUAACACUAGGGAGUUUGUAUUUGUUGGAACUUUGUAGUGUUCUUUCGAUAAGUAAUAGAAUUAUUCAGGCUGAGCCAAGUUUCGCUUUCAUCCAGUCAUAGAUAUGGCCAAAUGCAAAUCAUUCUUCUACUAUAUAUCUCACUGCUUACAUUUCAUCAAUAGUGCAUUUCGUACUCGGAACAGUAAUCAAAAAUGUGUAUUGUAGUAAAGAGCAAUAGUAGCGUGAAUUUUUCAAUCUGAGGCAUUGUUCUUUAUUGAAGAUAUUUUGUGAUGAUGCAGCAUGGGGUGAGAUAACUUACGAAACAGAUUUAGCAAGGGCACUGGACAAUUCAGGCCACAUAAGGGGCAUCAAGUUAUUUGGGCAAGUAUUAUAAAUCAUCGAUAGUUUGAUUUUCAGUAAAUGCCUGAACAUAUUACAAAAGAAUUAGGGUUACGACAUCAGAGAAAAAAAGUGAAGCUUCAGUAAGCUAUGAGAAUACAUACAGAAUCAACACUUGAAAAGUAUUCUUCAGGAUUUAAGAAGUAUGUUUUGCCCCAUUUCAGAUGACAGAAAUUAAUUCUCUCUGGACAUUGACAUGUUCCAUUAGACGAGUAACUUCAGCUUGACUAUCUAGCAUUUGUCCAAGAUUUUCCUGUUUACAAGCAUAGUCAUAUCCAUUGUUUUUAAGGCGUCCCGCCUUGGACGCUUAGGCUACGCUUAGGCGAUAAGGCGCCCCCCCCAGCGCCUUACAAAUAUGCCCGCCUUAGGCGCUUAGGCGUCGCCUAGGCGAUAAGGCGCCCCCCAGCGCCUUAGGUCGCCUUACCGCCUUAAAAACUAUGGUCAUAUCCAGGGGUCAUGCUUGGAUCUUGCUGAACGCAAAGUCAGUCUGCAGCAACAAGACGUUGCCAUGCAAAGCCCUUGGAGGCAUAUGGUUUCGUUGGGUUCAUCAUGGCGCCUGCUCUGUGCAUCAUGUCCGCGUAUGGUCCAGAGCGGUGACUCCUCCUACAUCGUGGCCACUGGCUACCCCAAGAAGUACUCGCCUUCUCCUCCUCCCACCGUGACUACGGUUUUCUUUGUUCCCUGAUGGUCCUCGCCAACCCAGGAGCUGACUAUGCUGAUUUAUAAGCCCAUUUAUAGUAAUAAUUCAAGCCCUACAUUUUCAAAUCUUCUUAUGUUUACCAAACUUGCAGUACUGUAAUUUUUUAUCAAAAUUAUAAAAGAUUGUGCAUUGACUAUGUAUCUGAUAGUUAUUUUAUACAUAGGUGCCAAAUCUUGCUCAUGGAGGGAUCAUAUAUAGCCAGACACUUAUAGUAGAUGAAGCUCACCGUUCGUAUCAUGAGAAUGUGGGAACACUCUAAUAUGGAUUCUACUGUGUUACAUGGUCCAAAUUUCCUUAUGGUUGAUCACAAGGUAAAAUUCAUAACCGAACUACAAUCUCACAUCUCGUUGCAGCAGAUUAUAUGAUUCAGUCUAUGUACAACUUUUCAGGGCAACACAAUGGAAGGAACGAUCCCCACAUAUAGGAUGUGUACCUACGAAAAUGAGUUCCAAAAAGGGGUCAUAUAUACGAUUGAAAACUUUUAUGAUACGUACAGCCAGGAAAAAAAUACAGGGCAGUGGAGCAUCCGUUCGCUCAACAAACAUUAAUAUAACCAGUCGUUCCGCAACCAGAAGAUUUACCUAUGUGUGGAACGACUGGUUAUAUGAAUGUUUUCAUCUUCGGUCAGCACUUAGUAAGCACUACUUUUAUUACAGUUUCGUUUGCUGCCUAUCAAAGUAUUAUUUAUUUCAGUCCGCUCUGCUUAUUCAGAUGUUGUUAGAUCGAUGUGAAACUUUCUCAUUAGAAGAAUCCACCCAAAACCAAUCACAAUCGAAAACAAUUGAAAGCAGUUCCGGAAUUGACACUUGAUUCUUCACCUGUAGCAAACCGCAUUGUAGAGGUUGAUGAAAUGUUGCUUGCCAUGGUACCAGGGAGGAUAGUCUAAGUUGGAUAUGUCUUGUCUUCUUUUCACUUCAUGUCCAAUUUUCUCUUAUCGCCUAUUCUAUCAUCACAAUUCCCAACAGAGCAUUGACUUCCUUUAAGGCAGGGACGUUAAGGGUAUAUUUUGAGAAUUUACUUACAAAAUUUGAGCUUAGAGAACUAAUUGUGGAUCGGUGAUCCUUUGAUAACUACUAAUGUUGUGAGUUUCAUUUAACCAACUACAUGCAUUGGUAUUUUUCUUAAUUCACCAUGGUCUUCUCUGUUUGUAUAGAUAGAAGGACACCGAGAGGCACGUGCGAUGUGAUUUCCCUGUAGACAUCAUGUCUGACGGUACCUCAUUCGAGGAUGGUCUCUUUGUCGCACAGUCGAUGACACUGUGGGGCUCUGCAGGAUGUUUUCCCAUGAAAAACCGGAGACUGCGCGCUUCAUCACCGAUAAUUCGCUCCACCUUCUAAACAGCAAGUAUGCAUCUUUAUCUUUGUGCAAAAAGGUUAGGGACAAAUUUUAUUGAUUACAUGGUUUCAUGAAGAAAUCGACUUAUCUUCGUUCUCCAAAAAUAUAUGACUAACCUUACAAUACGACACUUUUUCCUAAAUAUUGGUUCCCCUAAACCCUUCUUUUGUUUUAGAUGAAUAUAUUGAGUUGUCAGUUCAUUACUCAUAACUGAUUGAUUGUUGCAUUGUCGUAUACUUUUGGUUCUACUAGAUUCUACUAAAUUUGGCCUUUGUUGUACUUGAAAAAUCAAAUAACUGAACUUGCUUUAUUUCUGUUCUCUGUAGUUGUAUAAACCCUUUAUAUGCAAAUGAACUGUCAGUUAGUUCAUUACUCACAACUGAUUGACUGUUGCUUUGUCGUAUACUUUUGGUUCUGCAAGGUUCUACUAAAUUUGGCCCUUGCUGUACUUGAAAAAUCAAAUAUCCGAACUUGCUUUAUUUCAGUUCUCUGUAGUUGUAUAAACCCUAUAUAUGCAAAUGGUGCCUAUCGGUAGGUUUUGAUUUUGCUACAUUAUGCCCUUAUAGAAACUUGAAAUAUCAAGCAACGUAACUUGCCUUAUCUCAGGUAGUUGUAUAAACUCUGUAGAUGCAUCACACUGUGUUCAUCAGUGCUAUGUUUUUUCUGGGGUUCAUUUGUGAUAUAUUUGAUGUAUAAGCACAAGAUCCAAGCUAUAAAGAGCGCAAAUUACUUCUUACCACUUUUAUAAAGGCUAAUUUACUCCAUUUAGAUUGAGGUAGUUUCAACUUAUAAACCUCUUGUGACCAAUUGGCAUAUGAUGUUAGAUAUGAGACAACAAUUGCCUCAAUGCCUCCAAUGUUUUGGGCAUUUUUUUCUUUGCAUUUUGAAUCAGAAGAUGGAGCUAAAAAGAAGCAAAUUUGUCAGACUGCCGGGUAAAAAGGGAGCUAAAUGUUAAACACUGCCAUGUAAAAAUGAACCUUUGGAUUCUGGGAUGCACUCGUUGCGCCGAUGGCGCAAAGGGCGAGAGCAAACUAUGUUUUCAAAGCAUGCAAAUAAGAAUAUUUAGAGACUGAUCAUAAAAUCCUUGAAGCAUAAGGGAAUAGAUAUUUUGGUAUGCUGCUCAUACAUAGCGUUAUAUAUUACAUUGCAUGGUAGGUUCAUAGGACAAAAGAAAGGCAUGAGAUAUGUUCAUGAUAAGCAAAGCUACAUAGGCAGAGAUGCACCAUAUAGAUAGCUUUGAUCGCUCAGCUUAUGGUAACCAGGAUAUGCAGUCAUUUACAUUAGGUAGUGCAUAAUUUAACUGUACGCCCACAAUUGCUAUUGCCAGCAAACAAGUUUUUGAUUUCUCGCACUAACAGUUCUCACGAUACUUAUACAGGGUGAAGAAUAUGAGCAUCCGGAGUAUAUCAUUCCAAGUGAGCUAAUGCCAGGCUAUAAUGCUUAUUAUCCUGUUCUGAUAUUCUUCAUUUAAAAUAAAAUGACCUCAUAGUGUUUAUGAUCUGCUAUACUUCUCCGACGCCACUUUUCCGCCUUAGAACCGAAAAAACAUAUAUCAGGCUGAUCAAUAAUGCUCAGCUUAACUAACCUGCUUACUAUAUUCUUCCUGCCAUAGGUUUAAAAGCUUAAUUCUACUUUUCUCUUGAUGAAAGCUUAGUCUCCUAACAAUAAAUAGUAUUCAGCCUUCUUACAUGUGCUGCUUCAUUUCGAUCUUACCAAAACGAAACUAAAUUCAGGGUCACCCCCUGCUAUCCAAUACUGCGGAGAACUUGAAAGGUACUGGCACUAGGGCAACCAAGUGAAGCUCUAUCAGCACCAUGUGAAGAAGUUGUUUUCCAUGUUCGGCCGCAAAAAUCCAAAUACCAAAUACUAUGUCUGCACCAUCAACAAAACAUUCGUAAAGCCAGGCCAAGGGAUGGUAAACUCCUUCCUUCCACUUCAUUGAAAAAAGAAUUAUCUUUACUUAUGCCUCACAACUAAACUACUUACCUGACUAAUCAUCAGAAGUACAACCUGCAAUAUGCUUUUGAUUCACCAAAUUGACUUUAUUGCGAAAUAUUAAAAAAUUGUAUACACUGCUAUUAGCACCAGCACAACAAUUCUCAUCAACUUGCUACGUGUAACUUUAGAAACUAAUAUUCAUAUAGUCUGAUGUACAUGUUUUCUUUCUUCCUAUAUUUGUUCUCCUUCACUAGAGUAUCAUACAUACGAAAAAACCAAUUUACAUCUUAUACUCCACAUAGGAAGGAGUGUAGCAUGCUCUGCACCUUUCUUUUGCUUCCUGCCAUUAUUUACUGAUAAUUGUUCUCACUAUCUAUAUUUAAACCUUCUCAGUGACAAGACACUCUCCAAUCCAUUCAAUUAAUUCCUUUUUCCUCAUCAGUAUUUUCAGGUCCACUACACUGAAAGCAAACUAAAAGAUUACAUUGACCCAGAUUAUGAUACACUCAAGGUCAGACUUGCAAACAGUGAUCUAUACGCCAAUUAUCGCAUCAUGCUAGGAACCGGCAAGAGAGCCACCGUAACAACCAACUGGUCUAAGUUUCGCCGCCUUGCAAAAAUCCAUGAAGGAGUUGAGAUAUCUGUGCUUUUCGUUUCAAGGUCACCACAAAGCAACGCCUGCUUCUCAUCGUGCAUUGCCUUUAGAUGAACCAUCGACAGCAACGGAAGUCAUAUCUAAAUAUCAUUUAGCAUUCUAAGGACUACUAAUCAAGCUCUGUAAUAGGAUGCAACCUUCCCCUGUUUUUUGAUGAUGCUAUCUGUUGCUUUUGAAUAGCUACCACCUAUGUUUUUACCUAUAUAACCUCUGCUGUUGUUCCUCAUCUAUCUAUUAAUAUGCAUAAUGCCAUCCUUAUCUCUAAUUAUUUGUUUUUACUAUCUCUGUUUCAAACAUCGAGUACUCACCACCAACAACAAAUAUGCUAACCAAGGAAGAGGCAUGCCCUACCUGGCAGCGUCCACCUUCCACUUGAACAGACAAUAAGGUUCAUUAUUUGAUUGAGUUUUCCUAUCACCACUCUUACAAUACUUGGCUUGCUGCCGGCCUUUGCGCCAUUGGCGCAACUGGUCAUCUAGUGUGUGUUAACGCUGGCUGCGGAGCCGCAUGCGUGCGUGCUCGUACUACGCACUGGAGACCAACUUGGCUGGGCAUGCUUUUGGGCCAUGGCCUGUCACAAUUUAUUUUUUGAUUGGGCAGUAGAAAAAAUGCACAAAACACUUGGUGUUUUCUUUGUAACAUAUGCUCCGAGUAGAUCAAUUGCAAUUACAUAAUGUAAGUUGUGUUGUGUCUGAAAAAUAAUACAACUUACAAGUCGGCUCUUCCUAUUAUCAUUAAAUAAAUAGUGCCACCUCGCCUCCUUAUUAGAACCGAAACCAACAAUUUAUAUAUGUCUUGAAGUUACCGGUUAUCGAUAGACUCAAUAAAUUGGCUUGUGAAUCAAUAAGCAGAGAAUGAGGAUGAUGCCGCGAGAAGAAGAGAAUGCUAAAGGAAGGAAUAAAGGAAUAUGUUGUCCUAUAUGCGCUAAUUAAGUAGUGAACAAUUACAAAGGUGGACGGAAAACUGCAUGGACGAAACCGAAGAAAGUCGCUAACAUAUAAAAGAGGUAAAUUUGUGGUGCUUUAUCAAAGAGUAGGGCCUUAUCUACCGAUCGAGCCCUACUUGGUCGAUGAAGCGCUUCGUUCCUAUCUGGACCAUAUUCACGCAACUGAUUCUUUCACUAUUCUCCAAGCGUCUUAUCAAGAUCUGCGGGAGAAUGAGGGAGGAUCCGUUUUCUUUCGAAAUGUUGUUUCCCACAACCGGGAUCUCCUUGAGGUGGAAAGCUCCGCAGUCCUGGACAUCUGCAACGUCCUCUCACGCCUUUUUUGGCGGGACAAAAAAAGAUCAGAAAAAGACGGUCUGAACCCAUUUGGUGACUUUCGCGGCCGCCCUCACUGAACCGACUUGGAUCUGAACUACGAUUCAGAUCAAGUCGUCUCCCGUUGCAACGCACGGGCAUUUGUGCUAGUAAAUUUUCACGAAUAGAAAACCAGCGUUGACUUCAGGGCCAAUUUUUUUUAUCUGCUACUAUAGUUUACUAUUCACACUAUUUCGACCGAAUUUUUUGUCUUUUUUGAAAAGACAUAUUUUUUUCUUUUUAUGGAUUUUUUUUAGCAAUGCAAUGAAAGGUCAAAAGUUUAUUUCAAAAAUAUUUUCAGAAUUUGUGGACAUUUUAUUUAAGUACUAAAUUACUUUUUCAUAUAGGAUGUAUAUAAACACAUAGACCAAAAGUUCCUCUCCGGCAUCUUCCUCUCUUUGUUCCAUGUUUAGCUAUAUCUCCCAUGAUUUGCAAGUUUUGUUGCGGGGCUCUGUGAUCUAGAAGUUGAUUCAUUAUUCCUGCUGCUUUGUGUCAAAUGAAUUUAGGUUUUGUAAUAACAAAACAAUAUUCUUUUGUAUAUAUUAAAUUUAUUAUAGAUUACAAAAAAUAUAGAAUUUCUUAGAACAAAGUAUAAUGUAACAUAGUUACACUAUAAACAAAAAACACAUUCUAUUUCAGCGGAGACUUUUACAGAAUAAUAACAAAAAAUGACCAACAUGAACAGAGAAAAAAAAGAUGAUGGAAAAUUGCAGCGACUAUGAAACGACAGGGACGAUCCACCAGGAUUUCCGGAGACCCACGACAUUCUCAAACUGCUUGACAAUUUCUGAUGAGCCGUCCUUCAGGCCGAAGACAUGCAGAUCACUGUUCUCUGAGCUGAGGCAAUUCAACCAGUAGACGCAGUUGGGCUUGAGUCCACAUCCGCUGGCAGAGCAGGACGCUGCAAAAUUGGAUUUACCGAGGAUGAAAGCCCGAUCCCCGAUGCAGUCCGUCUUGCGCCAAGCCGGCGGCUCCGAGAAAUCCAUCCGAUAGACGCGGAGCUCCCCUGGUCGGUCGACGCAUAAUCCGUGGAAGGCGAUAUGGACGAGGAACAGGUCGUUGCAGGACUCGACGACGUACGUGGCCGUAAAGCCCGUCGGGACGUGGACGCAGGGCACGGCGAUGGCGCCCAGCCGCACCUCCGGCUUCUCCGAGGCGUCGUUGGCGUGGAAGUCGAGCGUGCCGAGAGAGUCAUUGGACUCGCAGAAGAAGAACCUCCCAUUAACGGCGGCAACGUCGACGAAGUGUCUCUUUGUGGGAGGAGAGCCCGCGAUGUCCAAGCAGCCAAUGUCGUAGCCGUGGCGCGACCACCGGAGAUCCUGGCCGACGCGGCAGAACCACAUCACCGGGCUCGCAUGGUCGAAGACUAGGACGCUGCAGCCAGGCGCUACCACGACGUUGGACAAGACGCACCUGCACGUCCACGGGACCUCGUCGUCCUUGAGAGUCGGAAGCUCGAUUUUUGAUCCGUCCUUAGGGUUCAGGAGAUGGGUCCCUGCGUCUUCUGGCGAGGAAUCGGAGGAGCUCAGGACCAGGACCCAGCCUUGCGGCGUCGCAAAGCAUACCUUCUUAGUCGACACCGACGAAGUUACAUCUUGAAGCUUCUGCUCGGGAAACUGAAGACCUUGUACGACGAACAAUCUGAAUCUGGCGGCGGCGCAAGCACCAGCAGCGGGAAAGCCGCGGACACGAUCGAAUUCUCGGCCAAAUCCAUCGUUGACAAGGCCUCUCUCCUACGAAAGCACAAGGCUUUGCAACCACGGAUCUAUUGAAACCAGGACCUCGCGUGACAUAUAUAUAUAUACAUAUACCUCCAGAUUGAAAAGAGACGUCUGCUUUCCCUCAAAAAGAAACGGAAAGAGACGUCUGCUUCAAGUCGAAACCGGAAUUAUCGGGUCCAAAUCCGGCAGCUAUACGCCUCCAAAUUUUUCGGAUGCCAAAUCUAGGAAGGAAUCAUGGUUGGAGGCAAAGUCCGCACGGGACUCCCUAAUCUCUGUUUUUUCUUUCUUUUUUGAUUUGAUGAUAAGCCAAAAUCUCUGUUACCUCACUUGGGUUUAGUCCCCGCUAGAGGCUAACGCGCGCUUCGCUGUGCCGUUCUACACUUGCUCAAUUAACAUUUCAUAUGCCUUGAUGUUUGGCGCUGCACAAAGGGGUCAGCUGGGUGAAAUAUUUUCAAAAACAGUUUAGUUUGUGAAAUAGUUUCGCUCUAAGGUCAAAUUUGUGCCUUUUGCCGCGUAGCCCCCUUUGCGCACAGAGCCGUCUUGGCCAACACCACCGUUGUGCCGUGUGCCCCAGCCACACCCCUCCCAGCCUGCGGCGGUAGCGAGCGUCGCUGUCGGUGUUGUCCCUUCACCCUUGUCGUGGUUGACAAGCCAUCUCAAAGGCGUCCCUGCCUCACCUCCCUCGUCCUGAGCCGUACAAGCAUGAGAGUUCAGAGGGUCGGCAAGCACCCCGCACAGACGUGCCCAACCACACGGUGACACGCUAGCAGCCGCCCUAAUCACACAUGCGCCGGCUGCACCGCUAAUCUUUCCCCUUUCUGCAAUUCAGAGAGAUACGGCGCCACGUUUGCCUGGGCACAUGUUCCAAAAGCAGUCGCGCCGUUCUUCAAUUGUUCAAUUAACAUUUUAUAUUUAUAGAUUAUUGUGAUUAGUUGUUUUGAUUUUAUCUGUGUUUGCUUUGUGUUUUAGUUUAUUUUUGGUGAUGUUUUUUUUUCUAUAUCGUAUUGAGUUGCUGUUGGAGUUUUUUUUCAAGAGAAGGGAGGAGUUAUUUGAUGCGUGGUUAUGAUUUUUUUGCACAUUUUAGCCUUAGUGUUAGCCCGAUGGUGAUUAUUUGAGCCUCUUGGGAGUUCUUAUUUCAGGCUAAACCCAUGAAAUUGCUACAGUGACACUCAUAUGGCUAGCACACAAAGCUCUUGCUCGCUUAGCUUGGCUCCUUGCUCCUCUCGUCCAUUUAAUUUUUUUGCUCACCCGACUGCUAGCUCAAAAAAAUCGUCUAUCUUUUUUUAUUUGAGAAGGUUAUUUAAUUAAAUGAUGUUUAAAGAACUUAAACAAUAUAAUUACUUUUAAAAUCAUGCAUUUUAGAAACAUUCAUGAAUUUAAAAUAUAUUCAUGGUUUCAAAAAUGUUCGCAAUAUGAAAUGUUUUCAAAUGUAAAAUAUGUUCACAAACUUUAAAUGGCCGUGAACUUUAAAACUAUCCACAAAUUUAAUCAAUAGUAAUGAAUUUGAAGAAUUUCAAAAUAUGUUUGUGUUUUUUAAAGUACACAAAUUUGAAUAAGUGCUCAUGAAUUAAAAUGUGAGAAAAUAAAAAAUAAAAAGGGAAGAAGAAAUAAACUAAACAAUACACACUUACACGUGGGGUCCUAGUGACCCCACAACUCUAGAAGCACCAGAGCGCUUCAAUUCGAGGGAGCUUAAUAUCUCUAUAGAUUGUAAUUUUUACGAGAAAACUUCCGAUCUCAAGGUCAUACAAUGAACAUCAGGGGUAAAAAAUUGCAUCCAGAUUCUAAACGACUAGAAGCACUCGAGCGAACUGAAGCCAAGCCGCUGUCAUCGUCCCUUCCACAUCGGAUCCAGACAAACAUUGUUAUUGUAGACAGUCGGGAAGUCGUCGUGCUAAAACCCCAUAGGACCAGCAUAUCACAACAACAACCGCGCCGAUGAAGAAAAGCGUAGAUCAGAAGGAUCCAACCUACACAUAAUCAGACAAACAAAGACCGGAUCCAAACGGAUCCACCGAAGACAAACACCAACUGAAUCCCACGAGAUCCACCGGUGACACACCUCCACACGCCCUCCGGCGAGGCUAGAAGCACCCUCCGACGACACGCCCUCCGUUGGAUGCGGCCGAGUGCCAGCUCCAACGGGACCGGCCGCGCCCCAAACCGCCUCUUAUAGGUGAAGCCCGAGCCACUCUGCGCGGGACUCUGCUGCGGGUUUUGGUCGCGGCGUGCAAACCGUGGCAGACUGACAUGUCCCUGCUUAAUUAGAAGCUACUCACCCUUAAUUAACAUCCAGAGUCACUGACAGUAGGCCCCAGCCCUGUUAAUCCUUGGUUAGGUUUCAUUUAACAUUUUUCGCUGUUGUGUUAAUAACCAAAUGGGAUCCACUGGCCAGGUUUGACCUUGUUGACUUGCUGAUGUAAAGUUGACAUGAUGCUGAUGUCCUGAAGCUUUUCUGGAUUUUAAAUAAAUCUAAAAUGAUUUAUUUAUUUUCAGAAAUUUUCCCAAGUAAUUAAUCUUCAAAAGUUCAUAUAAAAUCAAUCAUAACUCAGAAUUAAAUAAUUUAUAUAUGAAAAAUUAUCAGAAAAAUUGAAUCUCUUCAUUUGUACAUUUUCAUGCAUGUUAGAGCAAUUCACACCUAGAUUUUAGGUCAAAUAAACUAAAUGACGUUUUAAAUGCUUCAUACAUCUCGUAUUUGGACCUUUGGUUCAAUUGGACUUCAUUUAACUCUGGGUCUUGUUCUUAUCUGCUUGAGAGAAUGCAUAUAUUCCCUUUUUAUUGCUAAACCUCCACAAGCCUUCCCAUGCUCGCUAAUUGAACUGUCCGUGUGAAUUGCAUUAGCUCAAACACCUGCAUAUUGCCAUGUCAUAAUCAUGCAUCAUAUUGUUGCACUUGUGUAUUGAUUUACCCUUUUUCGGUGUUGUUCCCCGUGAUAAGACAUGUUCCUAAGGGUACGCUCGAGUAUCCACUGGAGGAGCAGUAUUUCGUUCUCGACCUACCAGGCAAGCAAACCCCCUUGAUCAUUUUGAUACAAUCCCACUCUCUCGCUCUUGCGAUCUUUUAUUGCAUUAGGACAACAACGAUUCAACUGUUACUUGUUUUGAUAGUUGAACCCAUACCUUUACAUGACAUAUCAUUGUUAUAGUAAAUAGCUAAACCUUACUAUCAUGAUUAGGAGUUGGUUGAGCCAUGUUGUGACUGCAUCUAUGCUAUGGUUGUUAUGCUUAGAGUUGUGGCAGGUCUGAUCCAUCUGGGCAAUGAAUUGGAAUGGUCAUGUUCAUGUCCUAAUGAUGAGAGUCAAGUGUGUGAACCUAAUUAAAAGGUGGCGAUGAGAGGCCAUGUAGGAGUACAUGCAUGGUGGGUUGUCUCAUUGAAACCGCUCAUCAGAACUGAGUUAUGUAUUUGUGAUCCAAGACUAGCUACUACCACACAUUGGGUUCCGGUAGCUCAACCCCUCUUAGCUUAUUAACGUACCUCGAUCUAUGUCUAGGAGUUGCAACUAGUUUCUGGUGUUUCUAGGUUGUGCUAUUGGUCUUACCAAGCGGACACUACCCGACAGGGUGGGCUAGGGAUAGCUACGCACGUGGCAAGGUGUACCAAGUGUAGUACUAUCCGGCGAGGUGGGAUUGGGAACACUGCACACAUCGGUUGGGGUCGUGAUGGAAACUUUGGCUGGACUUCCAUUGUGGGUCUAGCCUCAGAUAGGUGACAAACAUGGACUAGAGUCUUAUGAGGUUAACGGUUGUGGCCGACACCCUUGCCAGGCUUCUGCUUGAAGGUCUAUGAAUACAUGAUGUUUAUAUGGUGGUGAGUAGUGAACAUGUGUGUGAAGAAGUAACCCAUAUAGGGUUAUGAAUCUAUUUGAAUAACCACGUCCGUGAAGAUGCACUACUUGGAGACUUGUACUAUUCAUAGAUAAUGAUACGUCCAUUUUGCAUCAUGUUUUCCUACUGUUAUUUAUAAUGUUUUUAUGCAAUAUAACACUUUGUGGAGUAAUUUAAUGCCUUUUCUCUCAUAAUAUGCAAGGUUUACACAAAGAGGGAGAUUGCUAGUAGCUGGAAUUCUGGACCUAAAAAAGCUAUGUCAGAGAUACCUACUCCGCACAUCUCCAAAUGAGCUAAAAUUUUACGGAGAAUUAUUUUGGAAUAUAUAAAAAAUAUUGGAGAAAAAAAUAACAGAUGGGGCCAGCAGGUGCCCACUAGGCACCAGGACGCGCCUACUCCCUGGAGCGCUUUGGUGGGUAGUGGGCCCCCUGGCCAGCUUCGGGUGCCCAUCUUCUGGUAUAUAAUGUCAUUUUCCCUAGAAAAAAACUAAGAGGAUGACUUUGGGGAUGGAAUGCCGCCGUCUUGAGGCGGAACAUGGGUAGGAGCACUUUUGCUCUCCGGCGCAGCGAUUCCGCCGGGGAUACUUCCCUCCGGGAGGGGGAAAUCGAAGCCAUCGUCAUCACCAACAACCCUCUCAUCAUGGGAGGGCCAAUCUUCAUCAACAUCUUCAACAACACCAUCUCAUCUCAAAACCCUAGUUCAUCUUUUGUGUUCAAUCUUUGUAUCGAACCUCGGAUUGGUACAUGUGGGUGACUAGUAGUGUUGAUUACAUCUCGUAGUUGAUGCUAGAUGGUUUAUUUGGUGGAAGAUUAUAUGUUCACAUCUAUUAUGCUAUUUAAUACCCCUCUGAUCUUGAGCAUGGAUAUGGUUUGUGAGUAGUUACUUUUGUUCUUGAGGACAUGGGAGAAGUCUUGUUACAAGUAAUCACAUGAAUUUGAUAUUCGUUCAAUAUUUUGAUGAUAUGUAUGUUGUGAUUCCCUUAGUGGUGUUAUGUGAACAUCGACUAUAUGACACUACGCCAUCUUUCGGGCUAAGAGAAUGCAUUGUGGAGUAGUUAUUAGAUGAUGGGUUGCUAGAGUGACAGGAGCUGAAACCCUAGUUUAUGCGUUAUUCUGUAAGGGGCUGAUUUGGAUCCAUAUGUUUAAUGCUAUGGUUAUAUUUUAUCUUAAUUCUUCUUUCGUAGUUGCGGAUGCAGCAAGAGGGUUAAUCAUCAGUGGGAGGCUUGUUCAAGUAUGAACAACAGCCAAGAACUGGUCCACCCACAUAUCAUAUUACCAAAGUAGCGAACACAAACCAAACAAACAUGAUGAAAGUGACUAGAUGAAAUUCCCGUGUGUCCUCAAGAUCAUUUUGCUUACUAUAAGAGACGGUUUCGGUCCCUCUUUUGCUACACAAAGGAUUGGGCUACCUUGUUGCACCUACUUUUACUAUAUUGCUAUCUAUUACUUGUUACGAAUUAUCUUGCUAUCAAACUACCUGUUACUGACAAUUUCAGUGCCUGCAGUGAAGGAGAAAGUAUUGCACAAGCUUGGGGGAGGCUUAAACCAAUGUUAUAUUCAUGUGUCGGCGUGGAACCGGCGAUCUAUGGGGCAGGGCUGCUCCUUUGCUGGUUCGGCUGGGGGUCAGUUGGCGCGAAGAGCAAGCACAACAGGAGGCGCCACGGUUUUACCAGGGUUCGGGACGCUGAGAAGCAUUAAACCCUACACCUACUUUGGUAUAUUGGGUGGGUAUAGAUGAAAAUACAUGGAGCGCUUUCCCCUGGCAAGUCGCUAGGAGAGGGCAGUUGCACGGAUAUCUAUGCGUGUCUGUUGUGAGGGUACAAACCCCUAUAAAGGUUGCCUUGGCCGUCUUUUUAUUGCUCAAUGGGUUACCAUAGUGGCAAAAGGGUCAUUACAGGGUUAUUAGAUUGAUACAGCUCUAUCAUACCUAUCUCUGCUAGUUAGGACAAAACGCAUUAAAUGCGCUGCUAGGUGUCGUGUGGAGGGUGAACCCCGGCAAGGGUGAUGCACCAUUUAUACACCGACCUCUUAUUAGCUUGACACGCCAUUAGGGCGGGUGUCAAUAAAGGUAAUCCUCCUCCCAGCAAGCUGACACACAUGGGCUGCCUCCACCUAAUCACCUGCGGGCUCGACAUGGAGGGGAGCGCUGGCGAUUGGCGGUGAGUCCUUGCUUGAUGAGCUUGCCGGAUCUUGUCUUGCUGGCCCGUUCUUGCCGGGAUCGGCUGCUUCUGUUGUGAAUCUUAUGGCUUGCUCCGAGCCUUGGUCUUCUUAAUGUGCUCCUUGAUCUCACGAAGAGCGGCUUCUCUGGUUUGGUUUUGUAUGGAACUUGAUACUUGCCAGGGGAACUGUGAUAUGUCUGUGCAUAAGUAAGGGUAGCAAAUGCCCAUGUUUGUUGCACCGACAUGAGCCCCCAGGCCUAGAUCACACGUGCUGUUGUGAAUCGUUGGGCUAGGCCCAAUAAUGCACAGACCCACGCAUUUACCUUGCCGAAGAUGGCAUUGUGUUGUGAGAUCUUCUUUGCUUCUUCAUUAAUAUGGACAUGAGUCGGCCCCGAACUUCACCCAGGUAUCUUCGACAUUUGGUUGAUGCAGGCCAUUUACGUCGAAAUCAGGGCACAAGCAUACGCUGGAGGCCAUUAGAGCGCCCACGCGUAAUUUGGGGUAACUAUCAUUUUCACCAUCACUCCCUUGUUUAACACAGCCUUCCCCACUUUCCCAUGACGCUGCGUGGGGCAUGGGAUUGGUGCAGAAGGACGGUUGUGGUGGCAGUGCUUUAACCAGAAGAGCUAGAACGCCGGCUUGGCGAAACUGGGUAGCCGAUGGAGAAAUACACCAACCAAGGAUGUAGGGGGUUGGAUUGGUGGAGUGGGACGAUUGCCCCUGGGUAGUGGAGAGCCAACCCCCAUGCUCCCCACCAUAAAAGGAGGGGUGUGAGGGCGGCGAUGCUCAUCCACCUUCUUCUCCUUCCUUUCUUUGCCUCAGCUUCCACUAUGGCGAGAGGAAGAGGCCAGGCUCGAGCUUCAGCCACAGUGCCGAGAGCUUCUCCUUGAAACCAUGCUGUAGAGGCCGGUUCUAGUGCAUGGUGCCGGCCCACGGGGCAAGGUCGGGGUCGACACAGUGCCCGUGGUUGAGGUGCACGAAGUGACACACUUGUUGUUUCUCCUCCGACUACUCCGUCCCUGGUAGAGGGUCAAACAGGGGACACAACGCUCGAGUUCAUCGUCGAGCUGCUUGAUCCUCCCCGUAGUCGCCUGCGGCUCUCCUGCCCUUUCGCCAGGGUGAUGGAGGUUGAUCAGCCGCUCGGGCUGUGGCUGUGUUGGAGCGGCUGCUGUAAUGGUGCCGUGUGGGCGAACAUCGAGUUUCCCGCACCCCAAAUCAUGUACUUUAGGAAUGGGUGGAAAACCUUCGCUCACACCCACUAUCUUGGGGAGGCGCACGUCCUCCUCUUGAAGUUGGUGGAGUCCGACACGCUCUCCAUCAAGACGCGGGAAACCGAUGGGGAAGACACCGAUGGGGAAGACGGCGGCGGCGGGCAUCCGGUAAUCAAGUCCGAAGACGACGAGGAGGACUCCGACUGAACAACGGCAGCACCGUCAACACCAGCUAGGUGCCGGUAGCACCAUCAUCUGCAGAUGGACCCCAACAGAGCGAUUUUCAUGGGGUGCUUUGCCUAGACGCCACCACCACCUCCAGCUGGAGCCCGUUAGGCUCGUUGACUCCGACUUCAUCUUCCUUGCUGGGGUUCCUAUAAGGUCGUGCUCUCUGGUCCUGGCGGUGGUCACCAGGGCAUCGCCUAGCCGCUCUCUCUGUCCUUGGCCUCAUCUUCCUAGCCAGGAGGGGGGUACUCUCCCGAUCAUGUCGGGUGAUACGUCUCCAACGUAUCUAUAAUUUUUGAUUGUUCCAUGCUAUUAUAUUACCCGUUUUGGAUGUUUAUGGGCUUUACUUUACACUUUUAUAUCAUUUUUGUUACUAACCUACUAACCGGAGAACCAUCCCGUAUUGUUUUUUUGUGCCUAUUUCAGUGUUUCGAAGAAAAAGAAUAUCAAAAGGAGUCCAAAUGGAAUGAAACCUUCGGGAGCAAUCUUUUUGGAACAAACGUGAUCCAGAGGACUUGGAGUGGAAGUCAAGAAACAAUCGAGGAGGCCACAAGGGUGGAGGGCGCCCCCCUACUGGGCGCGCCCCUAUCUCAUGGGCCCCUCGGGAGUCCACUGACCUACUUCUUCCUCCUAUGUAUACCCACGUACCCCGAGAACAUCAGGGGCGACCAGGAAAAACUAUUUCGACCACCGCAACCUUCUGUAUCCGUGAGAACUCAUCUUGGAGCCUUCGCCGGCGCUCCGCCGGAGGGGGAAUCAACCACGGAGGACUUCUACAUCAACACCAUAGCCUCUCCGAUGAGUUGUGAGUAGUUUACCACAGACCUUCGGGUCCAUAGUUAUUAGUUAGAUGGCUUCUUCUCUCUCUUUGAAUCUCAAUACCAUGUUCUCCUUGAUCUUCUUGGAGAUCUAUUCAAUGUAACUCUUUUUGCAGUGUGUUUGUCGAGAUCCGAUGAAUUAUGGGUUUAUGAUCAAUUUUAUCUAUGAGAAAUAUUUGAAUCUCCUAUGAAUUCUUUUAUGUGUAAUUAAGUUAUGUUUGCAAGUCUCUUUGAAUUAUCAGUUUGGUUCGGCCUACUAGAUUGAUCUUUCUUGCUAUGGGUGAAGUGCUUAGCUUUGAGUUCAAUCUUGCGGUGUCCUUUCCCAGUGACAUCAGGGGCAGCAAGUCACGUAUUGUAUUGUUGCCAUCGAGGAUAAAAAGAUGGGGUUUAUAUCAUAUUGCAUGAGUUUAUCCCUCUACAUCAUGUCAUCUUUCUUAAUGCGUUACUCUGUUCUUUAUGAACUUAAUACUCUAGAUGCAUGUUGGAUAGCGGUCGAUGUGUGGAGUAAUAGUAGUAGAUGCAGGCAGGAGUUGGUCUACUUGUCACGGACAUGAUGCCUAUAUACAUGAUCAUGCCUAGAUAAUCUCAUAAUUAUUCGCUUUUCUAUCAAUUGCUCGACAGUAAUUUGUUCACCCACCAUAAUACUUAUGCUAUCUUGAGAGAAGCCACUAGUGACACCUAUGGCCCCCGGGUCUAUCUUUUAUCAUAUAAGCUUUCAAUCUACUUUUAUUUUAAUCUUUACUUUUCCAAUCUAUAUUAUAAAAUACCAAAAAUAUAUUUAUCUUAUCAUACUAUCUCUAUCAGAUCUCACUUUCGCAAGUGGCCGUGAUGGGAUUGACAACCCCUUUAUUGCGUUGGUUGCGAGUUCUUGUUUGUUUGUGUAGGUGCGUGGGACUUUUGAGGAGCCUCCUACUGGAUUUAUACCUUGGUUCUCAAAAACUGAGGGAAAUACUUACGCUACUAUUGCCGCAUCACCCUUUCCUCUUCAGGGAAAACCAACGCAAGCUCAAGACGUAGCAAGAAGGAUUUCCGGCACCGUUGCCAGGGAGGUCUUCGCUCAAGUCAAGACAUACCAAGUACCCAUCACAAACUCAUCUCCCUCGCAUUUACAUUUUUUGCCAUUUGCCUCUCGUUUUCCUCUGCCCCACUUCACCCUUGUCGUUUUAUUCACCCUCUCUUUCCCAAUCCCCUCUCUCUUUUGUUUGCCUUUCUGUUCGCUUUUGUGUUGGAUUACUUAUUGCGAUGACGCAAGAUAAUACCAAAUUGUGUGAUUUCUCCAAUACCAAUAAUAAUGAUUUCCUUAGUACUCCGAUUGCUCCUCUUAAUGAUGUUGAGUCUUGUGAAAUCAAUGUUGCUUUGCUGAAUCUUGUUAUGAAAGAUCAAUUCUCCAGCCUUCCUAGUGAAGAUGCCGCUACCCAUCUUAACAACUUUGUUGAUUUGUGUGAGAUGCAAAAGAAGAAACAUACGGAUAAUGAUAUUGUUAAAUUGAAGUUAUUUCUAUUUUCACUUAGAGACCGUGCUAAAAUUUGGUUUUCGUCUUUGCCUAAGAAUAGUAUUGAUUCAUGGAAUAAGUGCAAAGAUGCUUUUAUCUCUAAGUAUUUUCCUCCUGCUAAGAUCAUCUCUCUUAGGAACGAUAUUAUGAAUUUUAAACAACUUGAUCAUGAGCAUGUUGCCCAAUCUUGGGAAAGAAUGAAAUUGAUGAUUUGCAAUUGCCCUACUCAUGGUUUGAAUUUAUGGAUGAUCAUACAAAAAUUUUAUGUCGGAUUGAAUUUUGCUUCUAGAAAUCUUUUAGAUUUGGCCGCGAGAGGCACGUUUAUGGAAAUCACCUUAGGAGAAGCUACAAAACUCCUUGAUAAUAUUAUGGCUAAUUAUUCUCAAUGGCAUACCGAAAGAUCUACUAGUAAAAAAGUGCAUGCUAUAGAAGAAAUUAAUGUUUUGAGUGGAAAGAUGGAUGAACUUAUGAAAUUUUUUAUACUAAGAGUGCUCCUAUUGAUCCAAAUGAUAUGCCUUUGUCUACUUUGAUUGAGAAUAAUAAUGAAUCUAUGGACGUGAAUUUUGUUGGUAGGAAUAAUUUUGGUAACAUUGCUUAUAGAGGAAACUUUAAUCCUAGACCGUUCCCUAGUAAUUCCUCUAAUAAUUAUGGAAAUUCCUACAAUAAUUCCUAUGGUAAUUAUAAUAAGAUGCCCUCUGAUUUUGAGAAUAGUGUUAAAGAAUUUAUGAUCUCUCAAAAUAAUUUUAAUGCCUUGCUUGAAGAAAAAUUACUCAAACUUAGAUCUACUCCUCCUAAGCAUGAUAUCAAUGAGUCUCUCAAAGCUAUGAGAAUUCCCAUUGAUGAGUGCAAAGAAAGAACCGCUAGAUUGCGUGCUAAGAAAGAUUGCUUUAUAAAGGCGUGUUCUUCUAGUUUCCAUGAAAAUAAUGAUGAAGAUCUUAAAGUUAUUGAUGUGUCCCCUAUUAGAUCUUUGUUUUGCAAUAUGAAUCUUAAUAAUGAUGGGACUCGAGAUGAGUCAACUUUAGUUAAAAGGCGUCCCAAUAAUUCGGAGUUUUUAGAUCUUGAUGCUAAAUUUGGUAAAAGUGGGAUUGGAGAGGUCAAGACUUUAAAUAGCAUUGAAACCACUAUCUUGGAUUUCAAGGAAUUUAAUUAUGAUAAUUGUUCUUUAGAAGAUUGUAUUUCCUUGUUGCAAUCCAUUGUGAAUUCUCCUCAUGCUUAUAGUCAAAAUAAAGCUUUUACCAAACAUAUUGUUGAUGCCUUGAUGCAAUAUUUUGAUGAAAAACUUAAUUUGGAAGUUUCUAUACCUUGAAAACUUUAUGAUGAGUGGGAACCUACUAUAAAGAUUAAAAUUAAAGAUCAUGAGUGUUAUGCUUUAUGUGAUUUGGGUGCUAGUGUUGCCACGAUUCCGAAAACUUUAUGUGGUAUUCUAGGUUCCCAUGAUCUUGAUGAUUGCUCUUUAAAUUUGCACCUUGCGGAUUCCAUCAUUAAAAAGCCAAUGGGAACGAUCAAUGAUGUUCUCAUUGUUGCAAUUAGGAAUAUGGUGCCCGUAGAUUUUAUCGUUCUUGAUAUAGAUUGCAAUCUUUCUUGUCCUAUUAUUCUUGGUAGACCUUUCCUUAGAACGAUUAGUGCGAUUAUUGAUAUGAAGGAAGGGAAUAUUAGAUUCCAAUUUCCAUUAAGGAAAGGCAUUGAGCACUUUCCAAGAAAGAAAGUUAAAUUACCUUAUGAAUCUAUCAUGUGAGCUACUUAUGAAUUGAGUGCCAAAGAAGGCACUACUUAGAUCUAUCCUCGCUUUUAUGCCUAGCUAGGGGCGUUAAACAAUAGCGCUAGUUGGGAGGCAACCCAAUUUUAUUUUUGUUUUUUGUUUUUGUUUCUUCUUAGUAAUAAAUUUUGCUUCUACCUUCUAUUUAGAUGUGUUUUUAUGUUUUAGUUAGUGUUCGUGCCAAGUAGAACCUAUAGGAUAACCUAUGGUGAUAGUUAAUUUGAUUCUGCUGAAAAACAGAAACUUUGCGCGCACGGAAAUAAUUUUGGUAAUUCAUAGAAAUGUGAUUUUGCAUUGAUUUUAUGUAGAUCAAUAGACAAAUUGCCCAGGUCUUCCUAUUUUGGUAGGAUUUUUAGAUUCCCAGAAGUAUUCGACAGUUACAUAUUGCUAAAGACUAUUCUGUUUUUGACAGAUCCUGUUUUUCGUGUGUUGUUUGCUUAUUUUGAUGCAUCUAUGGCUAGUAUGUAAGGGUAUGAACCAUAGAAAUGUUGAAAUACAGUAGGUUUAACACCAAUAUAAAUAAAGAAUGUGUUCAUUACAGUACCUUAUGUGGUGGUUUUGCUUUCUUGCACUAACAGAGCUUAUGAGAUUUCCUGUUGAAUUUUGUGUUGUGAAGUUUUCAAGUUUUGGGUAAAGAUUUGAUAGACUAUGGAAUAAGGAGUGGCAAGAGCCUAAGCUUGGGUAUGCCCAAGGUUGUCACAUCCCUAGCUUCAGGCAUUGCUCUAGGUUAACUUCAUGUGUGAUUCAUGUUUAUAUUUUUGAAACUUGAAUUGAGGAAUAUUGGAAGCCUCAAAACCCUAAAUAAAAGAGGGGCAAAAACCCUAGAAAUCUCAUUCAUUGCUCCAAAAGGCUCUUCUUAAAUGUUUGAUAAUUUUUGGUAAGGGUUCUGGUCCCAACCAAAAUAUUGAACAUUUUUAAGGAUUUAUUUUUGGGACUUUGAAUUUAAAUCUUUAGCUAUUUGAAUUUGAGUUAUAUUCAUAUAAUUAGAAUAUAAUUUCAAAUACCCCUGAGAUAUUUUAUGAGCUUUUUGGAAAAGUCCAUCUAGCAACAUAAAUUAUUCAGAGGAUAUUUGGCACUGUUUUGAAAUUAUUUUGAAUUUGAAAACAGUGGCAAAAUAAAAUAAAAAGGGAAACAGAACAGAAAAAAAUAAAAGGAGCAAAGCUUACCUGUGCAGCCCACCAGAGCCGGCCUAGCUCCUGUGCUGGUCCAGCACUGUGCGGCCCAGCCCACCGCGGUCGCCACCGUCUUCAACCUCCUGCCAGUAGGCAGGAGGGCGUGUGCCCGACGCGCGCGCGCACGCUCCGGCCACCUCCUGCUUACCCGCUCGUCGCUGGAGGCACCUGAGGGCGCCACGCACUCCCCCUCGCCCCUGCACCUCCCCUCUCUUCCCCUGGACCCCGUUCCCUCCUCUGCUCUCUCCCUGCACGUGCCGAGCGGAGCUCGUCGUCGCCGACGCCGUUCGCCGUAGCCACCGUGCUCCCCACUGCCACCCGAAGUACCCAGGAGAUCCGCCCCGACCCCCUCUUCCUCCUCGCCGAGAAGCACACCGCGGGAGCCCCUGCAUCACCGCCAUCGCCGUCGUCUUCUACCUCGGACCCGCCGGCCAUCUUCGUCAAAUUCGUCGGCUCUGGUGCCUCCCCGAGCUCCCCGAGGCCACUGUCGCAACCCCUGUGAGCUUGCCGUCGUUUCCCCUCAUCUCUCUCCCUCGCGUGCACCCUGUAGCCGCCGCCCCACGAGCACCCGAAGCUGCCGUCCGCCAUGGCCGGUGAGCUCCGUGCUCCCGAGCUCCUCCGCCUGCGCUCGUUGUCUCCGGGUGUUCCUGGUGACCCCAGCAUCCCGUAGAGCCCAUCAGCUGACCUCGCCGUACCGUGUAACGCCGAACCCGAGCACGCCCGAGCUCCGGCCGCCGCUGGCGAGCUCGGGGCCAUCGUCCCCGGCCGCCCUAGCUGCUGCUGCUUGCUGAAACGGGUGCGGGUGAGCUCCAGCUCCCCGUAGCCGCUCUCCUCCGUCCAUUUGGACGCCGGAGGAGCGAUCCCGAAGCCCUCCGCCGUGCCUGUUGCCGCCGGCGUUGAGUCGCCGGCCUGUUUAGGCCAUUUGACCGGGGUUUGACCUCCCCUGGGUCAUUUACAUGUGGGCCCGGGGCCCUGCUAAUUUAGUUUAGAUGCUAAUUAAAAUUUAGCUAACCCACUGCCUCACUGACAGGUGGGCCCUACCCUUUAAUUAACCCGGCUAACCAUUUAGUUAAGUUAUUUAAACUCUGUUAAAUCACUGUGCAGCUGACAUGUGGACCCCACUGGUCAGGUUUGACCCGGGGCAGCCCUGUUGACUUGCUGACGCAAGCAUGACGCAGUGCUGAUGUCAUAAUUAAUCUCCUGGAAUUGUUUUAAUUCUAAAUAAUCAGAAAAUUCCAGAAAAUGUCUAAAACUUCUAAAAAUCAUAGAAAAUUAACCGUAACUCCAAAUUAAAUAAAUUAUAUAUGAAAAAUUAUCAGAAAAAUUCAAGGAAUCCAUCUGUACCAUUUUCAUGCAUGUUAGAACAACUUAUCACUACUGUUUAGAGCAAAUGAAGUAAAUGGCAUUUGAAUAAUCACAUAUGGAGUUUGAAUUUGAAUUUUAUAUUCAAACCAACUUCAUUUAAUCUGUUGCUAGUUGCAUUAGCCCAAAACACAUUCAUUUUUGCCAUGUCAUGAUCAUGCAUCAUGUUGUGCAUUGCAUUGAUUGUGUUCCUUUCUGUGUUGCCGGUAUUUGUCCCCUCUCGAUAGACGUGAUACCGAUGACGUGAUCGUUGACACUGAUGAAGACUCAAUGUUAUCUUCAGAAGUGCCAGGCAAGCAAAACCCCCUUGUUCAUUCCGAUACAAUCCCACUCUCUCGCUCCUGCUCUCUUUUAAUGCAUUAGGACAACACCGAUUUUUCUGUUACUUGCUGCGGUAGCUGAACCCCUUCAUCCUUUGCAUGACCUGUCAUUGCCACAGUAAAUAGAUGAAACCCACUAGCAUGAGUAGGAGUUGUUUGAGCCCUGUUGUGCCUACUCAUUCUUGCUUGUUUGUCAUGCCUGCUACUGCUUAGAGUUGUGUCAGGUCUGAUUCAUCGGGGAUGAAUCAGAGGCGUGUGAACAUGUCCUACUGUGUGUGAACUAAGUGUGUGAACACGAUUUGGUAAAAGGUGUCAGUGAGAGGCCAUGUAGGAGUACAUGGUGGGUUGUCUCAUUGAAGCCGUCCUUAGGAACUGAGUUCUGUGUUUGUGAUCCAUGACUCAGCUACUACCAUACAUUGGGCCCUGAAAUAUGACCCCGCUCGACUUCUUAUUCACCCUAGUCCUCUGUCCAGGAGUUGCAAGUAGUUUCUGGUGUUUGUAGCUUACUGGAGGCCGUGGACAGCGCUGACCGUAGGGGUGGGCUGUGAUGCGGUAGGUACGUGGCACGGUGUACCGGAUGCCCGUUUGGUAUCUCGGGAACCCUGUUCACAUCGUUUGGGGCUGUGAGCGAAACUCCGGCCGGAUCUCCUCAUGGAUGGAACCCGAAUAGGCGAUAAACCUGGACUAGAGACUUGAGUGUUUAGGUAGGUCGUGGUCUACACCCACGUCGGCUUUCGCUUGAAGUCUGCCGAGCACAUGUCGUGUGCAGACGCUAAGUGGUGGAAACAUGUAUGAAGAAGUACACCCCUGCAGGGUUAACAUGAUCUAUUCGAAUAGCCGUGUCCGCGGUAAAGGACUUCUGGGUUGCUUAUAUCAGUUCAUAGACAAGUGAAAGUGGAUACUCUAAAAUACGCAAGAUAAGCGUGAGUGCUAUGGAUGGCGUUCUCGUAGGGAGACGGGAGUGGAUCCAUAGUGGUGUAUUGAUAUGGUGAAUAUGUGGACUCGUGUGCGCCACCUCAAAAGAGUUACUUGCAGUCGUAGUUCAGGAUAGCCACCGAGUCAAAGCUGGCUUACUGCAGUUAAACCCCACCAUCCCCUUUGUUGAUAAUGAUGCAUAUGUAGAUAGUUCUGAUGUAAGUCUUGCUGGGUACAUUUGUACUCACGUUUGCCUAUUUUAUGUUUUUGCAGAGAGACUUCAGUCUCACUAGUAUUUCCGCGUGGUCUUCGACGUUUAGCUUGAUACCUCAGCUACGAUCUUGUGCCCUCGGCAGGAUCUGAUAGAUAGUCAGGCUUCUCAGCCUUUUUCAUUUAUAGAUGUCUGUACUCAGACAUGAUAGCUUCCGCUUGUGCUUUGACUUGUAUGCUCUGAGUGUUGGGUCAUGAGACCCAUGUUUGUAAUAUCUCGCUCCUCGGAGCCUAUUGAAUAAACUACUUGAGUCGUAGAGUCAUUUUGUGAUGCCAUGUUGUAAUGCACAUAUCGAGCAUAUUGUGUGUAUGUUAUUGAAAUGCUUGGUAUGUGUGGGAUCUGACCAUCUAGUUGUUUAUCUUUAGUAGCCUCUCUUACGGGGAAAUGUCUCCUAGUGUUUCCACCGAGCCAUGGUAGCUUGCUACUGCUCCGGAACACUUAGGCUGGCCGGCAUGUGUCCUUCUUCGUUCCUGUGUCUGUCCCUUCGGGGAAAUGUCACGCGGUGAAUACCGGAGUCCUGUUAGCCCGCUACAGCCCGGUUCACCGGAGUCCUGCUAGCCCAGUGCUACAGCCUGGAUUCACUCGCUGAUGACCGACACGUUCGAUGCUGGGUCAUGGAUGCCUGUCCCUGUAAGUCUGUGCCGCUUUGGGUUUAUGGCUAGCCAUGUCAGCCCGGGCUCCUUAUCAUAUGGAUGCUAGCGACACUGUCAUAUACGUGUGCCAAAAGGCGCAAACGGUCCCGGGCUAAGGUAAGGCGACACCCGUGGGAAUACCGUGCGUGAGGCCGCAAAGUGAUAUGAGGUGUUACAUGCUAGAUCGAUGUGGCAUUGAGUCGGGGUCCUGACAGCGUUGGUAUCAGAGCUUGACUGCCUGUAGGAUUACCAAGCCAAACUGGUCGAAGUUGAGUUUAGAAAUUCUUUAGUUAUAUAAGGGAAUUGAUUGUGGGAUGGAACGUAAGGCUCUUUUUACUCCUUAUACCUCAUGCCCUUCUGAUCUGAGUCAUCUUAUCUUUUCUACGGGGAUUAAGAACUAGGCUAUCUCUUCUUUCUAUUAGGAUCACGUGUUACUAAUCAGUAGACUUAGAAGUUUGUUGGAUUUAAACCUCAGUUCAGUUUCUACCUCUGUAUGUUAAUUGCUGAUCUCGGAACCUUGAUAUUGUGCUUCUGAGUGGUUAUGCCACCAUUUUGUGAAUGUCUCAAAUCUUUUCUGAGCAUUUACAGCCGUUAUGCUGUCCGAGUCAUCCCAGGUUUCUAAGUAGUCUGAUGCAAUUGCAAAUCCUUUCUUCCUGUUUCAAUGUUCCCGUGGGCCAGAUUAACCACACUAAUCAGUGAGUUGAGGUACUCCGUUACCUUGACAUAUAUGUUGGAGAUACUAUUAUGGCCCUAGGUGUUUAGGGAGUCACCUAGUAAUUUAGCCAUGAUUUGUGUUCCCAGUGUGAUGAUUCUGGUCAUCAUUCUCGAAAGCAUCCCGUGAUGCCAUUUAGUAGUAGGUAUUCUAUCCCUGGGUUCUGAACCCGAGAUUCACUCUACCUACUUCAUGUUGAUAGUAAUUGCUAGUGCCUUUAGGUUAUUAGUAAGCUUUGCGAUAGUCCUUGAAGUCCGUGGUAUCUUCUUCUUCCAAAUACCAUGAACUACUUAUGGCAGAUGUUUAUUGGAUCAAAAAAAAAUCACAAUUAGAGUACUCUUGAGGAGUUCUCCAUUCAUAAAUCGUGACUCUGCCAGUUCUACCUUUCUGCAUGGGUUAUCCGGAAGAAAUAUGUUGAACUUGGUUCGACAUACUAAUCUAUGCAUCCACAACUCAGAAAGUUAUAUGUUCCUUUGAGUUGUUCUCUUUAGUUGCAUUCUCACCCUCGUCUAUCAAUUGAUAGUCAAGAGUAUGCGUGCGUUCGUUCAUCGAUGUCUAUGACUCUUGUGGUCUGUCAAGCCAUUCUAUUCUGGAAUGACUAGGAGAAACAAACUCCAGUACCUCUUCCAUAUCCAGGAUUGGGUCAGAGAAGUUGUGCUCCGCAGAUCAAAUUGCUAAUCCAGCUUUCGUUCUGUUCUACCUUGGAGUAUUACCAUCUUUAAAUCGGGAUUGUUAUAGGAAUUGCACCCCAUCCUAUGAACUCCUGGUACAGUGAUACUUCUUGCCAUCGCUGUUCAUUCCUCGGCCCUCGUGUUGAUGCAACCGGAAUACCGACAAAUGAAUUGUGAUGUGUGAAAUCAAUACUGCUAGCAACUCUGUUGCUUGGUAGUUAAAGGAUAAUAAUUUCAUUCUUAGUAUGUUGGUUUUCGAAUCAUCCUUCUAAGACUGAUCGUGCUACCUAGUCCUUAUUUCCUGGUGCACUCUUUGAUUGAUGAGUUAGGAUUUUGUCAAGUCCUCGCUCAUUUGAUCAUAUCAUCUUGCUCUGAAAAGCAAGAUUGUUCUCGAGCUUAGUAACAUAUCGGUGGUUCGUGGUUUCCGAAGAUCUUCUCGGAAGUAUUACCAGGUCGUCACCUGACCGUUAUGUUGAGCUCGUGAUCAAGUUGGUUUCUUGUGAACCACCCUUUCUCCAAGAAUCUGUGUUAGAUAUCCCUGAGCUAGUUGGUUAAGCUAGACAACAACUUGGAGAGUUGGAAGAUAAAAGCUUGUCUGACUUAGUUCGUUCCAAAAGGAUAUUCUUGUGUAGUGUGUGUUGAAGAAAGACGGUAUCUUCAUCGAUUGGUCCCUGUGAUCAGUUGCUGGACCUAUUGUCUUAUCAAUCCUUUGAUUUGAGUGUGGGCUAUCGUCAAAUCAAAUCAGAACCAACGAUAUUCGUAAUGUUGUCUUACUCGUGGUUGAUUCCUCGAGCAUACACCAUUAUAUCUUUGGUCUGACCAAUGCUAUCACCGUGUUCACUUAACUAUGGAAUUCCUUUUAAAAGGAAACCUAGAUGAAUUGUUGUUGAGCCCAUUGACAACAUCCUUAUCUCCUCCAUAAUUUUGUUGAACAUUAAGCUAGUGUUGGAAAUUUUUGAAAGCAUUUGUUCAUGCUAGCUCAUGAAGCAUAUGUUUGGAUGAAGGUAGUGACUUCCUUUAAUUCAUGUGCAUCUGAUGCAAGUUGCCGCCGUGGAUUCGAGAAAGUCAAUGUUGUUUUCUUGGAAUCAUUCUAAAUCAGUCAUGCACACGUGCGAAGAAUUCUGUGGUUCGGAGACUUGCAACCUCCAUUCCAUAUGUAUACCCUAGCACACCAAGCCACUGAUUGACUUGUUCAAGGAAAAGAAGUCUAUGCUUGGGAUCUAAUCCAUGGACUUGCGUAAAGACUUCGAUAUCCUCGAUUAUGGUUCCCCCACCUGAACUCGGUAGUGUAUUAUUAUAAGACUACUACGUGGCCAUGCUUGUCUGGGACAACGUGUUCACAUGUUUGUAGCAGAGCCAGCUCAUGUUUUGGAGCUUGCUAUCGUAGUUCAUCUCCCGAGAAUCCCGCAACGUUAUCUCGUCGAUUUGUGUUGCAAACUUUCAUUUUUCUUUCUAGACUUGAUGAGUCUGGAAUAUCCUAACACCAACCAGAUCUGAAUCUCAGGCAGAUAUGAUGGUUGGAACAUUUUCCAAGAAUUAUAACAUUGGUCGCGCGAUAACCGGUAAAGUGGAUGUCGUGGCCAACACACCCAGCCGGAAGACCUGUUAUUAUAAUAUCUUGAUUGAUGAAGUUGGCCACCUCCCCAUAGGGAUUUCGUAGGAUUUACUCCCUAGUUGCCCCUAUGGAUUUUGAGAUCCCGAAGUCCGACCUUUUACUUGAUGUUCUAGAUAUCAAACCAUAUCUAUGAAUGGGUUACGCUAGCACAUCAAGGAGAACAUUAGAAGCGGAGUGCUAAAUGUCUCUCGGUCGAUCAUCCAGAUUUUGUUUCCUUGGCCUCGCUAAGGUGAAAUCUGAGAAGGUGUUAUCUUCCUUUGCAUCUGCAUCAUCCAUCAUUAGCCAUCAUGGUAGUAUGUUGUGUUGUCAGCACCCUUGACACGGAUGUUGAUAAAACCUUGAUGAUUGUGGAAAUGCUCAAGUUCUUGAGAGCACGCACAAGCGCUACGUGUUAUCCUCGGCACUAGCUGGGUCUGCUCUCAGUUCCCUCGGCAAUGCUAUGACCUUCUCAAACAGUGAAUUCACUCUCUAUUGUUGGGUUCUUCCCCAGUUACCAGAAUCAUUCCCAGCAAUUGCAUCUUUGUUCCCAGCUUGCACCGCCAAUGUGCCAUUCUACCAUGGGUCUCUUCCAUUUCCGGUGAUAAGUAAAUUCAUCCAUUGCGUUGUCUUCAACAAGGUAAUCCACAUCAUCCAAGUCCGAGUAUGCCAUUCUACCGACCCCCUCCAAACGAUUGUUGUGAUUUGCCUUAGGCUGAUAUAGAGAGUCUCAAUGAUCUCUAUAUCAAAAGUAAUUCUUUUUGCCACUUAAGAUAAUAAUCUACGAAUCACCCUCCUCCAGGAUGUUCCGUCGUGGUAUCAUGGCAACUCAACUCCUCGCUACGUUGACAAUCGUUUACCACCUUCUUAAGUGUGGAAUUGUUGUCUACCUAGUGAACCUUCGUCAUCCGUUUCUCCCCCCCCCUCUUGAUGUGUAUCUCGUGUCUCAACCAAGAGAUGGUUCUAUGUCUCAUUCCGUGAGUUAAUCCUGAGUUGUUCGACCUUCGAGAAGACCGAUCCUUCCAGAGUUUUCCUUUCCUCUUCUUGUCAUGAUUAGCUGAAGAUCUCAGAGCAAGACGACAAGACAAAGAUGGUGUUCAAAUCAACGUUCAUUUGAAGUGCAACCUGGAUCGUGAAGAUUGUGCUAGUUUGCGUUCCCCUUUCACCUUACCCUACGCUUGAAUCUCGAGACGAGAUUCUUGUUUAGUGGGGGUGAGUUGUCACAUCCCUAGCUUCAGGCAUUGCUCUAGGUUAACUUCAUGUGUGAUUCAUGUUUAUAUUUUUGAAACUUGAAUUGAGGAAUAUUGGAAGCCUCAAAACCCUAAAUAAAAGAGGGGCAAAAACCCUAGAAAUCUCAUUCAUUGCUCCAAAAGGCUCUUCUUAAAUGUUUGAUAAUUUUUGGUAAGGGUUCUGGUCCCAACCAAAAUAUUGAACAUUUUUAAGGAUUUAUUUUUGGGACUUUGAAUUUAAAUCUUUAGCUAUUUGAAUUUGAGUUAUAUUCAUAUAAUUAGAAUAUAAUUUCAAAUACCCCUGAGAUAUUUUAUGAGCUUUUUGGAAAAGUCCAUCUAGCAACAUAAAUUAUUCAGAGGAUAUUUGGCACUGUUUUGAAAUUAUUUUGAAUUUGAAAACAGUGGCAAAAUAAAAUAAAAAGGGAAACAGAACAGAAAAAAAUAAAAGGAGCAAAGCUUACCUGUGCAGCCCACCAGAGCCGGCCUAGCUCCUGUGCUGGUCCAGCACUGUGCGGCCCAGCCCACCGCGGUCGCCACCGUCUUCAACCUCCUGCCAGUAGGCAGGAGGGCGUGUGCCCGACGCGCGCGCGCACGCUCCGGCCACCUCCUGCUUACCCGCUCGUCGCUGGAGGCACCUGAGGGCGCCACGCACUCCCCCUCGCCCCUGCACCUCCCCUCUCUUCCCCUGGACCCCGUUCCCUCCUCUGCUCUCUCCCUGCACGCGCCGAGCGGAGCUCGUCGUCGCCGACGCCGUUCGCCGUAGCCACCGUGCUCCCCACUGCCACCCGAAGUACCCAGGAGAUCCGCCCCGACCCCCUCUUCCUCCUCGCCGAGAAGCACACCGCGGGAGCCCCUGCAUCACCGCCAUCGCCGUCGUCUUCUACCUCGGACCCGCCGGCCAUCUUCGUCAAAUUCGUCGGCUCCGGUGCCUCCCCGAGCUCCCCGAGGCCACCGUCGCAACCCCUGUGAGCUUGCCGUCGUUUCCCCUCAUCUCUCUCCCUCGCGUGCACCCUGUAGCCGCCGCCCCACGAGCACCCGAAGCUGCCGUCCGCCAUGGCCGGUGAGCUCCGUGCUCCCGAGCUCCUCCGCCUGCGCUCGUUGUCUCCGGGUGUUCCUGGUGACCCCAGCAUCCCGUAGAGCCCAUCAGCUGACCUCGCCGUACCGUGUAACGCCGAACCCGAGCACGCCCGAGCUCCGGCCGCCGCUGCCGAGCUCGGGGCCAUCGUCCCCGGCCGCCCCAGCUGCUGCUGCUUGUUGAAACGGGUGCGGGUGAGCUCCAGCUCCCCGUAGCCGCUCUCCUCCGUCCAUUUGGACGCCGGAGGAGCGAUCCCGAAGCCCUCCGCCGUGCCUGUUGCCGCCGGCGUUGAGUCGCCGGCCUGUUUAGGCCAUUUGACCGGGGUUUGACCUCCCCUGGGUCAUUUACAUGUGGGCCCGGGGCCCUGCUAAUUUAGUUUAGAUGCUAAUUAAAAUUUAGCUAACCCACUGCCUCACUGACAGGUGGGCCCUACCCUUUAAUUAACCCGGCUAACCAUUUAGUUAAGUUAUUUAAACUCUGUUAAAUCACUGUGCAGCUGACAUGUGGACCCCACUGGUCAGGUUUGACCCGGGGCAGCCCUGUUGACUUGCUGACGCAAGCAUGACGCAGUGCUGAUGUCAUAAUUAAUCUCCUGGAAUUGUUUUAAUUCUAAAUAAUCAGAAAAUUCCAGAAAAUGUCUAAAACUUCUAAAAAUCAUAGAAAAUUAACCGUAACUCCAAAUUAAAUAAAUUAUAUAUGAAAAAUUAUCAGAAAAAUUCAAGGAAUCCAUCUGUACCAUUUUCAUGCAUGUUAGAACAACUUAUCACUACUGUUUAGAGCAAAUGAAGUAAAUGGCAUUUGAAUAAUCACAUAUGGAGUUUGAAUUUGAAUUUUAUAUUCAAACCAACUUCAUUUAAUCUGUUGCUAGUUGCAUUAGCCCAAAACACAUUCAUUUUUGCCAUGUCAUGAUCAUGCAUCAUGUUGUGCAUUGCAUUGAUUGUGUUCCUUUCUGUGUUGCCGGUAUUUGUCCCCUCUCGAUAGACGUGAUACCGAUGACGUGAUCGUUGACACUGAUGAAGACUCAAUGUUAUCUUCAGAAGUGCCAGGCAAGCAAAACCCCCUUGUUCAUUCCGAUACAAUCCCACUCUCUCGCUCCUGCUCUCUUUUAAUGCAUUAGGACAACACCGAUUUUUCUGUUACUUGCUGCGGUAGCUGAACCCCUUCAUCCUUUGCAUGACCUGUCAUUGCCACAGUAAAUAGAUGAAACCCACUAGCAUGAGUAGGAGUUGUUUGAGCCCUGUUGUGCCUACUCAUUCUUGCUUGUUUGUCAUGCCUGCUACUGCUUAGAGUUGUGUCAGGUCUGAUUCAUCGGGGAUGAAUCAGAGGCGUGUGAACAUGUCCUACUGUGUGUGAACUAAGUGUGUGAACACGAUUUGGUAAAAGGUGUCGGUGAGAGGCCAUGUAGGAGUACAUGGUGGGUUGUCUCAUUGAAGCCAUCCUUAGGAACUGAGUUCUGUGUUUGUGAUCCAUGACUCAGCUACUACCAUACAUUGGGCCCUGAAAUAUGACCCCGCUCGACUUCUUAUUCACCCUAGUCCUCUGUCCAGGAGUUGCAAGUAGUUUCUGGUGUUUGUAGCUUACUGGAGGCCGUGGACAGCGCUGACCGUAGGGGUGGGCUGUGAUGCGGUAGGUACGUGGCACGGUGUACCGGAUGCCCGUUUGGUAUCUCGGGAACCCUGUUCACAUCGUUUGGGGCUGUGAGCGAAACUCCGGCCGGAUCUCCUCAUGGAUGGAACCCGAAUAGGCGAUAAACCUGGACUAGAGACUUGAGUGUUUAGGUAGGUCGUGGUCUACACCCACGUCGUCUUUCGCUUGAAGUCUGCCGAGCACAUGUCGUGUGCAGACGCUAAGUGGUGGAAACAUGUAUGAAGAAGUACACCCCUGCAGGGUUAACAUGAUCUAUUCGAAUAGCCGUGUCCGCGGUAAAGGACUUCUGGGUUGCUUAUAUCAGUUCAUAGACAAGUGAAAGUGGAUACUCUAAAAUACGCAAGAUAAGCGUGAGUGCUAUGGAUGGCGUUCUCGUAGGGAGACGGGAGUGGAUCCAUAGUGGUGUAUUGAUAUGGUGAAUAUGUGGACUCGUGUGCGCCACCUCAAAAGAGUUACUUGCAGUCGUAGUUCAGGAUAGCCACCGAGUCAAAGCUGGCUUGCUGCAGUUAAACCCCACCAUCCCCUUUGUUGAUAAUGAUGCAUAUGUAGAUAGUUCUGAUGUAAGUCUUGCUGGGUACAUUUGUACUCACGUUUGCCUAUUUUAUGUUUUUGCAGAGAGACUUCAGUCUCACUAGUAGUUCCGCUUGGACUUCGACGUUUAGCUUGAUACCUCAGCUACGAUCUUGUGCCCUCGGCAGGAUCUGAUAGAUAGUCAGGCUUUUCAGCCUUUUUCAUUUAUAGACGUCUGUACUCAGACAUGAUAGCUUCCGCUUGUGCUUUGACUUGUAUGCUCUGAGUGUUGGGUCAUGAGACCCAUGUUUGUAAUAUCUCGCUCCUCGGAGCCUAAUGAAUAAAGUACUUGUGUCGUAGAGUCAUGUUGUGAUGCUUCGUUGUAUUGCACAUAUCGAGCAUAUUGUGUGUAUGAUUGAAAUGCUUGGUAUGUGUGGGAUCUGACUAUCUAGUUGUUUAUCUUUAGUAGCCUCUCUUACCGGGAAAUGUCUCCUAGUGUUACCGCUGAGCCAUGGUAGCUUGCUACUGCUCUGGAACACUUAGGCUGGCCGGCAUGUGUCCUUCUUCGUUCCUGUGUCUGUCCCUUCGGGGAAAUGUCACGCAUUGAGUACCGGAGUCCUGUUAGCCCGCUACAGCCCGGUUUACCGGAGUCCUGCUAGCCCAGUGCUACAGCCCGGACCCACUUGCUGAUGACCGACACGUUCGAAGCUGGGUCAUGGAUGCCUGUCCCUAUAAGUCUGUGCCACUUUGGGUUUACGACUAGUCAUGUCAGCCCGGGCUCUUUAUCAUAUGGAUGCUAGCGACACUAUCAUAUACGUGAGCCAAAAGGCGCAAACGGUCCCGGGAAAAGGUAAGACGACACCCGUGGGGAUACCGUGCGUGAGGCCGCAAAGUGAUAUGAGGUGUUACCAGCUAGAUCGAUGUGACAUCGAGUCGGGGUCCUGACAGCGUUGGCAUCAGAGCCGGACUGCCUGUAGGUUCUCCAAGCCAAACUGGUCGAUGUUGAGUCUAGAAAUUCUUUAGUUAUAUGUAGGGGAAUUGUUUGUGGGUUGGAACGUAAGGCUCUUUUUACUCCUUAUACCUUAUGACUUUCUGAUCUGAGUCAGUCCAUUCUUCCACCGGGGGUUAAGGAAUUAGGAUCUGUUCUCUCUAUCAGGAUCACGUGUUACUAAUCAGUAGUACCUUAUAAGUUUGAUGGUUACAAGCCUAGUUCAGUUCUACUACCACAUUGUGUUGCCAACAUGGUUUCAGAACUUUGAUAUGAUGAUGUUGAGUGUGUACGAAAUCCUUUGUCAAAUGUCUCAAAAUCCUUUUUGAGCAUUUACAGCUGUUAUGCUGUCGAAAUUUUGCUAGAAAUUCUAAUGCCUUUGCAUUAUGAUUAUGCUUUCAGAUGGCCACUCGCGACCUCAAUCAAGUGGUUCGCCUGACUCGAUGCCUAGAUGUACCCGGCCAUACUGCUAAGUUGGUCAGGGUAAUGACUGAGGCUGGAUACCGCUGGUAUCCUGAGUACACGGUCGAAGAGCAAUUCCGGGACUUCAAUCAAAGCCAGUAUCUCUGCACUGUCAGGAUAUUUCCAUCUUAUCCUGGAUCCACUGAGCCUCUUCACUGCUCCUAUGGACUCGGGGUUACUAUUGAGAUGGCUGUGCAGGAUGCCGCCUACUCCAUGAUGACCAUUAUGCGAGUCAGAUCUGGUUUAUUUCGGGACUCUGAUUUCCGGUAUAUGCCAGGAUCACUUCCGGGAGCACAAGGAUAUCUCCAAGCUAUUUAUGCUGAUUCCACUCAGGAGGAUUCACGAACUCGCACCACUGCUGAGAUGCUCGAGGUUAAGGAUCGUGAAAAUCGGGCCUUAAGGUUAGAGCUCUUCAAUACCCGUGCUGACCACUGGGCCACUUUGACUCGGUUCGCACCGGCGGUGCAAGCUGGAUUCUCAGAUAUGCGCGAUCUCUAUCCUGUGAGAUCUGCUCUGCCUGACGUGAUGGUUUGGCGUGAUGUAGGAGGCAUCACCCCACCUCGCGGUCCCCGCAGGCCACCGUUUGUUGGUCCAAGGCCUCAUCCUAGCCCCUAUGGUCCACAAGCUCCGCGAGAUCAUCUGUUUCCGGAUGAACAUGUUGAGCUUCCAGGCUAUGGAGGUGACUUUUAUGAGGACUACUACGGAUCGGUCUGAGUUAGGGGUAGUAUCCCUAGUUUGCACUAGCUGUGUCAUCUAUCGUUCCGCGUGACUCGUGGGAUAUGACCUAGUUUGUACUCUUUCCGGAGUUGUAGAAAAAUAAUGUAUAGGAGUUUGGAAUGCCUCCGAUGAGAUGUAAUCCCUUUUCACCGUAAUAGUACUUCGUUUGGUCUUGUACUAAACCUUGUAUGGUGUGUAUGACGAUGGAAUAAAAGAAGCAGUUUCUGUAUCUACCAUGUCAUACGGAUGAUCAUCUUGCAUUCCGAGUUAUUCCUCACAUUAUGUAUUCCUAUGUCGGAAUUUUAUCAUUCUGACUAAAUCUUUGUCUUGUUUACCUAGGAUGGUCAACACGCGCGCCAACCCUGCUUCUCAAGAGCAGGCCGAAGGCAGUGAAGCCAGGAAUGAAAAUCUGCCUCAUCCUCCUUCACUAGCCGAGGUGAUGAUGGAAGCUGAGAGAAACAAGCGGGAGACAAACCGUUUGUUGGAGCGUAUUGAACAGAAUACAGCACACCAUCAGAGGGCUAACGUGGUGUCACUUAGUGAUUUUAUCAAAUUGCAUCCACCCACGUUCCACCACUCCGUCGAGCCUCUCGACGCUGAUGACUGGCUUCGCAGUAUUUCUCACAAGCUGCGUUCCGCGCUGGUAGCGGAGGCUGACAAGGUCACCUUUGCCGCAUAUCAUCUUGAAGGCCCCGCCAGUCUAUGGUGGGAGAAUUAUGGAGCUAUGCGCCCAGCGNNNNNNNNNNAUCAUGUUUACUCUUUCAGCAGAAACCUGAAAUGGGGAUGACAGAACCCCCAGUCCCCUCUGAAACCAACUAGGGUUUACUAAAAUAAUUUUCAAUGAACCUGAAAUGCCCUUCUAAAAUGCCCAUCAUUUUUGUCUUGGUUCAGAACCUCUGCAAAAGUGGUGCACAUUUUCCUAGGCCAUCCUAGGGUUUUUGAAUUAAAUCAUAACUAUUUGAAUUUGGGCAUUUAAAAUUAUAUAAAAUAUUUAAAUGCUCAAAUAUCUCCAAACUAAAAUGUUUCAUGUUGGAAAUAAUCCAACUAUGGACCAGGAGUAGUUUGGUGAUUUUUGGAGUUGUCUAGGUAUUUUAUUUAAUUCAACAAAGUUGCAGAUAUAUUAAAUAAAAACAGAAAACAGAAAAGAAAGGGGGAAAAACCUACCUGGGCUCCUCCACUGUGCGGCCCAGCCAGCUGGCUGGCCCAGCCAGCCCAGCCCACCUCCCUCCUCUGUCGUCUUCGUCCAGACAGAGGGAGGGGAGUGUGGCCGGCGCGCGCGCGCGCGCCACCGCGCCACGCCACCUGCUCGCCUGCUUGCCUGGCCUCCCCUCCUCGCUCGACGCCCUGGACGACGCCACGCCUCUCCCCCUGCUCUCUCUCACUCUCCCUGGCUCUCUCCUUCCUCUCUCUCGCUCUCUCUCUCGCUCGGCCGAACAUGACCGUCGCCGCCGUUCGCCAUAGCCACCGCCUCCGACCACCCCUCGCUCCCCCGAUUAGCUCAGAAGCUCCGCCACAACUCCCUCUUCCUCCCCACCGCUCCACGGGUCCCCGGAAGCCCUACAUCGCCGCCACGUCGCCGUUCCCCUCUUCGGACUCCGACCACCGUCGCCGUCAAAUUCGUCGUCUCCGGCGCGUCCCCGAGCCUGCUUCGACGCCCACUGCAACCGCGGUGAGCCCCCGGAGCGAUUCCCCCUUCUUCCCUGGUCUCUCCCGACCUCUAGGCCCUAGCUCCACCUCGACCGAAAGCUCCACGCCGCCGGCGAUGUCGCCGUCGUGGCCACGGUCGCCGUAGCGCCCAACCGAGCUCGCCAUCGUGCUCCACACAUCACGAGGAGCACGUAGAACGCACCAACGCCUCCCCAAACCCCCUGCAACACUGAUCCCGACCGCACCCGAACUCCGGCCACCGCAGCCGAGCUCGCCGCCGUCAACUCCGGCCACCUCGAGCCCAACCACCACCACCAAUAGACGCGGCUCAGCCUCAGCAACACGUAGAUGCCUUCCGCCGUCCAUUUGGUCGCCGGAAUGGCAAAAAGCACUCUCGCCGCCGUCUCGGAUCUCGCCGGCGUCAUGUCGCCGGUGGGGUUUGACUUGACCGACCUGGGGUUUGACCCCCCAGGGUCACUGACGCGUGGGCCCUGUCGGCCAGGUGGUUAGGUUAGCGCUAACUACUGUUAGUCAACCCCCCCUGACACUGACAGUGGGCCCCAGUGCCACUAAUUAAGUAAUUAGGAUUAAUUUAAAUCUGUUUAACCCCCCCUGUCACUGACGUGUGGCCCCCACACGUCAGGUUUGACUUCAACCAGCCACAGUUGACCACUGACGUCAUGCUGACGUCAUGCUGACACAGUAAUUAUAUUUCUGGAUUUAAAUUAAAUCAGGAAAUUCCAGAAUAUUAAUUAAACUUCAAAAAUUCAUAAAUUUUAUUCUGUAAUUCCAAAUUGGACAAAUUAUAUAUGAAAAAUGAUCAGAAAAAUCCAAUCUAUCCAUCUGUACUAUUUUCAUGCAUGAUCAAACAAGUUAAAUUGAUGUUUUAAUCAGAACAAGGAAAAGCACUUUAAAAGGCCAUAUUUGAAUUUGGAAUUUGAAUCUUUGAUUCAAAUUUGUUCAAACACAUCUGGUUUUAGUUGCAUUAGCCCAACACACUCAUAUUGCCAUGUUUCAUGCAUGCAUCAUAUUGUUGCAUAUUGUUUGGUGAUGUUUGUGUAUCGGUGUCCUUUGCGACAGGAUCUGUCCCCGAGGAGUACCGUGAUUACCCUAACGAAGAACCGUAUCCGUGCAACGAACCAUCAGGCAAGCAACCAACCAUUUGAUCAUAUCGAUACAAUCCCAUGUUCUCGCUCCUGCUCUCUUUUACUGCAUUAAGACAACGCGAUUCAAACUGCUGUGUGCUACGGUAGUUGAACCCAUUUCCUCUGCAUGACCUGUCAUUGCCACAGUAACUAGAUGAAACCCACUAGCAUGUGUAGGAGUUGAUUGAGCCAUAUGUAUGUGUUGUUCCUACCUUGCUAUGCCUGCUAUGCUUAGAGUCGUGUCAGGUCUGGUUCAUCUGGGUGAUGGGCUAGAGUGAAAUGUUAAUGUUGGUAAUGAGAGUGGUGUGGUGAACACGAUUUGGUAAAGGUAUCGAUGAGAGGCCAUGUAGGAGUACAUGGUGGGUUGUUUCAUUGAAGCCGACCUUAAGCACUGAGAUCUGUAUGUGUGAUUUAAGAAUCAGCUACUACCAUGCAUUGGGCCCUGAAAUAUGACCCCGCUCGACUUCUUAUUCACCCUAGCUCUCUGUCCAGGAGUUGCAAGUAGUUUCUGGUGUUUGUAGCCUACUGGAGGCCGUGGACAGCGCUGACCGUAGGGGUGGGCUGUGAUGCGGUAGGUACGUGGCACGGUGUACCGAAUACCCGUUAGGUAUCUCGGGAACCCUGUUCACAUCGUUUGGGGCUGUGAGCGAAACUCCGGCCGGAUCUCCUCAUGGAUGGAACCCGAAUAGGCGAUAAACCUGGACUAGAGACUUGAGUGUUUAGGUAGGUCGUGGUCUACACCCACGUCGGCUUUCGCUUGAAGUCUGCCGAGCACAUGUCGUGUGCAGACGCUAAGUGGUGGAAACAUGUAUGAAGAAGUACACCCCUGCAGGGUUAACAUGAUCUAUUCGAAUAGCCGUGUCCGCGGUAAAGGACUUCUGGGUUGCUUAUAUCAGUUCAUAGACAAGUGAAAGUGGAUACUCUAAAAUACGCAAGAUAAGCGUGAGUGCUAUGGAUGGCGUUCUCGUAGGGAGACGGGAGUGGAUCCAUAGUGGUGUAUUGAUAUGGUGAAUAUGUGGACUCGUGUGCGCCACCUCAAAAGAGUUACUUGCAGUCGUAGUUCAGGAUAGCCACCGAGUCAAAGCUGGCUUACUGCAGUUAAACCCCACCAUCCCCUUUGUUGAUAAUGAUGCAUAUGUAGAUAGUUCUGAUGUAAGUCUUGCUGGGUACAUUUGUACUCACGUUUGCCUAUUUUAUGUUUUUGCAGAGAGACUUCAGUCUCACUAGUAUUUCCGCGUGGUCUUCGACGUUUAGCUUGAUACCUCAGCUACGAUCUUGUGCCCUCGGCAGGAUCUGAUAGAUAGUCAGGCUUCUCAGCCUUUUUCAUUUAUAGAUGUCUGUACUCAGACAUGAUAGCUUCCGCUUGUGCUUUGACUUGUAUGCUCUGAGUGUUGGGUCAUGAGACCCAUGUUUGUAAUAUCUCGCUCCUCGGAGCCUAUUGAAUAAACUACUUGAGUCGUAGAGUCAUUUUGUGAUGCCAUGUUGUAAUGCACAUAUCGAGCAUAUUGUGUGUAUGUUAUUGAAAUGCUUGGUAUGUGUGGGAUCUGACCAUCUAGUUGUUUAUCUUUAGUAGCCUCUCUUACGGGGAAAUGUCUCCUAGUGUUUCCACCGAGCCAUGGUAGCUUGCUACUGCUCCGGAACACUUAGGCUGGCCGGCAUGUGUCCUUCUUCGUUCCUGUGUCUGUCCCUUCGGGGAAAUGUCACGCGGUGAAUACCGGAGUCCUGUUAGCCCGCUACAGCCCGGUUCACCGGAGUCCUGCUAGCCCAGUGCUACAGCCUGGAUUCACUCGCUGAUGACCGACACGUUCGAUGCUGGGUCAUGGAUGCCUGUCCCUGUAAGUCUGUGCCGCUUUGGGUUUACGGCUAGCCAUGUCAGCCCGGGCUCCUUAUCAUAUGGAUGCUAGCGACACUGUCAUAUACGUGUGCCAAAAGGCGCAAACGGUCCCGGGCUAAGGUAAGGCGACACCCGUGGGAAUACCGUGCGUGAGGCCGCAAAGUGAUAUGAGGUGUUACAUGCUAGAUCGAUGUGGCAUUGAGUCGGGGUCCUGACAAAGGUACCCCAAGGUAUUCAAGAAUAGACAAAAGCCUAAGCUUGGGGAUGCCCCGGAAGGCAUCCCCUCUUCCGUCUUCGUUUAUCGGUAACUUUACUUGGAGCUAUAUUUUUAUUCGCCACAUAAUAUGUGUUUUGCUUGGAGCGUCUUGUAUGAUAUUAGUCUUUCUUUUUAGUUUACCACAAUCAUCCUUGCUGUACACACCUUUUGGGAGAAGCCCACUUGAUUGGAAUUUAUUAGAAUACUCUAUGUGCUUCACUUAUAUCUUUUGAGCUAGAUAGUAUUUGCUAUAGUACUUCACUUAUAUCUUUUAGAGCACGUCGGUGGCUUAAUUUUGAAGAAAUUGUUGAUCUCUCAUGCUUAACUUAUAUUAUUUUGAGAGUCUUUUAGAACAGCAUGGUAUUUGCUAUGGUUAUGAAUUUGGUCCUAGAAUGAUGAGCAUCCAAGUUGAGUAUAAUAAAAACUAUCAUAGGAAGUGCAUUAAACACUAGGAUCAAUUUGAUGCUUGAUGAUUGUUUUGAGAUAUAAAGGUGGUAAUUCUAGAGUGAUGCUAGUGGGUAAUUAUGAAAUUGAGAAAUAAUUGUGUUGAAGUUGGCAAGUCCCGUAGCAUGCACGUAUGGUAAAAGUUAUGUGACAAAUUUGUUGCAUGAGGUGCUCUUUUGAUUAUCUUCCUUAUGAGUGGCAGUCGGGGACGAGUGAUGGUCUUUUCCUACCAAUCUAUCCCUCUAGGGGCAUGCGUAGUAGUACUUUGCUUUGAGGGUUAAGUAGACUUUUGCAAUAAGUAUAUGAGUUCUUUAUGACUAAUGUGAGUCCAUGGAUAUAUGCACACUCACCCUUCCACUUUGCUAGCCUCUAUUGUGCCGCGCAACUUUCGCCGGUAUCACACACCCAUUAUUUACCUUCCUCAAAACAGCCACCAUACCUACCUAUUAUGGCAUUUCCAUAGCCAUUCCAAGAUAUAUUGCCAUGCAAAUUUCCACUGUUCCGUUAUUAUGACACGCUCCAUCAUUGUCAUAUUGCUCUUUGCAUGAUCAUGUAGUUGACAUCGUAUUUGUGGCAAGGCCACCCUCAUAAUUUUCAUACAUGUCACUCUUGAUUCAUUGCAUAUCCCGGUAUACCGCCGGAGGCAUUCAUAUAGAGUCAUAUUUUGUUCUAAGUGUUGAGUUGUAAAUUAAUAAAAGUGUGAUGAUCUUCAUUAUUAGAGCAUUCUCCCAAGUGAGGAAAGGAUGAUGAAUACUAUGAUUCCCCCACAAGUCAGGAUGAGACUUCGGACUUAAAAAAGAGAGGCCAAAGAGCCCACCAAAAAAAAGAGAAAGGCCAAAUAAAAAAAUAAUGAGAGAAAAAGAGAGAAGGGACAAUGCUACUAUCACUUUUCCACACUUGUGCUUCAAAAUAGCACCAUGAUUUCAUGAUAGAGAGUCUCUUGUGUUGUCACUUUCAUAUACUAGUGGGAUUUUUUCAUUAUAGAACUUGGCUUGUAUAUUCCAAUGAUGGGCUUCCUCAAAAUGACCUAGGUUUCGUGAGCAAGCGAGUUGGAUGCACACCCACUUAGUUUCUUUUGUUGAGCUUUCAUUAUAACGCCCUCGAUGCGGCUAUAUCUCCCACGUGUCGAAGCACGACUUAGAGGCAUAACCGCAUUGAAAGCAAUGUCGCAAGUGAGGUAAUCUUCACACAACCCAUGUAAUACAUAAGGGAAAGAGAUACAUAGUUGGCUUACAAUCGCCACUUCAUACAAUUACAUGAAUAAAGCAUUACAUCAUCCAGAUACAAUCAAGGUCCGACUACAGAACCAAAAUAAAAGAAGAACCCCAAAUGCGACAAAGGUCCCCGAUCGACCCCAACUGGGCUCCACUACUGAUCAACUAGAACGAAAGAACACAAAGGGCAAGAUCUUCAUCGAGCUCCUCCUUGAGCUUGGUUGCGUCACCUGUUCGGUAACAUAGGCACCUGCAAACUAGUUUUGGAAGUAUCUGUGAGCCACGGGGACUCAGCAAUCUCGCACCCGCGAGAUCAAGACUAUUUAAGCUUAUAGGAAGGAUGGAGUAAUGAGGUGGAGCUGCAACAAGCGACUAGCAUAUAUGGUGGCUAACAUACGCAAAUGAGAGCGAGAAGAGAAGGCAAAGCAUGGUCGAUAAAAGUAUGAUCAAGAAGUGAUCCUAUAGCAACCUACGUCAAGCAUAACUCCAACACCGUGUUCACUUCCCGGACUCCGCCGGAAAGAGACCAUCACGGUUACACACACGGUUGAUGUAUUUUAAUUAAGGUCAACUUCGGGUUUUCUACAACCGGACGUUAACAAAUUCCCAUCUACCCAUAACCGCGGGCACGGCUUUCGAAAGUUCAAUCCCUGCAGGGGAGUCCCAACUUAGCCCAUGACAAGCUCUCACGGUCAACGAAGGAAUAGACCUCCUCCCAAGACGUUCCGAUCAGACUCGGUAUCUCGGUAACUCAAGACACUUCGACAGGUUAAAACAAGACCAGCAACACCGCCCGAAUGUGCCGACAAAUCCCGAUAGGAGCUGCACAUAUCUCUUUCUCAGGGCACACUCAGAUUGUCCUAGGUACAGGUAGGCCAGCCCAGAGUUGCCCCUGGUGGCCACCGGUAGCUGACAGGUGGACCAACACUCAGAGGAUCACUGGCCCGGGGGGGGGGGUAAAAUAAGAUGACCUUUGAGUCUGCAGAACCCAAGGGAAAGAAAAGGCUAGGUGGCAAAUGGUAAAACCAAGGUUGGGCAUUGCUGGACAAGCUUUAAUCAAGACGAAAUAUCAAGGGGUUCCCAUUAUAACCCAACCGCGUAAGGGACGCAACAAUCCGGGAACAUAACACCGAUAUGACGGAAACUAGGGCGGCAAGAGUGGAACAAAACACUAGGCGAGAGGCCGAGCCUUCCACCCUUUACCAAGUAUAUAGAUGCAUUAAGACAACAUAGCCAUAUAAUGAUAUCCCAACAAGUAAAAUAAAUGUUCCAACAAGGAACGGCUCCAAUCUUCACCUGCAACUAACAACGCUAUAAGAAGGGCUGAGCAAAGCGGUAACAUAGCCAAUCAACGGUUUGCUAGGACAAUGGUGGGUUAGAGGUUCAACAUGGCAAUUGGGAGGCUGACAAGCAAAAGGUAGGCAUCGUAGCAGUGGCAAAGCAAAAGGGCGAGCAAACUAGCAUAGCAAAGAUAGUAGUGAUUUCGAGGGUAUGAUCAUCUUGCCUGAGAUCCCGCAAGGAAGAAGAACGUGUCCAAGAAGAAGACAAACGGUCGUAGAUGAACGAAUCCUCACAACUCCGGAACGAAACUGAAGCUAACGAGAGAAGCAACCCUGAAAGAAACAAACAACAUAGUAAACAACCAUCACAUAAACAUGUCAUGAUGCGCAAACAAGUAUGAUGCAUGCCCGGUUUAAAUAGCAUGGCAUGGCAAUAUGCACAAACAAAACUACAAGUUAAAUGGAGCCCAAUAUGCAACGAGUUGCAUAUUGACGAAACACCACAUCAAUUAUUUAGUUCUCUCUCGGUUAUGUACCCAACAAUAUUAAAUGUUGUUAAGAAUGGCAAGAGGGUGAAGCAAAUGAAAACUACCUAUCUAGUCAAGGUUAAAUGAGGCCGGAAGCAACAAACAACAAUUCCGGAGAAUCCCCAUAUCAUUUAGCAAUUUAAAGCAAGCAACAAUUUUAAACAUUUUAAAUGUUGUUAUCAUGAAGCGGAUGACCUAUGCAAGUUUAUGCAAUUAUUAUGAAAAUGUUGACAUGAGCAUGAUACGAGGCAUUUGGUCACCAUGGCGGAACGAAAAAGGUGCCACGGCGGUGAAACGGAAAUGGUGCCACGGCAACAUAUCCGAAAAUGAUGCCACGGCAACAUAUCGGUUCCGGUAGCUCAUGGAGAUACCGGUGCAAAGGAAGUGGGCGUGAGCGUGUCGUGCAAGGAUGGUGGGGUGCCCCCGGAUUCCAGGUUCCCACGGGACGGCAGCAUGGAAAACGAGUGACAAUUCGGACACGGUGCAAACAUACGGUUCAUCUCAUUCAACACAUGCAUUAGGUCACGGGCGGUCGUUCUCGGCGGUUAUACCUUCGAAGCGGGUCGAGUUCGUCGAGGGAAGUAGUUGUUCACGGCGAUGGUAGAGGUACUCGCGAUCUUGGCAACGGUAGUCGUACAUGUCCGGAGAGGAACUUGUCGCAUCCACGGUAUUCGGGCGUAGUGGAAGUAGUUGUUCAAGUGUUGUCGUGGGAAGUAGUCGUACACGGCGUCGGUAGUGGUACACGGGUCUUCGGGCGACGGUAGAUGGUACAUGUUUUCGUAGUUGUUCAGGUCGACGGUAGUUGUACACGGGUCCUCGUCUUCAUGGUACUUGACGUCCUCUCGGCCUUGACAGUGACGAAAUGGAAGGCGGUGGUCAUAGUACUUGGCGAAUCCACGUAGUCGAACAUGGGUUGUAGUGGUACUUGACGCUCGUAGACAUCCAGGGUCAUCGUAGAGGUACUCUUCGUCCACGAAACUAGAAGUGGAGCACACUCAUGCCUCGGGUCUUUGCGGAUGCAAACAGCAGCACAGGGCUGGCCGAGGCAACGCGGGACAAGGGCGAGGCGACGCCGCGGGGUUGCGGGAGGCGAAGCCACUGGGCGGCGCGCGGGGCAGACGACGGGGAUGGCCGAGCUGAGGAGGACCCGGUCCCUAGACCUUGGACCUAGCCGGAGACGGUCGAGGGAAGGGGCGGUCAGGCGACCGACGGGGCACGGCAGGCUGCUUGGUGGAGGAGUCACGCGGGCGAGGAGGCGCGCGGGAGCAGGGUCGCACGCAGAGGCGACGAGGAGGAGGCCACGGGCGAAGGAGGAGGUUGGGCGCGCUCAGGGACGAGCUCCGACGGAGCUGCUCGCUGUCGACGGCCGGAAACAGAGACGAGGCAGAGGAGGGGCACGGGCGCAGGAGACUGAGAGGGGCGAGGCGGUGGUGCGGGCGGCCGGCGAAGAUGGCUGCGGGGGAGCUCGAUGCGAUGGGUGGCGAUGGGGACGCGGGGGAGAAGGAAGGGCGAGGCCUUGGGCGGAGGCGGAGGCGCGAGGAAGCGGGGCUCUGCUCCUCUGUCUUUCUGAGCGGAUGGGGGGCACGAGCGAGGGAGAGGGAGAGAUCGAGAGGAGGGAGAGAUGGGGAUCGAGGACGAUCCGAGCGGGACGAGUGGCUGGCGGUGGAGGGGGGAACGAGAGGAGGGAUGGAUCGAGAGAGAGGAGGUCGAGCUAGGGUUAGAGGGAUCGGCUGGGCCUUGAGAGGCCGGUUGGGCUGGAAUCUCUCUCACUACUAAAAGAAAGGAAAAAAAACAGAGAUGAGAAAGAAAAGAAAAGGAGGUUAGAGGAAGAAGUUGGACACGGGGAUUAUUUUCCGAACUCGCAAAAAUACACUUGUUCCAAGAAAAUGGAAAGAGGCAUGAUUGAAAGAUGUAAAUUCAAACUCAUUUGAAUUAAAUUCAAAUGAUUUGAAUAGGAAGUGAGGUUUGGGAAGGUCCAAAAAUGUUCGGAUUUUUGGUGGAGCUCCGAAAAAUGCUGAAAUAAUUUAUGGGCAAGGUUGGAGACCAAGAAUUGAGAUAACAACGACAUGGGAUAUUUUGCAAGUGGGUUAUGGGUAAUUCCAAAUAAAUGGAAUAUUUAAUAUAGCUCCCUAAUAUCGGGAGGGUAUGUUAUAAAGAGAAGUCACCAUGUGAGUUCCCUCGGUUUAAAUAGAUCAAAAGAUCUAUGCAAUUUAUUUAGUUGAGGUUUUAAAAAUUAAUGAUAUGAUGGCAUGAUGACAUGAUGCAAUGCACAUGAUGCAGAGAUGAAUGCACGAACAAAACAAAAUCACACAACGAAUCUCGGAAACCCUGGAAGGCAUCUGAAGCUCCGGUCUUGGGGCGUUACAUUCAUACAUUUAUAGCUCUAGUGCAUCCGUUGCAUGGCAAUCCCUACUCACUCACAUUGAUAUCUAUUGAUGGGAAUCUCCAUAGCCCAUUGAUAUGCCUAGUUGAUGUGAGACUAUCUUCUCCCGUUUUGUCCUCACAACCACCACCAUAUACCAGUGUAGUGCUAUGUCCAUGGCUUGCGCUCAUGUAUUGCGUAAGAGUUGAAAAAGCUGAAGCGUGUUAAAAAGUAUGAACUAAUUGCUCGGCUCGUCAUCGGGGUUAUUCAUGAUGGGAGUAUUUUGUGUAAUGAAAAUGAAGCACGACCUAACUAUAUGAUUUUGUAGGGAUAUGCUUUCAUUGGCUAUGCUAUUUUGAUAGGACAUGAUUAUUUGUUAGUAUGAUUCGAGUAUUUUUUUAUGUUUUAUAAGCUUUUAUCUUGAAUCAUUUGGAUCUGAACAAUCAUGCCACAAUAAAGAAAAUUACAUUGAGAAUUAUGCUAGGUAGCAUUCCACAUAAAAAUUCUAUUUUUAUCAUUUACCUACUCGAGGACGAGCAAGAAUUAAGCUUGGGGAUGCUUGAUACGUCUCCAACGUAUCUAUAAUUUUUGAUUGUUCCAUGCUAUUAUAUUACCCGUUUUGGAUGUUUAUGGGCUUUACUUUACACUUUUAUAUCAUUUUUGGGACUAACCUACUAACUGGAGGCCCAGCCCGUCUUGCUGUUUUUUGUGUGCCUAUUUCAGUGUUUGGAAGAAAAGGAAUAUCAAACGGAGUUCAAACGGAAUGAAACCUUCGGGAGCGAUCUUUUUGGAACAAACGUGAUCCAGAGGACUUGGAGUGGAAGUCAAGAAACAAUCGAGGAGGCCACGAGGGUGGAGGGCGCCCCCCUACUGGGCGCGCUCCCCUAUCUCGUGGGCCCCUCGGGAGUCCACCGACCUAAUUCUUACUCCUAUAUAUACCCACAUACCCCGAGAACAUCAGGGGCGACCCUGAAAAACUAUUUCCACCACCGUAACCUUUUGUAUCCGCGAGAUACCAUCUUGGAGCCUUCGUCGGCGCUCCACCGGAGGGGGAAUCAACCACGGAGGGCUUCUAGAUCAACACCAUAGCCUCUCCGAUGAGCUGUGAGUAGUUUACCACAGACCUUCGGGUCCAUAGUUAUUAGCUAGAUGGCUUCUUCUCUCUCUUUGAAUCUUAAUACCAUGUUCUCCUUGAUCUUCUUGGAGAUCUAUUCGAUGUAACUCUUUUUCCGGUGUGUUUGUCGAGAUCCAUGAAUUGUGGGGUUAUGAUCAAGUUUAUCUAUGAGAAAUAUUUGAAUCUCCUCUGAAUUAUUUUAUGUGUGAUUAAGUUAUCUUUGCAAGUCUCUUCGAAUUAUCAGUUUGGUUUGGCCUACUAGAUUGAUCUUUCUUGCAAUGGGAGAAGUGCUUAGCUUUGGGUUCAAUCUUGCGGUGUCCUUUCCCAGUGACAGCAGGGGCAGCAAGGCACGUAUUGUAUUGUUGCCAUCGAGGAUAAAAGAUGGGGUUUAUAUCAUAUUGCAUGAGUUUAUCCCUCUACAUCAUGUCAUCUUUAUUAAUGUGUUACUCUGUUCUUUAUGAACUUAAUACUCUAGAUGCAUGCUGGAUAGCGGUCGAUGUGUGGAGUAAUAGUAGUAGAUGCAGGCAGGAGUCGGUCUACUUGUCACGGACGUGAUGCCUAUAUACAUGAUCAUGCCUAGAUAAUCUCAUAAUUAUUCUCUUUUUUAUCAAUUGCUCGACAGUAAUUUGUUCACCCACCAUAAUACUUAUGCUAUCUUGAGAGAAGCCACUAGUGAAACAUAUGGCCCCCGGGUCUAUCUUUUAUCAUAUAAGCUUUCAAUCUACUUUUAUUUGCAUCUUACUUUUCCAAUCUAUAUUAUAAAAUACCAAAAAUAUAUUUAUCUUAUCAUACUAUCUCUAUCAGAUCUCACUUUCGCAAGUGGCCGUGAAGGGAUUGACAACCCCUUUAUUGCGUUGGUUGCGAGUUCUUGUUUGUUUGGGUAGGUGCGUGGGACUUUUGAGGAGCCUCCUACUAGAUUGAUACCUUGGUUCUCAAAAACUGAGGGAAAUACUUACGCUACUAUUGCUGCAUCACCCUUUCCUCUUCAAGGAAAACCAAUGCAAGCUCAAGACGUAUCAUUGGGCUGCGUCCCUCUGGUCUUGGCAGGGGUGAGAAUGGUAACACCCAAGCGCUUCUUUUGUCCUCCUUGUACUCGAGAUAAACCCUAGGAGGAGAGGGACAAGAAAGGCAUUACAGAGCACUUUUCUUUUUCAGCAAAAAUGAUGUAGGCUUUGGCAGUGUUUGAAUCAAAUAUAAAUAUUUCCCAUUUAUAUUCGCAUUUUGUAUGAUUUGUACUUGUUGUCUCACACAAUUUUUAGAAGAAACUUGUCAGAGAUGCGUACUUGUCUUAGACGUUUGGAAGGGCUAUCCCUCAGCAGUCUUUUGUGAGUAGGAUAUCUGGCAAAGCUUCUUGCCGGUCUCAAACACGGCUACUACUAAGCCUUGUCAAGCAAACUCGAGGCAAGUUUUGGACCGCGGAUGGAGGUUGUCCUCUUGUCGGCUUUAAACGCAGUUGCAACUAAUCUUGUCGAGCAGAAUCGAGGCAAGGAUAAGAGCCCGAAUGAAAGGCGCGGCAAGAUAUCCUCGCGUGCAAGUUUCUCAUACGUAGACGUAAUAUAGAUUGACGGGAAAUUUUGAAACAAACUUUCGACUUAUCUUUCUUUGUUGUACUUCUUAUCGUUUAGAUAAGGAGAGGCCGGCUGCCACAUGUCCAAGUGAGCGAGCAUGCUUCCAUCCUUCCCCCGUGAAAGUUGCUCACGAGGAAUCCUUCUGCCUCUGAUAGAAAAAGAAUGAAGAGACGAACAGCAUGGGGCCCUUGGCGGCAUGUUAAUCGUCUUAACUAAACAAGUGUAACUACAUGAAAAUCAUGCUAUAGCAUAUAGAUACACAUGUAUGCAAGUUUUUAAAACACUUGGUUUUAUUCAGAUAUGCACAGGGUCUGCGCAUGGCUUUGUACAAAGGUUUACAAGCCUCUAAGGCUAUGCUUGUACAAAAUGGAUUGCCAGGACAAGGCCCGACAUCCGCGCUUUAUGGGUAGAAUUUGUGAAGAUGCUCAAUAUUCCAUGAGUUUUGCACGCGAAUGCCAUCUUUGGUCUCCAGACGGACUACGCCAGGUUUGGUGACUCCUACCACUGGGUAAUGGGCUUCCCACUUCAGCAUCAACUUGUUUGCACCCUUGGCGAAUUGAACGCGCCGAAGGACAAGGUCACCUUUCUCAAGGCUCUGGGUAUGAACAUUGUGGCUAUGAUAGGGCGCAAGGCUUGCUGGUAGCAUGCGACACGCACCGCUGCCUGAAGAUGAUCUUCCUCAAGGAGCACGACAUCGUCAUGCCGUAGCUGCUCUUGCUCUACUUCAUCGUAGGAAAGUACUCGAGGUGACCCGUAUAUGAGUUCUGUGGGAAGCACCGCUUCUGCACCAUAGACUAGGGAGAAGAGUGUACGACUAGUAGCUCGAUUUGGUGUCAUCCUGAGUGACCAAAGAACCACCGGCAACUCGUCAAUCCAACGUCUGCCGCACUUGUGUAGCCUGUCAAAAGUCCUUGUCUUGAGCCCGCACAAUACUUCAGCAAUUGUUCUUUCUGCUUGCCCAUUACUCCUGGGGUGAGCAACGGAUGCAAAGCAUACUUUGCUUCCUAGGCUCUGAGUGUAUUGCAUGAAGGCGUGGCUCGUGAAUUGUGUGCCAUUGUUAGUGAUGACCCUGUUCGGGACCCCAAACCGGCAAACUAAUCCUUUGAAGAACUUGACGGCCAACUGUGCAAUUACCUAUCUCACUAGUUCUACUUCAGGCCACUUUGUGAACUUGUCGAUGGCAACAUACAAGAACUCGAAGCCCCUGGUAGCACGGGGAAGGGGCCCAAAAUAUCGAGAUCACAGACCGAAAAAGGACAGGAUAAAGGAAUCGUUUGGAGGGCUUGCGCUGGUUGGUGUAUGUUCUUUGAAUAGAACCGGCAUGCUUCACAUCUUGUUACUACACUACUGGAAUCAGCUUCUUUGCAGCCCAUCAUGACGGACGGCAAAGGCACAAAUCACGGACGACAAACUCUUUUGCCGUCAGCUAGCUGAUGGCAAACUUUCUGGCUGAACACGUGCCAACAAAGGCCUUCUUUGUCGUCCACUUUCAAGAAAUGGAUGGCAAAGGAUUGUGUCGUCCGCCAUCCGAGACCAGCAGAUGACAAAGACAAUGGAUAGCAGUGGUUUGGGGUGAGAGCCGUUAGGGGGUUAGCGGCGCUAUUUGCCGUCCGCCAGCGGAUGGCAAAGAGGCAAAGCUCUUUGCCGUUCGCUGACAAACGACAAAGAGCUUAGCUAGGGCAGCACUGGGGAGCUGCCAUGUGGCCAGCUAUGUCGUCUGCCAGCAGACGACAUAGAUGGCCCUAUUUGCCAGGCCUAUUUGGUCACUUUGCCGUCCGCUUGCAGACGGCAAAAUGACCAAAUAGGCAGCCAGUGUUCCCAGUUUUCCCAGGUGACUGCCACGUGUCCUCUUUGCUGUCUGCUAGUGGACGGCAAAGUUCUUUGCCGUCCGCUAGCAGACGGCAAAGAGGCUAUACAUCCCCUGUUUUCAUUUAAAUCCAAUUAAUUAGACAUGGUUUCAAACAUAGAUAUACAUGCAUACAUAUCCAACAUAUCCAACAGCAUGUCCAACAACAUAUUUCAUCAAAUCCAACAACAUAGUUCAACAAAGUCCAACAUAUCCAUAUAUACAUAACCAGAAACAAGCUUCCAACACAUAUCCAUAUAGAAAUACAUAUCCAAACAAGUUUUCAUAAACAACAAGGAAGCACAAGAAGAAUAUUACACACCAUGAAUCCAAGCUUCCUCAUGUAAAGCAAAUCUGCAAAUUGGGAAAGAUGAAAGUUAGAAGAAGAAGAAGAAGAUUUUUUUUCUCUUUCUUUUUCUCCUCUCCUCUUCUUUAUCUUCUUCUUCUAACUAAGGUAGGUAGAAAUGCCAUUUUAUUGCUAAGCUAGGUAAAAUGCUAAGUGUAGGUCAUUUUAGAGCUAAGCUAGGUAAAUAGGUCAUUUUGGAGCUUAGUAAGCUUAUUAUGUCAUUUUCGAGGAAAAUAAGCUAAGUCUAUAUCAUUUUGGAGGUAACAAAGAUUAUCAUGCCAUUUUUGACCUAAGUAUGCUAAGUAUGUGAUAAAUGAACUGAAUAAUCUAAGUAUAGCUCAUUUUUAUCUAACUUAGGUAACUAUGCCAUUUAAGAGGAAAAUAAGCUAAGUAUCCAUUUGUAAAGAAAAACAUUAGAGAAAACUUACCCUCAUCACAACAAAUAUGAUGAAGAUCACAACUAAGGUAACAAUUGAUCCAACGGCAUAAUGAUACCAAGCCUCAUUAUCAAUGGCAUAUUUUCUAAUCUUCUUAAGCUUCAGGCGCAUUGCAUCCAUCUUCAAGCGCAUUGCAUUCAUCUUCAUCUUGUGAUCAUCGGUGACAUCGGCAACAUACAACUCCAAUGUCAUCUUCUCUUCUUCAAUUGUUUUAAAUUUUUCUUUCAAAUACUCAUUUUAUUUUUCAACUAAAUUUAAUUUCUCGACAAGAGGGUCGGUUUCAAAUUCCGUUUCACAUACCUCCUAGAUUAAAAUAUCUCUAUGUCAACUUGAUGGCCAUAAUUGUCAUAAAUGUGAAAUGCAACAAAUAGUUAUGAAAGUGAAUUUACCACAUCCGAAUCAUAAUGUGAGCGAGGGCCGACGGGGACAGACAUCAAGACCAUGGCACUAUGUAUAAGAAACAAUCAUACAAAGUAAGAAAAUCAUACAUACCAACUAUAUAAAUCAUACAAUCAUACAAAUAACUAUAUAAAUCAAGUACAGCAUAAAAAUUUGAAUACCUAAUAAUCACUAUCGGUAAUGACGUGCUCAUCAUCAUCAUUAAUAAAUGCAUCAUCAUCAUCACUAUCGGUAAUGACGUUGUAACACCCUGGAUGUAACUUUCCAUCUUUGUAACUCCAACUCUUGCCAUUUUCGGCCAUGUGAUAUGAUAUUCCCUCCGUGGUUGGGUUUUGUCUUUUGUUUUGCAUUUUAUUCAUGUCAUGCAUAUCAUAUCAUGUCAUCAUGUGCAUCUCAUUUGCAUAUGUGUUCGUCUCAGGCAUCCGAGCAUUUUCCCCGUUGUCCGUUUCGCCAUCCGACACUCCCACAUGCACCGGCGCACCCCUCUUGUCUCUUUUCGUGUGCGGGUGUUGAACGUUCUCGGAAUGGACCGGGCCUUGCCAAGUGGCCCUGGUAUAGCACCGGUAGACCAUCUCUCAAGUUUCGGGUCAUUUGGAGCUCGUUUGGUACUCCAACGGUUAACCGCACUCCCGCAAAGGCCUCUUUUGAGUUGCAGCCCAACACCCCUCCAAAACAGCCUAAUAACCCAUCUAAGUCACUUCCAUGCUCUCCGUUGUCGGAUCACGAUCGUGUGGGCGAAAACCGCACCUCAUUUGAACACUCCUAGCUCCCUCUACCUAUAAAUAUGUGCACUCCCCCGAAAUUCCGGAUCCCCAAACCCUAGCCCGCUCCCUCUCCGCCGCCGGACACGUCCGGGCGAAGCCGGACACGUCCGCCGCCGCCGCCCAGCGAACCGGAUCUCGCCACGUGUCCGCUCCGCCACCNNNNNNNNNNNNNNNNNNNNNNNNNNNNNNNNNNNNNNNNNNNNNNNNNNNNNNNNNNNNNNNNNNNNNNNNNNNNNNNNNNNNNNNNNNNNNNNNNNNNNNNNNNNNNNNNNNNNNNNNNNNNNNNNNNNNNNNNNNNNNNNNNNNNNNNNNNNNNNNNNNNNNNNNNNNNNNNNNNNNNNNNNNNNNNNNNNNNNNNNNNNNNNNNNNNNNNNNNNNNNNNNNNNNNNNNNNNNNNNNNNNNNNNNNNNNNNNNNNNNNNNNNNNNNNNNNNNNNNNNNNNNNNNNNNNNNNNNNNNNNNNNNNNNNNNNNNNNNNNNNNNNNNNNNNNNNNNNNNNNNNNNNNNNNNNNNNNNNNNNNNNNNNNNNNNNNNNNNNNNNNNNNNNNNNNNNNNNNNNNNNNNNNNNNNNNNCGCCACGUCCGGUCGCCGCACCGUCGCCGGCCUCCGACGAGCUCCGGCCGCCCGGUCCCGCCUCAGCCCGACGUCGCCGGCGCCGGAUCCGGCCAGAUCCGGCCGCCCCGGCCUCUCUCUGCCCGUCCUCCGGCUUCCCCAAGCUCCGGCGUCGUCCGCGCUCUCCGGCGACCCCGCGUUCUCCGGCGAUCUCCAGAUCCCACGGUUGACUCCUCCCCGAAAUUCCAGUCAUAUUCUGCCAUAAAUUUGUUGCAUCUUCAUCCCAUCACAUCUUCGCACCCGUGGCCCCGUUUUGGGCGUGUAGCCUACCGAAUUGUUCGUCUCAAAGAGUACAUCAUUUCAUCUCAUUGCAUCAUUUAUAUUUGAGCUCAUUUUGAUGCCCGAAAUGCUGUUGGAAGAGGGCUUCAUAAUGUUAGUUUCAGAUUCUUUUCAGAACGAGCUCUUUUGUCAUUUUUGCCAUGAUUGAUGUGUGCAUCCUAUGGACUUGAUCCCUAAAGGUGUUUUGAACUAGGCUAUGUAUUCUUUACAAAGGUGCUUACCAUGUAUUUUUGUGAUCAAUGUGGUGACUAGCACAAGCAUGCAAACUAGGCUUCGUGAUAAUGCUGAUUUUAGUCCCUGUUCUGCUGUAAUUUUGAUGCCAUGUAAACAUGUUGCUACAGAGAGAUCCAUGCAUAUUUUGAGAUACUUUAGUAUGGGUUUUUUGAAAACAUGGUUAUGCUCUAUCCAUCCAUGGUCCUGGUUGCAAUUAAGUAGUAUAGCAUGUCAUUUUCGUGCUCUACUUUUGCUUCAAAAUGUUUCCUGACAGAUUGUUUACAUGUUAUUCAAUUUUGCCGAGGUUGUUGUAGUUGAUCCGUGUAUGCUAUGAUGUUGUUCUUACCAUGUAUAGCUUCUAUGACAUGUCUUCUUGAUGGAUGUAUGCUUAGUUUAUCAUGAAGUGCUCUGUAGUGAGUGCAUCAAGCUCACGAAGGUACCUUCGUAAUUAUGUCAAUGCCAUGCUUUGUUUGCUGAAUCUGUUAACGAAACUUGCUAUAUUUACGUGGGUGCCAUGAUAUUUUCUGAUCCUUUUUGGCUUAUGGUCAGUAAGGGACUUUUGAUCUAUGCUUUGAGUAGAUUCAUGCCAUGCCUUAUUUUGCUAUUAUAAGUUCCUUUAGCAUGUUGAAAACUUGCUCUGAACAUUGCUUCGUGAUGUUAUUUAUGCCAUGUCCAACCUGAUAUUUUUUAAACUUUCACCAUGCUUGUUUGAACCUGUUAUGAUGAGAUUUAGCCGUAGCUCAGUGUUCCUCUUUUGUAAAGCAUCUCCUGUAGAUUAUUGCCAUAUGCUUUGUUUUUAUGUUGGGGUGCUGUAGCAUAGUUUCUUGUUGCAUGCUAUGUAGCAUCGUGCUGUUAAUCGCAGCUUUGUGUCAUUCUUGUUUUGCUUGCCAUAUGCAAACCGUGCAUCCGUUCCCGGUGAUCUUUAUAUCGAUUUCAACCGAAAUCAUCUCAUCUUUCCAGCGGCAUACUUGGUUUGCCAAGUUGAUGCCUUGUUCAUCAUCUUUCCUUCCGAAGCACGCAUAUGCAUUGCAUAUCACAUCUCGCAUAGCAUGACAUGUAUUGCAUCAUGUUGCUUGUGCAUUGCACCGUGAUUUAUUGUGGUUCCUUUGCUUGUGUUCUUGCUUUGGGUAGAGCCAGGAGACGAGUACGUGCACGAGGAACCUGUUGAGUACGCUAACGGGGAUCAUGCCUUCGACAAUUCUGAGAACCUUGCAGGCAAGAUGACCAUACCUUCGAUAUCACCUCUAUCUUUGCUUGCUAGUACUCGCUCUAUCGCUAUGUUAGCUCUACCUGCCACUGUUUACCAUGCCUACCUAUUGCCAUGUCAAACCUCUAACCAACAUGUCCUAGCAACCGUUGAUUGGCUAUGUCACCGCUUUUUCUCAGCCCCUCUUAUAGCAUUGUUAGCUGCAGGUGAAGAUGAAGUUUGUUCCUGGUCGGAACAUGGAUAUUUUUGGGAUAUCACAAUAUCUCCUGUUUAAAUUAAUGCACCUUAUAUACUUGGUAAAGGGUGGAAGGCUCGGCCUUAUGCCUGGUGACUUGUUCCACUCUUGCCGCCCUAGUUUCCGUCAUACCGGUGUUAUGUUCCUUGAUUUUGUGUUCCUUACACGGUUGGGUGAUUUAUGGGACCCCCUUACCAGUUCGCUUUGAAUAAAACUCUUCCAGCAAGGCCCAACUUUGGUUCUACCAUUUGCCACCUCAGCCCUUUUCCCUUGNNNNNNNNNNNNNNNNNNNNNNNNNNNNNNNNNNNNNNNNNNNNNNNNNNNNNNNNNNNNNNNNNNNNNNNNNNNNNNNNNNNNNNNNNNNNNNNNNNNNNNNNNNNNNNNNNNNNNNNNNNNNNNNNNNNNNNNNNNNNNNNNNNNNNNNNNNNNNNNNNNNNNNNNNNNNNNNNNNNNNNNNNNNNNNNNNNNNNNNNNNNNNNNNNNNNNNNNNNNNNNNNNNNNNNNNNNNNNNNNNNNNNNNNNNNNNNNNNNNNNNNNNNNNNNNNNNNNNNNNNNNNNNNNNNNNNNNNNNNNNNNNNNNNNNNNNNNCCAGUGCUCGUCGUGAGUGUUGGUCCAACCUGUCAACCGCCGGUGGCCACCAGGGGCAACUGUGGGAUGUCCUACCGGAAGUUUGGACAAUCCGGUGUGCCCUGAGAACGAGAUAUGCGCAGCUCCUAUCGGGAUUUGUCGGUGCAUCGGGUGGCUUUGCUGGUCUUGUUUUACCAUUGUCGAAAUGUUUUGCGAACCGGGAUUCCGAGGCUGAUCGGGUCUUCCCGGGAGAAGGUAUAUCCUUCGUUGACCGUGAGAGCUUGUGAUGGGCUAAGUUGGGACACCCCUGCAGGGUAUAUAAUCUUUCGAAAGCCAUGCCCACGGUUAUGAGGCAAAUGGGAAUUUGUUGAUGUCCGGUUGUAGAUAACUUGACACUUGACUUCAUUAAAAUGCAUCAACCGCGUGUGUAGCCGUGAUGGUCUCUUCUCGGCGGAGUUCGGGAAGUGAACACGGUUUGAGUUAUGCUUGACGUAAGUAGUUUCAGGAUCACUUCUUGAUCGCUUCUAGCUUCUCGACCGAUGCGUUGCUUCUCUUCUCGCUCUCACUUGCGUAUGUUAGCCACCAUAUAUGCUUAGUGCUUGCCGCAGCUCCACCAUAUUACCCCUUUGCCUACCUAUGAGCUUAAAUAGUCUUGAUCUCGCGGGUGUGAGAUUGCUGAGUCCUCGUGACACACAGAUUCUACCAAAACAGAUGCAGGUGCCGAGGAUACUGGCGCAGAUGGCGCAACUGAGCUGAAGUGGGAAUUCGAUGAGGCCCUUGGUCGUUACUAUGUAUCGUUUCCAGAUGAUCAGUAGAGGAGCCCAGUCGGGGCGAUCGGGGAUCUAGCAUUUGGGUUGUCUUCUUUUCAUUUGAACUUGACCGUAGCCGGUCUAUGAGUGUAUUUGAAUGAUGUAUGAUCUUAAUUUAUGUAUUGUGUGAAGUGGCAAUUGUAAGCCAACUCUCUUUAUCUCAUUCUUGUUCAUUACAUGGGAUUGUGUGAAGAUGACCCUUCUUGCGACAAAACCACCAUGCGGUUAUGCCUCUAAGUCGUCCUUCGACACGUGGGAGAUAUAGCCGCAUCGUGGGUGUUACAAGUUAGUAAUCAGAGCCAUCCCGACUUAGGAGCCCCCUGCUUGAUUGUUUGCUGGCGAUGUUGAGUCUAGAACAAAAAUGUUUUGAGUCAUAGGAUUAUAUACAUCGGAGAGUAGGAUUCUUUUAUCAGUCCCUUCGUCGCUCUGGUGAGGUCUCCUGACGUAGAUGUUUUGACUGUCCUCUCCUCAGAUUUCACUAAAAUUUUAUUUUUUAGGAUCACGCGGGUAUCUUGGAAUCGUUUCGAUGGUUUUGUGACGAGAACAUUGUUCUUGGUGCCUCCUGUCUAUUUAUGUGGCUUUGACCCGGGGAGUCGAGCUCUGAGGUGUUGUCGUCACAAUUUUAUCGUUGCAGUUCUGGAAUACCUGAGUUUUGCCGACAUUGAAAAUCUCUUUUAUGCAGUUGUUGGUGAGAUAACCUCGACGCCACCCAGUACUGGGGCGGGAGUUCGGGAGUAUUGCCAUAACUCGUAUAACGGAUGCUUUUCGAAGGUUGACGUACACGAUUUCCGAAGGUUUCUUGGUUAUGUGUUGACGGAUGGAUACAGCUGGAUGUAGGGAUUGUUAGUUUGGGUGAGAUAUAUUGCUUCCCCUAUAUCCCCAACACCUGAUUGCAUAACCAGAAAGUUUUGGGAGUUUAUAGGUGGGAUUCAAGUAGCUCUAGCAUUUCUUCCCACAGAUAUUUGGUUCGUGAUUGGGUAAUCCUUACCACUUAUUUGUUCCAGUUGUACCUUGUUUAUUUCAUUCAUCAAUCUCUAUUCAAGUGGCUUCUCACCUUAAUGGACAUGUGAUGUUUACUUUGGAAUUCAUUCGUUCAUCUUUGUUCGAAUGUUUAUUGUGAAGACUAUAUGUUGCAAUUUCUAUCCGUUGAUUCAACUUGUCUAUCUGUCUAUCAAGAUGCUAACGGAUGUCACCCUCUUCAGGAUGGCUCCGCCAACGCGUCAGAAUCCGGAACGCAAUGAUGGGAGUCAGGCGAACCCUCCACCUCCACCUCCGCCUCCGGAGGCAUGGCAAGCUUUGAUGGCAGCGACAAACGCCAAUGCCCAGAUGAUGAUUCAGCUCAUGCAAGAGCGCAACCAAGGCCAAGGCAACCAAGGGAAUCAAGGUCAAGGGCAGUUCAAUCAUCAGCCUCUAUUUCCUACCCUCAACCAAUUCCUUGCAAAUCAGCCGAAGUCUUUCAGCUUCUGUGCCGAGGCCACAGACGCCGAUGAUUGGCUCGUGGAUAUCAACAAGCAUUUUGAAUGCAGCAAUGUCAGGCCUGAGGACUAUGUCAAGUUCGCUUCUUUUCAGCUCAAGGAUCAGGCAGCUGAUUAGUUCCAGCAAUACAAGGAUUCCAUAGGUGGUCGAGUGAUUACUUGGACUGAUUUCUGUCGGGACUUUAAAGCUCACCAUAUUCCUACCAGUGUUGUUGAGAGCAAGCGUGAGGAGUUCCGCAAUCUCUAGCAAGGCAACAUGUCAGUGUACGAAUACAACAAGCAGUUUCAGAAACUUGCUCGCUUUGCUAAGCAAGAUGUUCUUGAUGAGAAAAGUAUGAUCUAUCAGUUCAGAGGUGGCCUUAGAGAGGAUCUGCAGUUAGCUCUCGUUCUUGUUGAGCCUACUCAGUUUGAUCAAUUCUACAAUAUGGCACUCAAGCAAGAAGGUGCUCAGCUCAAGUGUGAGGCUUCUAAGAAGAGAAUCAGGGAUGCAGUGCAAUCUUCUUCUUCCUCACAAGUGGCAGCUAAGCAACAGAAGUUCUAUCUUCCUCCUCCUCCGUUUUGUCAGCCUUACCAGCAGAAGAACUCAGGUGGUCGUGGAUCUUCCCACCCACCCAACCCAAGCUAUCAGAACAAGUCUCAGCCUCAAGCUUCAAAGUCGAAUGCUCCUUAUCAUUGUCGCUCUCAGAAGUGACUUGCAACAAGUGCCAGCAGAAAGGUCACUACGCGAACAAGUGCUUCAAUUAAAGGCGCCUUCCUCCUCCUCCUCCUGUGAGAUCUUCAAGCAAUGCAGUGGUCAAGCAUAAUUCCAAGUUUGCAAAGUUCAACAUGUUGAAUGCAGCUCAGGCAGAGGAUUCUUUAGAUGUGAUUAUCGGUAAUCUCUCAGUUAAUGAUAUUCCUACAAAAGUCUUAUUUGAUACUGGUGCAUCGCAUUGUUUCAUGUCAAUACCGUUCUUUACCAAGCAUGAUUUCACUUCGGAAUAUUUGGAUAGAACUCUAGCAAUUGUUUCCCCGGGCAAGCACAUGAGUUCUCGUUUGAUGGUUCCAAAUGUCGGUAUCAAGAUGGGCGACUAUAAAUUUCUGUCUUCUCCAGUUGUUCUUGGUGACUCUGAUAUUGAUCUUAUUCUCGGGAUGGACUGGCUUUCUAAGCACAAGGCUCAGCUUGAUUGUGCUGCCAGGCAAAUUCAAUUGACACACCCUUCUGAGGAUGUUAUCAUCUAUGCCGCUCGUGAUGAAACCAUUCGGUUGUUUUCUCUCAAUGAGAAGGGCGAGCUGGAUGCUAUUUCUCAAAUUCCAGUCGUUUGUGAGUACCAAGAUGUCUUUCCAGAAGAGCUUCCGAGUAUGCCUCCUCAUCGGCCAGUCGAGUUCGUUAUUGAUCUUGAGCCUGGAACUGAACCCGUUUGUAUGCGGCCAUACAAGCUUGGACCCAAGGAGCUGAAGGAAUUGAAGAAGCAGCUCGAUGAACAAGAGCGUAUGGGUUUGAUCAGACCGAGUUCAUCCCCAUGGGGUUGUGGAGUUCUUUUUGUCCAGAAGAAGGAUGGCACGGACCGACUUUGCGUCGAUUACCAUCCAUUGAACAAGAAGACAAUCAAGAACAAGUAUCCACUCCCCAACAUCAAUGAGCUUUUCAAGAAACUCAAAGGUGCUAAAGUAUUCUCCAAGCUUGACCUUCGUAUGGGUUAUCAUCAGAUUCGCAUUCGUGAAGAAGAUAUUCCCAAGACAGCAUUCAGAACAAGCUAUGGUUCUUAUGAAUAUAUUGUCAUGUCUUUCGGCCUUGUCAAUGCUCCUCCAACGUUCUCUCGCAUGAUGAACUUUAUCUUCAACCCCUACACCAAUGAAUUUGUUCUGGUGUAUCUCGAUGAUAUUUUGGUCUUCUCCAAGAAUAAGUAGGAUCAUGCCAAACAUUUGCGAUUGGUGCUCGACAAGCUCAGAGAGCAUCAAUUCUAUGCGAAGUUUUCCAAAUGUGAGUCUUGGCUUGAUGAAGUUCCUUACCUUGGUCAUAUCAUCUCUGCCAAGGGCAUUGCUAUUAAUCCCGCGAAGGUUUCUGCAGUUCUGAAUUGGGAACCUCCUCAGAAUGUCAAACAGCUCCGCAGUUUUCUUGGUCUUGCAAGCUAUUGACGAAGAUUCAUUGAGAACUUCUCUAAUAUUGCAAAGCCUCUUUCCAACCUCCUCCAGAAGCAUGUCAAGUAUGUCUGGAAGCCUGAGUGUGACGUCGCUUUCAACACCCUCAAAGAGAAGCUAGUCACAGCUCCUGUUUUGAUUCCUCCUGAUGAAUCCAAGCCAUUCGAAGUAUUCUGUGAUGCUUCCCUUCAAGGUCUCGGUGCUGUGUUGAUGCAAGAGAAAAAAGUUGUGGCCUAUACCUCUCGUCAGUUGAAGCCCAACGAAAAGAACUACCCCACUCACGAUCUUGAGUUGGCGGCAGUUGUCCAUGCAUUGAUAACAUGGAGACACCUCUUAUUGGGAAGGCAAGUGGACAUUUUCACCGAUCACAAGAGCCUCAAGUAUAUCUUCACUCAACCCAACCUUAAACUCAGGCAAACUCGAUGGGUCGAAAUGAUUCAAGAGUACAAUUCGAGUAUCGAAUAUACUCCUGGCAAGGCGAAUGUGAUCGCAGAUGCUCUGAGCAGAAAGGCUUAUUGCAACAGUCUAAUUCUCAAGCCGUUUCAACCGGAUCUUUGUGAAGCCUUCCGCAAGCUGAAUCUUCAAGUUGUUCCUCAAGGCUUUCUUGUCAACCUCAUAGUCUCUCCCACUUUGGAAGAUCAAAUUCGUGAGGCACAACUCCUGGAUACCAUGGUGAAGAAGGUGAAACGUGGUAUUAACAAGGGCAUUCCCAAAUACAAGUGCUAUCGCUUGGAUGACAAAGAUACUCUUUUCUUCGAGGAUCGAAUUAUGGUUCCAAAAGGUGAUCUGAGAAAAGUCAUCAUGAAUGAGGCACAAAAUUCUGUCCUAUCCAUUCAUCCUGGAAGUACAAAGAUGUACCAUGACCUCAAACAGUCAUAUUGGUGGACUCGAAUGAAGCGAGAGAUUGCUCAAUUCGUGAAUGAAUGUGAUGUCUGCAGAAGGGUGAAAGCAAAACACCAAUGACCAGCUGGUCUCCUCCAACCUCUUGCUAUUCCGGAAUGGAAGUUUGACCAUAUCGAGAUGGACUUCGUGACUGGUUUUCCUAAGUCCAAACGUGGAAAUGAUGCUAUCUUCGUUGUCAUUGACAAGCUGACCAAAGUGGCUCAUUUUCUUCCUAUCAAAGAAUCUAUCACAGCAGCUCAGCUGGCAGAGCUAUACACCUCCAGAAUUGUCUCCUUGCACGGUAUUCCACAAUUUAUAUCUUCAGAUCGUGGAAGCAUCUUCACUUCUAAGUUCUGGGAAUCCUUUCAGACGGCCAUGGGCACCAACAUUCGUUUCAGCAUAGCUUUCCAUCCUCAAACAAGUGGUCAAGUCGAGCGAGUCAAUCAAAUCCUUGAAGAUAUGCUCAGGGCUUGUGCCAUCUCUUUCGGUAUGAAGUGGGAAGAUUGUCUUCCAUAUGCCGAGUUUUCCUACAACAACAGCUUCCAAGCGAGUUCGGGCAAGGCCCCAUUCGAAAUUCUCUAUGGCAGAAAGUGCGGUACUCCUCUCAACUGGUCUGAGACAGGUGAACGCCAACUUCUUGGCAACGACUUGAUCACAGAAGUCGAAGAAAUGUGCAAAGUCAUUCGUGAGAAUCUCAAAGCCGCGCAAUCGCGACAAAAGAGCUAUUAUGAUAGCAAGCACCGUGACUUGGCUUUUGAAAUCGAAGACCAUGUCUACCUCCGCGUCUCUCCAAUGAAAGGCACUCGUUGCUUCGGUAUCAAAGGGAAGCUUGCCCCUAGAUACGUGGGUCCUUUCAAGAUCAUUGGCAAAAGAGGCGACCUCACCUAUCAACUUGAGCUUCCAUCCAACUUUGCAAACGUGCACGAUGUGUUUCACGUGUCACAGCUUCGCAAGUGCUUAAAGACUCCUGAGCGCACUAUCAACUUCGAAGAGAUCGACCUCCAAGAAGACCUCUCUUAUCAUGAGCACCCCAUUGCUAUUCUUGAAGAAACCGAGCGCAAGACUCGCAACAAGUCAAUCAAAUUCCUGAAAGUGAAGUGGUCACACCAUUCGGACCGAGAAGCCACCUGGGAGCGCGAGGAUCACCUCCGUUCCGAAUAUCCGGAGUUCUUUCAGUCCUAGAUCUCGGGACGAGAUCCUCUUGUAGUGGUGGAGUGUUGUAACACCCCGGAUGUAACUUUCCAUCUUUGUAACUCCAACUCUUGCCAUUUUCGGCCAUGUGAUAUGAUAUUCCCUCCGUGGUUGGGUUUUGUCUUUUGUUUUGCAUUUUAUUCAUGUCAUGCAUAUCAUAUCAUGUCAUCAUGUGCAUCUCAUUUGCAUACGUGUUCGUCUCAGGCAUCCGAGCAUUUUCCCCGUUGUCCGUUUCGCCAUCCGACACUCCCACAUGCACCGGCGCACCCCUCUUGUCUCUUUUCGUGUGCGGGUGUUGAACGUUCUCGAAAUGGACCGAGCCUUGCCAAGUGGCCCUGGUAUAGCACCGGUAGACCCCCUGUCAAGUUUCGGGUCAUUUGGAGCUCGUUUGGUACUCCAACGGUUAACCGCACUCCCAUAAAGGCCUCUUUUGAGUUCCAGCCCAACACCCCUCCAAAACAGCCCAAUAACCCAUCUAAGUCACUUCCAUGCUCUCCGUCGUCGGAUCACGAUUGUGUGGGCGAAAACCGCACCUCAUUUGGACACUCCUAGCUCCCUCUACCUAUAAAUAUGUGCACUCCCCCGAAAUUCCGGAUCCCCAAACCCUAGACUGCUCCCUCUCCGCCGCCGGACACGUCCGGGCAAAGCCAGACACGUCCGCCGCCGCCGCCCAGCGAACCGGAUCUCGCCACGUGUCCGCUCCACCGCCCCCGCNNNNNNNNNNNNNNNNNNNNNNNNNNNNNNNNNNNNNNNNNNNNNNNNNNNNNNNNNNNNNNNNNNNNNNNNNNNNNNNNNNNNNNNNNNNNNNNNNNNNNNNNNNNNNNNNNNNNNNNNNNNNNNNNNNNNNNNNNNNNNNNNNNNNNNNNNNNNNNNNNNNNNNNNNNNNNNNNNNNNNNNNNNNNNNNNNNNNNNNNNNNNNNNNNNNNNNNNNNNNNNNNNNNNNNNNNNNNNNNNNNNNNNNNNNNNNNNNNNNNNNNNNNNNNNNNNNNNNNNNNNNNNNNNNNNNNNNNNNNNNNNNNNNNNNNNNNNNNNNNNNNNNNNNNNNNNNNNNNNNNNNNNNNNNNNNNNNNNNNNNNNNNNNNNNNNNNNNNNNNNNNNNNNNNNNNNNNNNNNNNNNNNNNNNNNNNNNNNNNNNNNNNNNNNNNNNNNNNNNNNNNNNNNNNNNNNNNNNNNNNNNNNNNNNNNNNNNNNNNNNNNNNNNNNNNNNNGACGCCGCCGGCGCCGGAUCCGGCCAGAUCCGGCCGCCCCGGCCUCUCUCCGCCCGUCCUCCGGCUUCCCCAAGCUCCGGCAUCGUCCGCGCUCUCCGGCGACCCCGCGUUCUCCGCCGAUCUCUAGAUCCCACGGUUGACUCCUCCCCGAAAUUCCACUAAGUCAUAUUCUGCCAUAAAUUUGUUGCAUCUUCAUCGCAUCACAUCUUCGCACCCGUGGCUCCGUUUUGGGCGUGUAGCAUACCGAGUUGUUCGUCUCAAAGAGUACAUAAUUUCAUCUCAUUGCAUCAUUUACAGUUGAGCUCAUCUUGAUGCCCGAAAUUCUAUUGGAAGAGGGCUUCAUAAUGUUAGUUUCAGAUUCUUUUCAGAACAAGCUCUUUUGUCAUUUUUGCCAUGAUUGAUGUGUGCAUCCUAUGGACUUGAUCCCUAAAUGUGUUUUGAACUAGGCUAUGUCUUCUUUACAGAGGUGCUUACCAUGUAUUUUUGUGAUCAAUAUGGUGACUAGCACAAGCAUGCAAACUAGGCUUCGUGAUAAUGCUGAUUUUAGUCCCUGUUCUGCUGUAAUUUUGAUGCCAUGUAAACAUGUUGCUACAGAGAGAUCCAUGCAUAUUUUGAGAUACUUCAGUAAGGGUGUUUCGAAAACAUGGUUAUGCUAUAUCCAUCAAUGGUCCCGGUUGAAAUUAUAGAGUAGUCUAGCAUGUCAUUUUCAUGCUCUACUUUUGCUUCAAAAUGUUUCCUGACAGAUUGUUUACAUGUUAUUCAAUUUUGCCGAGGUUGUUGUAGUUGAUCCGUAUAUGCUAUGAUGUUUUUCUUGCCAUGUAUAGCUUCUAUGACAUGUCUUCUUGAUGGAUGUAUGCUUAGUUUAUCAUGAAGUGCUCUGUAGUGAGUGCAUCAAGCUCACGAAGGUGCCUUCGUAAUUAUGUCAAUGCCAUGCUUUGUUUGCUGAAUCUGUUAACGAAACUUGCUAUGUUUACGUGGGUGCCAUCAUAUUUUCUGAUCCUUUUUGGCUUAUGGUCAGUAAGGGACUUUUGAUCUAUGCUUUGAGUAGAUUCAUUCCAUGCCUUAUUUUGCUAUUAUAAGUUCCUGUAGCAUGUUGAAAACUUGCUCUGAACAUUGCUUCAUGAUGUUGUUUAUGCCAUGUCCAACUUGAUAUUUUUGCACUUUCACCAUGCUUGUUUGAACCUGUUAUGAUGUGAUUUAGCCGUAGCUCAGUGUUCCUAUUUUGUAAAGCAUCUCAUGUAGAUCAUUGCCAUAUGCUUUUUUUUAUGUUGGGGUGCUGUAGCAUAGUUUCUUGUUGCAUGCUAAGUAGCAUCGUGCUGUUAAUCGCAGCUUUGUGUCAUUCUUGUUUUGCUUGCCAUAUGCAAACCGUGCAUCCGUUCCCGGUGAUCUUUAUAUCGAUUUCAACCGAAAUCAUCUCAUCUUUCCAGCGGCAUACUUGGUUUGCCAAGUUGAUGCCUUGUUCGUCAUCUUUCCUUCCGAAGCACGCAUAUGCAUUGCAUAUCACAUCUCGCAUAGCAUGACAUGUAUUGCAUCAUGUUGCUUGUGCAUUGCACCGUGAUUUAUUGUGGUUCCUUUGCUUGUGUUCUUGCUUUGGGUAGAGCCAGGAGACGAGUACGUGCACGAGGAACCUGUUGAGUACGCUAACGACGAUCAAGCCUUCGACAACUCUGAGAACCUUGCAGGCAAGAUGACCAUACCUUCGAUAUCAUGUCUAUCUUUGCUUGCUAGUACUCGCUCUAUCGCUAUGUUAGCUCUACCUGCCACUGUUUACCAUGCCUACCUAUUGCCAUGUCAAACCUCUAACCAACCUUUCCUAGCAACCGUUGAUUGGCUAUGUCACCGCUUUUGCUCAGCCCCUCUUAUAACAUUGUUAGCUGCAGGUGAAGAUGAAGUUUGUUCCUGGUCGGAACAUGGAUAUUUUUGGGAUAUCACAAUAUCUCCUAUUUAAAUUAAUGCACCUUAUAUACUUGGUAAAGGGUGGAAGGCUCGACCUUAUGCCUGGUGACUUGUUCCACUCUUGCCGCCCUAGUUUCCAUCAUACCGGUGUUAUGUUCCUUGAUUUUGCGUUCCUUACACAGUUGGGUGAUUUAUGGGACCCCCUUAACAGUUCGCUUUGAAUAAAACUCCUCCAGAAAGGUCCAACUUUGGUUUUACCAUUUGCCACCUAAGCCCUUUUCCCUUGGGUUUUCGUGAGCCCAAGGNNNNNNNNNNNNNNNNNNNNNNNNNNNNNNNNNNNNNNNNNNNNNNNNNNNNNNNNNNNNNNNNNNNNNNNNNNNNNNNNNNNNNNNNNNNNNNNNNNNNNNNNNNNNNNNNNNNNNNNNNNNNNNNNNNNNNNNNNNNNNNNNNNNNNNNNNNNNNNNNNNNNNNNNNNNNNNNNNNNNNNNNNNNNNNNNNNNNNNACCUGUCAACCGCCGGUGGCCACCAGGGGCAACUCUGGGCUGGCCUACCGGAAGUUUGGACAAUCCGGUGUGCCCUGAGAACGAGAUAUGUGCAGCUCCUAUCGGGAUUUGUCGGCGCAUCGGGUGGCUUUGCUGGUCUUGUUUUACUAUUGUCGAAAUGUUUUGCGAACCGGGAUUCCGAGGCUGAUCGGGUCUUCCCGGGAGAAGGUAUAUCCUUCUUGACCGUGAGAGCUUGUGAUGGGCUAAGUUGGGACACCCCUGCAGGGUAUAUAAUCUUUCGAAAGCCGUGCCCGCGGUUACGAGGCAGAUGGGAAUUUGUUAAUGUCCGGUUGUAGAUAACUUGACACUUGACUUCAUUAAAAUGCAUCAACCGCGUGUGUAGCCGUGAUGGUCUCUUCUCGGCGGAGUUCGGGAAGUGAACACGGUUUGAGUUAUGCUUGACGUAAGUAGUUUCAGGAUCACUUCUUGAUCGCUUCUAGCUUCUCGACCGAUGCGUUGCUUCUCUUCUCGCUCUCACUUGCGUAUGUUAGCCACCAUAUAUGCUUAGUGCUUGCCGCAGCUCCACCAUAUUACCCCUUUGCCUACCUAUGAGCUUAAAUAGUCUUGAUCUCGCGGGUGUGAGAUUGCUGAGUCCUCGUGACACACAGAUUCUACCAAAACAGAUGCAGGUGCCGAGGAUACUGGCACAGAUGGCGCAACUGAGCUGAAGUGGGAAUUCGAUGAGGCCCUUGGUCAUUACUAUGUAUCGUUUCCAGAUGAUCAGUAGAGGAGCCCAGUCGGGGCGAUCGGGGAUCUAGCAUUUGGGGUUGUCUUCUUUUCAUUUGAACUUGACCGUAGCCGGUCUAUGAGUGUAUUUGAAUGAUGUAUGAUCUUAAUUUAUGUAUUGUGUGAAGUGGCGAUUGUAAGCCAACUCUCUUUAUCCCAUUCUUGUUCAUUACAUGGGAUUGUGUGAAGAUGACCCUUCUUGCGACAAAACCACCAUGCGGUUAUGCCUCUAAGUCGUGCUUCGACACGUGGGAGAUAUAGCCGCAUCGUGGGUGUUAGAGACGUGCUCAUCAUCAUCAUUAAUGAAUGCAUCAUCAUGUGGAAGGCCACCUUUACGUAAUCAUUCAAGCAUUGACAGGUCAUCUGCAGCAGUAACUUCUUCUUCUUUCGGCUCUUCUUGUUCCGGCUCAGGGGUGAAGUCGGAUUCACUAUCAUUGUCUACGUCAAUGUUUUGGGGUGGAGUAGAGCAGUUCUUGAAAUCUUUUUUUGGAAAGACGUGUUUCUUGGAAGAAUUCUGCUUCGUCAUAUGUGUCUUGGUUAAUGUGAGGUUCAUAAUCCUCUUCAUUGGGGGGAGGUGGUCUAACACAUGGCGACACUUAAUAAAUGACAUCCCAACCACUAAGAUUUGAAUCACUUUGACAGGCCCACGGUAGAUAGAAAAGAUGGGUUGCCUGUUGAGCCGUAAUAUAGACAUCGGUAACAUCCAAAUGGGUGCUUUGUUUGAUUUCUACUAGCCCUAUAUGUUCAAGAGUCCUUCUAGUCUCCCUAGGACGGAACCAAUAACAUCUGAAGACUAUGACGUUUAGUGGGUUUUCACCAUAGAAUUGAAGUUCAUAAAUUGCUUCAACUCUUCCAUAAUACUCGAUACCUCCUUCGCCGAUAGCAGAGACACAACAAUUUGUAGACUUUCGGUCAGCCAUAGAUAGCUCUUUGCCAUAGGUACGAAAGUGAUACCCGUUGAGGUCGUAAUUGUCAAAUGAACGGAUCUUAUAGUCAAAACCAUUAGCUACUUGUCUCAAUUCGGCAUCCAUAAUCUCUGAAUUAGCCUACAAGUUUAAUACGAAAGGAUUGUUGCAUUAGUCGCAAAUUAGCCAAAGAAAUGAAAGGGUCUAAUGGAAAUUACCAUUUUUUUGAACCAAGAGAUGAAACCGGGAUAUUCGCCUCCUUGCUUUGCAAGAAUCUCAUACUCUUCGACGGAAUACUUUUGGAUCACCGCUCCAUACAAGAAUAUGGCGACGUAUCGACUGCAUCAAAUAUCCAGGAAUAAGAGCAGUUCAAAGAAAUUAGAAGAUGCGAAACAAUGUACCAAGAUCUUACUCGGUGUACGGCCGCACUUUUGUUAGGUUGUUAAAGAGAUAUAGUGAAAUGGUCCGCCAUUCUUCAACAUCAAAUGAUACUGGUUUCCAAGCACUAGAUGGUGUGAGAUUCCCUUUGAAUAGGCUGAGGUUGGAUUGACCCUUUUUAGGGUCGUCAGCAUUGUACCGAGGCUUCAGAUUAUGCAAAUGACGAUUUUUGGCUUCGUAGUGUGCUGUCACGAAGUUUGACGCCUCCUCAAUGAUGAAUGCCUCGGCCAUCGAUGCUUCUAUUCUAUGUUUAUUUUUACAUUUUGCUCGAAGCGUCUUCUGCAUCCUCUUAGUUGAGUAGCACCAACGAUUUUGCACGCCCCCCCCCCCAAUCGUGCCUCGGUCGGGAGAUGCAAAAUCAAAUGUGGAUUAAAGAAGGUUGGCGGAAAGAUCAUCUCUAACUUGCAGAUCAACACCGGUGUCAACUGUUCCAUUUCUUCUAGGAGGCCAGGCGAUAGUUCUUUCGCACAAAGAACACGGAAGAAAUAGCUCAGCUCUGGCAGUACUAGCCAUUCAUCCUCAGGGAUGAAGCCACGCAACAUCACCAACAUUAUCCGCUCAAUCCAUAUGUGCCAAUCAUGACUUUUUAGACCAAAUAUUUUCAAUUUAUCAACACUCGCUCCCCUCUUUAGAUUUGUGAUACGUCUCCAACAUAUCUAUAAUUUAUGAAGCAUUCAUACUAUUUUAUUAUCUGUUUUGAAUGAUUACGAGCUUUAUUAUACACUUUUAUAUUACUUUUGGGACUAACCUAUUAACCGGAGGCCCAACCCAUAUUGUUGUUUUAUUGCCUGUUUCAGUAUUUUGAAGAAAAGGAAUAUCAAACGGAGUCCAAACGGAAUGAAACCUUUGGGAGCGUGAUUUUUGGGAAGGAUAUGAUCCGGGAGACUUGGAGUUCAAGCCAGGGAAGGUUCGAGGAAGCUAGGAGAUAGGAGGGCGCGCCCACCCCCCUGGGCGCUCCCCCUAUUUCCCGGGCCCGUCGAGGCUCCCCCGACCGACUUCUUUCGCCUAUAUAAGUCCAUGUACCCUAAAAAUAUCGAAUAAGAAGAUAGAUUGGGAGUUUCGCCGCCGCAAGCCUCUGUAUCCACCAAAAACCUCUCGGGAGCCCGUUCCGGCACCCUGCCGGAGGGGGGAUCCCUCACCGGUGGCCAUCUUCAUCAUCCCGGCGCUCUCCAUGAUGAGGAGGGAGUAGUUCACCCUCGGGGCUGAGGGUAUGUACCGGUAGCUAUGUGUUUGAUCUCUCUCUCUCUCUCUCUCUCGUGUUCUCUCUAUGGCACGAUCUUGAUGUAUCGCGAGCUUUGCUAUUAUAGUUGGAUCUUAUGAUGUUUCUCCCCCCUCUACUCUCUUGUGAUGAAUUGAGUUUUCCUCUUGAAGUUAUCUUAUCGGAUUGAACCUUUAAGGAUUUGAGAACACUUGAUGUAUGUCUUGCCAUGCUUAUAUGUGGUGACAAUGGGAUAUCACGUGAUCCACUUGAUGUAUGUUUUGGUGAUCAACUUGCGGGUUCCGCCCAUGAACCUAUGCAUAGGGGUUGGCACAAGUUUUCGUCUUGACUCUCUGGUAGAAACUUUGGGGCACUCUUUGAAGUACUUUGUGUUGGUUGAAUAGAUGAAUCUGAGAUUGUGUGAUGCAUAUUGUAUAAUCAUGCCCACGGAUACUUGAGGUGACUAUGGAGUAUCUAGGUGACAUUAGGGUUUUGGUUGAUUUGUGUCUUAAGGUGUUAUUCUAGUAUGAACUCUAUGAUAGAUUGAACGGAAAGAAUAGCUUCGUGUUAUUUUACUAUGAACUCUUAAAUAGAUAGAACAGAAAGGAUAACUUUGAGGUGGUUUCGUACCCUACCAUAAUCUCUUCGUUUGUUCUUUGCUAUUAGUGGCUUUGGAGUGACUCUUUGUUGCAUGUUGAGGGAUUGUUAUAUGAUCUAUCUAUGUUAUUAUUGUUGAGAGAACUUUCACUAGUGAAAGUAUGAACCCUAGGCCUUCUUUCCUAUCAUUGAAAUACCGUUUACGCUCACUAUUAUCAUUAGUUACCUUGCUGUUUUUAUAUUUUCAGAUUACAAAAACGUAUAUCUACCAUCCAUAUUGCACUUGUAUCACCAUCUCUUCGCCGGACUAGUGCACCUAUACAAUUUACCAUUGUAUUGGGUGUGUUGGGGACACAAGAGACUCUUUGUUAUUUGGUUGCAGGGUUGCUUGAGAGAGACCAUCUUCAUCCUACGCCUCCCACGGAUUGAUAACCUUAGGUCAUCCACUUGAGGGAAAUUUGCUACUGUCCUACAAACCUCUGCACUUGGAGGCCCAACAACGUCUACAAGAAGAAGGUUGUGUAGUAGAUAUCAAGCUCUUUUCUGGCGCCAUUGCCGGGGAGGGUAGGUAAGCGACACUCACACCCCGUCAACUAAGCUCUUUUCUAGCGCCGUUGUCGGGGAGGUGAGUGCUUGAAGGUAUAUCUUUAGAUCUUGCAAUCGAAUCUUUUUUGUUUCUUGUUUUAUCACUAGUUUAGUUUAUAAAAGAAAAACUACAAAAAAAUGGAGUUAAGUUUGUCUCAUACGCUUCGUCUUUUUAAUAUCUUUCGAGAGUAUGAUGAAAAGGAAAAUUGUGCUCAAGUGCUAGAGGAAGAAUACAUUAGAAUGUUUGGUACAAAAUCUUUGUAUGAUGAGCAUGAUUGCAACAUUGUUAGUAUGAAUUCCUUGAAUAUCCAUGAUGCUAAUGAUAUGCAAAGGCCCAAGCUUGGGGAAGCUAUGUUUAAUGAAGAUGAUAUUUUUGUCCCCCAAGUUUUGUUGAGCAAAUUUAUUAUGAUGAAAGCAUGCCUCCUAUUUAUGAUGAUUAUAUUGAUGAAAGUGGGUUUGGAAGAGUGUCAACUUUAGGAAGUAAUGAUCCCACUAUUUUGGAGGAUGUUGAAUCUUAUUGUGAUGAACAUGAAAGUGGAUUUGGAAGAGUGUCAACUUUAUUUAGUGAUGAUUCCACUAUUUUGGAAGAGGUUCCAAUUGAUUAUGAGAACAAAGUUGCUAUCUAUGAUGAUUAUUGUGAUGACUUGUAUGCUAUUAGGAAUAAUGAUAACCAUGAAACUUGUCAUCAUGAUUUUAGUUUUCAAUUGGAUUAUGCCUCACAUGAUAAUUAUUUUGUUGAGUUUACUCCCACUAUUCAUGAGAAGAAUUUUGCUUAUGUGGAGAGUAGUAAAUUUUCUAUGCCAGUAGAUCAUGAAAAGAAUGCUUUAGGUGCUGGUUAUAUUGUUGAAUUCAUUCAUGAUGCUACUGAAAAUUAUUAUGAGGGAGGAACAUAUGCUUAUAGGAAUUGCAAUAAUAUCAAGUUUCCUCUCUAUGUGCUUAAAAUCUUGAAGUUGUGCUUGUUUUGCCUUCCUAUGCUAGUUGAUUAUUGUUUCCAUAAGUUGUUUGCUCACAAAAUCCAUAUCCAUAGGAAGUGGGUUAGACUUAAAUCUUCUAGUCAUAUGCUUCAUGAUGCUCUAUUUAUGUUUCAAUUCGUAUCUUUUAUGUGAGCAUCAUUGUCAUCAUCAUGCCUAGCUAGAAAGGCAUUAAAGAAAAGCGCUUGUUGGGAGAAACCCCAACAUUUACCUUUACUGUUUUUGUGUGUCCACAUGAUUAUGCUACUGUAGUAAUCAUGUUUAAUAGCUUUUGUUUCAAUAAAGUGCCAAGUAAGACCUUUAGGAUAGCUUACGGUGAUAGUUGUGUUGAUCCUGCUGAGAAUCAGAAACUUUUGCACCAAGUAAAUUAGUUUUGUUAAUAACCAAACACGUGAUUCUGAUCUAAUUCUUUUUGAUCGGGAUUGGUACACGCAUUUCUUAUGACUUCCUAAUUUGGUAGAAUUUUUGGAGUUCCAUAAGUAUACGUUUGAUACAGAUUACUACAGACUGUUCUGUUUUUGACAAAUUCUGUUUUCUAUGUGUUGUUUGCUUAUUUUGAUGAAUCUAUGAGUAGUAUCGGAGGGUAUGAACAAUAGAUUAGUUGGAGUAAAGUAGAUAUUACACCAAUAUGAAUUUAGAAUGAGUUCAUUACAGUACCUAAGUGGUGGUUUUAUUUUCUUAUACUAACGGAGCUUACGAGUUUUCUGUUGAGUUUUGUGUUGUGAAGUUUGCAAGUUUUGGGUAAAGAUUCGAUGGACUAUGGAAUAAGGAGUGGCAAGAGCCUAAGCUUGGGGAUGCCCAAGGAACCCCAAGGUAAUAUUCAAGGACAACCAAGAGCCUAAGCUUGGGGAUGCCCUGGAUGGCAUCCCCUCUUUCGUCUUCAUUCAUCGGUAACUUUACUUGGAGCUAUAUUUUUAUUCGCCACAUGAUAUGUGUUUUGCUUGGAGCGUCAUUUUGUUUUUUUAGUAUUUUCUUGCUGUUAUUUAUAAUAAUUUUUUGCAUCUUUAGUUUCAAUAAAAAUGUCAAGGAUAUCCUUUACCAUGCUUAUUUUGCUAGUAUACAUGUUGCUGUUUGAAAACAGAAAGUUUACCGCUGUUGCAAAAAUUCCCUAGAAAAGUCAGAGAAUGGUAUAAUGUUGAAACCUUUUGCAUAUUGAGCUUUGAUAAAUUUACUACAGUGGGAGUUUUCUCUAAUAAUUUUUGGAUUUAGGUAAGUAUUGGUACUCUUGCAUUCUUUACAGACUGUACUGUUUUGGCAGAUUGCUGUUAUGUUUGCAUUGUUUGCAUAUGUUUGCUUGUUUAAUGAUUCUAUUUAAGGAUAGGAGUAUUAAAUAUGCAGAGGCAUUUAGUAUGCAAUAAUAAUUUUAGUGAUUUGUUACAGUAGAAAAUGAUAAGGUUUUGCAUUGGUUUAAACUAACCUAUCUCACGAGUUUAUGUUGAGUUUUAUGUGGAUGAAGCUUUUGAGAAAUAGAGAAACCAUGAUAUGAAAGGAAUUAAGGAGACACAAAAGCUCAAGCUUGGGGAUGCCCAAGGCACCCCAAGAUAAUAGUUCAAGAAGUAUCAAACAUCUAAGCUUGGGGAUGCCCCGUUAGGCAUCCCACCUUUCUUCUUCAACAACUAUCGGUUAGUAUAGGUUGAACCUAAGUUUUUGCUUCUUCACAUGAGUUGUGCUAUCCUUGCAAUGUCAUUUUAUUUUGCUUUGCUUGCUGUUUCAAUACAAUACCAAGAUCUGAAAUUCUUUAAUGAGAGACAGUCUUCACAUAGUUACAUAAGUAUUUAGCUACUCAUUGAUCUUCACUUAUAUCUUUUUAGAGUAGUUUGUCAUUUACUCGUGUGCUUCACUUAUAUCCUAUGAGUAAAUGAUUGAAUGAGUUGAUUGUCAUAAAUCUGAAAUUAUAUAUGUCUCAUUUUCUUAUCCCAUGGGGAGUAAUGACUUCACAUCUAAGAAGUAGAGGUUGUAAAUUUAUUGAAGGUUAGCAAGCAUUGUAUUGAUCAUUUGAACAAUUCAUGAAAGAAUAUUGAAGGAAGAGAGAUUUCACAUAUAAAUAUACUAUCUUAGACAUCUUUUAUAGUUGUGAGCACUCAUUAAGUAUGACAUGCUAAAGAGUUGACGUUGGAUAAGGAAGACAACGUAAUGGGUUAUGUUUUCUCACAUCUUAGUUAAAGUAUAUUCUCAUGGAUCAUUCAAACAUGUUGAGCUUGCCUUUCCCCCUCAUGCUAGCCAAAUUCCUUGCACCAAGUAGAGAUACUACUUGUGCUUCCAAAUAUCCUUAAACCCAGUUUUGCCAUGAGAGUCCACCAUACCUACCUAUGGAUUGAGUAAGAUCCUUCAAGUAAGUUGUCAUCGGUGCAAGCAAUAAAAAUUGCUCUCUAAAUAUGCAUGAUCUAUUAGUGUGAAGAAAAUAAGCUUUAUACGAUAUUGUUAUGGAAGCAAUAAAAGCGACGGACUGCAUAAUAAAGGUCCAUAUACAAGUGGUAAUAUAAAGUGACGUUCUUUUGCAUUAAGAUUUUGUGCAUCCAACCCUAAAAGCGCAUGACAACCUCUGCUUCCCUCUGCGAAGGGCCUAUCUUUUACUUUAUGUCUUUUACUUUAUGCAAGAGUCAAGGUGAUCUUCACCUUUCCCUUUUUCAUUUUAUCCUUUGGCAAGCACCUCGUGUUGGAAAGAUCCUGAUAUAUAUAUAUAUAUAUAUAUAUAUAUAUAUAUAUCAAAUUGGAUGUAAGUUAGCAUGAACUAUUAUUGUUGACAUCACCCAAAGGUGAAUACAUUGGGAGGCAACACUAUAAGCCCCUAUCUUUCUUAGUGUCCGAUCGAAACUCCAUAACCAUUAGUAUUGCGUGAGUGUUAGAAAUUGUAGAAGACUAUAUGAUAGUUGAGUAUGUGAAGUUUGCUAAAUCAAAGCUCUGACAUAGACCCUUCCUGAAAAUAAGAUGAAUUUCAAUUAUUUGAUGACUGAGGACGAAGUUUGCUAGUUUUCAAGAAAGUUUAUAGUUUAUGCUUUAACAUGUGAAAAGUUUGUUACUUGAUCGUGAGAAGUUUUAUGAGAUGAACUACUGUUAUGACAUAUAAUUAUGCCAGAAGAGGUGAUUGAAAUUAUCAUUGAUCAAACUUGUGCACCUUCUAGCAUUCACACUUCAUAAAUUCUUUCUUUUAUCAUUUACCUACUCGAGGACGAGCAGGAAUUAAGCUUGGGGAUGCUGAUACGUCUCCAACGUAUAUAUAAUUUAUGAAGCAUUCAUGCUAUUUUAUUAUUUGUUUUGAAUGAUUAUGGGCUUUAUUAUACACUUUUAUAUUACUUUUUGGACUAACCUAUUAACCGGAGGCCCAACCCACAUUGCUGUUUUAUUGCCUGUUUCAGUAUUUCGAAGAAAAGGAAUAUCAAACGGAGUCCAAACGGAAUGAAACCUUCGGGAGCGUGAUUUUUGGAAAGGAUAUGAUCCGGGAGACUUGGAGUUCAAGCCAGGGAAGGUUCGAGGAAGCCAGGAGAUGGGAGGGCGCGCCCCCUGUCUCCUAGGCCCCUCGAGGCUCCCCCGACCGACUUCUUUCGCCUAUAUAAGUCCACGUACCCUAAAAACAUUGAAUAAGAAGAUAGAUCGGGCGUUCCACCGCCACAAGCCUCUAUAGCCACCAAAAACCACUCAGGAGUCCGUUCCAGCACCCUGCCGGAGGGGGGGUCCCUCACCGGUGGCCAUCUUCAUCAUCCCGGCGCUCUCCAUGACGAGGAGGGAGUAGUUCACCCUCGGGGCUGAGGGUAUGUACCAGUAGCUAUGUGUUUGAUCUCUCUCUCUCUUUCUCUCUCUCUCUCUCUCUCUCUCUCUCUCGUGUUCUCUCUAUGGCACGAUCUUGAUGUAUCGCGAGCUUUGCUAUUAUAGUUGGAUCUUAUGAUGUUUCUCCCCCCUCUACUCUCUUGUGAUGAAUUGAGUUUUACUCUUGAAGUUAUCUUAUCAGAUUGAGUCUUUAAGGAUUUGAGAACACUUGAUGUAUGUCUUGCCGUGCUUAUCUGUGGUCACAAUGGGAUAUCACGUGAUCCACUUGAUGUAUGUUUUGGUGAUCAACUUGCGGGUUCCGCCCAUGAACCUAUGCAUAGGGGUUGGCACACGUUUUCAUCUUGACUCUCCGGUAGAAACUUUGGGGCACUCUUUGAAGUACUUUGUGUUGGUUGAAUAGAUGAACCUGAGAUUGUGUGAUGCAUAUCAUAUAAUCAUGCCCACGGAUACUUGAGGUGACAAUGGAGUAUCUAGGUGACAUUACUGUUUUGGUUGAUUUGUGUCUUAAGGUGUUAUUCUAGUAUGAACUCUAUGAUAGAUUGAAUGGAAAGAAUAGCUUUGUUUGUUAUUUUACUACGGACUCUUGAAUAGAUAGAACAGAAAGGAUAACUUUGAGGUGGUUUCGUACCCUACCAUAAUCUCUUCGUUUGUUAUUCGCUAUUAGUGGCUUUGGAGUGACUCUUUGUUGCAUGUUGAGGGAUUGUUAUAUGAUCUCUCUAUGUUAUUAUUGUUGAGAGAACUUGCACUGGUGAAAGUAUGAACCCUAGGCCUUCUUUCCUAUCAUUACAAUACCGUUUACGCUCACUUUUAUCAUUAGUUACCUUGCUGUUUUUAUAUUUUCAGAUUACAAAAACCUAUAUCUACCAUCCAUAUUGCACUUGUAUCACCAUCUCUUCGCCGAACUAGUGCACCUAUAUAAUUUACCAUUGUAUUGGGUGUGUUGGGGACACAAGAGACUCUUUGUUAUUUGGUUGCAGGGUUGCUUGAGAGAGACCAUCUUCAUACUACGCCUCCCACGGAUUGAUAAACCUUAGGUGAUCCACUUGAGGGAAAGUUGCUACUGUCCUACAAACCUCUGCACUUGGAGGACCAACAACGUCUACAAGAAGAAGGUUGUGUAGCAGACAUCAAUUUGCUGCAUACUCAUCGGGGAACACCAACUGCAUUUUCACCCACAAGAUAAUUUCCUUCAUAGCUGGCCUUCCAAGAUUGAACCAUGCCCAUGGCUUCGUCCAUUUCCGCUUUCCUUUUGGUUCUUGCAUGUUUUGUAACGGCCUAUCACAGAGCUCCUCUUGAUCGUCUCUAGCCGUAGCAUUAUCCUUUGAUUUCCCCUCUAUGCCGAACAAUGUACCAAAAUGGCUUCGGUGAUAUUCUUUUCAGUGUGCAUCACGUUGAUGUUGUGUGGGCAAAGGAGGUCUUUGAAGUAAGGCAGAUCCCAGAAGCAUGUCUUCUGAGUCUAGGCGUGUUCCUUAUUAUACCCCUUGAAAUACCCUGGACGCUCUGGAUCUGGCUCGAGAGCGUUUAACUGAUCUAGGGUCUGUUGGCCUGUCAGCGCAGGUGGUGCAGAGUGUUUGACAACUCUACCUUUGAUGAAGUUCUUCUUGUCUUUCCUGAACUUAUGGCGAGGAUCUAGAAAUGGUCUAUGCAAGUCGAAGCAACUAUACUUGUGCCCUGCCGUCAGCCAACAAAACUCAAGAGCUCCCUUGCAUGUGGGGCACGGGAACCUUCCAUGCACACACCAGCCAACGAAUAGUGCAUACGUCGGCAAGUCAUGCAUCAAGUACAUGUACCAGACACGCAUUAUGAAGUUCUCUUUGCUAAAGGAGUCGUAUGUCUUGAACCCAUUAUCCCAAGCUUCCUGCAAUUCGUCCUUAAGCGGCUGCAUGUACACAUUCAUAUUCUUCCUCGGAUAGUUGGGCCCUAAAAUUAUUAACGUCAGGAAAAUAUUCUUUCUUUGCAUAAUCUGCCGGGGGGGGGGGGAGAUUGAGUGGAAUGAUAAACACGGGCCAACAGCUGUAUGGGGCUGCCAUCUGACCAAACACACUGAACCCAUCUGUGCUGAUGGCGACUUGAGGAUGCCUUGGAUCUGCCUUUUUUCCUUAUGUAAUGCAUCCAAGCGCUUCCACGCUUCACCAUCCGAUGUGUGUGCACCAUCAUCACAUUCCCAUCUGCAUCUAGUUCGGUUCUUUUGCCCGUUUUGUGCCAUGCCAUCUGUCUGGCCGUCUCUUUGACCAUGAAAAGACGUUGAAGUCUUGGUACGAUUGGCAUAUACUGAAGAACAUUAAUGGGUAUUUUGGUCUGCGUCUUCUCACCCAUACCGUUGUCUACCACAACAUACCUGGAAGAAUUGCAAAUGGGACAAUAGUUCAAGUCCUCAUACUGAAGCCUAAAUAAGACACAUCCUUUCUCACAGGCAUGUAUCUUCUCAUAGGGCAUCUUAAGAGCACGAAGGAUUUUGUUUGACUGGUACAGGUUUGGAGGUAGCACAUGGCCUUUGGGUAGAAAUCGUCUGAAUACUGUCAUCAUCGUGUCGUAGCAUUCACUCCCCAAGUUGAAUUGAGCCUUCAAAGCCAUUAUUUGUGAGAUGGCAUCCAGCUGACAAAGCUCAGUGUGCUCGUGGAGAGGACGUUUUGAGGACUCCAACAUUUCAGUGAAGGCCUUUGCAGAUUCCUCCAUAUCCUCGUCCGAGUCUCGAGCAUCGUCAAAGUCUUGCACCAUGUCUGCGGUCCCGGUACCAUGCUCGUCGGUGCGACGACAAACCACCUCGGCUCUGGCACGUUGGGCAGACUCACCAUGUAAUGUCCAGACCGUCUAAUGAGGCGUAAAACCAAAGUUAUGUAGGUCUUUACUCAUUUCAAGCUCGUCCCUUUUUAUAGUUGUCGCACCGGGCACAGGGGCACCAGCUUAAUUCCUGGCCAUUUGCAAAUGCAGCUCUAACAAACCCCUUGGUUUUUGUUAACCAUUCCGUGGUCCAGACUUUUUGACUAGUGUAACCGGUGUACAUCCACACACGAUCACUCAUAUUGACUUCCUACUAGACACACAAGAAAUAUAUACACAAUUAAGCAAACCAUAUCCAUCAGUUAAUGGAGUUUGUCAGUUUUAUUACGUCCAUGCAACCUACACGCUAAUAGGUAAAGAUAGGUCCUAAUCCCACCCAAGUAUGUGUAGAUUGGGUUUGUUUUCCCAUGCUCUGCUCCGGAUCCGACGCAAAAUUCCGGCAGCACCUCCCCGUUGUUCUCCUGAUACACGUCUUGGCAAUAAGCAGAGAGGAUGUGUACCCAGAGAACAAUAGGGAGGCACUGACAAAAAAUUCUGCAUCGGAUCCGAAGUAGAGCAUAUGGGAAAACGAACCCAAUCUACACAUACUCGGGCUGUCCAUGGAUAACGUUGGACAAUUCGAAAGAAUCACGAUUAUAAACAUGCAAAUGCAUUCAUAUUUAUAGAUGUAACCCUUUCGAACGGGAGACACAUAGUGGUUAUGCAUACUGAUGAUUGACAACUAUAGCUAGCAAGUUUCAUCAGCACGAAGACCAGAACAGAGCAAAUGAAGGGGGGGGGGGAGGAGAUGUCAUUUGUGCUCACCAACGAACGCAGGGGCGGAGCUCGUCAAACACUAGACCCUCACAUCGACAAAAUAACUUCACAUUUAAAUUGAAAGAUGAGUAACAUAGCAAGUAUUCGACACCGACAGCCACAUGUACCUCGCACUGACGAUACUUGCUAUUACGGUACCAUCGACACCGAGGAACCCUCUAACCCGCUCAUCCCCGGGUAAACUAAAUAGAAACUACCAUCGGUGCAAGGUACAUGAGGCGGUCGACGUCGAACACUAGAUCCACAUCCCACAAGUGAAGUCGGCACCCGGCGUCCUGCAACAAUAGUUCUGUUGGCCAAUGAUGGUCGAACACCUUGGAGAAUUUGUCUAGCAGCCUCUGCGAUGAGGAUUAAAGCCAAGUUUUGAAAUUUCAAACAACCAAAACCGACUUGAGUUAGUUUGGGUGUUUCAAGUUUCAACACUUAGCUUUCAAUCGUCAUCUCUGAGGCUGACAGACAAAUUCGCAAUGGUGUUCGACCGCCAUCGACACCGAGAACUGUUGCUGCUGGACGCAGGACCCCUGUGUCACUUGUGGGACGUGGAUGUAGUAUUUGACACCGACGGCCAGAUGUACCUCGCACUGAAGAUACUUGCUAUUUAGGGUACCAUCGACACCGAGGAACCCCCUAAUUCGCAAUGGUGUUCGACUGCCAUCGACACCGAGAACAGUUGCUUUGGGACGCCGGACGUCGGCGUCACUUGUGGGACGUGGAUGUAGUGUCGGGGUGUCUUUUUCUUCCUCUUCUUCUUCUUUCUCUUUUUUCCUCAGGUAUGGCAACGCACGGUCCACGGGUCAGCACUCAGACCGGGGGUUCUCGGCAUGGGUGUUGGGACCGGCGAGACCCACUGGCUCCACCAUCUAUCCCCUCGUCAACCCUUUUCAUUUUUCCCUUUUUCCUCUUCUUCUACUUCUUCUUCUUCUUUUUUCAAUUUUUUCUUCUUCUAAUUAUCUAAACCUAAAUCUGGCAAUAACCUAAUCCUACCACUAUAACCUAAACCUAAACACAAAAACAGUAGAAAAAAAUCACCUUGCCGAGCCAGGGCGGGGCGGGAGCCGGGGCGGUGGUGGAGGAGGCGGCGGGUGCCGGGGCGGGGCNNNNNNNNNNNNNNNNNNNNNNNNNNNNNNNNNNNNNNNNNNNNNNNNNNNNNNNNNNNNNNNNNNNNNNNNNNNNNNNNNNNNNNNNNNNNNNNNNNNNNNNNNNNNNNNNNNNNNNNNNNNNNNNNNNNNNNNNNNNNNNNNNNNNNNNNNNNNNNNNNNNNNNNNNNNNNNNNNNNNNNNNNNNNNNNNNNNNNNNNNNNNNNNNNNNNNNNNNNNNNNNNNNNNNNNNNNNNNNNNNNNNNNNNNNNNNNNNNNNNNNNNNNNNNNNNNNNNNNNNNNNNNNNNNNNNNNNNNNNNNNNNNNNNNNNNNNNNNNNNNNNNNNNNNNNNNNNNNNNNNNNNNNNNNNNNNNNNNNNNNNNNNNNNNNNNNNNNNNNNNNNNNNNNNNNNNNNNNNNNNNNNNNNNNNNNNNNNNNNNNNNNNNNNNNNNNNNNNNNNNNNNNNNNNNNNNNNNNNNNNNNNNNNNNNNNNNNNNNNNNNNNNNNNNNNNNNNNNNNNNNNNNNNNNNNNNNNNNNNNNNNNNNNNNNNNNNNNNNNNNNNNNNNNNNNNNNNNNNNNNNNNNNNNNNNNNNNNNNGUGCGGCGAUGGGGCAGGGCGGCGCGGCGGUGGGGCGAUGGGAGGGGGCGGUGCGACGAGGUGGCGGGGUGGAGCGGCGGUCGAGGGGCGGCGGCGCGGGUGGUGAAGGAGGAGAUCGAGAGAGAGAGAGGGGUGGGGGCACGGGCGCGGCCCCUUUUCUGCUAGUAUGUCAUAGUUCUUUGUCGUCUGCUAGCAGACAGCAAAGAGCAUAUCUAGUGGGGUGGGGCCGGGGGAAAUGAACGCCCUAACGGCCAUUUUCUUUGCCGUCUGCUAGCGGAUGGCAACGAAGUUUUGCCGUCAGCCGGCAGACGGUAAAGAAAAUGGCCGUUAGGGCGUCCUUGUAACCCCGCCACCCACCCUCUUUGCCGUCCGCUAGCAGACGGGAAAGAUAUGCUGAUGGCAAAGACUUCCGUUGCCAUCCACUGCCUCUCUUCCGUCCGUUUUCUGGUGGCUGAUGGCAAAGCCUUUCUUUGCCGUCCACUAGCUGAUGGCAAAGAUUCGGCAGACGGCAAAUCUAUUGAUUCCAAUAGUGCUAGCUCAGUUGCAUUCUGGAGGGCAGUGGGCCAAUAAAAGCCUUGUCGGAAAGCUUUCCCGACAAGGGUUCUUGCUCCUAUGUGAUACCCACAUACGCCUCCAUGUAUCUCCGCCAACAACUUUAGUCCAUCUUCUCGGGUAAUGGACUUCAAUUUCACUCUGUUUGGUCUCUUUCUGCAUAGGUUGUUAUACACAAACUGGUACAUACUCGACUAACGGUCUACUUUCUCAGCUUGGUCUUGCUUGUUAGGAAGUUCUCCUAUUUGGAGGAACUUAACUAUCUGUUGCACCCAUGUCAGAGCUUGGGGCUUGACAACAAGGACUAAAGGCACCUAUUCGGCCAUGGAUGUGUUCAUCUCAUCAGUAAGAAUCUGUGAUUCUGUGAGGCCGCUGCUAACUGACAAGCGCAUCACCGCUUCCGGCAACUACUCUCCUAGCGGCUUCUGGGAGCUCUGCCGGAAAGUAUUUGCUGGUGCUUAUCUUCCUUGCCUUCUGGGCUCUUAUUGAUGGGUGACUGUGGGUCGAGUCAAGUGGAGCACAAAGGUCCCUGGUUCCAUAAGUAGCUUUUGGGCAGCACACGUUGACAAUUGAUCAGCAAUGCUGCUUUCUGCAUGAGGGAUGUGCUCCAUCUACAAGCCAUCAAAGUGCUCUUCCAACUUUCUCACUUCAUCCACGUACGCUUCCAUCAACGGGCUCUGGUAAUCCUUGUUCACCUGCUUUAUUACAAGCUACGAAUCUCCGCGGACGAUCAGCUUUUUGAUUCCCAAUUCUACAGCAAUUCUAAGGCUGGCAAGCAGUCCCUCAUACUCAACAGCAUUGUUGGUAGCUUCCUCAUGGGUGAAAUGCAUUUGAACCAUGUACUUGAGGUGCUCUCUAGUGGGUGCGAUAAGCAGUAUCCUGGCACCGGCGCCUUCACUACUGCAGGAUACUGCUAAUGCGACACUAUGAUCGGAGACCCUUCGACGAAACUGUGUGAGAUGAAAUAAUCCCAAAUGAUGUUGUAAAAAAACCCGUCAAAAAAGGUAAAAAAACGUUUGCGAUGACAGAUGCAUCAAACACAGUUCAGAUUUUAGUUGCAUGUGCGAUGCAGGGCAUAUGGUUCUGUUCAAUUAACUGUUUGCGAUGAGGAGGAACAAAAGAAACGGGCAGCCAGAUGAAGGUGUGUGCGAUAUACAUCAUAUGGUUCACUCGGAUGAACUGUUUGUGAUUAGGAAACACAAAAGAAACGGUCAGCCAGAUCAAGGUGUGUGCGAUAUACGGCAUGCGGUUCACUCGGAUGAAUUCUUUGUGUUGAGACAAGAGAAUAGAAAUGGAUCAAUAUAACGAGAUGUGUGUUAUACGCAACAAAUAGGUAUGUAAUCAGAAAUGUGUGCGAAGACCGAUAAUAACACAUACGAUUGCUGCUAAUAAGACGUGUGUGUUGUGCGAUGGGAUUGUAUAUAGAACAGCAUAUAUAUAUAUAUAUAUAUAUAUAUAUAUAUAUAUAUAUAUAUAUAUAUAUACAUAAACACUAUUCUGAUCACGGGAUCAGAAUAAUAUUCUGAUCACAACAUGAAUUUCCCGAGUAACGCGCCUGACCUUCCCCUAGUACUAGGUUAAACUUCAGCUAAAAAGUAUCCAAAUGGGGCUUGCGAUAUACCGUUGGAAAGCUAUGGACACCAAUAUCAUGAUCCAAGUUAAAUUUUUGGCAAAAUGUAAGUGGUUUAAGAGCAGUUUUGAAACCGUUUUUUCUUCAUACAAAAAACAUGAAUCGUAUUUUCGAUCGCAUUUCUAAACCGUUUAUCGGAAUGAAGUAAAUAAUAUAGUGUUGGAAAGGUGCUGCAAAACCGCUCCUUUGACAUGUUAAAAGUUUUCUCUAAAUCCCUAUGGAUAAAGAGUAAUUUUGAAAAUCGUAAAAUUUCGCAAACCGAACAACCGAGUUUGCAUUUUCAAUGUAAUUUCUAAAUGGCUAAUCCAUUUGAUGCUAAUAAUAUGGCAUUGGAAAGCUUGUGAAAAUGCGCUACUUUUUCGUGUUAAUUUUUUUUUCUAAUUUGGAACGGUUUAAAAGUAAUUCAGAGAAUGGUACAAGUUCCACCGAGUUCGUAUUUUCGAGCUAAUGUUUUAACCGUACGGCCGAAUGCAACAAAUGAUACGGUGUUGGAAACCUUGAGCAAAUGCGAAACUUUUUUGUAUAUAUUAUUUCUCCUAAUUCCUUACAGUUUUAAGUCAAAUUGGAAAAUGAAUAAAAACAUAUUUUUGGCAUAAUUUAUACAUACUUUAUCGGAAUGGGGCAAGUAAUAUACCACUGAAAAGCUACGGAAUAUGCGAAACUUUUUCAUGUUGAUGGUUUUCUCGGAUUCCUAGCCGUUUUUAAGUAAUUGCGAAAAUGGCGAGUUCAUUCGUUCUGCCUUUAUCGCGAAACUGAUUCUUCGAAAAUGCACCGCGUGAAGAACCUGAACUUCUCGGUACGUGUACUUGAACUUCACUCUAUUUUUCACGUGCUUUUUUUUCUCGUAUAUCUCUAUCCACUGCUCCUAGCUCUCCAUCCACUCACCGGAAUUGAGCAAGUGAUAUACCAAUGGAAAGCUGUUGUAAACAUGCAACUUUCCCGUAUUGAUCAUUUUUUCAUACUCGCAACGAUUUUAAAAGUUUUUCAUCUGAAAUUCAUUCAGCGUAGUAGUUGAACUUCAUGCUAUUUUCACGUUGAACUUCUGUGACGUAUUUUUGUUUUGUACAUGCGUCUGAACUUCCCUCUGUACGACCCGACCUUCGGGCUAUCUUUGCAACUGUGGCUUCCCCCGCGAAUUAUUUUGGUUAGUAGUGUUCUAUAUGAUGUUACUGUAAUCUAGAAACGUUUUUAGCAACUAAAUACUGGUUUUAAAUAGAAAUCUCGCUCGCUGGAGGAUUUUGCUCUCGAGGUCGUGAUGAAAUUGCUUUUUUGCAAUUUUACUCUCUGAGUUGUUCGACCUGAACUUCCCCUAGUGCUAGGUUGAACUUCCGUCAAUAUUGCCAAAAUGAGGCUUGCGAUAUACCGUUGGAAAGCUAUGGACACCAGUAUCAUGACCCAACUUCAAAUUUGGGCAAAAUUUAAGUGGUUUAAGAGCAGUUUUGAAAACCAGUUUUUCUUCAUACAAAAAACGUGAGUCGUAUUUUCGAUCGCAUUUCUAAACCAUUUAUCAGAAUGAGGCAAAUAAUAUGGCAUUGGAAAACUGCUGUGAAACCACUCCUUCCACAUGCUGAAAGUUUUUUCUAAUUCCCCAUGGUUAAAGAGUAAUGUGGAAACUCGUAAAAUUUCACAAACCGAACAACCGAGUUCGUAUUUCCAAUGCCAUUUCUAAACGCCUAAUCCAAUUGAGACAACUGAUAUGGCGUUGGAAAGCUUAUGAAAAUGCGCUUUUUUCUCAUGUUGAAAGGUUUUUCUAAUUUUGAAUUGUUUAAGAGUAAUUUAGAAAAUGGUACAAGUUCUACCAAGUUUGUACUUCUGAUCUAUUUUUUUAAUCAUACGUGCGAAUGUAGCAAAUGAUAUGGCGUUGGAAAGCCUGAACAAAUGCGAAACUCUUUGGUAUAUAUUGCUCCUCCAAAUUCAUUACGGUUUUACGUUGAUUUUGAAAAUGGCUAAAAACGUAUUUUUGCCAUAAUUUCUACAAACUUCAUCGGAACGGGGGAAAUAAUAUACUGUUGAAAAGCUACAAAAAAUGCGAAACUUUUUUAUGUUGAUGGUUUUCUGUGAAUACCAGUCAUUUUCAAGUAAUAUCAGAAACGGCGAGAUCACUCGUUUUGCCUUUAUCGCGAAAUAGAUUCGUCGAAAAUGCAUCGCGUGAAGUACUUGAACUUCUGUGGUAGUUCUGCUUGAACUUCACUCUGUUUUUCACGUGCUUUUUUUUUCUUGUAGCUCUUCAUUGACUCACCGGAAUUAAGCAAGUGAUAUACCGAUGGAAAGCUGCUAUAAACAUGUAACUUUUUUGUAUUGAUCUUUUUUCAUACUCGCGACAGGUUUAAAAGUUUUUCUUGUGAAAUUCAUUCAGUGUAGUGGUUUAACUUCCUGCUGUUUUCACGUUGGACUUCUGUGACAUAUUUUUGUUUGUAAUUUUCCCAUCCAUUUUCGUCAGUGUUACACAAAUGAUAUUCUUUUUGUACAAACCUCUCUCACAAUAUUUUUUAAACUUUCUCCGACCGAGGACUUGAACUUACACAGAUGAUAUUCCUGUUGUUUUGAAGUAAAUUAGAGAAAUGACAAGAUCAUGAUUUAUGCCUUCAUUGCGAAUGGAAACGCACUACGUGAAGUUAUUGAACUUCACGGGCAUGUCUGUUUGAACCUCACUCUGUUUUUGACGUGCUGUUUUUUGCACUAUGUGAAGUAGUUGAACUUCUGGGGCAUGUCUGUUUGAACUUCACUUUGUUUUAAUUUAUUGUAUUUUUCUUAUACGAAACACACACCAUGCAGUACGUGAAGUUCUGGUUAUUAUCACUUUGAACUUCUCUCUCGUUUGAGAGAAUUAUUUUAAAACCCAAAAAACAACAUAUUUUUUUACGUAUUUUGGACAUCUAAAUACACGGUCAACCUCUCUCACAAGAAUUUUUUUGAACUUUUCCUCACCAUGCACUUGAACUUCUAGCAACCAUUUUUUUCGUUUAUGAGUUUUUCUUUAAAAGUACAAAAAAUGGCAUUGUGUAUUUUAUUUUUUGAACAGGUAAAUCCUAGGUUUUAAUAAACUUCGAACUUCUCUAUUUUUUCAAUAAGAACUUCACCUUUUUAUAUUUUUGAGUAAAGAAUUGUAUUCGAUUUUUAUACGGAAAAAAUCGAACAUGGGAAUACAAGGUGAACCUCUCUCGCAAGAAUUUUUGAACUUCUCCGGACAGAGCACUUGAACUUCUUUCAACAAACUUUUUAAGCUUUUAUUUUUCUAUACUUUUUAUUCUCACCUGAAAUGCAUUCCUUGCAGUACUUGAACUUCUCGUUGUUUUCACCUUGAACUUCUAUCACAUUUUUUUGUAUACGUCGAAUUACCCACAAUUGAAGGUCGAACGUCAUUUUUUGCCAUUUUUAAAACAUGUAAUUCGAGGUCGAACGUCCCGCAAUAUAAAUUCUGAACCAUGCACGGUGGUGCACGUGAUCUUCCAGCAACAUAUCUGCGUUUUUUAUAUACUUCAAACUUCUUUGUUAUUUUGAAUUGAACUUCUUAGUCUUAUUCUUAGAAAAAAUAUGUUUUGAAAUAAGCAUCAAACAUUUUUUUUCAUAAUUGAACCUCAUACUUUUAUUUUUCCUAGAAAUGGAAAGAAUUUGAGUUUUUCGUAAACAUCAAACUACUCCUUUUAUUUUAAUUUGAACUUCUUUAAUUUUAUUCUUUAGUAACGAAGAAAACCUAUUUUUUUAUAAAUAUUGAACUUCUUGGUUUAUUUGAAAUACUUUCUUUUUCCAUUUUUUGAACCGUAAAACAAUGUUCUUUUUAUAAAAAAUAAGCAUCAAACUCAUGUGUUAUGUUAAUUCGAAUUUCUAGCUUUUUCUUUAGAUAAAUUUUUCUUCUGAUUUUCUUAUAAACAUUGACCUGCUAUGUAUCUUAAAUUUAAACUUCUUGGUUUAGUUUCAGAGAUGGAAAAAAUGACUACUGUUUUGCCUUUUAACCUAGGCUUUUCAGGGUUUUGUGAAUUUCUAGGGGUUUAUUUUUGUGUAUAUUUACACACACACACACACACAGAAUUUUUAACUAUGUGUGUUGUUUUUCUUUAUCUGCGUGUGUUGGUGCUUGUGGUAAAUAAUAUACCACCGGAAUGAAUUUUGUCACAAAUAUUUUGAACCUCUUCAUUAUUAGAAAAUGAACUUGUAGUUUUUUCUAGAAACAACGAAACUUCCCUUUUUUAUUUCCUGUUUUUUAACUACUUUUUUAUUUGAACUUUUUUUUGUUAUUAUACUUGAAUCUCCUUGUUUUUUUAUCUAAAAUUCUUAAUUUCAUUUGUAGAAAUGAAAAAAUACUAAUAAAUUUUUAUUCUUAGUUUUAUUGUUUGGAAAUGAGAAGAUUUUCAUUUUUUAUAAACAUCGAACCGCUCUAUUAUUUCAAUUUGAACUUCUUGGUUUUUUAUUUGGAAAGGAAAAAUAUCCAUUUUAAAAGUUCAUUUUUUAUUUUGAACUACUUGGUUUUUUUAAAAAGAAAAAAUGUUUUUUAAACUUGUACUUCUCUUUUUUUUAGUUUGACAUUCUAUGUUUUUGUUUUCUUGGAGAAAGUUUUUUUGAAUUCGUUAUUUAUAAGGGAAAAUAAUUUAAAACGGACAUUGAACCACUCCGUUUUUUAAUUUUUAGCUUCAAGGUUUUUUUUGUGAAAAUAGGGAAAGUCUGUUUAAUUAUAAGUAGUGAACUUCUCCAUUUUUUAAUGUGGAAUUUCUAGGUUUUCUAGAACUUCGUAAAAAUAUGAACACAUAAUAAGAAGGCAUGAUCCUAUGGGGCAAUAAUAUCUGAACUUCUUUUGUACAUAUUGUCGCUGUCAACAUGCAGAUACUUUACAAACGAAUAUCCGAAAUAGAGUACUAAUCAAACUGUGUGUUUGUCCAUAAAAAUACAAGACUAUAAGCGCAAUGGGUUCUAUCAAACCACAAGCGCAUGCUCUCACUGGAAGAAUGCAAACGCAUUAAAAAGUGAAAUCCACAACAGCACUUUGACCCCUCUCUCUCUCUCUCUCUCGUUUUUGCCUUUUGCUUUCUUCUACACUCACCACAUCCACAACAGCAGCUUUGGCGUCAUGAGCGAGCAGCAUGGCAGAGCUUCACACAACCUGAAGCGGAGAUUGGGCACGGACCGAGGCAGCUUUUUGCCGUGCGCAGCAGAGCUUGGAGCGGGAGGAGGAUGGCUUGGAGAAUGCUCAGCAGCAGAGCUCCUCUACCCAUGGCCCUCUGAAACAGCGGCUGCUAGACUCACCAGCUUGAAUAGAUUUGCGGAUACGGAAUAAUACAUGAGGGUAGUGGGAUUUUCACGGGAAGGAGG
rnacentral:lncRNA from 1 species